AUUUCUUCAUUUUACAACCCAUACAGCCCAGGAGCUUUGAUAACUGAAGGCAUCUUGGAUUCCCUGUCUGCUGGCAUUCUGGUGUACAUGGCCUUGGUGGACCUCAUUGCUGCUGAUUUCUUGAGUAAGAGGAUGAGCUGCAAUUUUAGGCUCCAAGUUGUAUCUUAUUGCUGUCUCUUUGUUGGAGCUGGAUUGAUGUCCUUGCUUGCAAUUUGGGCUUGAUUUUCUUUCCCCCUUUUCUAUUUUUCUGGUGUUUUAUGUUCAUUGUUUAGUAGUACUAGUAAAUACAAGGGAAAAUCAAAUUCUUUCCACUUGGUUGUUAAGAGAGUAGUUGACAAGUUGUUGUCUUUUAGAUUGGGAUGGCUCCAAUAUAUUUUAUAAAAUCUCCAAUACCCUUUUCACCCAUUUCUUUGCUGAAAGACAAGAAAACAAAACAAUGUGGCUGUGAUGAUCUGAUGCAAAACCCAAAAAAUACCUUGUGUCACUCAACUUUCAAUAUGAAUUGUCUCACAAAUCUAAAGAUAUUCUUGAACCAAAAACUGAUUAGAAUUAAAAAAUACAAAACCCAAAACUGAUUAGAGUUAAUAAUGCAAAACCCAAAAAUGAUAAGAGUUAAGGCUUAUUAUUACAAAACGUCCCUAAGGUUUACGAAACUAUCAUAUUGUAUCCUUAAAGUUUUUUUGUGUCACUCAUGAUCCUCAAGGUUAGUAUGUUCAAUCACAAAUGGUCCAUGCUGUUAGGUUCCGUAAAAAACUCCGUUCGUUUGCUAACGUAGCAUACAUAUAUAUUACAAAACAUCCCUAAGGUUCACACACCUAUCACAAAUGGUCUCUACGAAUUUUUUUAUUUAAAAUUCAUAAAAUUUUGGUUUUCUUUUUAAAAUUAUUUAUAAAUGAAAAAACCAUUUAUAGAAGGAUUUUAAUCUUGAGGACCAUUUAUGAACUCUAAACCUUUAGUUUUUUCAUUUUUAAAAUUUAUAAAUUAUAAAUUAUUUUUUAAAAACUCCAUUAUUUUAAAUUUAAAAAAUUUUAAAAAUGUCAUAAGAACCAUUUGUUAUAGGUGCGUGAACCUCAGAAAAUUAAUGGAGUUUUUAACGGAACCUAACGACAGGGACUAUUUGUAAUUAUGCAUAUUAACCUUGAGGACCACGAAUGACACAAAAAAACAUUAAAGAUGCAAUCUGAUAGUUUCGUAAACUUUUGAGACGUUUUGUGAUAAUAAGCCUACAAUUAAUCUAUAUAUAUAAAAAAAUUAACAGGUGGAGGAUAAUAUGGUAAAUUCACACUUUUUUAUAUUUAAAAAAAUUAAAAGAAAAAGAAAAAGCAGAUAAUGGAUCUUAUUUUUAUAGAACACAACUACCUAUUAUCUUUUUUAAUUCUAAAAUAAAUUUACUUAUUUUUUUUAAAAAACCUCUUGUAAGCGCGGAAGCGCGUGCAGAGAGGCUCGUAAUGAUAAACCCAAAACUGACUAGGAAGAAAAAUUUUUUUUUUUUUUUUUAAACCCAAAAAAUAAAGAAAGCGAAGUGAAACUGAAAGGGACGAGUAUAAUGGUAACUUCCAACCUCUUUAAGCUCUCUAUCUCCACCCAAAGCAAAGCUUCAGACUUUGCAUUUGAGUAGAUGAGAUCAUGAGAGACUUGAGUGUCACUCUUUCUCUUCGUCCCUGACCCUGAGAUAUAGCUCACUGCAGAGUCUGAGGAGAGAGAGAAACUGGUAUAACAUUCCAACUUUCACUCCAUAAUUUCACCAAAAUGCCACUCUUUUUCCACCGCCAAUCUUCUCUCCCAACCACCACCGCCACCUCCCCCUCUUACUCUUCCAAGCUCCUCAAGCCCCUAAAACCCAAUUCUGCCCCUGUCCCCACGCGCUCUCCCCUGCCCAUUAUCGUCUUUUCACUCGUCUCCCUCUUCAUCGGCCUCGCCGGAACCAUCUUCGCCAUCACCGCCCUCCGUCGCCCAACGCCCAUUCCCGUUUUUCGAUGCGGCAAAUCGGAAGACACCUUCCGGGCAUUCUACUCUCUUUCGACCUCUCGGCAGCUCGGUGAUAAGAAUGGUGGCUUGGUUGAUCGGCCUAAGCUUCUUGGGUUCGUCGGAAUUCAGACCGGGUUCGGCUCAGCUGAUCGCCGUGCGGCUUUGCGGAGGACGUGGUUUCCUUCUGACCCAGAUGGCCUUUUGAGGUAAAUUUCUGUUUUUGUGCAGUGAAGUUCCUAAAUUCUUAUAUCUGAUGUUGGUUUUGAUCAUAUUGUCUUUGUAUAUUGUUAUACAAUGCACUUGUUUGAUAUCACUUCUGGGUUUGCCUAACAUGAUGAGUUGCAGAUGUUGAUCUUUGUUAGCUUAGCUAUGAUGUUUAUCAGCUCAGCUAGAUUAAGAUCAACAAUCUGGCUUUGAUGAAAAUGCCCUGUUGUUCUUUUUGUUGGGGUUUUAAUAGUUUUUUUUUCCUACCAUUCUCUUGUAGAUUGGAACAAGCUACUGGUUUAGCUUUUAGGUUUGUUAUUGGGAGAUCUAAAGAUGCAAAGAAGAUGGCGGGGGUUCAGAAAGAGAUAGAUAAGUACAGAGACUUUCUGGUUAUUGAUGUCAAUGAAGAGUAUUUGAACCUUCCAUGGAAAACGUAAGAGUCAUCGGUUUUUAUUGAACUAUUUGUCAUGUUGAUGGCUUUAUGUUCUUGGCAGUUUAUGUCAUAUUGGUUUCUCACGCUAUUUUGUAGGUUGGCAUUUUUCAAAGCAGCAUUUCAACUUUUUGAAGCAGAUUACUAUGUCAAAGCAGAUGACGACAUUUAUUUGCGUCCAGGUAUACUGUAAUGCCAGACUUUAUGCUUUCAUUAAUCUGUGAAUAUGAGUACAUUAGAAUUUAGUGAUAUUUUCUUAAUUUGUCAGAUCGACUAGCAACACUUCUAGCCAAGGAGCGAACACAUUCACAAACCUACAUUGGAUGCAUGAAGAAAGGACCAGUAAUCACUGACCCUAAAAUGAAAUGGUAUGUGGGUUUUCAAAUUGUAAUCAGAGCUUUUACCUUUGUGAUCAAUUUAUUCUUUUUUUCUGAUCAUCCAUCCAUUUAUUAUUCAGGUAUGAGAAAUCAGGACAUCUAAUUGGGAAUGAAUACUUUCGGCAUGCUUAUGGUCCUAUAUAUGUUCUGUCUGCAGAAGUGGUAGCAUCAUUGGCAAUUGCUAGAAAUAACAGGUCAGCCACCUGUUCUGUAUUUGAUUUCUUUAUGUUAGUCAUUGUUUCUUUCAAUUAUGACUUUUGCCAAUAUAUUUAAUUUUUUGAACCUCCAUUUAUGUGAAACAUGACUCAGGCUUUAGUUUUUGUAAAAUAUGAAUCUACCUUGCUCCUUCAAUCCACUUUGUUCUGUUAUCAUCGUUGUUCUGUUUUAUUGUAUUCAUGUAAAGGUUUUGCUAUCUACAGAACUCUUCUUGAAAAAAUUUGGGCUUCUCAUUUGGAGAGGUUCUUAAGCUGUUAUUUCGUUUCCUAUAGAUGUCCCUUUGCUUGAUAUAUGUAUUUUCUAUUUUUCAGUUUGAGAAUGUUUAGCAAUGAGGACGUUACGAUUGGGUCGUGGAUGCUUGCUAUGAAUGUCAACCAUGAGGAUAAUCGGGCAUUAUGUGACCCUCGUUGCACACCUGCAUCCAUCGCAGUGUGGGACAUCCCAAAAUGUUCAGGUACUUUAUCCAAAACAUAAUAUUGUUACAUGAUUACGUUAUCUGUCACAAUAUAAUUGUGAAGAAAAUUCCUGGUUAGCUAUAUACUGCACAUUUGAAAGACCAUUGAUUUAUUUGUGGUAUUGUAAUGUAGAUGGCGAAGGCUUAUGUUAUCUUUUGAAUGACAAUCUGGUGCAAUAUUUCUUUUUAUGCUAAUUUUUUAUAAGACCAUAUUCUUAUGUUCUGCAUAUCAAUACGACAUGUACGAAAAUUAUUGGUUGAGUUCAAGAAUAAAAGCACUUUCAAGCUAGGCAAGGAUGACCCUUCUUUUUAUGGAAUAGUCCAUACCCUUUGGCAUUGCAUUUGUCGAGUCAUAGAUUAGUUUAAUACUUUAACCCUGAACAAUGUAUGACUUGAUCUGUGUAGAUGCUCUUCAAAGAGGAUCAUUAGUCAGUGUCUUCCUUUCAAAUAAAAUAUACCUAGAUCACUUGAUCUGACCUGGUCUGUGUGAUAAGUAAUACCAGAACUUGAAUUGUAGACAUAGAAAAUAAAAAGCACCGGAUGUCUUAUUUGCAAAAGAAUGUGAUUGUUUAAAAUAAUAAUGUUCCCGAUAGUUUUGAACAGAUCAUUUUCAACUAUAGCUUCUUGUACUGUGUUAUUUAUAAGAGGCAAUGUUUUAAAAAGGGUGAUUAUCUGUAAGUUGCUCUGAUGUGAGAAACUCUUGAAAACUUUUAGGUUUGUGCAACCCAGCUAGUAGGCUGAAAGAGCUUCAUGCAAUGGGUAUGUGCUCCAAAAGUCCAACUCUUCGUCCCGACGACAGAUAGUGAGCUAUCGCAUACAAUGCAACUCCAAAUGCCAGUUAUGCAGGAUGAUCAGCUGGUUCAGUUAAACAAUAUGUUGUUUCUUGAAAGAGAAGAAGCAUUCUUCUGAAACCGCCAAUGAAGAACUUGCUCUCAACGUUAUUUAUCCAUUCAUCGGUUCUUGCUGUACAAUCAAUGUAUUAUAAACUGAGAUUUUUCCAGAGAGUCUCCAUCUUAGGCAAUCUUCCUUGUCAGUGAGUAUGUACAGUACAUACAAGAAUACAAUGAAUAUACGGUACCAGUAUUAGUGCAAAGGACAUGGAUUAAUUUGAAGACUGAUAGGUUUGGUGUUGUGUUUAGCCUAAUUACAGUGUAUUUUUUAAUUGUGAUGUUAUGUGAAUGAAAUUCCCGUUUUAACAAUUUAUCUCCAAACCAGAAGGUUACUGCCCUGCUCAAACAACAAACACACUGGCACUUGCUGUAUUGAUCAAACCAUGACCCCUAAUCCAGCUUCUUUAAAAAGACAAAAACUUGACUUGCUCAUAGUAAUGCACAGCUGUGUGUGGGAGGGCAAUCUCGUCCAUGUUGUCAAAGUUGUGUUUGCCGAGGCAGUCCUCUCCUUUAAAUAUGAGAUCCACCACCAGUGUUCCAAGUCGGACAAAUACCUCCAACACUGACCGUCGGAUCCGCUUACAAAUAGGUCAAUAAGACAGUCAACGGUCGUAAGCACGAGCAGCGAUACAGCUGAGCAGCACAGAACACACGAGCCAUCUUGCUAAAUCUGACUACACAGGCAGUACUUUUGGCUGUACUAAUCGUCAGCUUUGAUUCCUCGGUUUCAGUUACCACUUCGCUACGACAUAAAUAUUCCUACGUCAUCACCCCUGUCCCAUCCAUCCUACGUGGCACAACCAUACCAGCGUGGCGCCUACUUUUCAACCCCAUUUAUAUCCACUUGUCUUCGCUCCUUCACACACACACACACUCUCCCCUGUUGUCUCCUCUGCAGUUCGCUUGCUCUGUUUUCACUCUCGUCAGAGUCAGACAGCAUGGAAGCUGGCCCAAAGUCUCCUUCGCCGGAAACUUCCAUCUCCGAUGAAAUGGCCGGAAACUUCCCGGAGCUCAUUGACCAACUCUCGCCGGACAUGCCCAUCGAAGAAGAGUUGAUAGAGGAGGUCAUGCAAGAGCUCUACAAGGAGAUAACGCCAACUCCGGCGACGAACACUACCAAGCCGUCGUCACCGGCGGCAAGUUUUCCGACGCCGUCGCUGGUGGUCGGGAACGGGAAGAGCGAGAGCUGCGGGGCGUCGGUUUCCGACUCGGCGUCGACGGUGAUGGCCGGCGUCAAGUUCGUGGGUCCCACCGGGAAUAAUGGGGGGUUUUCGCCUGAGAAUGGGGUUGGGGCGUGGAGUGAAUGCGGUGGUAAUACUAAUAAUGGGUUGGUGGUUGGGAAGGGAGUGAUGGACUGCUGCGAUGCAGGGGAGGCUGUUGAUGAUGAAUGGUUUGAGAGAGUGAUGAAUACGUGGGCCCCAGUGGAUCUUGAUCCAUGGUUCUGAUGAUCAAUGAUGUCUGAUUUUGUUGUAGAUGUCCGUACAUAUAAUCAAAUAGUUAAAAAGAGGAAGAGAGAAGAGGAGGUGAUUGAGGUGUAGGAAAGGAAGAAGCUUCAAGACUCCUGUUUUUCAUGGGUGAUAUGAAUAUUGUGGGUGAAAUUAUGAAUCUGAUGUCUAAACCCCAACUUUAAUUUAUUUUCUUUUUCUUUUUCUUUUCCUCUCUUGCUGGUCUUGGUAUCAUCCUCUUCUUCUAGUGUUCAUGAAAUGAGCAGCCAAAAGAGCACCCCCCCAAAAAAAAAUAAAAAAAAUCAUCAUUUUAAUCACACCCUCCACUGCUUUAAUUUUGCUUUUGUGUAAUUAAGCAAGUGGCUUCAGAAAUUAUAACCCAUCACUACGUUAUUUUCAUGGGAUUGAUCAAUCCUGCAUGCUGUUUAAUGGGUUGGCAAAGUUCAGCCCAACAUUACAUUCAUCUGGGUAAAAGUAAAAACAAAAAAAGUACUGAAAACUAGUUUAUAGCUAGGGGGGUAGAUGAACCGAAAUGACAAUUCUUGUUGGUAAAAUUGAAAGCCAUUUACUUCUUCAUCUGAUGAAGCCAAUUGUUUGCAGAAUCUGCACUAGUUGUAAGCCAAAAACAGAGAUGAAAACAAAAGUAAUUUAUUAAGUGCUCAUAAAAAAAGUAGUCUCUCUACCAUGAUACUGGUAGCUUCUUUUAAAUUCAUGUUGACAGGACAAGUACAUAGCCACCUAACUGCUGCCAAAGAUGUGUCCACAAACAUAAAUUGCAAGAUGCAUAAACCUCUGAAUUUACUCUGUUUCUGCACCAUCAAUAUGAAUCCAAUGAAGCUAGCCACAGCCCCCCAGUUUGGCUUUCUUAGGCUUUUGGUGUUGCAGUCUUCAAACAAGAGAAUCUUUGCUAUUUCUGUCCAUUUUCUUUUUUCUUAUGCAUGCAUGCCUGAGUGUCUUUACAAGGUAUGUGAGUGCUUUGAGUGCUUUUCAAGAAUUGGAACUUGGACCACAGUCCAAUUGACCAUCUCUGAAAUUUAAUUUUUAGUCAUACAUUUUUUUUUAAAAAAAAUGGGACACUGAGUUUGAGUUUGAAUUUUUGUAUCAGCAAGUGUUCUGUUUUAAGAUUUUGUUUGUGUGAGAAUAAGAACUCUGUUUGAAGUUGAAUCAGAAACUGAUGAAAUAUUUGGUCAUUUUCUGCUCUGACUGCAGACUACAGUACCUUCAUGUGUACCACUUGGAUCAAUUUUUUCACUCUGAAAAACUGAACCAAAGCUACCCUCCAAAAUAAUUUAAUAUCUCUUCCAUGAUCCCAUUUGGAUAAGAGAUAUUUAGUAAACUUCCACUAUAAGUUUUAGAUUUUAAUCUCCAGGUUGGAAAAAAAAUAAAUACCACUAAUUAUGCCUUGGUCUUGAAGGUAUCAAUUUAAUGCCUUUUGUCUUGUGAGAAAAUUUUAAAUAUAAUCGGUUCCGUCUUAAAUGUAAUUAGUUGUACACAACCAAUCACGACGAAGUCUUUCUUAUUAGAAGACCUUAUACUUAGGUGUAACACUGCUUGAACCAUCAAUUACUUGACUUUUUUAUAAAAAAUUUGUCACUUUUUCUCUGAGCCUUGUGAUGUAAAAUUCUGGAAAUGUAGAGAAAGCUUUGGAAAUUACCAAAAGCACCUUAUUUGGUUGGUCCAGAGUCUAAGACUCUCUAGAGCUAGUGGUCACUCUCUGUUUUAGGUCCAGGACCAUCAUCAUCUUCACUUGUUUCUGGUUUUAGGUUCUUAGGGUUGAAGAGGGAGGGGGUCCUAUAAUAAGAAAGCAUUUGUCUUAGGGCCACAGAGGCCUAGACCAGAGUUGGUCUCACCAUGCUUUUUUUUCCUUUUUUUUUCUUGGGUAAUUAUUAUUAUUUUUUCCAUGUUUAGAUCUCAAGAGCAAAAGAAUUUAAAGAAGCAACUGCCAUGCUCACCAGUAACCAUUAUGGUCCUUGAUCGUGGUAAUCAUGCCAGAUCAUUCCGUACUAUUUCUCAUUAUGGUUCAAGCUUCAACUCAUUCCUCAACUCGAGAACAUUUCUUUCUUUAUUUGUGAAUUAUCUUAUGGUUCCUGGGCUUGAGAGUCCAGAUUUCCAAGCCCAAAAACGCGAACGUUUGUGCACUAUUUGCUGAUAGCCCAAUUCUUUUUUAGACUCUGAGGCCGAUUCUGAAAAGAUCAUACUGCACUUUACACUCAACCCAUUUGCAAUUCCAAGUUGGUGUUACCGAGGCAAUAUCUCAAGUAGAUAAGAACGUUUAACUCUAGAUUUAAAGUUACGUGUUCGAUUCUUCUCUUUCCGAAUAUAUGUACAAUAUGUAGUGUGAAAACACAAAAUGAAGAUUAAUUGAUUUUCGUUGUACAUUUGUAAAGAUAACGAAAUAUGAGGUUGGAGAUGAAAGUUUUGUUUUGUCCUUUGAUCAGCUACUACCACCACCACCACACAGUUUAAGCCAACAGAGCGAUGCCACCACCAACACCAAUGACGACAGACAAACUGUCAUGUAGCUCAAAAUCAAAAUUUGGCCACUCAAUUCGAAAUUAAACCAAGAUUUUGAUAACUACACGAUGGCACGAAAUGAUCCGGCAGAUUUUGUUGCAUGCUAAAUAUUACAUUGAGUGAGCUACACGUUAUAGAUGCAGCAAUAUGGUGACAAAAAUAAUCCACCAAUCAACUUCAAACAUUCGUGCCCCGGACUUGCUCACACAACUCAUCAUACGUAGCAUCUUUCUUCAUCUCUCAAAAAAAAAAAAAAAAAAAAAAAAACCCAAAUAAAAUGAAAUUACGUAUGCACAUUUAUCUGGCCUUCAAUCAAUCUUUCUUGGUCGAGAGAUAUCUCUCUUCAGGUUGUCAACGUGUUGAUUUUUCUUCAGGUUGUGCCAAACCCAAGUUAGCAUUUGUUUGUGAUCGUGGUCACUUAUUGAUGUUGAUUAGGUAUCUCAGAAUCAUGGUUUAGGAUUCGAGUUAGAACUUUUUUUGUCUUCGAUCUUCUUAAUGAUAUAAGAUGGGAUCAGAUAUUUCAUGGGUUAUGUGAUUUGAUAAAGUGGCUCAGAUGCCUGCCACGCAUGCAGCAAUGGGUUUUCCCCUUCUUCUGUUUUUUUUUACUGUCUUUGUUAACCAUGUAUGCAUUGUCCAUAUGUAUAAUUAAUUAACCAAGUUAAAUUUAACAUAUCUUCUGGAUUUCCUGCAUCUCUUAUCCUGUGACCAAGAUCUAGCUUGGCUCGGGGGGUAGUUUCUGUUUUUGUCCCUGUGUGUGGGUGUGGAGUUUUUUUUACUGCUUGCUAGUAUUGGUGAACAAAAUUUACUGGUUCAUGUGUAAGCAAAAACAGAAAAGAGGGUUUCUCUUCCUGGAAUAUAUUAUUAAACUGUAAAAAAGAAAUUAAUAAAUUAAGUAACAUCAAGUGGUCAAGAUAGCAAAGAUUUUUGUCUGAAAAUAAGAAGCAGACAAGAACAUUAAUGGAAAAAUCCUGUGAGACUGCAAGAAUGAGUAUAAAAAACUAGCCCUCAUCAUUAACUGAAGCAGAGCAUACAGGUCAUGAUAUUUUGGCCACUCUCUUUGGGCAUUCUAGGUUAGGAAAUUAGAAAAAGCCACAAAGAUAAGCAAAAUGAAGAGACUUGCAUGUAAACAAAUAUAUGAAAGGAUAAAAAGUACGUACAUGGUAAAAAAAAAAAAAAAAAAAGAGAUGAAAAUAUCAGAGCAAAUCGAAGGGUGUGGGGGACUAAGAGGUCGUCACUGUCUCAAGCCUGUACCAGCAUUUGAUGACUCUUUGGCAACAUUAAGGAUGGGAGACGCCCUCCAUCUGCUUAGGCUAUCCAAAUUCCAUUCCAUAGCCAUCUCUUCCUACAUAUAUCUGCACUGUUUUCUAGAUUUCAUUUUUCUCAUCAAUUUUUCUUUUAAAAUCGUACCGCUCGAUUUGGAAAUGUUGAGAUACAUAUAAAUCCACACCUAUUGUAGAAUUGGUCUCUCCAUAUAUUCAUUAUCAAUUUGGCAGAAUAAAAAAAAAGGAAUAAUUUCUAAAAUUCUAUAUUUUUGUUAUGCGAUGUAAAUUUCACAUUCAGAAUCGAUGUGAAAAUUUAUACUCUCAACUCAUCAAACCCAAAAAGCCAGUGAUGAGUGUGCAUAUAUAUGUAAACCCUUAAACCCUAAAAUGCACCACACCCCACACACACACACACAAAAUAAAUUAUAUGUAUUUUAAAUGAUAUAUUCUAUGGCCUGUUGUAUGUAUGUAUUUGAUAAAGUUUUUGAAUUAACUAAUAUAAAAAUAAUAAUAGGGGGGUGUCAUACAUGUAUACUGUCGAGUGAGUAGAAUUGUGAGUAGUAGCUUUCAACACCUCGUUUAAAUUUGUCAUUUUGUAGCAGCUCUUGUUUUGAUAGCUGCUAUCUGGACAUAAGGUCACGUGAAUGGCUUUUAUUUUAGGGCUCUCUUCUUUUUUCUUCUUGCCCUUUUCUCUCUUAUAAGAGUCCUCUGAGUAUCAGGCCCUUUUGAUCAGCCUUACCCUAUCUCUCUCUCCUCCUUUGCUGGACAAAACAGCACCCAUUUAACCUCUCUCUCUCUCUCUCUCUCUCUCUCUCUCUCUUUCUCUAGAUCUCUCUGUGAUCUCUCUAUCUGUGAUCUCUCUCUCUCUCUCUCUCUCUCUCUCUCUCUCUCUCUCUCUCUCUCUCUCUCUCUCUCUCUCUCUCUCUCUUCUCCAUGAUGACACCAGUGUAUCUGAACCCAGCAUCCUCUCCUUUCUCCAUGGUGGAGCAAGCAGAAGAUCAACGCCUAAAGCUCUUUAUAUCACCACCCUAUGAUGAAGCUGCUUCAUGUACGUCUUUCCCAUUUCCUACUUUCUUCGACUCCUUGCAAGAUCAAACACCUGGGACUACUUUUACUUCUCUUGCUCAUCAUCAAUCACAACUAUAUCAUCACAAGGUAAUUAAGAAACCAACGUACAUAAAUCAAAUUAUAUAUCUUCCUCGUUUAUUUUUUUAUUGAAAUUUUAUUUGUUAUGGCUCUUGAUCCUCCCUUAAGUGAUUCUUCUCUCUUUGACACAUGUCCAUAUAUAAUGAAACUUGUAUAAUUUCCUGAUACUUUGUGACCUGAUGUUCUCAUAAUUAAUUGAUUUGAUGGGUUUUCUUACUAAUUCAGACUCCAUAAAUAGCUGCGUUUUAUAACUAAGAUUUGAUGUUUAUUGAAAACCCUUGAUUUUCACUUGAUUAUAUCUAAUUUCAAAUUUUCUGAUCUCAGGAUAAGAACAUUUGGGAUUGUGGAACAAGUUACGAUCAAGCAUCCCCAUCAUCUUCUUUAGUUCAAGCUCAUGUGGUGGACGCCAUAAGCGACAAGGACCGCAGAUUGUCCAGAUGUGGUGAUCAUGAAAGAGAGACCAAUAAUAUUGGAGGAGAAGGAGGAGGAGAAGAGGAAGGUAGAAGUAGUAAUUAUAUCACAAGGCCAAAGUCAGUGAAGUGGAUGUCCUCCAAGAUGAGGUUGAUGCAAAAGAUGACCAGCAACAACCCUGAUCUCCCACCUGGUACCACUGAUCAUAUACCAGCUGAGAUUUCUGAGCAUAAAUUCCAAAUUCAUGCUCAGCCUCGAGAAAUUAGCGAAACCAGCUUUUCCAGUAAUGGCAACAACACUGCGACUGUUAGGGUUUGUUCUGAUUGUCACACCAACUCAACCCCACUUUGGAGGAGCGGCCCUCUCGGUCCCAAGGUAAAUAUCUACAUAUAUUUACCGUGAAUAUGAACCACACAUUUACACAAUAAUUAACAUGAUCCAAAUUGAACAAUAUAAGCGUAUGUUUAUAAGCUAAAUACAAUGUUCUUAAAUUUAAGGUUUUAAUUUGUGUAUUUAUGUGUUUGGUGCAGUCACUGUGCAAUGCAUGUGGCAUUCGGCAGAGGAAAGCGAGACGAGCCAUGGCAGAGGCUGCGGCUGCGGCUGCAAACCGGUUUGCUGUUGGCAGCGCCGACACUUCAUCUCCAAAGGGUAAGGUGGCCAAGGAGAAGAAAUCGCGGGGCAGCCAUAAGAACAAGAUCAGCAAGCUCGUCAUCACCGACAAUGCAUCAAUAUCUCACAAUAACAAGAAGAAGAUUUGUUUCAAGGCUUUGGAUUUUCAACGAGUGUUUCCUCAGGAUGUUGCUGAAGCUGCAAUGCUAUUAAUGGAACUCUCUUGUGGCCUAAUCAAUAAUCACUCUUGAUCUUGAGCUUUGUCAUAAUUAUUUCCAUUACACCAUUUUUGUUUUUACCUCGUCUUUUUAAGUAGGAGGAUUUCUUUUUAUUUUUUCAUUUUCCAUUUUUUAUGUGGUUUUGGUUGCUAGUUUAGCUUGAAUUAAUAAAAUCCAAAGGGUUCCUUGAUUUGCAGAAACUGUAACUGUAAUUUAUUAUAUUUUUAUUUAUUGUUACACAUAAUUUGAUUGAGAUAACUUGGGCCCAUGAAUGACAGGUUAUGAGAGCUCUGGUCAGUUUUGAGCCCAUGAUUGAAGAUUAUAUAGUGAGGAGGCUAUUUGAGGAGACCAAUCAUAUCAUUAAAAUAUUUAAAAUGUUUGUUUUUUAUGAUUUCUUUACAUUUGUUAAUGGUGAAAUUGGCCUCCUCAAAUAGCUUCCUCACUUUAAACUCCUCAUUGUAGCCUCUUCCGGUUAUGAAACUCUCAACUGGGCCUACAUUUUGAUAAUGACCUCCUUCCAUAUCUUUCUUUGCAGAUAUUUGACAAUUAUAUCUUGAAUGUCCUUCUUGUAACCUUCAUAUUAAAUUCAUAUAUAAUUAUGAUCACAAAACAAAAUAAGAUUUAAAAAAAUUCCUAAAUUAUUCUUUUAGAUCCAAUGGAUUACAUUUUGAAUAACUGUAUUACUUACUUUGACUGUCAUAAAUAUUGACAUUUUAAUUUUUAAUUAGAUUUAAAUUGGUAUAAUGUUUUUACCAUAUCCGAAAAAUAAAAUUCCCAUUUUGGCAAAUACAGUAGCUGGUUUUUUAUUUAUAGUACAAGCGAAAAUCUAAACUAUAGAGAUGUGGGUUUCUCAUACACACACACUACUACGGUGUUAUGAAAGUUCGUAUAUGAAAUCACUAGUUGUUUUAUUUGUUUCUCAAUAUUUGUAUUUGUUUCUCCUUUUUAUUGCUUCUACCGUAAAUGAGAAAAUUCGUUGAAAGCAUGUCGUUAUGUUAGAAUCACAUUUGUCAGUCCAAAUAACCUAAUUUUGGCACAUAUUUAUAAGGCCAGUCUUUGAGUUAUAUUUGAAAUGAAAAGUUUUCCUUUUUUUCUUUGGGUCAAAAUUAGGAUGAAAUGAUCUCAUUCCUAUAAAAGAAUGGAAUUCCCCACAUGCCAUUUAAUCUACUGUCAAAACACAGUGCCUUUCAUAGUAGAUUGCCACUUCCCUCUCCCAAGGGGUAAAAGGCAGACCAAGUCCUAGUCUCCUGAAUACAUCAUCAAAUCAGCAUUUCCUAACAAUAGCAAAAAGAUGUGGUCAGAUCACAACCGUCCAUUCUGUAAUCACCCCUCAUAACUUGACAAUCCUAUGGCCAUGAUUUUUUCAGACUAAAAACAGUGAAAAACAUUAGCAGCAUCUACCACCACAAGAACAUCAUCUGACCGACUACAGCUGAAACGUACAAUGUCUUUUUGUCAGCCACAAGACAUAUUUUCUCCUCUCAAGGAUGAUCCCCUGCUUUUCCCAAAAUUACCACACCAACCCCAAACUCCACCAGAUACAGAGGGCCCCACCAAAAGGAAAUCCAGCAAAUCACAAAAUUAGAAUUGGUUGGAAGACUAUCCACCCAAAUUUCCAAUACCACAAAUGCGAUAAUUCUAUGUGUUAUCUGGUGGAAACUGUCAUUGAAGAUUUAGAUCUGAUUUGGUGAGUGUAUUGCAUUGCUUCAUAAGUCAUAACCUAACCCUAGACUAAUUUUUCUUUUUUGUUCUUAUUGUCUUUGAGGUGAGACAUAGAGAUAAGCAUACUGUGAUAGAGAAUCUGCCAAGUAACUACACGAGAUUCUCAGAUUUUCACUCCAGAUUUAACAGAUAUUCAAAAACUCUUUGGUACAUGUUUUUUCUCUGGCUGAAUAAAAUUUGGAAACCAUUCAGAUCCAUUGAAACUCAAUCUUCUUUGCUUCAAUACCUUCCAUACAUUCAUGAUUUCUCAACAAAAAUUUGUAAAUUUUUGUGGGUUUUGAUACCCUACAAACAAAACUUGUCUUUUUCUCAAUAGGUGCGCAGUCACCCACCACCCACCACCACUACCAGAUCCUGAACUCCCAUCAUAUUUUCUUAAUUUUUAUAUAAAUUAUUAAAAUUAUUAUACUCAUAUAUUUAUAUAUAGACAAAACCUCUUUGUGUUAUAUCACUUAUCAAAACAAACCCACACCCCAACUGGGUUCACUCACUCUAAUGGAAUAACCACACACACACAAAAAAAAGCAAGCACCUUUGGAAAGAAAAGAAAAAACCAUAUAUUUGUUUCCAAGUUUUUCCAACAACCCAAUUUGCUUUUCCUCUGUUUUUGCUUUCUGUGUUUUUGUUGCAAAAACACAGUCUUUUGCUCUCAUGGAACGUGCAAGGCGGCUGGCUAACCAGGCCUUCGUGAAGCGCUUGGUUUCAGAGGCCAAGCAGUUUCGCCAGAAUGAGACUGUGUUGAGCUCUUCAACAUCCCCUGUCUUGUACACGCCUUCAAGGUACGUUUCUUCAUUGUCUCCAUGCUCUUUCAUGCGCACAAGUAGCAGAUCAGAUUCAUUAGCAGGCAAAAAUGUGUCACAUAAUGUUGGUUAUGGCACUGGGACACAAACAAGGUCGAUUUCUGUUGAUGCAUUGAAAAACAGUGACACUUUUCCUCGCCGCCAUAACUCAGCCACCCCAGAUGAACAAACCAAAAUGGCUGAGUUAUGUGGGUUUGGUAGUCUUGAUUCACUUAUCGAUGCCACCGUGCCCAAAUCGAUUCGACUCGAAUCGAUGAAGUUUGCCAAGUUUGACGAAGGGUUAACUGAAAGCCAAAUGCUUGAGCAUAUGCAGUAUUUGGCUUCCAAGAAUAAGAUUUUCAAGUCUUUUAUUGGGAUGGGGUAUUAUAACACUUAUGUCCCUCCUGUGAUUUUGAGGAACAUAAUGGAAAACCCAGCUUGGUAUACCCAGUACACUCCUUACCAGGCUGAGAUUUCCCAAGGGAGGCUUGAGUCUUUGCUCAAUUUCCAGACCCUGAUCACUGACCUCACUGGCCUACCCAUGUCAAAUGCUUCAUUGCUUGAUGAAGGAACCGCCGCUGCCGAGGCAAUGGCGAUGUGUAACAACAUUCAAAAAGGGAAGAAGAAGACCUUUGUUAUUGCUAACAACUGCCACCCCCAGACCAUUGAUAUUUGUAAGACUAGAGCAGAUGGUUUUGAUCUUAAAGUUGUGACUGCGGAUCUUAAGGAUAUUGAUUACAAAUCGGGUGAUGUUUGUGGUGUUCUUGUUCAGUAUCCGGGGACUGAGGGUGAGGUUUUGGAUUAUGGGGAGUUUAUUAAGAAUGCUCAUGCUAAUGGGGUUAAGGUUGUGAUGGCAACUGAUCUCUUAGCAUUGACACUGUUGAAGCCUCCUGGUGAAUUUGGGGCAGAUAUUGUUGUUGGCUCUGCACAGAGGUUUGGUGUUCCAAUGGGUUAUGGAGGUCCUCAUGCAGCAUUCCUGGCCACCUCCCAAGAGUACAAGAGGAUGAUGCCGGGAAGAAUUAUUGGUGUUAGUGUUGAUUCUUCAGGGAAGCCUGCGCUGCGUAUGGCGAUGCAGACAAGGGAGCAACAUAUCAGGAGGGACAAGGCUACCAGCAACAUUUGCACUGCUCAGGUUCGAUACUAUUCUUCAUUUGAUUUCUUUUGUGAUUUACUUUUUAGGGCUGACUGAUUUAGUUUUUUUUUUUUAAUAUCAAAGGAUAGAAUUAUUGACAUGAUUUCCUUAGCUUGGAUAACCCAAAAACAAGGAAUUACCGAGCAGGCCCCCUCGUGUAUUUCAAUUUGAUUUACUUGGCUUUGUUUGAUUGUAUAUUGUCUUUGUGUAGGCACUACUUGCCAACAUGGCUGCCAUGUAUGCUGUUUAUCAUGGACCUGAAGGCCUUAAAACCAUAUCCCAAAGGGUUCAUGGUCUUGCUGGGGCAUUUGCAGUUGGAUUGAAGAAACUUGGGACAGUGGAAGUUCAGGGCCUUCCCUUCUUUGACACUGUGAAGGUUAAGACUUCUGAUGCACAUGCCAUUGCUGAUGCUGCAAUCAAGCAGGGAAUAAAUUUGCGAGUAGUAGACACGAACACUGUAAGUUUGUUUGUAUCUCCUGCGUCAAUUAUUCAACUAAAAGCUCUCUAGGGAGAGAGGAGGGAGUAUAUUGCUCUACUUUAUCAGAUUACUGAAGGUUAACUCCUUGCAGAUUACUGCUUCGUUCGAUGAAACAACUACCUUGGAGGAUGUUGAUAAGCUUUUCAAAGUUUUUGCUUUGGGCAAGCCUGUGAGUAUUUUCAUGUCUUUAUCAUAAAGGUGAUAGUUGAAAUUGUUUAUAAUUUGCAUCCAUCUAAGUGAGAAUUUUGUUUGAUUUUCAGGUUCCUUUCACUGCUGCAUCUCUUGCACCAGAAGUUCAGCCUGCAAUUCCUUCUGGGCUAACUAGGGAGAGCCCAUAUCUUACCCAUCCAAUCUUCAACUCGUAUAUCUCUUUCCUGAUGAUUUGAACUCUCACAGUCUGCUAUUUGGAAACUAGACUGACUUUCAUUUGCUCUCUAUUAGGUAUCACACGGAGCAUGAGUUGCUUAGAUACAUUCAUAGGUUGCAAUCAAAGGAUCUUUCGCUAUGCCACAGUAUGAUUCCAUUGGGAUCUUGCACAAUGAAAUUGAACGCAACAACUGAAAUGAUGCCAGUGACAUGGCCUAGUUUUUCUGACAUUCACCCUUUCGCCCCUGCAGAACAGGCUGCGGGUUAUCAGGUAGUUACAAAUGUUUACUUACAAACAAAUUUAACACAGUUGCAAAUGUUUUUUUUUUUCCUGAAUUUCUUUUUAUAUGUUGCUUUCCUUCAUACAACUAGUAACUUGAUAGUGUUUGUUGUCAAAUAAUAAAAUCCAGGAAAUGCUCCAAGAUUUGGGUGACCUAUUGUGUACCCUCACUGGGUUUGACUCUUUUUCGUUGCAACCUAAUGCUGGAGCUGCUGGAGAGUAUGCUGGGCUGAUGGUUAUUCGGGCAUAUCAUUUUGUAUGGGGACCCUGAGCUUUUCUUGUUUCCCUCUUUCUAAUAUUUCAUAACAAGCACUUUUCUGUAGAGCUUAAAAGAAAACUUUAACUUAAGGUCUUCGAGGUUAUGACCUAAAGGUUUAUUCUUGUUACGAAUCAUGCUGAACUGUUCACCGAAUACCCACUGCAGGCAAGAGGGGAUCACCACCGCAAUGUGUGCAUUAUACCUGUUUCAGCACACGGUACCAAUCCUGCUAGUGCUGCAAUGUGUGGAAUGAAAAUUGUCUCUGUUGGAACUGAUGCAAAGGGAAACAUCAACAUUGAAGAGCUGAGGAAGGCUGCUGAAGCAAACAAGGAUAACUUAUCAGCUCUUAUGGUAAGCAUCCUAUGUUAUAAGAGGUUUGAAUUAUUUGAAAUGAUCAAAGAUGGAGAACUUGUGCAAUUUUGACAGACAUUUGAUCAUAUUUCGAAUUAUAGGUGACAUAUCCGUCAACUCAUGGAGUGUAUGAAGAAGGUAUCGAUGAGAUAUGUAAGAUAAUCCAUGAUAAUGGAGGUCAAGUAUACAUGGAUGGGGCUAACAUGAAUGCACAGGUCUGUAUUCUCCUACAUUACUCCCCUUUUUGGCUCCAUGCUUUAUAGUUUUGUGCUUGAAAUUUAAAUUCAAAUAGUUUCUGGGCUGCAGGUUGUUGGCUGAGUGUUUUGGUAUUAAAAUUUCAAAUUCAUCUACAUUUCUGCAUGGGCAUUCCAUUGUGAUUGGUUUUUAACUAGUAAUUUAUUGAACAUCUUAAUGUUGCCUGUACAUAUAUUAUGUUUAUUUUUGUAGAUAGUUGUAAUUCAGGCUCAAUUUUUCAUGUUCAAUCUGACGAAGCUUUUCGUCCUUGCAGGUUGGUCUGACAAGCCCAGGUUGGAUUGGAGCUGAUGUUUGCCAUCUCAAUCUCCACAAAACAUUUUGCAUUCCACAUGGAGGUGGUGGUCCUGGCAUGGGUCCUAUUGGUGUGAAGAAACACUUGGCGCCAUUCUUGCCGUCUCAUCCUGUGGUAAUUUACUCUUUUGAAGGUUUCAUGUGAUUCUGCAAAUUAUUGCUUUCUUCAUGUUUUUUUUGAACUUGAGAUGUGUAAAUGGAGGCAGUAUCUGUUCAUAUCUUUCCAACUUCUUGUGAUUUAUUACAUGCUGGAUUUCAAAGCUUUUUGACAUCGUAUUGAAGGUACCUACCGGUGGCUUUCCUGCUCCAGACAAGUCUCAGCCACUUGGUACCAUCUCUGCAGCACCUUGGGGUUCUGCACUUAUUUUGCCCAUAUCUUAUACUUACAUAGCCAUGAUGGGGUCCAAGGGGCUCACCGAUGCAUCAAAGAUAGCAAUUCUAAACGCAAACUACAUGGCCAAACGCUUGGAGGUUCCUACUUCUUCCUUCACUGUUGUUUUUGCUUUACAGUUUGAGCUUAUGAGGUUAUAUUUGCUCUGUUUUCUCAUGUUGUCUAUGUUAAUUUCUUACAGGAUUAUUACCCCAUUCUAUUCCGUGGUGUCAAUGGAACUGUUGCCCACGAAUUCAUUGUUGACUUGAGAGGCUUUAAGGUAUGUUCUUAACACGUGCUUUGAUUUAGCCGCUUGUUUCUUACAUUCUCUGUCUAAUUGAACUCUGGUUUUUUUUUCUCUUUUCCUUGUAGCAUACUGCUGGGAUAGAGCCUGAAGAUGUCGCCAAGCGUCUUAUGGACUACGGAUUCCAUGGACCAACAAUGUCAUGGCCAGUUCCUGGUACUCUCAUGAUCGAACCAACAGAAAGUGAAAGCAAGGUACACUCCCACAGAAAGAUUUUAUAUUUUUUCUAUUUUUGGGUACUGUUUUUCUUUGGGUUAAGUAAACUCAAUGUUUCUUGCAGGCUGAGUUAGACAGGUUUUGCGAUGCUCUUAUUUCCAUUAGAGAAGAGAUUGCUGAGAUUGAGAAAGGAAAAGCUGAUCUCCACAACAAUGUCCUCAAGGUAAAAACACUCAUUUCUUCUGAAGGUGAAAGCAAAUGCAAGUUAAAUUGUUCAAUACUUAUAAAACAAGUUAUGAACCUUUCUGCAGGGAGCUCCUCACCCACCAUCUCUGCUUAUGGGAGAUACAUGGACUAAGCCAUAUUCCCGGGAAUACGCAGCCUUCCCCGCUUUGUGGCUCCGUUCAGCCAAGUUCUGGCCUACUACAGGUAUGCUAUUUACACCCCCAAAAAGAACUUGAAUAGCGUGCAUUUUGGUGUUGUUCUGAUUGCUUUAACUGACAACUAAAUUUUGUUGACUGUUGCAUCAGGACGUGUUGACAAUGUGUAUGGCGACCGCAACCUCAUCUGCACCCUUCAACCGGCACCACAGGCGGUGGAGGAACAAGCGGCAGCCACUGCUUAGUCUUCAGCUCUGUGCCUUUGAACUCAACACAAAGUCUGGUCAUGGAUAUAUCUGAAGUCAUCAUUUCUUCUUCUUCUUCUUCUUCUUCUUCUUCUUCUCCUCCACGUUGUAUAUAAUUAUCCAUCUUCAUACAGCCCCUUAUAUCUCUGGUGACAUUCUUUUCCUAUUUAUGAUGAUGACGAUUAGAUUUUCUAAUAACAACUUGUUGCUGAUUGCAACUCAGAUGUUGUAAUUAUUAUUGCUUCUUUUUUAUCUAUUUUUCCUUCAUUAGGGUCUUAGCUGGGAUUAUACAUUUUCAUGUUUUACCUUUUGUUUUUUCCCGCUGCCUAAGAUUUAAACAUAAUUGGGAAAAAUAAAUAAUAAGAAAUAGAUGCAUCUCUUUGUGUCUGUUAUUGUGGAGAUUCGUGGAUGGAUAAAUACGACGCAGUCAAAGUUUAUCUUCUAUUAAUAUGGGGCUAAUCCAAUUCAUUGACAGUUGUGUUAUACUUUGAUGUGACAGGCAAUGCCAAUAUGCCACAUUUACAUUUUAAGGAAAGAAAGUAUUGUUCCUUUAUCCCCUUAUCUACAUAUGUAAGUAGACCAACUCCUCUAACCAACUAGUCUAAUUAAUUUUUUUAUUUUUUAUUUUUUAAUUAUUUAUUUAUUAAAACAUGGUGCAAUAAAAACUUUAAUAAAAAAAAGCUCCAACGAUAUGAGGAAGACUUUAUUAAUCAUCAAAAGAAACACGGUUGAACAUAAGGCAUGACCCCCGAUUACAACCAUCAAUAAUCAAAGAGUCCUUUAAAAAAGGUCAAGGGCUCCUCAAACCAUUCAAACCUAUCACUACUAAUAAGCAAAGCCUAUGCAUGACCUCAUUAGCAUGUCGACAUAUGAACACAAAAGUAGUCUCUGUCAAACUUUUACUCAUCGCCCUCAUGUCCUUAAUGAUGACUCCAUGAUUAGAUAACACGAGAAGGCUCAAAAUAAGUAAGAUUGCUGUUAAAUAAACUAUCUACAAAAUAAUAAAUUUUAUAUUUUAAAAUAGGUUUUUUUUUUUUUUUUUUUUUUUUGUGUGUGUGUGUGUGGAGAUAUUUAGUCAUAUACUUAUUUUUAGCACUAAUGAUAUAGAUAAACCAUAUACCAUUUAAUUUCUAUACUUGUUUUGCGUUUUUUUAAUAAGGUUUUAGAGUUUGGCUUGUUUUAAGAAAUUGAUGGCGGUUUUGUAAUUUAUAAGAAUUUAAAAAUCUCUUUAUUAUAUUGUAAAUAAGCUUUGAAUGUGUUUCUAAAGUUCAUUUCAUAUCGAUUUUUUUUUUAAUAAUUUAGACCUUUAUAUUUAGUAUAAUAGUAAAUCUCCCAUAUUUUCUUAGGUUCGAUUUCUUUCCUUAUUAGGGUGCUUUACAUUUUCUUUUCCUUUAUUUAUAAGGCAAUAUUCUUAGAUGUCUUAUUCGGAAACAAAACGAAAAAGGAAGAUAACAUUGAUUAUAGACCAUAACUUUGGAAUAGGCUCCCGGCUUUCAACACGGGCCUUGGCGUAUGGUGAUCGCCGAUCGGUGUCCAAACAGACCCAUACCCAAAAACAAACAAAAAACCAGUCCUUUAAAAGCUCUAAACAAAUCCGUACGACUUUAAAGAUAGAGUGGGCCCCACCUCGAGGGUCCUACAAAAUUAUUUAAAAUAAUAAAAUAAGAAAUGACAAUGGAUAAAUAAAAUACUAUUCCCACUACACACUACGCUGAGGUUGCGUGCGAUAUUUUUUUUAAAACAAAGGAAAAAAAAAAAAAAAAGAUGAAUGCUGAAGUCAAAUUUGUUUUUUCAGCCCCUCGCUCUUUCUUAUAGUCAUAAUUAAUUACCAUCAAAACGAAGCAAGAUGUAUAAUUUGCAUAAUUAACUUUCUAAUUGUUGUUUAUAUUUAUGUUGGUUUACGUUCUUUCUUUAUCUAUCUAUUGAUAUCUCAUUUUGCACAUUGCUGAGUUCAACGUGGAUCUCAUACAACGAACGUACCAACAUUAUGCUGCACCCUUCAUUGCUCCAUCCACCACGUUGUGUAUGAAUUUCAAAUCAUUUGCUUUUGACCAUCGCAUUGCCUCUUUCCAACCGUAGAAAGUUAGAAACAUCUCUGAUCAUGAUAUCAACAUAUGUUUCGGUAUAAAUCUCUCACGCAAUCUUUUUGUCUGUUUAGUAACAUCUUUGUUUUCAUUUUUAUACGAGAAAUUAAAUAUAAAUAAAAAAUAACGAAAAAUGAUAAGAUUUAUGAUAAGUUUGAAAAUUUAUAGAACAGAGUAGUCGGUGCAGCCACCACUCAGAGAAGUGGGGUAAGGCUACUAUAUCAAGACAUUCUUGAUAAACGUGAAGGAUACCACCAAAUGGCUCUUUAUAUAUUUAAUUCCUCAACGAUAAUAAACGUCUAUAAAUUCGCAUAGAUUAUACAAUCGUGCAAUGUCUAUAUCAUAAAUGUGGAAUCAAUACAACAUAAAAUGAUACUGGUGAAUCCCACCACACUUCUUUUUAUCUUUUUCACACCUCAACCUCAACAUACACUACAAAAUGCAUCUAUGAGUUACAAUUGUCGUAUUCUCAACAUGAUUGUGUUAAAGUUGUCGAACUCUCUGAAUAUCACAAUAUCUAUAUAAUAAAUACAUAAUCAACAUAGGAAAAGAAUAGCAAUGAGUCUCACCACACUGCUCUUCAUCUUUUUCACACCUACAAUUGUGUUACGGCUGUCAAACUCUCUUCAUGUCGCAAUAUUUAGAUCAUAAAUACAUAAUCAACAUAGGAAAAUGAUAGCGAUGAGUCUCAUCGCACUUCUCUUUAUAUUUUUCACACCUCAACUUCAACAAACAAUGCUGGAUACGUAUACGAGUUACAUUUGUUGUAUUCUUAAUAGAAUUGUGUUACAGCUGUCGAAUUCUCAGUAUCACGAUAUCCGGAUCAUAAAUACAGAAUCAAUACAAACGUAAAUGCUUAUCUCUUCAUCAUCAUAAUCACAAGUUGAUCUUUGGAAAUGGGAUGGAGUGAAGCCCAUUUAUAUAAGGCAAUGCCAUUUUGGUCAUAGAGACCCAUAACACCACCAUCAUCAUCACAAUCCCAACCGUUGGAUAUCUAACAUUUCCACCUGGAAAAUGCAUCAUACAUACUCAACGGUCAAGAUUGGGUGAAGUCCAUAGUAAAGAUGUGUGGAUGAGCGUAUGAACACAGUAGUGGGAGUCCUUCACUUGACUUGGGGGUGAGGAAAUAUAAACAAAUUGUAGAAAUUGUUUAUUGGUUUUAUGGGUUUUUAUUAAGCGUGUUGGAGGGAAUGAGAGAAAGGGUGAGCGGUUAAUCGAAGUCUCUCUCUAAGUGGUGGUAGCUUGACGAAGAAGGGUGCGCAGGUUAAGCGAAUCUGCUUUGUUUUCUAGUGGGCGUAGUUUAAUCCAGUAGACAGAGAGAAGAAGAGAGAGACAGAAGGAUUUCAUAAUUUCCAUUGAUGAUCGAUGUCGAAGAUGAAGCACCUACUAAGAAAGCUUCACAUCGGUGGAGGACUCAAUGAGCACCAAAGACUGGCCGAGACCCGACCCGAGACGAGUCCGAGCACGAAUCUCAACCCUACCGCUUCUUCGCCGGCGUCGUCCACGGGUUCGGCUACAAUGGGGAGAAUCACGGCCGUUGAAUCGGUGAGUGAUCGGACGGCUGGGGACGGUGGUAGCGGUGGGGGCGUGGAUUACAAUUUAUUGGAGGAGGAGUUUCAGGUCCAGUUGGCCUUAGCGAUCAGCGCUUCGGAUCCCGAUUCGCGCGACGACCCCGAUUCGGCUCAGAUCGACGCCGCCAAGCGGAUUAGCCUCGGCUGCCCGGCUACCGUCACCGACACUCAAGCCCCCUUCGAGAUUCUCUCACUUCGCUAUUGGGUACGUUUUUCUAAUAGAAAUAUUUCUAGGGUUAAUCAUUUUCCCGCAUUUACGACUUAAUCUGAGCCAAUUGGAGUGGAUUAGGUUUUCUGCAAACUUUGAAUAUUGUUCGUUGUGUUUAUAUGGAAUGGUAAUUUGCAUUUCGUUUCUUGGAUCAUUUUCUAACCAUAGGGCGAUGAUAAUGGUGUGAGGAUUAUCUUUAAAAGGUUUGAUAGCUGAACUAUGGAUUGCUUUGUAUUGCUUACGGUGCCAUUUUCUUAACAAUUUCAUGUUGAAUCAUUGUGCCAGUUAUGUUAGGCGGGUGCUUCUUGUUAGUUCGGUACCAAAAAAUUUGUGAGCCGUAAGAAUAGUGCAUUGGUUCAAGGAUAAUUAUUGGUUUCAUUUUGCAAUUACAAUUACUUUCCAACCUUAUCUGAAUCAAGUUCCUUCGGUUUUAUUUUUCUUCUUUGCGUCUUAAGUUUGAAUUUGGUGCGGUAUAGUUCUUUAAUAUUGUCAAUUUCGAUGAAAUUAGCUUCUUAACAAAUUUUUAUAACAUGCAGAGCCAGAAUGUUGUAGAUUACAAUGAAAAAGUGGUCGAUGGAUUUUAUGACGUGUAUGGAAUGACCUCAAAUUCUCUUAGACAAGGGAAGAUGCCAUUGUUAGUGGAUCUUCAAGCUGUGUCUGUUUCAGAUAAUGUUGAUUAUGAUGUCAUAUUAGUUAACCGGUUGGUGGAUCCUGAACUGCAACAACUGGAGAAAACAGCAUACGCUGUAUCUCUAGAGUCACGGAUUUCUCAACAUGGUGUCCUUUUAAGUGGAUUAAUUCAGAAAAUUGCUGAUAUUGUUGUUGAUAGAAUGGGUGGUCCAGUUGGGGAUGCUGAUGAAAUUUUGAGAAGGUGGAAAGUGAGGAGGUACGAGUUACGGAGUUCGAUGAAGACUAUCAUUCUUCCCCUUGGACUUAUUGAUGUUGGACUUUCACGCCACAGGGCGCUGCUCUUUAAGGUUGUGACAGUUUUUUUUACUACCUUAUUUGUCAAACUGAAUCAUAGACAAAACAUUGUGCACCAUGUAACUUACUAACAUCUUCAUUGCUUUUCUCAAAAUGCGACUCUCAUUCUUUUGCCCUUUCAAUUGCUUUUCUGUUGUUAAUUGUUUCAUACCUUUGGUUCUAGGUACUGGCUGAUAGGAUAAAUCUUCCAUGUAUGCUGGUCAAAGGUAGCUACUACACUGGUACUGAUGAUGGAGCUGUAAACUUGAUUAAAAUUGAUAGUGGAAGGUAAUGGCCAUCAAUUCUAAAUUUCUAUGUUUAUGCAUAAUUUUCUGAUAACUUCAAUCCAGUAAAUCUUGUGAUGUAGUAACUUUUUUGUGCCCUAUGCUUGUCGCUGAAUUGUUACUUUAACAUAAUGUCAUGGUGUGUCAAAUGGGAUUGCAGAUAGUGAUGGUCAAGUUUGUAGGGUAGUUUAUGAGGGUUUGGAUUAUCAGAUGUGGUGGGGGUGCCAUAGGUAAGGGGAGCACCAUAGAUGGGGGCUGAGCUCAAUUUGUAGCCACAAUUUUUUAUUGAGUGCAGCUCUUAUCCCGAAAAUUUCAAAUCCAGAUGCUUAAAGAACACCCUGUGUCCAACGUUCAUAUGAGAUUUUUUUUUGUUAUUCAAAAUGUACUUAUGUCAAGAGGCUGAUACAAAAUUAGAAUAUUUUUGGUUGCUUUCUAUGUGAAGUGCUUUGAUAUGUGAAUGAAAUUUGAAAAUUAAAUCUAUACAUAUAUGUGAUUUUCAUAUAUUCUCUGCAGGUCCUUUGGUUUCAGAUGCCUCUCUAAUUUUAAGCUGUUUUAACUUUCUAUCAUGUUUAAGUAAGGAUAUUAGAAUUAAAGGUUCAUGAUAUUUGUUUUCUGCUUUGCUCCUAAAAUUCUGUGCACAUUUUCCAUCUAAGGUGAAUUGGUGCAAGCCGGAAGAUGUCCUGGAACUAUUACCGAUGAUUAAUGGGGUUGUUUCUCUGUGCAGUGAAUAUAUUAUUGAUCUGAUGGGUGCUCCUGGAACGCUUAUUCCUGCCGAGGUGCCCAGUAGCCAGCUACCAAAUUCUUUCUUUGCCAUAAGGAGCUUUCAAGAUGCCACCGAAUUGCCCAAAGAUAUGUGUUUGUUGCAAGCUGAAGGCACUGGAAUGUUGGCAGUUCCACCCGAUCUUGACAGACUUUCUAGAGUUGGCAGCUCACAGUCAGAAGAAGCAUCAUAUGUAGGUGUUCAAACAAAAAAUGAUAGAAGCGUUGUUGAAGAAAAUCAAACUGAGAGUUUGAGAAGCGAGAUUGGGACUCCUCUUAGAUCACUUCGUAAAUCAUGUGAAAGUUCAUCAGGCACAUCUGAGAAAGCCACAUCUGCACAAAAAAGGAAAGUGAAAAAUGUGUCAAAGUAUGUCAUCAGUGCAGCAAAGAACCCAGAAUUUGCACAGAAACUACAUGCUGUAUUGUUGGAGAGUGGUGCAUCACCUCCCCCAGAUUUAUUUUCAGAUAUGAAUCCUCAAUAUCUGGACGAAGCUAAAUUGCUUGAUCAAAUCCAUGCAAAUGGGAAACUUGUAGAUGAUGGGAUUCAUAAUUAUCUGGUUCAGUUAUUAUCAGGCAACGAGCAAUCCACUCAAGCUGCUGCUGCAGUGAGCUAUGACAAUUUUGAUAACUUUCUAAAACAAUCUGCCGUGGACUUAGCAGAGCAACGAAAUGAAUUGGAGACGAACAUUUUAUCUCUUCCCUCUGAUACUGUUGAUGAGGGAUUUGUAAUUGUUUCUGGUGGAACUAGUGAAACAACCCAGAUCGGUGCUAAAAGUUCAGAUCCUGUUCUUGUUAGUCCCCAAGGAAUGAAUUCAGAAGCUUUUCAUGAGGAUAAAAGCCAUGAACUUUCCUUAUCUAAACCAAUGGAAACAGCCAAUAGUGGCCUGUGUACUAGUUGCGAUAGUCACUAUGAGAGGUACCCAGCACUGGGAGAAGUUGCAGAGUGGGAAAUUUUAUGGGAGGAUCUUCAGAUUGGUGAGCGCAUUGGCAUUGGUAAGCACCCAUCUGUUGGUUAAAUUUGGUAUAUGUUUUAGAAACAGGCUCACAAUAUUUCCUCUCUGGUAGGUUCAUAUGGCGAGGUAUAUCAUGCAGAUUGGAAUGGCACUGUAAGUGUUCUUUCCAACACUAAUAGUCAUUCGUCAUAUUCCUUUUCCUUGGCUAUACAUACAAAAUUACUUAGCAUGUAAUAUUUUGUUGAUCCGUUGAUUUAAAGAAAUGCUAAUAUUUGCAACAAUUUGAUAAAUGCUUUUAAACUCUCUUUUCUAACAAAAUAGAGAGAUACUUUAAAAUUGAUAUCAGCAUAUUGGUUGCAUUUUUCUUAUUGGUUUUCUUGUUGAAGUAGAAGUGCCAGUUGUUCACAUGGUUUGGAAUUUCGAUGAUAUCCUCGAAAUUUCUCUCCUUGACAAGCACUGAUAGUAGAUAAAACAUUUCCCAAUUUUUUUAAUCAUAUUUCACUCAAAGUCUCUCAACAUCGAUAUUUUGUCAAUAUUUUGUUGAUAGUUUCUGUACUUUCAACGAUGAUACUUUCGUUAACAUCAAUAUUUGAUAUGCUGUUUUUUAUUGGCAUAUGUUGGUUUUUGAUGAUGGCAUGAGGCUUGUUAUGGUAAUUCUGACUGCUAUCAUUACAAAUUGUUUAUCGGUCUGUGUUGACUUUUUGCAUGACAGGAAGUAGCUGUGAAAAAAUUUUUGGAUCAAGAUUUUUCUGGUGAUGCUUUAGUUCAGUUUAAAUGUGAAGUAAGCAUCAAGACUUGAGUUUGUAUAUCAUAUUUGUCGAUUAUAUAUAAGCAUAAAAUUCAAAUUCAUUGGUUUUGUAUUAAUUAUAGUUGAUUUUUGGUGUUUGUUCAUGCAGGUAGAAAUUAUGUUAAGACUUAGACAUCCCAAUGUUGUCCUUUUCAUGGGGGCAGUUACUCGCCCUCCCCAUUUCUCUAUCCUGACAGAGUAUCUUCCCAGGUUGAUUUCCUUAUUACUUGUCCUUUAUCAGAUUUGUUAUAUUUCUGAAAUUGAAUGACCAUAUGUAAUUUAAAUCAUACAAAGUAAUAAAGUAGAAGGAAAAAAAAAACUGAUGUGUAUGCAUGCAGUCCAAGAUAACUAGGAAAGCCUGUAACUAGGCAAAAAUAGGUCUAUCAAGCAAAAAAUUCCUUUACGGGGGCAGGAACAUCAUCCAACCAACUAGACGUCCACAACCCUGUUUCCUUGACAUUGAGUCAUUAGUUAUCUGUUUAAUCUUAUUCUCUUGUUUUGUUCCUUAAUCAUUCACCUGAUACACAGGGGGAGUUUAUAUAGACUUUUGCAUCGUCCCAAUUCUCAACUUGAUGAAAAGAGGCGAAUGCGAAUGGCUUUUGAUGUGGUAAAACAGAUUUUUUAUAUAUUUCUUUGUAGUUUUUCCUUUCCGGUUUCUUUUUGAUUUCUUAAUCAGUGCUCCCUGAAUUUAUGCAGGCCAAAGGAAUGAAUUACCUGCAUACUAGCCAUCCUACUGUUGUGCAUCGAGACCUGAAGUCUCCAAAUCUCCUUGUUGAUAAGAAUUGGAAUGUGAAGGUCAACUCAAAACCACCACUUGCGUUUUAAGUUUCCCUGAUAAUGCUUUUUUUAGUCAUUUAUAUUUUUUCCUCUUUCAAUAUAGAUAGAUUGAUAUUGAUAUCUCUAUUGGUGGGAGAAAAAUUGAUUAUUCUUUCUCAAACAUCUUGUUUAUAUUGUGGUGCAGGUUUGUGACUUUGGGUUGUCACGUACAAAGCACCAUACUUUUCUGUCUUCGAAGUCUACUGCUGGGACGGUAAUAUUUGUUCAAUAUGAAUCUUGAAAACAAAGUUGAAUACCCUAUCAUAUGAUCAAUAUCUCAUAAAAAGGAUUUUUUACAAGAAUAGAAACUCAAGUACCCUUUUGUUUUAUGUACUCAUUGCGUACUAUUGGAGUGCAGCCCGAGUGGAUGGCACCGGAAGUUUUAAGGAAUGAACCAGCUAAUGAGAAGUAAGUUGCCGGAAGGUGGAUGCAUUUUGGGAAUUUUCGUUCUGGAGGUUACCAUUACAAUAAGCUUUGCUUGUUGCUUGCUUGCAGGUGUGAUGUGUACAGUUUUGGUGUCAUCUUAUGGGAACUGGCUACUUGCUGCGUCCCAUGGAAAGGAUUGAAUCCAAUGCAGGUUGUAGGAGCGGUUGGAUUCCAAAAUAGGCGUCUUGAAAUUCCAGAGGACAUGGAUCCAGUGGUUGCUGAGAUAAUACGUGAUUGUUGGCAAAGGUAAGUUCUACACUCUUUAGGCAAAAAUAGGGAGUCUGUAGAGAGCCAAGUUUCUUAGAAAUUGAACCUGAACAGCUUGACUUAUACCAUAACUGAGCUUGGCUAAUCCAGAUUUGCUCCGUUUGCAGAGAGCCAAAUCUACGGCCUUCGUUCUCGCAACUCAUGGUCCGUCUCCGACGUCUUCAACGCCUUGUUGGAAGAACAAACUCUACAAACCAAACGACUGAAUAACCCCAAAAAAGAAAAAACUUUACCGUGUUAAUAAUUGAAGUUGAAGUUGUUCCUUGUCUCGAAGAGCGGGGGCAGCAUAUAAGUUUUUGUCUUCAAUGCAAGAAGGAAAAAGAGAAUGCUGGAUUUGGAAGUGUUGGCUCAGUCAAAGUGGGGGCUCAGCACAACCUAUACGGAAAAGAAGAGUGGAAAACCCUCCUAAAUUAAUAGACUGCAUAAGAAGGGCAGUGGAGGUCCCAUUGAAGACCAGUCUCUCUAGUAGUAGUAGUAAUAGUAGGUUGUAUCAAAUCUGCAUGUAAGAAAAAAAAAAUUGUAGAAAAAAAAGAAGAAAAAACUGAAAAAGAAAGGAAGAAAGAAACUAAUAAUUCUUAAUUCUGCUACUGUGGAGAUCUCAUUUGGGAAUUGUAAACAUCUGAUCUCUGCAUAUGUUAUUGUGAAAAGAGUAAAUACAUUUGGAGGAAGAAAGAAGAAAGAGGAAGAAUUUAUGUGCAAUCCAGAACUAACAUUAUUUGUCAUUGUACACCUUUAAAUAAACUUCAAUUUAAAUCAAAAUAAUAACCCCAAUAUUUCUAUUAAAAUAAAUAAAUAAUAAAAAUAUCUCUGAAUUGGAUUGAGAGAGAGAGCAAGAGGCCAAUAACAGUUCAGAGUUUCAGUACAGAGAGAUCAUCGCACAGUACCGCCAUGGCCUCUGCUGUUCUGUACACAUCACCAAAACCACCUCCACCGACUCUCCUCUUUCCCUCCGCACCAACCAUUUCAACUCCAAGCUUCAGGUAUCACCGCCGCCACUGCAGUAGAAUUCCCAAAAUACCCUUGUCGUCCUCGUUCAGAAACGGAAGCAACAGCCCGGCGGAAACAGGGUGCCCUGUGCCGCCGGAGCAGCAGCCUAUAAACGAGUUCCAGAAUCUGUCGACCUCCUUUCCCUUCUCCUGGGCCUCCGGCGACCUCAUAGAGUACUGCUCUCGACUGAUUGCAACUGGGUCUUCUUUUGCUCUGCUUGUUGGCCUCCCGGUUGCCUCGGUCGGUGCCUUGGGCGCCCAAUCGGAGCCGUUGAAGCAGUCUCUGUACGCAGUUUCAAGUGGGUUUCUUGUGGUCACUCUUGCCGUCGUGAGGAUGUACCUGGGUUGGGCUUAUGUGGGCAAUCGCUUGCUUAGCGCCACUGUUGAAUGUAAUUGCUCUGUUUCUCUCUCUGUUUCAACCGUGUUCCUGAUUUUGAAUCAUUGACUGAUAUUGAGUUGCUGAUGGGGUUUUCUGCUCUUCUUCUUUCUGGUUACAGAUGAAGAGACUGGAUGGUACGAUGGCCAGGUAAAUAGGUUUUUUUAAGCUUGCCUUUGUAGAAUCAGAAAUGCAAUUUCUUUUAGAAGUUGGAAGUUUGGCUUUUCAAAGUUAAGGCCUGAAUGAGAUUUCCUUGGCAGAUGUGGGUGAAGACUGCCGAGGUUUUGGCUCGUGACCGGCUACUUGGUUCAUUUGCUGUGAGUUAUUGACAUUACACAGAUAGAUUGAUUUCUUUAUUUUUCCCAGAAAAUGAAAAUCAGAGCUUGUUGCUGACAAAACAUCCUUUUUUAGGAGAAGAAAAUGACUGGAUGGUUGUUUUGCCUUGAUUUUGUUCAACAGGUUACGCCUGUGCUGGGCAGAUUGAAGGUCACACUGGUAUGCCUUGCGGCAGCCAUACUUUCAUGCGUUGUGCUCCUCAUUUCCAUUGAUGGAGGAGGCCAAACUGAAGAAGCUGGCAAUAGGGUUAUACAUGGAGUUUACAGUGACGAAUCUGCAAGAUCAUUCGAGCCUGACGCCUUCUGUGGCGAAGCUGGCCUUCCCUAAUUCUCAGCCAUUCAACAACUGCAACGCGAUAUGUAUAUGCUCUGUCCAUAGUUAGUGACAAACAAGUCAAAAGGUAUAGGACAAGAAUUUGUAUGUGUUUUGCCUCUCUCUCUUGAUGAUUUGUAUUUAAAUUAGCGUAGCUUUUAUAUAUAAUUAGAAUUAUCCUUCAAAUAAAUAUAUUUCCUUGUUAGGCAAACUGCUACUUGUAAACAUUCAAUUCUUGGGGAAACAAAAACCAACUUUUACACUAGCAUGCAUAAUGGCUUAUUCCACACCCAAGCUUAAAGUUCAACUAUUGAGAAUUUGGUCCCAAAAAGAAGAUUCUCAAAAGAAUGGAGUUCGGUAACUUAAAUUACCAAGCAUUCUCAUUUCUAGUGUCGGUGCCACCCAAAUGGUUGGAAACCUACCAUCCCCACCAAUAAGGGAGGAGGCCCUACCUCAAGGCUGGCUGGUGGUGGUAUUGUCUUCCCAAAAGUUCAUCAAAAUAAGAUAACAUUGAGUUUGACUAUCACCAUCGUGAAGAUUGUUGCCCCUCAACAUUUCAUGUCAACCUGUAUGACAAUGAAAGAUAUUCGAAAAUCCAUGUAACAGUAAAUUUAAAAGUUACUCUUUCGCCAUAAAAUUCAGUGACGCUUUAAAGAAACACACGUGGUCUAUGAAAUUUGAACUCGUAAGUCUCCUCUAACAAAGUGAAAAAACCGAGUACCGCUGGCCCAAGUGGUCACGGGACAUUUGAUGUGGUCGCUUACAUUUUAUGAUGAGAAGUUACAUACAGACAACAUAACUACUCUGGCGGGUAAGUUUAUGAAGUAAGUUACAAACCCAACAACAAACGAAGCCAACCGUUUUGUAAGGACGGAAAGAGAGAAUAAAAAAGGUUAGAAAAAGAUGGCGAAGGAGGCAAAGACAAUUAAGUGAGGAAGGCGGUGGGCCCACUGAGGGGCUGAAUCUCAGAGAGGUUCAUGCACUUUGCCCUGUUUUCGCCUUCUCCUUCAUCGUUUGCAAAAUGAGAAAAAGAAAGUCUUAACAAAAAAUUAAAAAAAAUCAAAAGAUAUUAAAAUUUUGAUCGGUUUUCAUUUUUUUUCUUCAUUUUUUCAGUCAAAAUAUAAUCAACCAGUUAUUGUGUCUCGACAACAAUGAAGAAUAACAAGACCAAUAAGAAUAGCUCCUCUUCGUCUUCUUCUUCUUCUUAUUAUUCUUGUUCUCUCUCUUUCUCCUUCUCUUCAACUUCUUCCUGUUCCUUGUCACCGAAUUUUACCUUACUGGGGCGGUCUCAUAUUUUCCUCAGCUAUCACCAUCCUCUGCAGGUCAGUAGCAUAAGAUCUUUGCUCAAAGCUCUAAUCUUUGUUGACCCAAAUGCAUUAUGUGGGGUUUGGAUCUUGUUUUCUUUCAAUGUAUCAACGAAUUUUAUGGAAAGCCCAUUUGGGUAUUGUCUGCUAGCGAGAUAAUCUUUGGCAAGUCUUAAAGAUUGGAAUUUUAAGCCACCCAUUUCCUCAAAGUAAACAUAAUUGAUGUGAUUCAGUGUUUCUCAGCUUAAAGUUGCAUUGCUGGAAGCAGAUGUUUCCUUUUCUGAGCUAAAUUUUAAGACUUGGGUAUUUUCGGCCUGCAAUGUAUUUUUCAGGAAGUAAAAAUCAAACCAUUAAAGCGAACAGUAAUCUUUCAUUUUUAGUUUAUGUAUCAUAGACUAACUAAUCUUUCUGAUUCUUUUUAAAGAAGGCUUUGCAUUGUAUUUAUGGCAGAUUGAACUGAUUUGCUUAUUGUAUUGGGAGACAAAAUUAGAAUGUCUGAGGGUGUAGUUUGACAUUGGGAUGCUUCUCCAUAAAAUUUUAAACAGAGCAUAUGCAGCACAUUAGAUUUCCUGUAAUGGAGGUAAAAGAAGCUUAUGACGUUGAGCAUAUGAGGUCUACACAGAGUAUCCAGCAUGAGCUGUGGCCUCUUGAUGAAAUUGAUCCAAAGAAGGCAAAAUUUCCCUGUUGUUUAGUUUGGACUCCUCUCCCAAUAGUCUCUUGGUUGGCACCAUUCAUUGGACAUGUUGGCAUUUGCAGGGAGGAUGGAGCUAUUUUAGAUUUCGCAGGUUCCAAUUUUGUGAAUGCCGAUGAUUUCGCAUUUGGUGCUGUAGCCAGAUAUCUACAGCUUGAUAGAACACAGGUACUGUGUCAUGUUGUUCUCACAUUCGCCAUAUUGUGUAAUAAUUUUGUGCUCCCUCCCCCUUCCUCCCGGCUCUCUAAACACAAACUCGUAAGGGUAUUCAUUAGUUUGAUCUAAAAUUGUUUGUGAAAGGCAUUUAAAUGCAUCUUAAAAGUACUUGCUUAGAUGAACAGCAAUUAGAACUGUAGCCAAAUCAAGCAUUUGUCUAUUUGCUUGUUACUUUGGAAGAAAGAACUAGAAUUGACUUCUUAACCUGUUGAUCCUUUGACAAUUUUGUAAUGGAAUCUGAAAUGUCAAAACAGUGUUGUUUCGCCGCAAAUCUGGGUGGCCACACUUGCAAGAGUGGCUACAAGCAUGCAGAGUUUGGGACGGCAAUCACAUGGGACGAUGCCCUGCAGUCAAGUUCACGGCACUUUGAACACAAAACCUACAACCUUUUCACUUGCAACUGCCAUUCUUUCGUAGCCAACUGUCUGAAUCGGAUAUUCUAUAGUGGAUCAAUGAGUUGGAACAUGAUCAAUGUGGCAGGCUUAGUACUGCUCAAGGGGCAAUGGGUUGACUCCAUGUCCGUCUUGAGGUCGUUCCUCCCUUUUCUAUUGGUGCUCUCUCUAGGUGUUUUCAUGGUUGGAUGGCCUUUCUUGGUUGCGCUUCUCUCUUUCUCUCUCCUCCUCCUGGUGUGGUUUCUACUGGGCAGUUAUUGUUUCAAGACCUUGUUAGAGUGCUAGUUCCUGUUUUCACACUAACAGCUUGGAGGAGUAAACAGAUGUUUUGUAGUAAAGUUCCUCUGUAUGACUCUGUAGUUCCUGAUACAAUUUUGCUAUAGGUUUUUCUGUCAAUAUUGUUUCUGAUUUCAAGCUGAGUCAACUUAUUCAACUAUAGUUGAUUGAUUUGGAAAGCUUGUUGAAUUUGUACCCUCUCUAACAUGCUCGAUUUAUGAUUCAGAAUGAGACGGGACCCCUGUUGCAGCUAUAGCAAAUUGUAAAAUGGGUAAAUCUUCAAUGCCCAUGUGGCAUGGUCUUGUUUCUCAUUUUGGGGAGUUUUUAGGUUCUUUCUAUUGAAUUUAGGUUAUGGAAAACGAUGUAUUGCAAGUGGUCUUCAUCUAUUGUAAUGGAAGAUUAACUUGAGUGUUCAUAACUGGCCGAUUUGUCAGAUGAAAUUCUCUCAUUUCCAGAGUUAUCAUUAAAUAUCAAAACGAACAAAACUUUCUAUCCCCAAUUUGCAGUGGGGAAUGCCAAACAUGAGCGGUGUUUGAGGUCACAUACAGAUUAAUCUUAUUACAUGUAGGGUCCGGUAAGGCAAGUUAAACUUGAGAAAUGCUUAGGAAAACAUUUUAGAUAAGCAACGGGAUGCUCUGCCCCUCAGGUUUAGCUUCCUUGCUUACACUGUCUUGUAUAAACUUGCCUUCUCAAGCUCCAUAUUUCGGGGCCUUCCAAAGCUUGAAGGCCACUUCGUGCAGAAACCUAUCCGCUGGUAUCACAAGAUUUCCACCGUACUGCAUAGAAAAGAACAAAUUUCAUAAUUCAUUUGUAAACAUGCAAUCAGCCAUUCUAGUGAAAGUAUCAUAGUUAAGUGAAAUUGAAAAUCUUUGAACUCAACAUGAGACUUAUGACCAGAUAAUGUAUCAGCUCCUAGCUAGGCUAGUACAGUAGAGAAGAUCAACUCUGGAGUCAGUUAUAUCAGUAAAUCUCUCAACAAUUUCCAGCAUGUGCCAUGCAGUAAACUCAAUAUCUGAUAAUCUCAAAUUGUACCUCUUUGAAAUCCUUAAAUGAGAAUGUCUCAGCCAUAUCCUUGCGAGUUACUGCAUAUUGCCACUGAGCAAUUAACAUUGGGCAAUGGUGCCUGUUCACAAAGGAUAGCUGGAGUUACUAAAGGUAUUUCAAGUGUGCAAGAAACCACCAAGUUUUUACUCACCUAACAUCCUUUCGUGGUUGAGAUCCUUUCAUGGUGUAACUUUGACGAGGAACAAGCUUUGAAAGAUCAGAUUUUUCAUCAUCUUUUCUAAAUGAGACUAACAAGUUGGGAUCAUCCUUUUCUGAGACCUUCCCAUAGCUCGUCACAACAGACAAGUGCAAACGGGCACCGAUUUCAGAUCCAGGUUGGGCUAUUUGCGUUAUAGCACCAACCAAAGCAUUGAGAUAUCCCACAUCAUCAGUAGCCUUGUCUUUCUCAACAUUCACCUCACCAGCCCCAACAUGCACAAAAACUAAAUCAUACUGGCUCGUCUCCACUGUCUUCCCUACUUGAAACCCAAGCAACUUAAGUAACUCAGAUGCCCCAAAAUCAACUGGCGGUUCAGCACCGGCUGGACUGUUUUUAUAAAGAGCAUCGAUUUGGAACACGCUGAAACCAAGUUUGGUACCAAAAGAUUUCAAACUUGCAUUGUUUGUAAAUAUCGCAGCUUUCAUCCCCAUGAACCUGAAGCAUUAUGAAAAACGUCACUUAGUUGACAUUGGGUUGUUAAAAGUUCAAAACUUUUUUUUGAACAUUUCCAAUUACAACAGACCGAGUGAAACCCAAAAGUUAUAUUACCUUUCUGAUAUGAUAACCAAAGAUGUGGAUCUCACUGUAUCAUGGUAUGCUUCAUAUGCAUCCAGCAGUAAUGCAAACUCUCUGACUAUUCUCUCAUCCUCGCUUUCUGCAAUCUAAAUUCAAGUAAAUCCCGGUGCUGGGAACUUGGAAAGGAAAGGUGUAAAAGCACGCCAAAAUGAACCCUCAGAGGAGAAGGAGAGAGAGAGAGAGAGAGAGAGAGAGAGAGGCCGCGCGAGGUUUUCUUUUAAGUCAGGAAAAAAAAAAAGGACCCAACCCGCCUAGAGUGAAAUCGCCCGCCUAGUGCCUAGGCGCCGCCUAGGCCGAUUUUUCGAACACCCAAAUACCAAAAAGAAGUAGAUUUGAAUUGCAUUUCAGGUCGCAUAUGACAAAUCAACAAACUUGAUCGAACCCAUAAAGGCAAAUUAACAAACUUGAUCGAACCCAUAAAGGCAAAUUAACAAAGUUGAUCGAACCCGUAGAGUUCACUUGAGAAGAAAGCAAGCCUCAUAUUAUUAAUAAUUAAAUUAUCUAUUAAAAAUGAAUAAUUUCCAGAGAGAGCAAGAGACAUUGAAAGAGUUAAAACCUGAGGGAGGGGCAAUGGGGAGGCUCAAGAAGCCACAGGAAGCUUUAGAAGCGAGAGAGUGGAGAUGGAUGUGUGAUGGGUCGACGAAACGGACCAACCCAUCUCCGUACAAAACCACAGCUCGGCUUGGCUUGUCCGCCAUUGCUGUAUCUCUAAUCACUGAUCGAGGUUUACAACCAGCUGUGAGCGGAGGAAGAUGAAGACUGAUUUUGGGAAGGCGUGGGGUAUGAAUGAAUGAUAUGGGGAAUAUUGUGCACGUGGCGGGGUUUGGAGGAGAUAACAGCAAAAGCUAGAUGCCUCUCAAGGCGAGAUAAUGACAGGGAGAAAGCGGUAAUUUUAGAUUUUUAUUUUUUAGAAAUGGUAAAUUAAGAACUCAGAAACUCACACAUAAGGAGUUGUAGCUCAAGUAAUCAAAAGCAAUUAUUCGUGCACACACAACUUCAAGUGUUCGAAUCCAGUCUUUUCCAAUAUCGCUUAUAUAAAAUGCAUGACAUGCAUUUUAAUUUUUUACAUUGAAACAAAUAGCAGUGUAUGAUUGUAUCGUCACAGACACAGUAGAAUACAUGUUGCAUGGAAUUUCUUCUCCUCUUCGCCAGUGGAGUCCCUUCUCCAUGCUGCUUGUUUCUCAGUCUGACUGCUCUGCCUCAGUAAAGGAUCGAAUGGAUCAGAAACAAGAAGAAUGUUUGGAAUUGGAGGUAUGCAAGUUUGCAUUUUAGCCUUGCCCUUCUACUUUUUCCAUACUGUGCUGUAUAUCGAUUCUUGCUUGAGAUGAGAGUAGAAAAUCUUCUUAAUCAGUUAUUAAUGUUUGGGCUAAUCGUACAAAUUCUCUGUUGUGUUACAAGUUACAACUAGCUUACCUGUGACAAAACUACUAGUUUAUUCACAAUUCAUCGGUUCUAAAAUUUGUUUUUUUAAGGUGUAAAAUUCUAAAAUUUGUUAUUGAUAUGCUCCCUUACCCAUAUAUCUUUGUGGUAUUUUGUUUGAACUUGCAGACGAUGUGCUCUACAAAUGUGUUUAGUUACACGCUUCAAAACUUUUUAAAGGUAUAGCCGCGCGGCUAUACUAUUAUCCUACACAUAUACUUGCGAGGCUAUACCUCUAACGUAUUCGAAUAUUUAAAGAGUACCAAGUAGCUGCGCAGCUAUACGCUUUAAAUAUUAAUAUGUUCUAAAAGUAUAGCCGCGCAACUAUACCGUUAAAAUAUUCGAAUAUAUUUAAAAGAGUAUAGCGACUAUACUCUUUAAAUAAAAGUAAUUAAGUAUAGCAAUUAGGAAAUGCAUUAAACCAUAUCAGAUAUGGAUUAGAAAAUGACUUACAUAUGUUCUAGCGCCAUUGAAUUCUCACAUAUCUGCUGAACCCCAAAAAGGUUGAUGGAUUUCAUAUCAGUCGAAGCAUGUUAAGAUUGCAUUAUCUCUCGUGAACAUUCAGCAAUCAACAGAAGGAAAAAGAAAAAGAAAAAAUCAGUCCGAAAGGAACAGAAGAAAUGUACAUGGAUAUAUAGUAUACAGUAUAUAUCUCUGAAACUACAAUCUGCAACACCAGCAUACGGAAUUUCAUGAAUGAUCUAACAAAAGAUUUUAUAGAAGUUACAAACCUUGAUGAAUGCAUUUGCUACAAUGCUUUAAAUUCCACUAAAUAUGUAAUUCCGCUUCACUCUCGUAAUAAAAAGUGUCAUUUCCUCAUCUUUGCGUGUUAUCUAUAGGUAGAGAAGCACAAACAAAAAGUACCGGUCCAUUUCCAAGAAAAUGUGGCACUCAAAAAAAGUGGUUCUUAAGGAAUUAAUUCCUUUAUUAAAAUACAUUUCCUUUAAAAAGCAGUAGGGUAUAGUCAUUUCUGUGUUUAGUAUCUCCCUCCAAAUCAAGAGAGAAAAGUUACGAUCUGCUAAAGCUGGAGAUGAGCUAACCUGUGCAAUAAGUGAAAUAAUGAAGUCCUCUGGUUCUUCCGCAUCCUGGUCUUCCAUGUAUUCCUACUUGUUUCUCAGUCUGACUGCUCUGCCUCAGUAAAGGAUCGAAUGGAUCAGAAAGAAGAAGAAUGCUGGGACUUGGAGGUAUGCAAGUUUGCAUUUUAGCCUUGCCCUUCUACCUUUUCCAUGCUCUGCUAUUCGAUUCUUGCUUGAGAUAAGAGUAGAAUCUUCUUAAUCUGUCUUUAAUUCUUUGUUGUGUUACAACUACCUUACCUGUGACAAAGCUACUAGUUUAUUCACAAUUCGUGGGUUCUAAAAUUUGUUGUUUAUGGUAAACAGUCUCAAAAUUUGUGUAUCUAAUAUAAAUAAAAAAUUGUAAAUAAAUUACUGUAGGAUGUAAUGGCAUACAUCUUUGUGAUAUUUGUGAUAUUAUGUUUAAAUUUGCAGAGGCAAAUAAUGCCAAAAAACCUAGCCCUGCUUGGGAAUCUUAAGCAAUUGGAGUUUACUUGCUCCCAAGUUAAUGUUCUGGAAUGUUCGGAUCUGCUGUGGGGUUUUUCCCUUCCUCAAGGCUUCUCCUCUUAGCAGACACUUACAUUAAGGGUAAGAAAAUCGUCUUCAACCUUUACCGGGGAUAGAUUGGAGGUGAAGGUACCAAAAGAGCUGAAACUUGAGCUGUUCCGCUUUCGUCCUCCUAAAAUCUGAAGCUUUAUGAAAAGGCAACUUUUAGUUCACGUUGUGCUGAUAACAGUUAAUCACAUAUUUUUUAACCAUUUACAACUGACUGAGCAAAAACUAGAAGUUAUAUUACCUAACCUUUUUGAUAAGGUGUUUGUUUCCCUCUUUUCGGCGGGGCGGCCGACAGAAGGAACUUUUGGUCAUUCUUCUUUUGAGUGUGGCGCGUGCCACCACCAAACUCCGAAUUUGGGCUUGAAUGGAAUGUGAGUAGAUGGAUAUGUUGCGUCCGAGAUCUAAAUUUAAUCAAACGAUUGUUCGGCCAAGCAAGGAACCUCCUCAUAGUCUAGGUUCUUUCACUACCUCGGGUCAAGGCUUUAUGUGAACGACCAAAUGAUGUGAAGUGGGUGGAGAUGAAGAUUGAAGGUGAAACGUAAUGAAAUGAAGAACAAGUGCGCAAAGUAAAGGUGCUUAAACUUGAAUAUAAUUUAAAGACAAAUGCGUAAAGUAAAAUACGAAAGAUAAAUAACGUAAAGACGAGAAUUAAAGUGCGACAAAAUAAAUCAAAGUGAUAAGUAAAGCAAGAACGAAAUGAAAGCGAUAAGAACGAUAAAGUAAAAUGAACUUCAAAUUAAACUUAAUUGAAUUGCGAUAACAAUGAAAAGUAAAGCAAUUGAAAUAAACUUGAAUUUAAAUGACAAGAAAAUAUAAAUUGAACAAGAAUUUAAACUUACACUAAGAAAAGGAAGAACUCGCUACACUAGGUACAUGAAAAGUAAAAUCCUAAGUCUAUGAAAAGAAAAGUGCAAGACGAAAAAUAAGUUUGUCUGUCUGAUGUUGUGUGUCUUCUGCCUUCGUUUGGUGAGGUUUAUAUAGGGCUUCCGUCAGCCCAUGGGCUGGCCAUUGAAUGGCCAAAUGUCAACUCUUUUAAAACUCUUUCCUUUUGAAGCCCCUUGAAUUUGUGGGAUCACAUUGAUGGAAAUAUUCUGAUUGCUUGAUUCUCUCAUGUUUUGGAGUAUGCUGAACUAUCAUCAAUUUCCUUGAUUUGUUUCCUUGUGAGGCCUCCAUCACAUUCACAUUGACCUAUGGAAAUCUUAGGCGUGAAUCCGUGGCUUGGGCAUUGACCUCCAUGAUUUCAUCUUGACAUCUGGUGGAACCUUGUGCCCCUUGAGUUUUUAGAAUUCUAGAGUUGGUUUACCAUCUGUCAACCAUCUCCCAAGAUGGGUGGUAUGAGAACUCCAGAUAUUUGGAUGUUGGGCUUGGCUCUACGUUGGAUUAUAUUUGAGUUCUCAAAUAUUCGAAUAUUGGGAACUCGGUGGACAUACCUCCAGCCGAACUUCAACUCCCUUGGCCCAACUUUGCUUGUCCAAGUGUUGAGAGGAGGGCGCCAAGGUGCACAAGGAGAAAAUUCACCCCAGCCCAGCUUUUGGUAAGAGGAGUGGCCUACCAAGGUAUUUAAGGAGUGUCCGGCCCAACUUUUUGAGAAUGAAGCAUUCGGCCACUUUUGCAAGGAUACGCCCGGCUACUUUUGCAAGGAUACGCUCGACUAUAUUUUUGACAAGGCACCACGCUAGGAAUUCUUGGCUUCUAGGAAUUCUUCGGCUGCUAGGAAUUCUCGGCCGCUAGUAAUUCUUCGGCAGCUAGGAAUUCUUCUGCAGCUAGGAAUCCUCCGGCCCCUAGGAAUUCUCCGGUCACUAGGAAUUCUUCGCCCACUAGUAAUUCUUCGGCUGCUAGGAAUUCUCGGCCGCUAGGAAUUCUCGGCCGCUAGGAAUUCUUCACCCUCUAGGAAUUCUUCAGCCGCUAGGAAUUCUUCCUUAGCAAAUUGGGUGAAUUUUGACCACCCCAAACAGUGUUCUUAGGAUUUCUUCCCUAUUUCUCUCCCUGUUUCAGCUUUUCAUACUGUAUUGUGAAAUGAAGGUUCUUGAAUAUGAAGUUAUUCGCUUUGAAAAUUCUUAGACAACGAUGUUGCAGUCAGCCUAUUAAUUAGUUUUGUCACUGAAGCAGCUCAUAUGACUCGUGACCAAGUCUCCUGCUUUAGAGAAGGACAGUUUGGUUGACAGUUCCCGUCAAGAGAGGAAACGAGGCAGGUACGAAGAAACUCUGGCAUUGACUCACUGAAGCCACCAUUAUUCUCCUUUUACUUGUUUGAUUACGAUAAUAAUCCACUUUGCUACAAUUCAGAAAAAUACUGGUUUAUUUUCUUAUAUUCAAAGAAUCAUGAAAACUUGUUCUCCUAGGAAUGGGGAGAGGAAACUACUUUUUCCAAUUCCCUCUUCAACAGUCAGCAGUUUGAGAAAGUUCCUUCCUCUUUCGUCCCGUUUACCAUUUGGGAACCAAGUAUUCUGCCAUUCAAAAUCCUGCUACUAUUCACCAUUUAUAAACAAGUAUCUUCUCAUGCCUUGAGCUGCAAACCUUCCGAGACCAAGAUAACAUGAUCAAGUGUCCUCCCUACCCUGUUUUUCUUCUCUUACUGUUCUUUAGGAUUUUCUUGGCCAUGGCACAAAACACAACCAUCCCAAUCAAUGUGGGGGUGGUUCUUGACUUCGAUUCCCGGUUAGGGAAAAUAGGGUUGAGCUGCAUCAACAUGGCCCUCUCUGACUUCUAUGCCUCUCAUUCUAACUACAAUACUAGACUGGUCCUGCACACAAGGGACUCCACGAGAGAUGUUGUUGUUGCAGCUGAUGCAGGUUCCCUCUCUAUUGAUCUUCUCUUUUUAAUGUUUUGCUUUUUGUUUCACCCAAAUAUUUUUUGAACCAUCAAUUUCUUUUUUAUUAUUUAUUAGCAUGUUAAAGGUAUCAUAUCUUGUUGAAGUACUUGCUGGGAAAAAGCGGCUUAGAUUAGAGUCAUGCUUGUAAUACGUCAUUGGAUUCGUAAUUGAUACACAAAGAAUUAAAAUAUCAUCAGAGUGUAACUUAACUUAAAACUCUCACCUUUGAAACAGCGCUAGACUUAAUAAAGAAUGUUGAAGUGCAAGCCAUCAUAGGGCUAAAAUCAUCAAAGCAAGCCAACUUUGUAAUUGAUCUUGGAGAUAAAGCUCAAGUGCCCAUAAUGUCAUUUUCAGCAACAAGCCCUUCUCUGCGGGGUUCAUAUUUUUUCCGAAUUGCACAGAAUGACUCAUCUCAGGUUAGAGCCAUAAGUACCAUCAUCCAAGCCUUUGGUUGGAGUGAGGCAGUGCCCAUCAGCGUGGACAAUGAGUUUGGGGAGGGAGUGAUACCUUACCUGACUACUGCUUUGCAAGAAGUAGGUGCCCGUAUCCCUUAUUGGAGUGUCAUUCCUUCAAAGGCCACUGAUGACCAAAUUGUUGCAGAGCUUUACAGGUUGAUGUCAAUGCAAACCAAGGUCUUCAUAGUGCACAUGUUGCCUUCUCUAGGCUCUCGGUUUUUUGCCAAGGCAAAAGACAUUGGCAUGAUGGAGGAAGGUAAUGUUUGGAUAACGACGAAUGGGAUGGCUAACUCUUUCAGUACCUCCAGCUCUUCUGUCGACAUAGAUAACAUGCAAGGGGUGUUAGGUUUAAAGACUUAUGUUCCAAACACAAAAGAUCUUGAAAAUUUUAGAGCUAGAUGGCAAACAAAAUUCCAACAAGACAAUCCAACUAUCCUUAACGUUAAAUUGGAUGUUUUUGGACUUUGGGCUUAUGAUGCUGCUUGGGCAUUAGCCCUGGCAGUUGAGAAGGUUGGGGGUACAAACUUCAGCUUCCGAAAGAUGAACGGUUCUCAUAAUUCCACUGAUCUGGGAAGCUUAGAGGUCUCUCAAGGCGGUCCUGAACUUGUCCGAGAGCUAUCAAGUACAAGAUUCAGAGGCAUUUCAGGAGAUUUCAGUCUUAUUAAUGGGCAACUACAAUCAUCAACUUUUCAGGUAGUUAAUGUGAACGAUAAUGGGGAAAGAGGAAUUGGAUAUUGGACACCCCAAAAUGGACUUGUGAGGAACAUAAUUUCAACUAGAAACACAAACAGAUACUCUACUUCUAAUGCCAGUCUUGGACCUAUUAUAUGGCCUGGAGACACCACCUUGGCUCCAAGGGGCUGGCAGAUUCGCCCGAAUGGGACCAUAAAAGUUCUGGUCCCGGUGAAGGUAGGGUUUGAAGAAUUUGUAACUGUGAGACAUGAUUCUAGCACUAACACAACCAAGGUCACUGGAUACUGCAUAGAAGUCUUUGACGCUGUAAUAAAAGCAUUACCAUAUCCUGUUCCUUAUGAGUUUUAUCCCUUUGCAAAACCUAAUGGGAAGAUUGCUGGCAGGUACAAUGAUUUGGUCAAUCAAGUGUCUCUUGGGGUAUAACUUUUUUUCUUGCUGAUUUUUCACAUUUUAUUCUUAGCAAAAUUAUCCAAUGUUUUCACUUGAAACAUUGGCAUUUUCACUUGACAGAACUACGAUGCUGCAGUUGGAGACAUAACUAUUAGAGCAAACAGAUCCUUGUAUGUUGACUUCACAUUGCCAUUCACAGAAUCUGGGAUAUCAAUGGUGGUGCCUAUCAAAGGCAAACAUGACGCUAAAAGCACAUGGGUGUUCUUGAAGCCUUUGACAUGGGAUCUUUGGGUUACAAGCGGCUGUUUUUGCAUUUUCAUUGGUUUUGUGGUCUGGUUUCUUGAACAUCCAAUAAACGAAGACUUUCGUGGGUCUCCACAUCACCAAAUUGGCACAAGCUUUUGGUUCGCCUUCUCAACCAUGGUUUUUGCACACCGUAAGCUCCCUUCAUGUCAAACUAUUUUCUAGUCUUUAUUGGUGAUUAAUGCUUUGUAGAACCACUUGUCCAACUAACCAAAACUACUCAAAACCCAAUUGGAAAAAUGAGCUUGUGUACCGUUUACAUAUUCUAUGACUCAUGGCCUUCCAUUUCUGUUUUCUUUUGAGUUUUUCUAACAGGGGAACGAGUAGUGAGCAACUUGGGUAGGUUUGUAGUGAUCAUAUGGUGCUUUGUUGUCCUGGUACUGACACAAAGCUACACUGCCAGUUUAUCAUCAAUCUUAACAAUUCAACAGCUCCAACCAAUAGUUACUGAUGUGAAUCUUCUCUUGAAGAAUGGGGACAAUGUUGGCUACCAAGCAGGUUCUUUUAUUUAUGAGAUUUUGAGCCAGCUAGGAUUUCAGGAUGAUAAACUUAGAACUUAUAGGUCCGCAGAAGAAUUGGAUGAACUUUUUCGAAACGGGAAUGAAAAUGGAGGUAUUUCUGCAGCGUUUGAUGAAACCCCCUAUAUGAAACUUUUUCUUGCAACCUAUUGCUCAAAAUAUACCCUUGUUGAGCCAACAUUCAAAGCCGAUGGUUUUGCCUUUGUAAGUUGAUCACUUGCUGUUUUUCUCUUUCUCUAUCAGACCCUCUCUGGCUUUCUCUCGUUUAAUACAUGUUUUCUGAUGUGGGAUUUUUUUUCUUCUUCUCUUUUUGACCUGCAGGUCUUCCAAAAAGGUUCACUUCUGACACUAGAUGUUUCAACGGCAAUCACUCAAGUGCACGAGGGAGAUAAAAUGAAGGCCAUCGAGGCCAAGUGGUUCAAGAAAAAAGCAAGCUGUUCAAACCCCAACACGGCUGGCUCUUACGACACUCUUAGCCUUGAUAGCUUUUGGGGCCUCUUCAUUGUUGCUGGUGUUGCUUCAUCACUAUCUCUCCUCAUAUGUGUAGCUAUGUUCCUCUAUGAGCAUGGCCACAUCUUGACAUGCAUUGAUUCAAAAGCCUCAUUUCGGACAAGAAUUCGUGAAGUACUAAGAGCAUAUGAUCAAGAAGACAAGAAAAGCAAAAAAGAUAGUGUUCAAGGAAUCGCUGCGGUUGAAUCUUCACCGAACACCAACUGUCUCUGCCUCAGAAGGCCAUCAAGAUCAAGGCACCCAAAUAAGAUUAUACCAGAAAUCGUUCUUGAAGAGCAAGGAACAACUUGUACUCAGCAUAGUGAGUUGAAUCCGAAUGUUCAAGCAACCCAAGAAAUUGAAUGUGCUAUCGAGUUAACGGCUAUGACAUAAAUCAUGGAAUCUUGCUAUGGUUUGUUUGAAGCUUAAUUUGUAGUUUAAAUCUUUAUUGUGUAGUAUAUAAGAUGUAUGCAUGCAGCAGUGGUUUUGAUGUUUCUUGGUUACGAGGGUAACGAGCCUAAUUUAUAUAAGAUAUGACGGUAGCGUAAAUAAAAUGUCUUACAUUGCUAAUUAUGAUAUUAAUACAUGAUUUAGUAACUUUAAUGAAUCUAUUAACAAGAUACAUAAUUAGUAAUCACUAAUCGAGGUUUACAACCAGCUGUGAGAGGAAGAUGAAGACUGAUUUUGGGAAGCGUAGGGUAUGAAUGAUAUAUUAUGGGGAAUGUUGCGCAUGUGGCGUGGUUUGGAGGUGAUAACAGCAAGGAUAUGGGGGAGAGAGUGGUAAUUUUAGAUUUUUAUUUCUGAGAAAUGGUCAAUUGAAAACUCAUAAACUCACUUCACAAAAAUAGUAGGGUAGGAGCAGCUAUCCAAGCACACAAGGUCCACUGCUUGAAUUGCCUUUCUCACAGAAGGUCCAGUGUCCGAAUCCCCUCUCCUCUAAUAUCGCUUGUAUCUAUCUACAUUGAAAUAGCAGUGCAUGAUUGUCAUGGAUAUCGCCACAGCAGAAUACAUGUUGCAUGCAAUUUCUUCUCCUCUUCGCCGGUGGAGUCCUUUCUCCAUCCUGCUUGUUUCUCAAUCUGACUGCUCUGCCUCAGUAAAGGAUCGAAUGGUUCAGAAACAACAAGAAUGUUUGGAAUUGGAGGUAUGCAAGUUUGCAUUUUAGCCUUGCCCUUCUACUUUUUCCAUACUCUGCCAUAUAUCUAUUCUUGCUUGAGAUGAGAGUAGAAAAUCUUCUUAAUCAGAUCUUAAUGUUUAGGCUAAUCGUACCAAUUCUCUGUUGUGUGUUAAAACUAGCUUACCUGUGACAAAACUACUAGUUUAUUCACAAUUCAUCGGUUCUAGAAUUUGUUUUUUAAGGUGUAAAAUUCUAAAAUUUGUUAUUGAUAUGCUCCCUUACCCAUGAAUGCCAAGAAAGAAACCUAGCCCUUCUGGCUCUUUCUUGUAUCUAAAAUAAAAAAUGUAAAUUCAUUACUGUAGGAUGUAAUUAACUUAAAUUUGUAAUGCCAUGUAUCUUUGUGGUAUUUUGUUUGAAUUUGCAGAUGCAAAGAAUGCCAAGAAACCUAGCCCUGCUUUAGAGUUGAAGCCUGAAGGCUUCUCCUCUCCUGCAGACAGUUACAUUAAGGGUGGGCAAUGUGCAUAGUCUUGAGCAAAUGGUCUUCAACGCCCCCUGAAGCGACUAUGUUGGAGCUGGGGGAUGGAUUGGAGGUGAAGGUACCAAAAGAGUUGAAACUUGAGUUGUUUGGCUUUCAUCCCCAUAAGACCUGAAGCUUUAUGAAUAGUCAAUCACAUUUUUUACCAUUUCCAAUUACAACUGACUGAGCAAAAACCAGAAGUCAUAUUACCUUUCUGAUAAGGUAUUCUUAGGAUUUCUUCCCUCUUUCUACCCCACAGUGCAGAAGUCCCCAAAUCAUAAAAGCCUUUCUCGUUGGUAGAGUGGGCCCCCAGUUGGCUUGGGUUCAAGCUUUUGAUAUGGUCUUCCUCUCAGCUUUUCUUACUGUGGUGAAAUGAAGAUUCUGGUAUGAACCUAUUUGCAAAGGAAAACAACUAAUACAUAUUAAAUGUUGCAUUGAGCUUAUUAAUUAGUUUUGUCAAAUUGUCACUGAAGCAGGUCAUUUGACUCGUGACUAAGUCUCCUGCUUUUGAGGGGGACAGUUUGGUUGACAUUUUGGGUCAAGAGAGGAAACGAUGCAAGUACGAAGAAACUCUGCCAUUGAGUCAAUGAAGUCACCAUUGUUCUCCUUUUACUUCUAUGAUUACUAUAAUAAUCCAGUUUGCUACUCUUCAGAAAAAUAAUUCAGUAAGGCACAUUUUCUAUCUAAAAUACUGGUUUCUUUUCUUAUAUUCAAAGAACCAUGAAAGCUUGUUCUCUUAGGAAUGGGGGAGGAAACCACCAUUUCCCAUUCCCUCAUCAGCAAUCAGCAGUUUGAGAAAGUUCCUUCCUCUUUCCUCCCAUUGACCAUGGGGAACCAAACCAAGUAUUUUGCCAUUCGAAAUCCUGCUACGAUUCACCAUUUAUAAACAUGUUUCUUCUUCCUCAUGCCUUGAGUUGCAAACCUUUCAAGAUAUUCAAACAUGACCAAGUGUCCUCCUAACCCUGUUUUUCUUCUCUUCCUAUUCUUUAGGAUUUUCUUGGUCAUGGCACAAAACACAACCAUCCCAAUCAAUGUGGGUGUGGUUCUUGACUUAGAUACCCAGUUUGGGAAAAUAGAGUUGAGCUGCAUCAACAUGGCCCUCUCUGACUUCUAUGCCUCUCAUUCUAACUACACUACUAGACUGGUCCUGCACACAAGGGACUCCGCGAGAGAUGUUGUUGUGGCAGCUGAUGCAGGUUCUCUCUAUUGAUCUUCUCUUUUAAUGUUUUGCUUUUUUUUUCACCCGAGUAUUUUUUAACCAUCAAUUUCUUUUUUAUUUUUUAUUAGUUAGCAUGUUAAAGGUAUCAUAUCUUGUUGAGGUACUUGCUGGGAAAAGCGGCUUAGAUUAAAGUCAUGUUUGUAAUACUUCAUCGGAUUCAUAACGAAUCAUCAAUUGAUGCACAAAGAAUUAAAAUUGCAUCAGCGUGUAACUUAACUUAAAACUCUCAUCUUUGAAACAGCGCUAGACUUAAUAAAGAAUGUUGAAGUGCAAGCCAUCAUAGGGCUAGAAUCAUCAAUGCAAGCCAACUUUGUAAUUGAUCUUGGAGAUCAAGCUCAGGUGCCCAUAAUCUCAUUUUCAGCAACAAGCCCUUCUCUCCGGGGUUCAUAUUUUUUCCGAAUUGCACAGAAUGACUCAUCUCAAGUUAAAGCCAUUGGUGCCCUCAUCCAAGCGUUUGGUUGGAGAGAAGCAGUGCCCGUCAGCAUCGACAAUGAGUUCGGGGAGGGACUAACACCUUACCUGACUACUGCUUUGCAAGAAGUUGGUGCUGGUAUCCCUUAUUGGAGUCUCAUUCCUUCAAUGGCCACUGAUGACCAAAUUAUUGAAGAGCUUCACAGGUUGAUGUCAAUGCAAACCAGGGUAUUCAUAGUGCACAUGUCGCCUUCACUUGGCUCUCGGUUUUUUGCUAAGGCAAGAGACAUUGGCAUGAUGGAGGAAGGUAAUGUUUGGAUAACGACAAAUGGGAUGACUAACUCUUUUAGUUCCUCCAGUUCUUCUGUCGACAUAGAUAACAUGCAAGGGGUGUUAGGUAUAAAGACUAAUGUUCCAAACACAAAAGAACUUGAAAAUUUUAGAGCUAGAUGGCAAACAAAAUUCCAACAAGACAAUCCAACUAUCCUUAACGUUAAAUUGGAUGUUUUUGGACUAUGGGCUUAUGAUGCUGCUUGGGCAUUAGCCCUGGCGGUUGAGAAGGUGGGGGGUACAAACUUCAGCUUCCAAAAGAUGAACAGUUCUCAUAAUUACACUGUUUUGGGAAGCUUAGAGGUCUCUCAAGGCGGUCCUGAACUUGUCCGAGAGCUAUCAGGUACGAGAUUCAGAGGCCUUUCAGGAGAUUUCAGUCUUAUUAAUGGGCAACUACAAUCAUCAACUUUUCAGGUAGUUAAUGUGAACGAUAAUGGGGAAAGAGGAAUUGGAUAUUGGACACCCCAAAAUGGACUUGUGAGAAACAUAAAUUCGAACAGAAACACAAACAGAUACUCUACUUCUAAUGCCAGUCUUGGACCUGUUAUAUGGCCUGGAGACACCACCUUGGCUCCAAGGGGCUGGCAGAUUCGCACGAACGGGACCUUAAAAGUCCUCGUCCCAGUGAAGCAAGGAUUUGAAGAAUUAGUAAGUGUGGUACAUGAUCAUAGCACUAACACAGCGAAGGUUACUGGUGGAUACUGCAUAGAAGUCUUUGAUGCUGUAAUAAAAGCAUUACCAUUUCCUGUUCCUUAUGAGUUUUAUCCCUUUGCAAAUCCUAAUGGGCAGAGCGCUGGCAGUUACAAUGAUUUGAUCAAUCAAGUGUUUCUUGGGGUAGACCUCGCAUUCUAUGCUUUCUUUUUCUUUUUUCCUUUUUUGCUGAUAUUCACAUUUCAUUCUAGCAAAAUUAUCCAAUUUCUUCACUGACACAUUGGCAUUUUUACUUGGCAGAACUACGAUGCUGCAGUUGGAGACAUAUCUAUUAGAGCAAACAGAUCCUUGUACGUUGACUUUACAUUGCCAUUCACAGAAUCUGGGAUAUCAAUGGUCGUCCCCGUCAAAGGCAAUGAUGGCGGUAAAAACACAUGGGUGUUCUUGAAGCCUUUGACGUGGGAUCUCUGGGUUACAAUCGGCUGUUUUUUUAUAUUCAUUGGUUUUGUGGUCUGGUUUCUUGAACACCGGAUAAACGAAGACUUUCGUGGGCCUCCACAUCACCAAAUUGGCACAAGCUUUUGGUUCGCCUUCUCAACCAUGGUUUUUGCACACCGUAAGUUCCACGCUUUCUAUUAUAUAUAUAUAAUUUAUGUCUCUGUCUUAAAACUCAAAACCCAAAUGGUAAAAUGAGCUUUGCUUACUGUUUACAUAUCUUAUGACUCAUUUCUGUUUUCUCUUGAAUUUUUGUAACAGGGGAACCAGUAGUGAGCAACUUGGGUAGGUUUGUAGUGAUCAUAUGGUGCUUUGUUGUCCUCGUACUGACUCAAAGCUACACUGCCAGUUUAUCAUCAAUCUUAACAAUUCAACAGCUCCAACCAAUCGUUACUGAUGUGAACCUUCUCUUGAAGAAUGGGGACAACGUUGGUUACCAAAAAGGCUCUUUUAUUUAUGGGAUUUUGAGUAAGCUAGGGUUUAAGGACGAUAAACUUAGGACCUAUAAUUCCGUAGAAGAAUUAGAUAAACUUCUUCAGAACGGGAAUGAAAAUGGAGGUAUUUCUGCUGCUUUUGAUGAAACACCCUACAUGAAACUUUUUCUUGCAACCUAUUGCUUGAAAUAUACCCUGGUCGAGCCAACAUUUAAAGCCGAUGGAUUUGCCUUUGUAAGUUGAUCACUUGCCGUUUUUCUCUCUGGCUUUCUUUCUCCCGUUUAGUUUAGUACAUAUUUUACUGAUCUGGGAUUUUUCUUUUUCUUCUCUCUUCUUUUUGAGUGUGACCUGCAGGUCUUCCAAAAAAGUUCACUUCUUACGCGUGAUGUUUCGACGGCAAUCACUCAAGUGCACGAGGGAGAUAAAAUGAAGGCCAUCGAGGACAAGUGGUUCAAGAAAACAGCAAGUUGUUCAAACCCCAACACCGCGAGCUCUUACAACACUCUUAGCCUUGAAAGCUUUUGGGGCCUCUUCAUUGUUGCUGGUGUUGCUUCAUCAUUAGCUCUCCUCAUCUUUGCAGCCAUGUUCCUCUAUGAGCAUAGCCACAUUUUGACAUGCGUUGAUUCAAAAGCCUCAUUUUGGACAAGAAUUCGUCAAGUACUAAGAGCAUAUGAUCAACAAGACAAGACUUGGCAUGCUUACAAGAAAACCAGAAAAGAAGAUGGUGUUCAUGGAAUUGCUGCGGUUGAAUCUUCACCAAACACCAACUGUCUCUGCCUCAGAAGGCCAUCAAGAUCAAGCAAACCAAAUCAAAUUGAACCAGAAAUUGUUCUUGAAGAGCAGCAGGGAACAACUUCUACUCAGCAUAGUGAUUUGAAUCCGAAUGCUAUAGAGUUAAACGGCUAUCACAUAAACCAUUAAAUUUUGCUUUGGUUUGUUUGGCCAGAUUCUCGUAAGGGUUUUUGUGAAGCUGAAUUUGUAUUACAAGUCUCCAUUGUGGUGGAGUGUACAUAUUGUAUAUGAGUUUCUAUUAGUUGAUAAUGUUGUGGACAAAAAUUGCAUCAUAGAGCCUCAGAAAGCUUCAAAGAAUGAUCUCCUUGUGGUUUUUUUUUUUUUUUUUUUGGGUCACUUCGGUUUGGGUAUCUGGAUACUUGAUUGCCGUAUGUAUGCUUAUCAGUAGUUUAGCACUUAGAUUACUUAUUAUAUCAUGAUAGUGUAAGGUUGCCUUGAGAUACUGUAACAAUUACAUCUUCGUUGUAUGGAAGUUCUAACUUCUUCGCAAGUUUCAAGGCCAGUGGAGAAUUCCUCUUCUUCUUCUUUUUUGGUUCAAAGUGGAGGAUUCUCUGCAUCAGUAAAGGAUCGAAUGGAACAGAAAAAAGAUGAAUGUUUGGACUUGGAGGUAUGCAAGUUUGGAUUUUAGCCAUGCCCUUCUACUUUUUCCAUACUCUGCUAUUCGAUUCUUGCUUGAGAGUAGAAUUUUCUUAAUAUGUUUUCAAUGUUUGAAGUUACUCAUACAAAUUAUGUUGUGUCACAAUUCAUCGGUUCUGAAACUUGGUAUUAAUAAGUUUCAAACAUAGAAAGAAAAAUGAAAUUUUUAUUGAUGAUUUGUAGUAAUUCUUUUGCAUGUGUAUCAAUGUAAUUAGGGUACGACGGUAGGUAGCUUAAUACGGGCCCCAAACCUCAUGGCCGGUCCUUACAUUGCUCUGCCCUGUUGCUUAGUUAAACAAAAGUUAAUGAUCUUUUACAGAAUUUAGUAAUAAAUCUAUUAACAAGAAGCACCGUAAAUUUUUACAAACACUAGUACGUUCAAAUUCACUACAAAAAUACUACUCUCUCACUGUACAAAGGCUUUGAAUUGAUGGAGAUAGCUGCGCUCGUAGCGCUUUAAAUGUUCAAUCCAAAUGGAUAAUCUUGUGAUGCGGCCAUCCCAGCGUGCCGACACUCGGAUGUCUCCCAUUCCCGGCAAUGCUACUUGUGAUCUGCCACAAAACCAUUUCAAAAUUGUCCUGAAUGGAAGUAGCUCUGCGUGUGAGAUGCUGAUGCUUCAGAGUUAAGUUCUUUUAAAGAUCCUCAGUAGGAAAAGACUUCAAAUUCUGAGUCUUCUUCAACUUCAGUGUGAAAAAUGAAACUUGGAAAUACCACGGUGAUGUCCCUAGAGGAUGUGGUUAGCGAAGCAAGUCAGUAAAAAAUUUAACAAUAUUAGAUAUCAUGAAAAGGAGCCAUAGGUUCAAACACAAGUCAGAUUGUAACUGGAAAAUAAAGGUGAGAUUGGAUGUUUGCAUAUCGCAGAAUAGGAUAGCAUCUAAAGAGACACAGGCAAGUUACAUACUUCAAAUAAGGAAGAGUCAUGUUUUUCAAAAGGGUUGGAUGUCGAAACACAAAAGCCUUCCAGUCUUCUUUGCUAAUUUUACCAUCUUUGUCAGCAUCAGCGUCGGCAAAUGUCUGCAAGGCAAUUGAAGAUGCCGUGAGUACUAAAUUCUCCACAAGCUCUGAUUACCACCCAGUAAAACAACAUCCAAACUUACACAACUACGUACUGCUUACCUUAUCAAUGAUAGACUCAAGAAGAUCAUCUGACAAUUUCAAGUCAGAUUCCAUCAUUAUGGCAAUCACCAUUUGCUUAACCUGAAACCAAACAGAGGCCACUUGGUUUAAAUAAUAUCGUGUCUGCGUUCGUAAGUACCCAUAAAAACAUAAAUUUCCUCGGAGACUUAGGCAGUAAAAAAUAGUACAAGACUCACUUCUUCUCGCUCAAUGAACCCGGUUUGUCUCAGAUCAUAGAGCCUAAAUGCAACUGCAAGUAAUUAACAAACAAGAAACGUAAGAUAACGAGAAAGACGCACACCAUUUAGCAUUGCCUUUUAUAGCAGUAAGACUUACAAUCAAUUUUAUCAUCUAUAGGGGCAUAUGGAUGGAAGACAUUGAGUGCAUGAACAAACUCAUCAAAUUCAAUGACACCAUUUUUCUUUUCAUCAAAGAGAUCAAAAACCUAGAAGAGCAAAAACCAGUUCGUGUAAGUAGAGUUGCAGGGAAUUAUAUAUAUAUAUAUAUAUCCUAGUCAGUGGUUCAAGAUGUUGGUAUGAAGCAUUUACCCUGUCCAGGAAAAGAUUUUCACCAUAGGGAGUUCUGAAUAGUGCUAAUUGAAGCUCUUCCUGCAACACAAUCAUCAUCCAAAUAAUCAUUACAAUGCAUGAAACUAAAAAGAAACAGUUUGAAUGAUUCAGAGAAAUUUGGCUGACCUUAUGAAUCGAUCCGUCGUCGAUAAUUGAACUACUCAGCUUCUUAAACAGCUCAUACAAUGCCUCCAGCUCAUUAACGGUAACUGCAUCAUCAUUUCAUGCAAGUAAGCAGCACAAACAGCAUUCAAAAUUACUAUUCAUUUCUUUCUUCUUCUCUUUUUCCCAAAAUCCCCAAAGCAAAAGGAAAUAAUUCACAAUUCGAAGUUCUGCAUAAAUAUAGUUUUCUUAAUCUUCUGAAUUUUUUUUUUAUAAAUAUUCCAUACAUCUGGUUUCAUUGGCGAGGACAGACAUAUCGCCCAAAGCGAAACGGCAUUUGGUUUCGCGCGGACGGUAGCUGAAGCAAUCGGUCACAGCAAAAACCAACACCUCUAUGAUUGCUAUAAACGGUAUAAAUGCCACGCAGAUACGCUCGCCCAAUGAUAAAGAACUCGAUCUCUGGCCAACCCCAAAAAAUUACAAAAUAAAAUACGAUUAAUGAUGCUUAAUUCAUCGGAAAAUAUAAACAACGGGAAAUGAAAAUUCGGCCAUUUUUACUUUUACCGAGAAAUCCAUUGUUGUCUGCAACAACUGAUCAGAUCGAGGCUGCUACUUCUUGAGCUUUGUUGCUUUGUGCUUUCCGAUUAAAUAUGUCCGCAUCUACACCGGAGAGCUUCGUGAGGCGUCUUCUUCUCUCUCGCUGCGUGGAUUGUACAUUUCGUUUCAAAGACGGACAGAGAAGAGGGCGCACGAGAACGCGGGAAUAAGUAAACCACGAAGCUUCGGUUUUAUCUGUGAAUAAAUGGACCCCACCAAGCCAAACCAACUGUUUAUUCUAAUCCGACCUCGCCGUGACCGUGAGUGCUCUUGCUCUUGAGCUAGAUUCUGACACUUGGAUUUCUGAUUGGCUCUGUAGCCCUUGCUUCCAUGUGACGCGGCAUGACACGACACCUCGCGAGGUCUGAGCCUAUGAAAAAUAUAGAGCCAUCUUAUUAAUUCUUGCGGUAAUAUUUUUCCUCCAUAAUGCUCAAUCAUAUUUCAAGUUUGGUUCCCAUUUUGUCAAAUAUCAAUGAGAAAAAGGACUAAUGUUUGGAUAACGACGAAUGGGAUGACUAACUCUUUUAGUUCCAAACACAAAAUUCCAACAAGACAAUCCAACUAUCCUUAACGUUAAAUUGGAUGUUUUUGGACUAUGCUUAUGAUGCUGCUUGGUCAUUAGCCCUAGCGGUUGAGAAGUUUGGGGGUACAAACUUCAGCUUCCAAAAGGUUUUAGGCAUGAACCCCACUAUCUUUUACUCUUUUUGCAACUGACAUCUGUAACGACCCGGUCCUAAAUAAAUUAAUAAAUAUUAUUUUAUUCAGAGAAAAUACCAUUUUGCCUAUAGAAUAUUUUAUUAGGUUUAAAGUUAACUUUUUGACCGGGAAGGAAUUUGGGAAUUCCAACUGUACCGUUACGUAGAGCACGGCGAGAUGAGUCCGUAGACACGUAGUGUGCCCGAAUCGGAGUUGUAACGAAAAAGAUAUUAUCAAAACACCCUCAAUGGCACAAUCGUAAAUAUUGCGAAAAAAGUUUGAUAAAAUCUGAUUAUUUUUUUUUUUGGGAUUGUUCAAAUUACAAGGGAGACUCUGCCAAAAUUUUGCUGGAAGUCUCGGUCUUUAGUAAGUGGGCCCGGCAUCAGAGUGAUGUCGGAAUUUCCACAGGAUUCGUCUCGAAUUUCAGGGAAUUCGGGGCGGGUCCUGUCAACAUAUCCUUUAAAAAUGCUCUAAUUUAUUAUAUUUUAAUCGAGAAGAUGAUCGAACUCGAGUGUAUGAAAUAUAGUCACUUUUAUACUAAGGUUUAAUUGAUCGUUUUUAUUUUUAAUACUAAUUUAUUGGAGGAAUUAAUUAUUUCCAACACCCAUACGCACUUUCACUUGUGAAAAUCCUGAAGUUUACCAAUUCAGCCGAUCACAUCAGCUUUCCUCAUCUUAGGAAGGCAGCCAGGUUUGUUUCAUUUAUUGGUCUUUCUUUAUCUUAGAAAGGCAACUAUAUUUGUUAAUUUUUCGGAUUGUUGUUUAAUAGUUUAAUGGGCAUGUGAUGAUGUGAUUUACACACAUUGAUCAAAUUAAAGAAUAAUGCAACUACAUUAUUAACGAUUGCGUAUAAAACUCCAUUUGCCAAUAUGAUUACUUGAUUGUGGUUGUUAUGACACCAUCAUGGUCUUAUUCAAAUGGAUAUAAAUUCUCAAGCGAAACUAGAUUUUUGAAGAAGACUUUGUAUCGAUUCCUAGUACUGAACUUUCAGAUUCUUCUUCUUAAUUAUUGGCAAAAAAUUAUUAAGAUUGUUAAGCAACCGCAUGGAUUUUCCAAGAUUCCAAAAAUGUCAAUGUCCUCCUUAAAAUUUGAUGAAACAUAUAAAAAGAGGAAGAUAUUACAUCUAAAGUUAUUACUUUCACACGAGGUAUUAUCUAGAUGUUAUUAUUAUGUAGACCCCAUAAUAAAUAAAGAUGAAAGCAAAGAGGGAUACACAAGAUUUGCACAAUAAUAACAUCUCCGGAUAUCGCAUAAGAGAAUUUUCAUAUAUAUAUAUAUAUAUAUAUAUAAUAGGUUAUAGAUUUGGACACAUGGACCUUUCUGUCAAGCACAUGAAACUUUUUGCCCAUAUUUGUAUAACUCAGUUUAUAGGAUGGCCUAAUAUCACGUGUGGCCUUGGGUUGUGCCUGACAACAUUUGUUAAUGUAACUCCAUAUAUAGUUUCUCCUGACAAAAUACAAAACUCCAUAUAGGAAAAAUAAGGAGAGGGUGAUGAUUUGAAAGGGGAUUUACAGAAAAAUUUCCAUUCUUAUUUGAGUACCUAGGGAGGAAAGGAUCUCGAGCGUAGAACGAGAAGAGUAAAGUAAGAAAUAAGAGUUAUAUUGGCUUGCAGACCUUAUUGGUUGUGAUAUUGAUCUUACAGGAGAACGAAAUCAAAGAAUAUAUAGACUUUAAUGUCAAAUGUUUCACGAAAAAAAACAUUCAUAGAAAAAUGAAUUUCAAAUAAUGUAUUCUUAUCGUUUUUCUUUCUUGACUUUUUUAGCUAGGCAGGAUUAGAAACGUAAAAAAGCUACCAUACUCAACUUGAAGGGAAAAAAAACAAAUUAUACAAAUUAUUGGGUUUAUUGAUAUCUACUAGGCGAAACAGUACAGAUCUACCAGAAGCUCAAUCUUGCCUAGGCAAUAAGUCACCUGUAUUCCAAUAAAAUAUAUAUAUAUAAAAAGUCACCUGUAUUAUUUAGUCCUUUAAAAAAUCUUUUCAGAAGGUAGCUCUCUCUCUCUCUCUCUCUCUCUCUCUCUCUCUUCGCAUUCAUUGAGCAAUCAAGGCACAACCCUACUUUGGACUCUUCCUAGUUCAUCAUCCAGCAUCAAGCUUGAGAGAGAGAUAGGAGUAGCCUCGUAAUUAUGAAGCCCCAAGGGUAACUCAUACCCCAAAUUAGCAAGGUGAUCCGCUGCUCUGUUUUGCUCCCUGUAGAUAUGAGAGACGUUGCAUCUCCAAUCACGAUUAAGUAACAACUUGUAGUCUUCAAUCAGACUUGAGCAAUCAUUUUCAGAUGUGCUGAAACUCAACAAUGAUAUAUUCAAUCACUUUAGCCCUGAUCCCAUUUAGACAUUUACGUUGCAGUAAAAAAUUAAGACACAUUAACUUGUAAACACCAUCAACUAUACAAAAGAAUAGAGAAUCCUAUAUUGCUUAUGGAAGCAAGAUCUGUUUUUGCUUCCUCAGUUUGACAUUGCAUUGCAUCGAGAUAGAGUCUCAUCUGUCAUACAUUUUUAUAUCAUAUGUUUCUCGACUUCAAAAACAUCGAAUCCUGGUGGUUUAUAUUUUUGGAAAUCAAAUCAAUAUGUACUUCACCAAUGAGGCAUGCAAUACAUUGAUUAUAGAUUGAAUUGAAGCAUGUGCGCAGGUAAAUGAGUGAAUUUAUUUGUCAUUCUUCUCUCAUGACUCUUAUUAUUGGCAUGAAUAUAUUAUUUUUUAGUAGCAGAUCAAUUUUGGUUUCAUGGUUGGUGAUGAUUAAGAAUUAGGUUUCUUGACAGGUCAAUAGAAAAAUGUGAGAAUUUGAUAAGUUCUGAGGGAGAAAAAACAUGUCAUGCGUUUAAUGGUUAUUUGAAAAGUAGAAAAAUGGGAUAUUGGAGAAAACCAAAUUGAAUACAAGUGUUGAAUACCUUUUUUUUUUUUGGCUGAGAUGAAAUAUGAUAUGACCAACAAAGAUUACUUGCUAGCGAUGAUGGGAGUAUUUGGCAACUUCACCACGGAAGGAAGUAGUGUUCCUUACUAGCAUAUUAUGUGUGUUAUGUCAGACACAUGAAACUUUUUGCCCAUAUUUGUAUAACUCAGUUUAUAGGAUGACCUAACAUCACAUGUAGCCUAGGGUUGUGCCUGACUACAUUUGUUAGUAACUCCAUAUAUAAUUUUUUCUGACCCACUAAAAAAAAAAAAAAAAAACCUCCAUAUAUAGUUUUAAUGUCUAAUAUUUCGAGAAAAAAAACAUUUGUCAGAAGACGUAAAAAAGCUACCAUACUUCAACUUGAAGGGGAAAAAAACAAAUUAUACAAAUUAUUGGGUUUAUUGAUGUCUACUCUAAUCCUAAUCCCUGAAACUAGAUCAUAGCUAAGCCACUUUCACCUAUAUCAAGAUAGAAUGAUUACGGCUUGGGCUCUAUAACUUUGUGAUGCGACUUGUAUCUAAAUUCAAUCUUUGAUAAAAUGUAUGUGCUCGAAUAUUUGACCGAUUAGUAACAACAAACAGCAAUAAUGUGUUUUUGAAAAAUAUAAUAUCAUUUUCAAAGGGUCCGUUUGAUAUCAUUUUCAAAUAGCGUGCUUUGAGAAUUUUGAAACUCUUUUAUUUUGAGUUGUAAGGUUCUCUUUCUUUUCUCUUGAUAGAUUGAUUGAAGCAAAGAUAAUUUUGGUACAUAUCCCCUAUCCUAUAAAAUUUUAUUGUUGUUAUCUGCGAAAUCGGCUAAGUGGAGAGAAAGCAUGAACCUUCCUCUUUUUUCUCUUUCAAACUCAGAUCAUUAUCAACACCAACCCCACCAUACAACUCUUCCUCAACUCCUUCCUCACAUCACAUGCAAGUAGCUUAGUUUAUUGAUAAAAAAAAAAAAACUUUGUAUAAAAAGUAAAAACAUGGAUUUAGGGAAUGCUCUGUUGAUGGAUGAGCCUUUGGUCUUAGAUAGCAAUGGAUGAACCUUCGACUAAGAUUGUCACACCCACUUCCUAGAUUCCUCUGUCAUGUUCUAGAGUUUUUCCUCUAAUUUACUUUCUUUCCCGUACGUAAUUUUACUUUUACCUUUUCUUUUUUAUCACUACUUUUAGUUACUAAAGGCUUUUGGUGUUCUCGAGAAAAACUUUGUUUCAAUGUUCAAUAGAGAUGACACUAUUUUGCUAUUAGCGGCCAAUAACAUUAUACCACGUAGAAAAAUUAUCAGAGCAUCCACAGUGAGGGGGUGUAUUUUCAGGGAUGUAAAGCCACUUUUACAUCCCCUUUACACCUCCGAGGGGUGUAAAUACGUUUUUUGCUCCAAUGGGAAACGAUGUAAAUCUAAGAUAUAUAAUUUUUCCUCUCUUUUCUCGGGUGGGUCCCGCCUACAAAUGAUGUAAAAAUAGAUGCAAAUGUGCAUUUUAUUUUACAUCUUCAUGGUGGUGAUGUAUGUUUACAAUCCUUUACAUCUCCUCAUUGGAGAUAAUUCCGGUGGCAAGGGGUGUAUAUUUAACAUACACCCUCUCAUUGUGGAUGCUCUCACGCAUGUCAUAGCGUUAUUGGUUGGAGAUAGCGAUAUCCCCAUUUUAUGCAAGUGUUUCUCCCUCUCACCGUAGCCUGAGACACAAAUUGGCUCAUCUUGCAAGCAACACACAUAAAAAGACUAGACUACCAAGACCCUCUAUAAAAAUAUUUGCCAUGAAAAUAUAUAUAUAUAUAUUGUCAAACUAUAAAUCAUAUACUGUUUAUUAAGUAAAAUGUGAAUCUUCGAUUUACAGUGAAUAAUUUAAGUGAUGAGAGUUGAGUGAAAAAAUGAGUUAGAAUUAGAUUAAGUCAGAAUUCAAGUCCAUUCUAUUGUAGGUGACCAAGAAAUCCCUUAACACGUGAUAGAAUAAGCUUGCAUAUUUAAGUUUUUUUUUUUUUGGAUAAGAAAAAAAAAAAUUACAAACAGAAACUACGCGGGCACACAGGCCCAAACAGGUCGAAAAAGAAAGGAACCGAACCAUUUAGAGUACAUUAUGUAUAAAAGGUACAAUCUCAAUAAAAUAAAAUAAAAAACCAAAAGUCAUUGUUCCCUUCCCAAUUAGAUUUUAAAAUCGUGGUAAAAGUCUUUAGUCUACCAUAUAAAUGCUACUAAAUUAGUAAAUUAGUAAAUCAAAAGCUGACCCAUUUAAUCUAAAAUCUUGUGCUUUACGCUAAAAUAUAUGUAAUUUAAUUUAUAAUAAUGGAGAAUGGCAAGCAAGAGGGAACAGAGAAGUACUUUUGGGAAGGUACAAUCACUGUCUGAUUAGACAGUAGAUGGAUGGAUGGAGAUAAGCAGCACCAGCAUCAUGUGAUAAAUCCAACACAUCAUGUCGUGUGGGGGUCCUCUUUCUUCCUCUGUUGUUUUUUAUGCUGUUUCUUUCCUUCUGUUUGAUAAGACUAUAGUCUGAGUGUGCCACUCACUCACUAGACUCCCUGAAUUCGUGUCAACGUGUCAACGUAUCAACGCCGUUAGAUUUUCCAAAUAAAGUUGUUAGGUUGUCUUUGUCAACACCUCCUCCUCCCACCCUUUCAUUUCUAUGCCAAAAUAUACACAGAAUUUACGGUCUCCUAUGGACAAAUACCGUACGUGCAUAAAAACCAAUCUUUAAAGGUCUGAACUUCUUUUAUUUAUGGAAAUCAUAAGACCUUAAGGGCUCGUUUGGUACACAAGACUGUCUUGGCAUGGACUAUGCUUAGGGACUGGCUUGGCUUGACUUGGCUUGGUCUAAGUUAGAUAACACUUAUCCUACGUUUGGUGUAUGCUUGGACUAGGACUAGAAUUUUUUUAUUUUUUCAAAAAUAUCUAUAUAUAUGUAUAUAUGUAUUUUAUAAUAUAUAAAAUAUAUAUGUAUAUAUACAUACAUAUAAUAUAUAUAUAUAGGUGUAUAUAUGUAUAUUAUAAUAUACAUGGGUAUAAUACAUAUACAUAUAUUUAUAUAUAUGUAUGUAUAUUAUAAUAUAAUAUAUAUAUAUAUGGGUAUGUUAUAAUAAUAAUAAUAAUAAUAUACAUGUAUAUACAUAUAUUAUAUAUGUAUGUAUAUAUACAUAUACAUUAUAUAUAUUAUAAAAUACAUAUGUAUAUUAUAAUAUAUAAUAUAUUAUACACAGAAUUUACGGUCUCCUAUGGACAAAUACCGUACGUGCAUAAAAACCAAUCUUUAAAGGUCUGAACUUCUUUUAUUUAUGGAAAUCAUAAGACCUUAAGAGCAUUUAUAAUGGGCUCUUUAAACUACAUUCUUAGACAAAUUUUAGGGAGAAAUUGUAAAAAUACAACUCCAAUCAUGCUCCAUAUCCACCUCUUAAAAUAAGGAGACUUCUAGGAGCUCCAAAAUCUUAGAAGAGAGAAAUGACUUUUAGUGGCUCCCUAUAAUUUAAUGUUGCUUUAUUUAAUGAGUAUUUUAAAUAUUUAUUUAAUGCUAACUAUAUUUUAUUUUAUUUUUUAAUAGAGAUGGACCAAUCAAAAAAGAGUUAUAAUAUUUAUGACUCCCUGAACUAGAGAGGAUUAUUGAAGUUUAAAUUUUAUAGAGAGCUCCUAAAAUAACUUUUAUAUGUUUUUAGUUAAAAUUUAACUAAAAAAAUAGAGAGCAUGAUUGUGGAUGCUCUAAGUGCAACGUGCGGGGAUGAUCACUUGAGCUACAAAUCCCUUGUCGAAAUGUAUAAAUUUGGAAUAAUAGUUUAUUGGGUUUAGAGAGAAUCAUAAUCAUUUUCUUUCUAAACAAUAGAGGCAUCUUGGGUUCAAAUCCCAAUGGUACCCAUGUGUGUGAGUUUUCCCUUCCCCUUCUUAACUUUGGCAACCAAAAAAAAAAAAAAAACCUUUUGGACUAACUUUUACUUUCGCUAUAUGUUUGUGCACAAUGUGGACUGAAAAUUUGUCAUCAACCAAAAUAAAAAUAAAAAUAUCAUUUACAUCGUUUUUCUUCUCAGAAUAAUAUGUUAAUUUAUUAAUAUGCUUAUAUAAAUAAUUUAGUUAAGAAUAGUGUUCCAAACAUUAUUGAUACAUUUAUAUUUAUUAUUAUUGUAUUUUUUUAAUCACUAUCAGACAUGUUUUUAUUAUUUUUUAUUAUGCUACCAAACGCAUUCUCGAAUCUUGAAAAUACAAAUUCGUUUUCUCAUUUUCGUUUUAUGAAAAUGUUACCAUAUGGGCCCUAAUAUUUUGUGAUGUGGCUUGUAUCUAAAUCUAAUCUUUGAUAAAACGUGCUCCAAUAUUCAAUCGAUUAGUGACAAUAAAUACCGAAAAUGUCUUUUAAAUAAUAUAUAUAUAUAUAUAUUUAUAUAAGCGAUAUUGAGAGAGAAGGGAUUCGAACACAUCAUCUCUAAUGCAUGAGUGACUACUUUUAACUACUUGAACUACAAGCUCCCUUACGAAGAAUGUUAAUUUCAAUAGAGAUGGAGACGGAUGGAUCAAGGUGCGCUAGAUCUUGAACUUCUUGUUGUCCAGAGAGCACCUAGAGUUGGAGCAGUUUUGUUAGUUUUUUCUUUCAACUUUACACUUUUAGGGAAUAGUUUUUCUUUCUUUGCUUUCCUUUUUCCAAGUGUCUUUUGUUUAUGCUUUUAUUUUAUUUUUUCUGUUUUUUCCCUCAAAUUCAAAUUUUUUUGAAUUCAUUUUUGUCUAUGGUGUUAUUUACUUCAUCUACUUGUUCUUGAUUCUGUUAAGUGCUUGUUAUUAUUUUUUGUUUGUUUUUUUUAUUUUUAUUUUUAUCUUUUUCUGAGUUUUAGUUUUGGCCACUAUUGUUUAGAAUCCUAAUGAAAUUUUCUUUUUGUUUGAGAUGGUUGCAAGGAUUAUUCAUUUGUUCAUCAAUCUUGGAGAACCAUAGCGGCCACUUUUCGUAGCGGAGCAGUUAUAAGACAAGAUACAGUAGUAGGUGGUGUUCUUUUCAGUUGGUGUUGGUACUCGUUCAUGGGUUGGGCUUUGUUGGGCUGCUUUGCGCAACAUUUAUUUAUUGUCCACUUGCCCAAGUUUUGCGUGUUGGUUGUUAUUGAUGAGCAAGCUUUACAGUGGUACUUUUUUUCCUUAAUUGGAUUUCCCUCCGUUUGGGGGUUUUUAAGGUAAUGUUUUAACGAGGCUACUAUUGCUCCAUCACUUGACUCCGUUGGGGACUUUUUGUCCCUCAUGGUGAUGAUUUCUGUUGGUGGCAUUGCGGUUUCCAUGUGCAGAUCGAAGGGGUGUUCCUGCUUCCUCUUCUUUCUCUUUUCUUGUUGUUUCUAUUUGAGUUGUUCAAGCACGAGUCUUUUUUAAGAUCAUGCAUUUGUUGAUGUCUCUUAUGUUUGAGUUUUGGAUAGUAUUGACUGUUUCAGUGCUAUCUUUUGUACUCUCUUACGGUGCUUAUUAUUUUUUAAUAAAGUGUCUUUUCUAAAUAAAUAAAAAUGAUAAAUUAUUCCAACAACAAAAAAAACUGAUAAAUUAUAUUUUCCCUAUAUUAUAUAGUCUUUUUACGUAAAUGGGUUUUUAAAAAAAAGAGUAAAAUAAACACGAACAACUGAACAAGGCCCAUAAUGUUGACCAAAAGAAAAGAACAAGGGCCAUAAUGGCCAGAGUAAAAGGGCUCGAGUCUUUAGAAACGAAUAGGCUGAACAUUUGUUUUUAGACUUUUGCUUUGCUUAACCCAGUCUACCCAAAGUUUCUCUCCUUCCCAACUCAGGGGCCAAAUGACACGUUGUCGUAUUUGCGUAAGAAACGAGUCAAACGACAGGUAUUAGAUUAUCUGUCACAAAUGUACGACAGCACAACAGCAGCUGCAUAUUAGUCUUAUCCGAAUCUAUCGUCAAUUGGCGCGUUAAAAUCUAACUGACGAAAUAGCGCCAAAUUUCUCAUCUCCCAACCGUCCGAUCAAUCAAAUGGUCUCAACGUGCCUCAGAUCAGAGGCGCUUAACAUUUUUCUCUCAUUUAACUAUUACGAAUAUGAAGAACCCAGUCGUGACGAGUUGGACCGAGUCGACUCGGAAUCUCUUCGAACCAGUCAUCGUUUUAGUCAUCACUUUCGCUGCCAUCGUCAAACUAUCUCAGUCUCUCUAUCGCUACAACCUCCGUCGCCGCUCAAGAGCUCGCUCUGGAACGAUGUCGUCGUCUUCUUCAUCUGACAACGGCACCGGCGUCCAAGCUCGUAGGCGCAGUCGUAUUCUCUCCAGCAAGCUCUACUUCGACAUCCCCAACUCCAAGGUAAACUUUUAUAUUAAUUUCAUUUGUGUUUUGAUUUUUUAUUAUUUUGGAUUCUGAGUUUUUUAUCAAUCAAUCAGGUGCCGUUGAUUUACUCGUCUGCAUACGAUAUUACUUUUCUUGGCAUCGAGAAGCUGUAAGAGAUGAAUUUGCAGUUCUUUUAUUUAAAAAAAAUUCAAAAUUUUAAGUGUAAUUGGUUUUUUAGGCACCCGUUUGAUUCGAGUAAGUGGGGUCGGAUAUGUGGGUUUCUGUUGGUGGAUAAUGUUGUGGACAAAAAUUGCAUCGUAGAGCCUCUGGAAGCUUCAAAGAAUGAUCUCCUUGUGGUAUUUUCUUGUCCCUUUGGUUUGUGUAUAUAGCUGUGUGGUUGCUUACUUGUUUGCUGUAUAUAUGCUUAUUAGUAAUAUAGCACUUAGAUUGCUUACCAUAUGUUGCAUUGAGCAGGUACACUCGGAAGCAUACUUGAAUUGUCUAAAGAAAAGUGCAAAUGUUGCUAUGAUAAUUGAGGUAAUGUUAAUAGACCACAAACUUGACUUUGGUUUGAUUGGACAUUCUUGGUUCGUAUACUCCGAAAUGAACUGAGUGCUUCUGAUCUGGAUUAAUGGUUCUGGCCGAGCUUUGUUAGUUUCGUAUAUGCUAUGAAGAUUAUGACAUAUUUGGGCUACGAUGAUUAAGGUACCUCAUGUUGCCGUAUUCCCGAAUUGCCUUGUGCAGCAGAAAGUUCUCUAUCCAUUUCGCAACCAGGUAACUGAUAACCCGUGUUGUGUUUUAAGUUUUCAGUCGUGUUGCCAAAGAGGAAAAGAAAAACAAACCAAAGAGGUUUGCACUGAUCAUUUUCCAUUGCAGGUGGGGGGAACUAUCUUGGCUGCAAAGCUUGCAAAAGAGCGAGGAUGGGCCAUCAAUGUUGGGGGAGGGUUUCAUCAUUGCUCUGGGGAAAAAGGAGGGGGAUUCUGUGCUUAUGCAGAUAUUUCUCUUUGCAUACACUUUGCCUUUGAGCGGUUAAACAUAUCAAGGUAGUAACGUUUUCACCUCAAUUGAAAUAGUUGUAUUAUAGGAUAGGUUUUGAAAUUUCAAUAGUAAUAAAAGAAAGAAAAAAAACUACUUUCAAGUAUGGAUAUGAUCAUUCAUUAUUUGCCAAUACAGGGUGAUGAUUAUUGAUCUUGAUGCACAUCAAGGAAAUGGCCAUGAAACGGAUUUUGCCAAUGACAGUACGGUUACCUCAUCGUCCUCAUAGUCAUAGGGUGAUUUAAACUUUAACUUGACUCUCUUCUGGAAUUCGAAUAACUGUUUUUUUUAAAACAGGUCGAGUCUAUAUACUGGAUGUGUACAACCCUGGAAUAUAUCCAUUUGUAAGAUGCCUGCUCUUGUUCUGUUUUGAGAUGCAAGUUUUUCGCACCAAAGUUGCCUGCUGUACUGCUGUUAAGGUCUAUGAGGGCAGGACUCUAACAUAGACCAAGGAUCUAACUCCACCUUCAUUUGAUCUUCUUUAGGAUUAUGAAGCAAGAAGAUACAUUGAUCAAAAGGUUGAAGUAGUGGUGAGUCAUCCCAAAUUCCCAUUGUCAUAUCAGAUUGUAGUUGUUUCAUACUAUGACCUUGUGUAAUGUAAUCCUUUUUCUUGAAUUUAAACAGAGUGGAACUACAACAAAUGAGUACUUGAGAAAAUUAGAUGAAGCACUUGAGGUAUACACUUAACUUUGUCUCAGAUAUGCUUAACUCUCAUUUGUUGCUGAUUAAUUUGCUCCAUUGAAUGUCACUAGCAAGUAAUGUGCUGCUGUUUCCUCUCUGGAAUAGUGAUGAAAAUAAUAAACCAUAAACAGCUCAUAUUAGUAUUAGUAUUAGUUGUAUUAUUGUUUGAAUUAAUAUUUAGGAAAUUAGUAAUCAUUUUUUGCUUAUAGAAAAUAACUGUUCGCCAAUUUUUGUGUACCAUACCAUGUGAACUAGACCUUGUUUAUGUGUAUGUUAGGUUUCUGUUCAUAGUUUUGAUCCUGAGUUGAUAGUCUACAAUGCUGGAACUGAUAUUCUAGAUGGCGAUCCUCUGGGCAGGUUGAAGGUAAUAUCGUUCAUUGAUCUUUUUGGUCAAAGAGAAUAUCACUUGCCUCCAUUCUUUUUAGUUCCACUCUUUAUGUUGAAGGAGUAGGUCUCAAAAUCUUGAAAUGCAAGCGGAGAAAUUUCCUUCACCGGUUUUCUGUUGAUGUGUGUUUAUGUUGACUUGUGUAGAUCAGUCCUGAUGGGAUAACAAAUAGAGACGAGAAAGUUUUCAGGUUUGCUCGUAAGAGGAACAUUCCUAUUGUCAUGCUCACAUCAGGUGCUCUCUCCCUCUGUCUCAUUUUUGCCUCUUUAAUUUUCACUGGUUUCUAGGAUCGUGUAGUCUUAUUACACUAGCCAGUUAUGAUAAGUAGAUCAAUAAUACAAUAAAUUUACCCACCUUUGAAAUGUUAAAGUGGUUUACCACACUAGGUUCUUGGGUUUUCAUGCCAGUCGGAUGUUAUUGCGAAUUCCAGAUGACUUAUUGUUGCUAGAUAGAUUGCAUAGAAUCGUAGCUUUCUUCAAAUUUAAUCCACCCCUGUUAUGUUUCAGGUGGUUACAUGAAGUCUAGUGCCAGAGUUAUAGCAGACUCGAUAACCAAUCUCUCAAACAAAUGCCUUAUAGAUACAGGUAAAAACAUGACUGCCACAUGAACCAUCCCCCAACGUAUUUCGUGGCUAUUUACGAGGUUGGGUCACUGCCAAGAAGCCAUGACAUGGGUUUCAGGAUUCAUACAUGAAUGAUAUAUGCAUCUGAGACGAGCUAGGCAUGCAUAUUCACUAAAAACAAUGUAUAGCAAUAGCUUAAGUAGCGGGGGAGAUUCAUCAUUCUGCGUUCUGGUUGGCCAUGACUGCAUCUUGUAAUAUACAGUCACGCAUUCGAAUUCGAUGAGAUAAGAGAACGCCUACACUUAGGUUCUGCAUAAAUGUGUUGAUUAUCUGAUAUUAGAGAUUAUCGAAUUCGAUGUAAUAUACAGUCACGCUUUCAGCCCUUGUUUCAUUUGGGAAUUGUCGGGUUGGGGUCAGCUCAGCCUUCUUUCAGGCCUAAUGAGGCGGGGCCUUCUCAGCAAAACAAAUAAAUAAAGAUGACAAACUAAUUGACUAGCAAUGUUUCUUUUUCUUUUAGGAUUUUAAAUUGGUUCAGUUGAUGCCUGAGUUCAAUUUAGGUCAAGUUUUAAUAUAUGCGAUGGGAAUCCUAAUCCUCCCCCUACAAAGCCUACCAUUUCUAUUUGUACGUGAAUUAAUUGUUACCUAACCUAACCUAAAUGUUAAUUGAUUUGGAUUCAACUUCUCUUUGAACAAGGCUUUGGGGUGGGGCAGACUAGCUAUUUAAACCCUAGAAUUGUUGCUAGCUUUUGUAUCCAUUAAUUUCUGGUUAGACGUACUGUUUCUAGCUUUUUCUUAACCAUGUCGGAAAGCUCAGACAAGAAGAAUAACAGCAUCUGCGACUGCAAGGAAAUAUUGACGGUGGUGCCGUUUGCUGUUUGCAUCUUCCUUGGUUUUAUGUUUCUCUUGUUCACGUUCAAGUCAUACGAAGGCCCCAAAUUCAGCAUUAACGAUGCUUAUCUUACCCGAUUCAAUUACACUGAAACCAAGCAUACUCUCUUCUACAACCUCUCUCUCACAAACCCUAACAAGGGACAUCCGAGUCACUGCAUACUAUCAAAACAAAACAUUUGGUCUUGUGAGUUUGGACCAUAGGCAUACAACGUUUCACCAAGACCCCAAGAACGCAUCCAUUUUUCGUAAUGUAGUUUUUCAAGGAUGGAAGGCUCUGGUGUUGGAUGAACCUGUGCUUACCAAUGCUGCUCACCUUACAGUAACGACCUAGUGAUUGCUUUCCAGGAAAAAGUUGGUACAAUAUCUUGCGAAGUCGUGCAAUCUAAAUGUUCCUUUGAGGUUUAAUGGAACAUUUUGGGAUAAUUACAAGCCUAUUCAUUAAAAUAUAAUAAUUAAAAUUUAAAAUUAAAAUUUAAAAAUUUAAAAAAUUUAAAAAAUAAAAAAUAAAAAAAAAAAAAAAAAAAAGGGCCCCCGUAAAGCCGAGCGGCUGCACUCUUUUUAUUUUAAAAAAAAAUCCGAGUAUAGCCGCGCGGCUAUACUAUUUACACCGCAUUGCCCCCACGUGUCCAAAAUAGUACAGCCAUGCGGCUAUACCAUUUUAAAAUUAAAAAUAAUAGUAUAGCCGUUCGGCUAUACGCGUAAGUAUAUUAUAUUUAAAAGGAGUAUAGCCGGACGGCUACACUAUUUAUAAAAAAAUAUACCCCAGUACAGCCGCCCGUCUAUACUCUAUUAAAAAAUUUGUACCUUUUUUUAAUUAAAAAAAUCAAUUGUAUAGCCGUGCGGUUAUACGCGAUUAGUAUAUUAUAUUUAAAAGGCAUAUAGGCGCGCGGCUAUACUAUUUUUUAAAGAAAAAACACCCCAGUAAAGCUUACGCAUUUUUUAAAAAUUCUCAUGCAUAGCCUCCCGGCAAUACUACUUUUAUUUAUUUAUUUUAAAUUAAAAAAAGGGAUCCUCCUAUCGGUUCGGCGCCCACAUGUUAAAAAAAGUAUAGCUACUAUGUUGAAAUAAUAAAAAAUCAUUGUAUAACCGCACGGCUAUAGGUCCUCGCUUGAAUGUAACAAUAUCCAAGUAAUCCAACGACUAAAACUAAGUCCUCACUUGAGGAUCAUAUAUAUGGACCUUAUUAUAGAACAACUCUGAACUUGUGAUACUUUGGGUAUUUGUACUGAUAUGUAUCAACCUUCUUUAUCAUAAGAAAUCCCGCAAGAAUCGGGUAACAAGAGUGCCCUUGAUUGCCAUUUUCUAAUGCUUAGUGGCCGAGACUAGCCUGAAAUAUUCUUUUUGUAUAUGGUGACAUUGUCAAAGUAUUAAAUUUGACAUUAUUAUGAAUUCAUUGCCGUACAAAACAAGUAAUUAUUUUAAUGGUUCUUUUCUUCCCACUUUAUGGGCAUCAUGCUAUAUUGCUGGCUUUUACCGCCUAUGUCGUUGAUUGCAAUUGUUUGUAGCUUCUUUCGUUGGGAAAGUUUUCAAUACCGUACGUGGUAUAGAAAAUAUAUAUAUAUAUAUAUAUAUAUGAGGCUUUUUAUGGCCUUUCCUCUUUGUCAAGUAAUAGUGAUUUUGGCUGCAAGUUGGCGUCAAGCUCAAGUCCAUUUCAACUCUAACAUAAAAGAAUUUAUUUUGGCGUGUUAGUAAUCAAACAUGGUUAUCUUGUGACAAAUGGCCAAAGGCAAUAAUGCACAACAACAUUAAUUUGGAUUGGAGAGGUGCACGACAUAUUUACACUUCCAAUUAUGACAUUAUUCUUUUUUUAAUAUUUGUGAUCCAGUGAAAUAAUGUCUACCACCAUGAUAAGUAAUUUCUCCAAUUGAGCAAACACAACUUUUUUCCAUUCCAAACAAUUAUUCAAUCAUAAUUCUAUUUAUGAUCAAUAAUUUGAUUAGUAAUGUUACGAAUUGUCACUCAAGAACAAUUUGCAUGGAUUGCCAGUUGACACGCUUAUGUGAGUGGUUGUUUGUCGUUGAUGAAAGUGAGUUAUAUGAUCUCUCAACGAAUAACAACUAGCAUAACUCGAAGCUUAACAAACCUUAAUGGUAAUUCUCUAAAUCCCAAAUCACAUUCAUUAAUUUUGGACAACGCCAAUUAUAACUCUCAUAAGGGUAAUUCUAAUCUACAUAAAUGGUGAUUCGAACUUGAAUGCAAUGAGCUGUCAUACUGCCUUCAUCAAUUGGCUUAACCCAAAUAUGUAAUAAUUUGAUUAGUUUGGAAUCCCCAAAAUAAAAAAGAAUUUCUAUAUAAAAUUCAAUAUUCCUUGAAGUUAAUACUUGCACAUGCUUUCGUAGGUGAAUUCUACAAUAUAUCAACGGCUAAUAACUAUGAUAACUCUUCUCUUCUAGUUUUGCAUAAGAGGCAAAGCUUAAAGUAGGAGUAUAUAUCGGUUCGAAACUAAUACAAUUUCACUAAUUUGCAUCCGAUCCAAAAUAAAUUGGAUUAUGAUUUUUCCAAUCGAAACCAAUUGUAUUAGAGGUUUAAAUCCAAUAUGAUCCGAUCCAAUUGCUAUAGGAUUGGAUUGGAUUGGAUGCUCGGUUUUCAUAAUUAAAAAUAUAUAAUAAUGAAAUAUGAAACAUUUAUCGUCAAGUUUAAUAUAAUCAAACAUUUUAAUAGACGUAAAUGUAAAAUAUAAUAAAAUGUUAGAGAAUUAUAAACAUCACUCUAUCAAAUUACUUAAAAUGUUUAUAUCUUUCUUAAUAAAAAUUACCUAAUGAGCAAAAUAAGCAUGAAAUUAGAUUGGAUCCUCACAAGCAAAUCCGCCAUCCAAUCCAAUCCAAUCAUGUCGAUUUUGGAAACUAGAGAUUCAAUCCAAUUCGCCAAAUUAUCGAAACCGACUAAAAUUGAAUUAGGUUAAUCAAUUUAGAUGGAUUGAAUUGGAUCUUACACACCCCUAUCUUAAAAGAAACCAUAACGGUAAUUCUCAAUGUUCCUAAUCAAAUUCAUUAAUUUUGGUCACCGCCGGCAUUAUAAACUCAUAAAGCAUCCCAGAUUACAGUUUCCACCGACGACGGAAUCCCACACAUUUGUUUAAUUAAUCUGAAGAUUUAUGAGUCUUUGACUCUAAGUUGACCACACCGCCCUAACUCUGGUUAGUUCCCACUCUCUCUCUCCCCCUCUCCUCUCUCUCUCUGCUCUCUCUACCAAUUGCGAUUUCUCGUUCUUGAAGCUCGACCCUCUGCGCGCAGUUUUAUCCUUCGCAGCUGCCAUUUCUGCAAUGUUGAGAAGAAGCUCGUCCUCCUCGCAUGGCCUCUUCACUAUUUUGAUCCCUACGCUGCUCCUUCUCAGCUCAGAUUUGCUUUUUUCACUGUCGUUCGCUGAGCCGCUCACUGAAUCAGAUCCCCUCCUCAACGCUAACGCCACCGAGUCCAAUGUCUCCCUCUCCAAGCCAAAAGAAGGCAGCUUCGCUGACAUGAUCGAUAAAGCUCUCGAGAACGAGUUCAAAGAAAAUGAUCAGAACGAAGGUUUGUAACUUCGUAGAUCCGAUGCUCCUCUUCUUUCUCUGCAUUUGGGUUCAAUUAGGGUUUUAGGUUGAAGACCAAAAAGAAAAGAGAGGAAAAUUUCGAGGAUCUUUGGUUUUCUUUUUGGCUAAGAAGAAAAGGCAAGAAAAUUGGUUAUGGGAAGAUUACUUCUUGCAGAAUCCAUAAGAUCACGUUAAGUUGUUAAAAUACAGUUAUUAUAGUCAACUAAUACAUGUUCUUAAGUUUUAACUUUGUUUAUUGUUUUCCUUUGCUUGCUCGCACUUGCAGCUACUGAUCCUGGAAGCUUUAACAACAGCGUAGCCGGCCAGCAGGUUGGUGUUAAGCUAAUUUAUCUAACAUUUCUAUACAGUGAAUGGGCUACAGCCAUAGAGAGUCAUUACAUCAAGAUCUGAUUUUCUUGAAUUCAGUUUAUAAAAUAUUUUGAAAUCCUUUCUCCAAACACCUUCUUAUUGCAAUUUAUGCUUUUCUAGCCCAAUAUGUAAUCUAAUAUUUUGAUGCAUUCGUAAUUCAUUCUCAAAUUUGAUAUGGUUGUAAACUUUUGCUACACUUGACCUUUUACCCAUCUUUCAAAUCCAUAAAGAAUCUGUUUCAGUUCGAAGGUCUGCUAAAUCACAACUUUAUCUGUCUUUGUGUGGAUCAGGCAGUUCUGGAGACAGUUGCUAGAGUUAAGUCAAAGAAAAAUGAGACAAAAGAGGAAAAGUAUGCUUCUUUUAACUUACACUUUUCAUGUAUUCUUGUCACCAUUAGAAUAAUGAGCUUCACUGUAUAGCAGCCAUCUUCAUUAUUUAAAGCCCGCUUCUCACUACUCUGUUGUAGCUUAAAUAGGUCGUUUCAACUGCACGAUGUAUUUAAUCUGGAUAAUGAUAAUAGAGGAGAAGAUACACCAACACUAAUAGAUCGAAAGGUAAGACUGCUUCUUUGAUACUGCUGCAGGUAUUUAUCUUCAUGGUUAUAAAUUUAAAUUUUUUUUUAUAAAUUUUUUUAGGACAAUGUCUUCAUAAUAUCAAAUUUCAAAUCAAAAUAUCCAGUGCUGCAACUAGACUUAAGGUAAACUUGCUGGCUCAUUACAGUUUUGUUAAGUUCAUUGGUCCUCACUUGAUAGAAAUGCUGAUUUGAACUCUUCUACUUAUUGCAUUGUAGAUUAAUAUCAGAUCUGGUGGUCGUUAUUGUAUCUGCAACCUGUGGUGGCAUUGCCUUUGCUUGUGCUGGACAACCGGUCUGAUACAUACAUUCAUACAUACAUACUCGUAUACAUAUAUUUCCAAGCUCAAUAGAGAAAAUAUAUAAUUCUAUGAUCUUACUAAGUGUUCGUAUUCUGCCUCCUUGAUACUAAAACAUUACAGGUUAUUAGUGGAUAUUUGCUAGCUGGAUCUGUUAUUGGGCCUGGAGGGUUCAACUUCGUCAGUGAAAUGGUUCAAGUAUGUUUUACCCUACAAAUUUACUAUUUGCAAGAAGAUUCUCUAGCAAAUUUCUCUAGAGCCCUUUUGUUACAGUGGUUCCUAAGCUAUUAUUUUGUACUCUUAGGGUUUUGGUCAGAUGAUCUCGUAGCACCUGUCAAGAUGAGUAUGAAACUACAGGAAAAAUAUUGUAAUUCAUACUCAUUCUUGAAAAGAAGAAACAGAACUGCCAUUCAUUUUAGCUAAUCCUAUCACUGCUAAGGCUUAGACUUUUUUCACUUGUAGUCUUGUAGUAUCCAAUAAAAAAAUUUCGGUAAGGCACAUUUGCCUCUUUUAUGAUUAAUAAAUGAAAUGAAACAAUUACUUUAUGUUAGAGAUAGAUCUUCUUUUUGCUGAAAUUUAUUUGUUAAUGUUUCUUCUUACAUAAGAUAGUUUUGUGUCUUACAUCCAUCUUUGCUCUGGUUUAUGUGUGCAGGUUGAAACUGUGGCUCAGUUUGGGGUAAUUUUUCUUCUUUUUGCUUUGGGCUUGGAGUUCUCCACAACAAAGGUAGACCUCUCUCUCUCUCUCAGUUUUGAUGCGCUUAUAACUGAGCUAAAUUAGUCAAACUUCAUCCCUACAUAAUUGUAGCUUCGAGUUGUUCGAGCGGUUGCUGUUCCAGGAGGCCUGCUGCAAAUCUUCCUAUUUAUGUGCCUGUGUGGUAUUACAGCCUCAGUAUGUCUACUAAUUUUCCAGAGAACUUACUUUAAAGUUGGUGCUUGCUUAUACCUAUUUUACAUGCGAAAACUACCUCCAACUUAAGCUCCUAAUUCUUGGCAUUCUCAUUCUUUCUACGCUCAAUUCUUUAAGUCAUAUGUAAUUCAUUUUCUAUAUCUGGUAUUUAGAAGCGUGCAGUUCUGAUAAAUUUUCUUGACAUGGAUUUUGAAGCUAAAUAUUCUGUUAAUAUAGACUGUGUUAUACAUGUUUCUCAUUCUCAAUGCUGCAGUUCUGAUUGGAUGCUGUUUGCAGUUAUGUGGUGGUAAAGUUUCCGAAGGGAUAUUCGUUGGUGUGUUCCUUUCUAUGUCUUCAACAGCAGUGGUAAAUUAACUUAAAGAUGUCUCGUGAAUGCCCAAAUACACACAAAUUUGCAUCCACAUUCACACUCUUAGUUAUCAACUUUGUUGGAUGCGUAGUUUUCACAAGAUUUUUUUUUUUUGGUGGUUCUAGGUGUUGAAAUUUUUGAUGGAGAAAAACUCUACUAAUGCCCUUCAUGGCCAAGUUACCAUUGGCACCCUUAUUCUGCAGGUUUGUUGGUUUUAUAUAUAUAUUCUUGUGGACUUCAAUUUCCUUUGUGAAUGCCGAAUUACUGCUUUUUGCACUGAUUUAUCACUCUUCUAAGUAUGUGUAGAGAAGAUUUUGCUUUGCAGGAUUGUGCAGUGGGUUUGCUGUUUGCUUUGCUUCCAGUUCUAGGUGGGACUUCGGGUAUUCUUCAAGGAGUGAUAUCUAUGGCUAAGUUGUGAGUUGUUCAUGUUUUCUUGUAAUUGUCUUUGUUCUUCCCUCAUGGAACAGUCUUGUAUCAUAUGUCUGGUAUUUCAUGUGUUGACCUUGAGGUUUUGAAGUCAAGAUAUUUAUAAUGUUUCUUGUUAUAUUUUUUAUAAAAUGACUCAAUCGGUGACAAAUCCAUCUAUUAGUUUUAAGUUUAUAACAUCUUUCUAUCUUGAACCAGGAUGGUGACGUUGAUUACAUUUUUGGCUGUUCUAUCUAUAUCAUCUCGUACUUGUGUUCCUUGGCUACUUAAGCUGAUGAUAAGCUUAUCUUCACAGGUACCAUUUUCUUAAAUUUGUUAUAGAAAAUUGCUGGAUGUAUUUGUAUUUUCUGUAAUUAAAAUUUCAUCUUUGCAGACCAAUGAACUCUACCAAUUGGCAUCAGUUGCAUUCUGCUUACUUGUUGCCUGGGUAUGUUUUCCUGCCUGCUUUAUUUGUCCUUACUUCAUGUUGGCAAGCUUCACAUUAAUCUUCUCUUAUAUUCUAAAGAAUCAUUUUCCUUCAUGUUGCUUCCAUUAUAUUUGCUGGUUGUUUUCCAUUUUGGCACAAGUCCUUUUUUAAUGUGUUAGGAGAAUUACAUACGGUGUUUCACUUAAGCCUAUCUAUGAAUGGACAUUCGCCUUGACUACUCACAAAAUCCAGUAGCAAGUUGGGUUGAUUGGUGACCUAAGAAUAGUUUUGUCUACAAAUUUAUACUGUGUUGAUUAUAUUUCAAAGAUAUAGCCUUGUUAUGUGAAAGAUUAAUUUUGCUUUGCCUAUAUGUCCUAUUCCGCCUUAUGAGUCGUGUUUAUAAGUUCUGUCCGUUACAGUAUAUGCAUAGACCCUCAGCAUCUGGUCAGUAGGGUACUAUGCACCUUAUGAGUUUCUCGAAAUGAUGUAAGAUAAUUGUGCUUGAAUUCCCUGACACUAGUCAUGACACUAUAGUCUAAUUGUUUUUACAAUUUCAGUGUAGUGAUAAGCUGGGACUAAGUCUAGAACUGGGUUCCUUUGCUGCGGGAGUGAUGAUAUCAACAACUGAUCUUGCUCAACAUACGCUAGAACAAGUAAGGCUAUACUCCAUGCCAUAUUCAUGCAGAUGAUCUUCUUUGGAUGUAUUCCUUAAUUCUAUAGCUCAAGAAUGCAUGCAACCAACCAUAAAUAGAAGAAGUGGUUUAUUUUACUUUCUUUGGUAUGUUGGUUAUCUUCUGUCAAAGACCUUUCUUUGGCUAGGGAGAGAGCACUGUUGUGUUUAUGGUAUCCAUCAUUAUACGGAAGGGAAAAGGUUAUCUAUCAGGAUUUUAUUGGUGGGCUUAAUUGAAUUGGGUCCUUACACCAGCUGAGGUGUUUCAUUGAACAAUAUUAGUGAAAGUAUUUCGCUCACUACAUGAUGUGGGUUUGGAUUCCCUUGGAUCGAUUAAGGCUCUGUACCAUCUACUAGAAAGUGAAUGGUGAGCUUAGUGCAGACAUGUAAGAAAUGUAGGUUUCUAGCCUUCUAAUGUACCAAUACCCUGUAAUUUGGUAAAGAAUGCAACUUGCAGUAAGUGUCACAAUCAUUAUAUAUAUUGGUUUUCUCGUUCUUAUGUGGAUGAUAAAUUGUUGCUCAUAAUGUUGAAGCUCCCUAUAGUAACUUUUUAUAGCAGCACUGAACUUUUCCGUAUUUGCAGAUUGAACCCAUCCGCAACCUUUUUGCUGCUCUGUUCCUUGCCAGCAUUGGGAUGCUGAUCCAUGUUCAAUUUCUCUGGAAUCAUGUUGAUAUAUUACUAGCGUCUGUUAUCUUAGUUAUCAUCAUAAAAACAAUUAUUAUCACCAUGGUUGUCAAGGGAUUUGGUUACAACAACAAAACCUCAUUUCUUGUGAGUUUGAUUUGAAUGUCACAUUGUCAUAUUACUUAUUCUAGUAAUUCAGUUGUUGACAGUUCUCGGAUUCUUGUAUUUGUUUAGGUCGGAAUUUCUCUGGCACAGAUAGGCGAAUUUGCUUUUGUGCUUCUAAGUCGUGCCUCCAAUCUCCAUCUAGUUGAGGUUAGUGCUACUAUUGGUUUUUUUUUUUUUCUUUUUAAUGAUGAUACAUACUUAAAGUUAAAAAUUCACUUGCUGAGGAAAUUUCUGGUUUCAUACCUGAGUAACCUGAUUCUUUUUGGGGUCAAACCUGAGUAACCUGAUUGACGCCAUUGUAAAUAGUUAAUGACCACAGUACAUUAGUAUGUCUGUGUUCUCUGGAUCUUUUAAACCUCCAACUUGUAGAACAAUGUGACUACAAUUAUGAGCUAGUGAGCUAAAACUUUGACAAUUUUCAGGGGAAAUUAUAUCUCCUGCUUCUUGGGACCACAGCCCUUAGUCUGGUAUGAAAAUUAUCUCCUUCUGUUUUAUGAUGUGCUUCUUUAGUCCAUUAUUGAUGUGGUUGCAUUUUAUUUUUCAUUGAUAAAGAAAAAAGUGUAGAUAUGUUUUUUGUAAUAAUUUCCUGCCUACAUUUUCUGAAAUUUAUUGCAGGUGACCACUCCUUUUCUAUUCAAGCUAAUCCCUGGUUUAGUGCAUCUUGGUGUGCUUUUAAGGUGGUUCCCUCCGGACGGGGCUGUUGAGGUAUUGACGUUUUAAAAUUCAUUUUCAGAACUGGUUUAAUAGAACUUGAUUGAAAGUUGAAGUUUCUGCGCUUGUAUUCCCAGCUUUAUCUUCACUUAUCUUACAUAUGUUUGUUGACUUCAGAUUGGGUUUAAAGGAGAUAACCUUCGCACAGAUAGUGGUAAACAGCGCGUUAUUUUGAUGGUCCGAGAAUCACAUGAUUCGUGAUCUCUGUAUAGAGGAAACUGUAAAGGCAAUCUCCGUUUUACCCAACAUGUUUUGCUCCAGCCACAUUUGGGGAGUGGGUGCUUGUGGAGUUGAUAAGAGAAUUGAACUGUUUUCUUCACUUCUCAUACAAAUCUACUCUGGAGUAAUUUUCUGUUUCACAUUACCGGCCUAAUCAACCGCUCAAAUUGAGCUUCAGUAAUGGAAGAACAGGAAAGAGACUAUCUAACUGCUGAAAGAAGUUAACAUGCUUUACGUAUAACAUUCAUUCUUUGCCACAGUGAUUUAUUCUUUUGGAGUUGUAACAUAAUUUUGCGUCCUGUAAUUUGAACUGAAAUUUGUAGUUCAUAUGUUUCUCUUUGUCCGGGAAGUGUAGAAUUUUGGAUAUUUCAAGUAAUGUCUAUAUCAUACCUCCUCCAUGUCUUUUUCUCUUUCAGAUACGCUUAAUUGUAAAGAUUCACAGUUCAAUGGAUUUUUUUUUCCUUGUGGAAUUUUUAACUGGCAUAGUUACCAAACCGCGAUGUAUCACUGAUGUGUGCUAUAGGAACACGGGGGCCAACACAACCAGGAACAGGCGAUUUUUCUCCUGUGGCACUGUGAACCCCGGUAUAUAAGCCAAGUUAAUAGUUUGGAACCAAAACUCAUGGGCAUGGAUCCCAAUCCUUCCAGUGGACAUGAGGAGAGAUUUUAGGAUAAAGUUUAUUAUCCGACUCUGUUUGUUUCUUCUUCUUCUUAUGUCAUAAUCAAUCGGUAAAAGAACACAAAGUGGUCAUGCUGACAAUGAGAACAAAAUCAAAGGAGGUCCCCUGUGACUGUCCACUUUGUGAAGCAUGGGCAUGGCCAGUAUAAUUAAUUAAUUUAAAGGAAAAAUUAGGGCGCCAUCCUUCGCCACCAAUGUUUUUGCAAUUACUUCUAAACCAAUUACCUAGAUUAAUUUAUUAUAAUUAGUUCAUUAGUAGAUGGCAUGUCACAGGUACUUUGCUAACAUUAUUGUUUCCGAUAUAAAGCCACAAAGUUACAUCUGACACAUGAAAUUAAACAAACAUUAAUGUCCUAGAAAUACUAUUCCACUAGCACUGGCAGUGGCCGUAAAUCUUCCGAUCCGUGUCAUGUGCUGGCUAGCUAGAUAAUGCUUAACAUAUAGGUGCAAUUACAAGGGCUCUAGGGCAGGGUUUAGUCUGUUGAUCCAACGGUAUCGGAGCUGCAAGCUCAAGUUCUAAAUCAGUUGCUGCGGUUGGAAGAGGAGCUGCAGGCUCUGCUGCUAAAGUUGAUGAGAAGACAGCUGACAGCUGUCAAACCCAUACCGGUAUGGAAUUAUAGCACUCGAAGCUUCAAUAUUAUUAGGUCUAAAAAUGUUUGGUUUGUUCAUCAGUUGAACUGAGAGUUCAUCUUUACCAACCUGCUUGCAGCAAAGAAAAAAAAAUUCAAUUAAACUAAAUAAUUAACUGAACAUGAAUAAAAAUAGACGCAAACAUGAGCUUAGCCAAGUUCGUUUGAGCGGAGGAACUCCCCCACUUUGCACGUGAGUUUGAAUCCCCUCCCCAUAAUUUAGAAGAUUAGAUUAAAGUAUAAUAUUGCUUGUAUAAAAAAAAGAGAUAUAAUAACUGAAAUUAAUUACAUAAAAAAGGUUGGGACGGCGUCGUUUCUUGUUGAGGGUGUUUAUUCUCAGAAAAUACUUCUGAGCAUGACUGGCGACUUGGGUUGGAGUUCUUGUGGUAACAAAAUGCCGAGAGAUGCCCUUCCAGUCGCCCUUACCGAGCUUUUCUAGCCCCAUCACAAACACUCGGUGCUCUUCCUCACUCCAAGCCACACCUACAUAUUAUUAUUAAUCAUCACCACCAACUCAUCAUCAAACCACAAAAGAAUUAAGAAAUUAGUAAAUUGGCAAUUCUAAUCAAGUUUGUUUUGAUCAUUAAUUCUUAUACUAUGAUAAAGCUAGUUUGCUGGUUUACAAGUAUUCGAAAAGUUUAAGGUGUUAAUGUGGGCCAACUAUAUUGUUGCAUCAACUUCAUGUAUUCCUUCCUCAGACUAUUAGUCAUGUGAAGUACAUUCUGAUGCAUCAAUCAUCACUUUCAAGCAAAGUUGACAGAAAUAGAAACCCAGUAAUUAACGAUUAAAAUGAGAGUUUAUGCAAUGGUACCGUUUUUGUUCAAGAGAGAGAGAGAGAGAGAGAGCAGGACAAGAAGAACUGACCCUUGUUAUUAUUUUCUUGGGGUAACGCUGUGAGGCCAUCAGAGGGAUAGCCAUUUGACAUUUUCUCAGAAUUUAAGUCGAUCAAGGCUCUGCUUUGAAGGCGUGAAGAUGUAGAAGAGGAGGGUGCUGUUGGAGAAGAAGCUGCGACAGAUGGCAAGCAGUGGACCAUGCUCGGAGGACAUCUCUUAAUUAUUAUAUUCUUCUUCUUCCUGGAAAUUAGAGAAUUAGAUGAGGAAGAAGAAGAAGAUAGGUCAAGUACUUGGACCCCAAAAAGCCUAAGGCCACCACCUCCACCUCCACCUCUCUGCCGCGGCUGCCUGACACCGCAAGUCCUUGAAUUGUGACCCAUGUUCCCACAUUGUGAGCAUUUCCUGCCCAUCUCCCUCUCUCUCUCAGAUAAAAAUGAUAUGGUAUCUAUCGUGCAGCGCUUGGUAUUGUUAUAUGUAGUCAACCUCAACCAACCCUUUUUUUUGGGUUGGGAAUUUGAUGAUAUGAGAUUAUGAGUAGUACUAGUAGAGAGAAGGGUGGGCCCACAACAAAAUCAAUGCUUGUGUUGUGUGUAAUAAACUUUAGCUAUCAAUGCCUGUUGCUUGUGUUGUCUCCAGUCUCUGAAUGGAGGAGGAGGAGGAAGAAGAAGCAUGCAGAAGCUGCAUGCAUGUAGGGCCCUUCCCACUGAAGUUGUCCGAUAUAUAAAGGGAAAUUAAAGGCCACCUUCUUAUUAAUCAGUGAUAUGAUAUUAUCAUGUUAUGAAUUUUACGUGUUAUAUUAUAAAUGAACGAUAAUUUAUAAAUAAGUUUAAAAAGAAAAAAAAAAAGAGUCUGAAUCAUCAAUGAAGUGAGUAGCUAGGGUGCCUCCAACUUAGCAGACAACCAUGGAGAUGGAGUCUCCAACUUAGCUGACAACCAAAUGUAAAUGGUUUUCAUCGUACCCUGCUCUUUCUGAUUUGGUUGAAAACCAACCGACCUAGUUCAUCAAUUCUUUCUUUCCAAAGUGUUCUUCUUCAGCAUAUUCAUAAUGUAGGAUUAUGUUCUGUUCAAGCCCAUGUCCAUAACAUUAUGUUCUGUUCAAGCCCAACCAGGAUAAGGUCCUCGGACUCAGAAGCUUGGUGGAAUAAAGAGUUCCGUUUGUUUAUUAUUUGUUUUUCUCAAGCUAUAUUGGAGGAAGGAGGGACUGAACCUAAAACUUCGGAUGCAGAGAUAAAUAAUUUUAACCACUUGAAUUAAAAAGAAGUCAUUGCUUCAAAAGACUACAUAAUUGGAUUAAAAUCUAAACAAAUUUAAUUUCCUUUUGCUAUUUUGAGUGACGAAAAGCAUGGUCUUUUACAAUUCUUGAGCUCAAUCUUGUGCAUGCUGUCGAGGUUUUUUUGUUCCUGCAGCUACAGAUGGGCGUGAGCUGCUGUAAAGUGCAAAUGGAUAGAAUUGCCCCAUGUAUCUGAGUUCAAGAAUCAAACCCCAAUAGUGCUUCAAAAGGUUCGUGGAGCCUUAGGAAAAACCUUGGUCUCCUUCACCAACAAAAUCAACUGUUGCUUACAAGUAAAUAUUUGGCUUGACUUGAGGAGCUUGUGGCAUGGAAUCUAAGCAUUCAUGAGUUUAGCAUUAAAAAGAGAGAGGGAUGUAAUUUCCUAUGGGAAACAAGGGUUCAAAGUAAGGGAUGAAUUUUGAGAUGAUUUGUUGAAGGGAGACAGAGAAAUGAAGGUAGAAAAAUGGGUGGUUUGAGCAAAUUUCUGGUAGCUUGACGAAAGUUUUGUCAGGCUCUGGAGUGACUUGCCAGAAGAGAAAUAGGGGAAUAUGGCUCAAAAUUGAAGGGUUCCAGGGAUGAGAGGUGAUGCUUGCUCUCUCUGGCCAUGUGCUGGAGACUUUAAGAUAUUUUCUAAGUCACUUGAGCCAUUCCCUAAGGUAAUGGGCUAGUUUACUAAGGGGAUGGGCCAACCUUCUAAAGUGAUGGACUAUUUUUACUAAGGUGAUGGGCUAAUUUUCUAAGAUAAUGAGCUACUUUUUUCUCUCUUUCAUGCUUACCCACAUAUUUGGGCUCAAGAAAUUGACUCGAAUUUUUGGGCUUCCAAGCAGCCCAAAACUUUCACUUCUUGACUCAUUAAUGGGCCUCGUGAAUGCUCGUAACCAUCCAUACCACAACCCACUCAGCAAGUCCCUGGCAUUUGCUUGGCUUGAGCCCACUUAAGCUUAUAGCGUAGCUAGGUGCAAAAUAAUAAUUUUCCGCUUGGCAUUACAUGUCGAUUGACGUGUUCGUGCUCGAAUUUUAUUGCUUUUGUAAAGAGCUAUGACGUUUGAUGGAAAAAUUAGCACGGGUUCAUGAAACCAAUGCAUGUGACGGAUUACAUAUUUAUUUGGCAUGACACGUGGAUUAUGACUUGUGCAAGCGUGUAUGACGAACUUUUGAGUGCCCAAUACAUUUGGACUAUGAAUAUAUUUGAGUCCACCCUUGAAUUUUUUGAGCCUCAACACAUGCAUUAUUAUAUUGUUUUCGUUAAAUGGAAGUCAAGUAUUAAUAUUUUGGGAUUGAAGUGAAGACAGACUUUAAAGCAACCUAACAUUAUAUAUACUAGCCUCUCUGGCACGCGCUUCCGCGUUUGCAAGAGGUUUUUUAAAAAAAAUAAGUAAAUUUAUUUUAGAAUUAAAAAAGAUAAUGGGUAGUUGUGUUCCAUAAAAAUAGGAUCCAUUAUCUGCAUUUUCUUUUUCUUUUAAUUUUUUUUAAAUAUGAAAAAGUGUGAAUUUACCAUAUUAUCCUCAUUUAAUUAAUAAUUUGAAUUCUUAAUGUUUGCAUUAACCAAGGGCAUUUUCUGGUAUUUUGAAUGUUUCACCAUUCUCUGCCUUUUGCUUUAUAUAUAUAGAUAUACUUUGAAAACAAUAUUUGCCAUACAUUUCCGCAUACAGCCAUAUAUUGUUGGAUAUGCAUAAUGCACGCAGAGGCAGAGCUGUAUGUUAUCUGUUUCUUUUCCUUUCUUUUUUCCUCAACUUUGUGUGAAACCAAAACCCUCAGAUAAGCAUGAAUGCAUGCCCAUUAUAUAUAUAUAUAUAUAUAUAUAUUCAUAUCUUCCUUCCUAAACCAUCGUUCGAAAUUAACUCAAAUUCGAAAUCAUUUAAUUAUAUAAUAAAGUGGUCGCAACUAGAUGUUUUUAUGAUUUAUAAUUUUUUACAAAGAUGAUAGUUGAAUGGACAAUUAGAAACUAAAAAUAAAAAUGGUAUAUGCAAAUUGCAAUGCAGAUAAAAUAUAUUUAUUAAAAGAAUAUGUCAAUUUCCUUACCAGUUUGUUUGCUGUGCUUUUAGAAUAAAAUCAAGAACCACACGACUGCAUCAUAACUACCACUACCACACAACAAGCUCAAACCAUAAAGCAUAAAGUGUUCAAUCUACUCUCCGUCAUCAAUUGCAACCAACAACACCACAUUAACUAGUUCUUUGGUAUUUAUUAAUUAUUGGACAAUUUUUAACUUCUCAAUCAAUAAUUCACCAAAAAAUAAAAAUUGCAAUUUUCAUCUGCAAUACUUCUUCUUUUUUUUAAAAGACAUUUCUUAUUAGAUAAGAAAAACGAUAGCAUAUUAAAAAAUUCACACGCACUAUAUGAAUGCUAAGACUUGAAGUCAUUAAACUACUAUAUUAUACUAGGUCAUUUGCAUCUACAAUACUCUUUUUCAAAUUAUUAUUUUUUUGAUAACAAAAGGGCAACCAAUUACUGAAAUUUAAUAUUAAAAAAUGACUGAUAUUUUUCAUAUUGACAAAUUUAUGCUUUUUUUUGGGGCUAAAAUAAAAUUAUACCAACUUUGAAAAAAUAAAAAAUAAAAAAAGUUGAGAGUUUAGAUAUCACGCGUGAGUUUGUUAGAGUUGUCACAUGAUCCACGAAUCUCCAGCUUGUCCUUUUCAACGAUUGCGACUACUCCUUCCUUUCCCUCCAAUUUUACAGUCUUUGUCCUCUUUCCCCAUUUUACUCUCCGUACCCCUGCCUUUUUCCCAUAUUUACAUGCAUGUCGUCCCUCCUCCUCUCCUCCUCUCCUCCCAAAACUUAUCAACAUUUCAAUCUUGAUGAUCUCACGGCUAACCAAUCUUUCUCAACAGAAUCAAUGCACGCAUCAAUCUAAUAAAUCCACUUUUUAUGGGAUGAUAUUCUAUGUUAAUUUAAUUUAUAAAUUUAUUUAUUUUAAAAAAUAUAAUUUUCUACUUUAAUUUAAUUUAUAAAUUUAUUUAUUUUAAAAAAUACGGCAAGCACGUGUGCAUUAAUUCAAAAAAGUACUAAUAAUUUUCCCUAAUCAUGAAUUGCAAAUUAAUUAUGGGUCGGUCGACAUGUUUGGGAUUUAAAGUUAGGCAUCUUAUGCUGCCUUUUGGUAGAUACUAUAGAUUUCGGAUUUUCUCUCUCUCUUUUAAAAAAAAAUAUAUAUAUAUAUAUAUAUGUUUAACAACCAAUGCCUCAAGCUAUAUAUAUAUACAUAAAUAAAGUUAGAUUUUUUCUCGAAACUUAUGAUUAAUUUAUUAACUAUAUAAAAAAGAUGCGGUCAACUUGAAUCAGAGUAAUCAUCACUCCACAACUUGUAUAUAUAUUCUAAUAAUAUUCUAAUCACUAUGAUUAAAAGAAAAUCCUUUCACGAAAGCACAACCUCAUGUUCAUUCAUAUGGUAUCUACCUUUUUUUUGUGACUUCCAAAUUUGAGCAGUGGCCCUUUUGUCCCAUUCCCCACAAGAUGAAUAAAGCCAAAGAAGGAUUGAGCUAAAGCAAGAUAUUUCCUAAUAUAGUUGUUGUGAUAGGGUCCACCCCAAUAAUUAUCUAAAUUUGGAAGUAAACACCAAUUUAAGCAAAACACAAGCACAUCAUAGACCCCGCUUGCCACUUAAUUAAUCGAAUAUAAUAACAACUGUAAAAAUAAAUUAUAUCGGUUGGUCAAGUCAGUGUAUUCGCUCAUUUACACCGGAAUUCAAUCUUGCUUCCUAUUAUAAUAAAUAAAUAAAAUAUGUUACAAGGGCAUAUCUGUCCCAAAACAAAAACAACCCCAAGCAUAAAUGCACCCCUCAUGUGUUCAUAUGAUGGUUCACUUAGUCUUUUACUUUUAGUGUUCAUUCAUUUCUUCUCUUCUCCUUCUCCUUCUCCUUCUCCUUCUGCUUGCAUGCUCUAAUUAAUUGUUUGAUUUUCUCACACGUGUGAGCACAAAAGCCAUGGAUGCUAGCCGAGCUCCACCAUAUGGCCUAACCCAAGAGGAGUUUGCAGAGGUAGAGAGCCUCAUCAAAACCUACCACAAAUUCGAGCCGUCGCCAAACACAUGCACGUCGCUAAUAGCACAGAAAAUCGACGCCCCGGCCAGCCACGUCUGGCCUCUGGUUCGAAGCUUCGACAACCCGCAAAAAUACAAGCACUUCAUCAAAAGCUGCAACAUGAAAGGUGACGGCGGCGUCGGGAGCAUAAGGGAGGUGACCGUGGUUUCGGGGCUUCCGGCCUCCACGAGCACCGAGAGGCUCGAGAUUUUGGACGACGAGAAGCACAUAAUUAGCUUUAGGGUUGUGGGAGGCGAACACAGGCUGAACAAUUACAGGUCGGUUACUUCGGUUACUGAGUUCGUUGAUGGCAGAGACGGGGUGAGUGAUCAGGUGUACUCGAUUGUAUUGGAGUCUUAUAUUGUGGACAUACCAGAAGGCAACACUGGGGAAGAUACGAAGAUGUUUGUGGACACUGUGAUCAAGUUGAACCUGCAGAAGCUUGGGGUGGUGGCUAUGAAUUCUGCGCACGGCAUUGGAGGACAGGAAAUUGAAGAAUCUUGAAUCGACACACCAGAUUAUGUUUUUAUUUUUUUCCUUUUUUUGGUUCUUUUUUUCAACUUUUAGUGGUUAGCAUUGUUGUUUGUUGUUCCCUCCUUUGAUUUUCUUUUCUUUUUUUGGGUUUUUUUUUAUUCACUUGGUACAGUUGGGAUUUGAUUAAUUAAUGUACAUUUUUUUUAUUUUAGUUUGGUUGGGUCAUUGGGGUGGAUUAUAUUGUUAUGGGGAUAUUAUUUUUAUAUCUUAUCAUUUUUCUCUCCAAUAAAUUAAAAAAGCAAAGGCACUUUGUUAGUUGGUUUCAAUUCAAUGUAUUAGUUUAUAGCAAAUUUUUAUUAUUUUGUAGGGAUCGACCGCCCCCUCUUCAAAACUUGAACCCUACCAUCUGGAAAUUUGUUCAUAAUCAAAUUGGAGUUGGAGUGUGUUGCGAGGGUAUAUCCUAUGCCGGAGAAGUUGAAAGUUUGUUUUGCACUACGUAAGAUCUUUCGUAUUUUCUUCACUUAUUACUCAUUCGUUUUGAAUUAGAAAUUAAAUUAAAUUAUAUAAGUGUUCAGUCGUCACCCAAUAUAUAAUUGCUUCAUAUUGAAUACAAGGCGCAUAUUUUUCUAAGCAGCUUUCGUGCACUUAAAUAUAAAAGUACGGCUAUGAGCUUAAAUCCGGACAAAAAUAUUGAUAGAUUUCUGCCUUGUAUUUGUGCACGAUUGAAGAAAAAGAGAGAGAGAUUUUUAGGGAAGGGGCAGAUAGUUGGUGCAUAAUUUGGUCCAGUGCUUUUUCGUGUGGCUUAAAUGUCAAACCUGAAUUCAACGGCAAGGACAGCAAAAGGAAAAGGAGAAAAAAUUAGGGUGACUUGUGAUCAAGCCUUGAGGGACAUGUGACCAGGAAGAAAGAAGCCUCUGCCUCGUCUGUCACUUUAGUGAAGCAGCCAAUUGUGGCCACUUAUAUUUCAUUUACAUUAAUCUCAAUUAAUUAAACCACUAAUUAAGUGUAGUGUGGUGUAGUUCCUAGCUACAGCCUAUUAGUAGGUUAAACAAAGUUGGUAAAUGUAGUGAUCAUAAAACGAACUUAUUUCACUUUUGAUUUAACAAUCAUUUUCUUGCACAAGUCAGUUGGCUAAGGUAGCGAGGCAGCCCUUACAUACACUCAAUUUCCGAUCCUUCUUUAGGAAUGACAAUUUUUCCCACAGGUAAGGGUUUUUACCGGGAUUCGACCCUAAUGGGUUAGGUAUGAGGGACCAAAAACAAGUAUGGAAACGGGUACGGAGAAUUUUUUAGGUAUGGUGUUUGGGGAGAGGCGAGGAUGAUAUUUUAAUCCCCAACCUGAACCCUCCCCGUUUAGAAUAUAUAUAUUAUUUUAUUUUAUUUUUGAUGAGGUAUAUAAAUAUAUAUUAUAACAUAUAUAAAUAUGCUAUUAAAGUGAUUGUACUGACUAAGUUUUAUAUUUUAUAUUAUUAUAUUAUAUACUUAUAUAAUUUAUAUAAAUCUUAAGCCAUAAUACUUAUUUAUUUAGUUAACCAGAGAGCUUCCAUUGAGGGAUCCCUCAAAUAAGCUUAUUUGAGGGACACCCCUUGUAGGCCCCACUCCGGAUUGUAUUUCACUAAUCCAAACCGUCUAUUUUGUAGAUACUCAUUCAAAGAUCAUCCCUACAAAAAAUCACUUGAAUCCGAUAUCAUUUGACCACUCAAUUAAGUUAUUGAAAUUUUAGCAUUUUCUUGAAGUACCGUGUUCAUUGAUUUUGUAAGACACAAUUGGAUGUCGAAACGGUUUCCGAUUUGUCUAAUUUUUUGUAAGGAUGAUCUAUGAAUGAAGACCUAAAAAAUAGAUGGUUUGGAUCAUUGAGAAAAAAAUUGUAGGGUACCCUAAAGGGCGUCCCUUAAAUAAUUUUAUUUGAGGGAUCCCUCAAUAGAAGGAGACUGUUAGUUAACUUCCUAUACAUAUAUAAACAUUCUCAUAUUGUCUUGUAAGUAUGUAUUAUUUAUAUUCAUUAUCUUGCCUUAAUACAUAUUUUUUUUUUCUUCAACAAAGUAGUUAUAUAUUGGUUUUUUUUCCUUAAUGGGGCGGGUCGGGGAAUCCAUUCCCCAAUGAAGGUAGGAAUAAGGAAUCCCCAAUAUGAAUAUUGCGAGUAUGAAGGCAGGAAUGGGGAAAAAAAGCUUAACGGGGAUGGGAAUGACACACCUAGCCCCGAUUUGACCCAUUAUCAUCCCUAUCCUUCUCCUUAUAAAUUAUAGUAAUUUAAACUAGCACUUCGCUUGUAUUUUUAUUAUUUUUAAAAACACUAAUUAAAUAGAAUACAGAUUUGUGGGUCAUCUAAUCUAUUUGGGUUCUGCAUGAUUUGUAGGCCCUUUUGUUCAGGCUUAGGCCCAUAAGCUACUUGAAGCUGAUCCUGGGCCUGGCCCAAUACUGGUCUUUCUUCCAUAGUUGAAUCUGGAAGGCAGGGCAGCUAAGUUUACAAAUGGCAGUGUAGGUAAGCCGUAGGAAGAAGACAUGGGUUUUUCCAAUUUGCAGUCGUUGAUUAUUUGAGUGUAUUUACUUUUUAGUCAAAUCAUGUACUGGCACAUGGAGAUGGGCAGCAAAAUCUCAGAGCAGGUUGCAUGUACUGUCACAUCAGGAGGCAGAGCAGCUUCAUGUAUUUGCUUCUAAUUUUUUUUAAAAAGCAUUAUUUGUUUGUAUUAAAUUCAUGAUCCAAGAAUUCAAAACAAGAUCAGUUAAGUGUGAGAGAGAGGGCCACUCCUUCAUCAUUAUGGAAUCUCAUCUCACCAGUUUGGCAGAUUCUCAUCAUUACUUGUUAGAUUUUAAAAGCCUAUUUGAUAGUAAUUAUGUGAUCCUAACCUAUUAGAAGUAGGGCAUAGGAUUGGUUUGAUCCAUGCAAAGAGAAACUAUGCCAAAAGAAAGUAUGCAGGUGGGUGGGUUUGUAAUUGCUCAUAAAUUCAUGAAGAUUUGCCAAGUAGAUUUUCUCAUCAGAUUUUGGGUUUGCUUGCAUCAGCAUUGUCUACAAAAGUACACUGCUCGAACAGUGCAUUGGCUCUCUCUCUCUCUCUCUUUUCACCUAUCAAUUUGCCUUUUAAGCCAUUAGUUGUUGGAUUCUGAAGAGAAAGUUUGAGAGCCUCUUGCUACAUUUACUCGUUUCUCAUCAGGUUAAGCUGGCUUGGUGUCCAAAAUAGCUAAAAAGCAAAGGCCUUUUUACUAUAUUUUGCAUCUCUGAAAAAUGGGGCUGAGGGGACCUGGCAAGAACAGUGGCUUGAACAGAGAGAAUCCAGAUAUUUUGGUUGUGAUGAUUGCAGAGAAGCAGAUAAUGAGAGGUGGUGAGGAGGACAAAAGAGAUCAGAAUGAGAGGGAAAGAGAUGGGCCCUCUAAAGCCUGCAGAGGAAAUAAGUGGCACUCUGCCACUGCACCAUGUAGUAAUGUGUGCGCUUGUAUUUCCCUCUCUUUCUUUCUCUUUCUAUCUCUACUAUGUGUGUUUGCUCUUUGUGUUGUGUGGCUCCUCUUACUCUCUUUAUCUUAAUUAAUGGUCCAUUUCAUAAUUUCAUACACAUUCAAACUCCACCUCUGUGAUAAAAGCAUUUACCUCUCUGUGAUAAAAGCUUUUCAUUUGUUUGUGUUUCUCUUUAGCUUUUUGACUCACUCACUCUCUUUCUUUCUUUUAUUGGGUUCUCUGAGAUGGGGUGUCCUUUAUUUUUCAGACCCAUUUAUGUUUCAUGCUUUUUUCAAAUCUUGUGGCUUUAGCUAGUGAAAGAAAGAGAGAUAAACUCUCUGAAAAAAACUUGAUGGGUCCUGAUUCCUGAAACUCUGAAUCUCAGUUUCUUGGGUUUUGGUUUUCUUGAAAAAAAUUCCCACUUUUCUGUUCAUUCAAACAAAAAACUUCACCUUUUGUGUUGCCUUUUUCAUUUCUUGUGAUUUGAGAAAGGUGGGGGGAAGGAUGCAUGAGACCUUAUAAUUAGCUUUUUCUCCUUGUUCUUUUUGUUAAAGAAGGAACAAAGUUAUUUUUCAUUGUACUCCCUGUAAGGCUUUAAGGAUAAAGUAAACGAAUCAUAUCUUGUGAACUUUCACUGAAUUGGCUUGUUCUGAGUUCCAAGGAAAGUAUACAUAUAUUGUUGUCAAUCACCAUUCCAUCUUUCAUCAUUAUAAAUCUAAGGGGUCUGAUUUGGCAAAUCCCAUGAAUCUGUUUGAAGAUUUAUAACAACAUUGUUUUGCCUUAGGGAAGGGUUUGUUCCUAGAAAGGCCUGCAUUCUCAUUGAGGUUGUUUGCUGGUGGGUGAUAGCUCCUCCUCUGCAAGUAGGUGGCAGGUUGGUCUCUUUCACCUCUUUCACGGUUUUGUUAAAUGUCUGUGUUUGAUUUAAAACACUUUCAAUUGAUUAAUCAAGAGAAAUUCCAUAACAACACCUUGACUUGCAUGUACCUAAUUUGUUAAGUGGUUCCAUGGUAUUUAUUUUAUAGAGUUCAUUUCAUGACAGUCUGCAUCUAUCCUGUUUUGCCCAACUGUUUCCAUGGUAUUUAAGAGCACAGACUGCACCUAAAAACUGUGUGCGGUUUUGUUUUACUUCCUUCUUUGUUGUCUUUGAAAUGUUGUUUGUGUUUUAACUUUAUUUUGAAACUUUUCCAGGCUAAGAUCGAUCUGUAUUGGUCGUCAGUUCAUCUUAUCAGAAGGAGUGGCCUGAUAUUAUAUUCAUCUCCCCUGCUUUUUUGUUAAACUAAAUUUCCUAGAGUUUCAAAAGCUGCUGUUUAUGCUCAAUGCUAACUGAUAUUUGUUGUCUCGUUUUAUGAUGGACAAUCAAAUGUAUAAUGUCCCUACGGACUUGACCGCCCGAAAUUCGGUUGUCAUGGAUGGGAUUGUACCACAUACAACGAUGAACUCACUUGUUCAAUCCUAUUCAUUUGAUCUUAAUCACCAAAACCAUGGCAUGGCCUUAGUUCCGGUGCUUUCAUCCUUUCCAGGAGAACCUGUCAUGCAUUCUCAUUCUGAGUUUAAUGGCACAAACGGUGCCGGCAUUGUUGAAUCAAAUCCAUUUGUUACAUCCCAAAGAAGGCAUAAUGUGAGAGACUCCUCAUUCAUCAGUUCAAGUUUCGCCGAUAAUACUGUGUUCCAAGCAACACCUCAUUCUGCUGCUUCACUUGCUACCAUUUUGGCUGCAAGUGGUAGUCUUCAAGAAAAUCUCAACAACUUAGCAAUUUCAGGAACUCCGGUCAGUUCUUCAGAAGCUUACGUUUCAAAUGACUGCUCUAACAACUCUAAUUCUCUGUUUGCAACCUCUGUGAAUUGUGGAUAUGAUGAAAUACUUGGUAGUAUAAGUAGUCAGUGGGAGAUCAACAAGUACGCAGCUCCUUCGGAACUUGGUGAGAGAACUUCGGUAAGAACAGGGCUUCAACCAUAUUCACCCACAGGAAAUCUGGAUCCAAAUGGAUGGUUAUCAUCAAAUGGUGAAAAUGCAAUGACAUAUCAUUCUUACAGUUCCUGUAAAUUCAGCAACGAGCUCGCUCUAACUCUUGCCACAUCCAGCCCUGCUAUCGUCGGUGGGGUGGAUAUCCGAAAUCAGUGUUCAGACAUUGGUUCUUCUGGGAUGGCUCACCCUUCUUUGAAUCAAACAAGGUUUGGCUCAUCAGAGCAAAAUUCUUGCAACAGUGAGGAGCUUUCUCUAAGUUUUGGUUCUUGCAAACCUCCUCAACUAUCCCACGUAAUAUGUGGAUCAAGAUAUCUUCAUGUGGUUCAGGAAAUACUUUUUGACAUUGCAAGCUACUCACUAGAAAAUCUAGACCAGUCGAGUUUUUCAUCUGCGAGGAUCUUGUCUGAGAACGCUGACAGCGAUAGUAGAUUUGAGCUGCAUAAGGAGACUGCAUUGCAAAAACAGGAAAUCAAAACAAAGAAAUCCAAAUUGCUGACCCUAUUACAAAUGGUAUGUCAGUUCUUUUGUAUUAUUAAUUAGUCUAGAGUUAUCUGUUCUGGUUCUGAUUCUAACUGAGAUGUCAAGUGCAUUUAGAUAUUGGAAGUCGUGUAGACAAACUGGAUUAAAAUUUGACAUUUGGUAAAAUUAAAGUUUCUUAAUAGACAAAAGGUGUAGAAAUGUUUCAUUUUACACCUCAAUAACCUUGUUGGCCUGUUCUCGCAUAUUUGUUUGCUCAUGUGGUGGACUUGGAAAUAGUAUUUGGGCACUGUAAGAGAUUGAUAAGAUUGAUAUUGUUCUUCUGUGGAUGCAGCUUGAUGAUUGCUACAACCAAUGUGUAGAUGAGAUUCAUACAGUUGUAUCAGCAUUUCAUGCUGCUACUGAGACGGAUCCCCAUAUACAUGCUCGUUUUGCACUUCAAACAAUCUCUGUACUGUAUAAAAAUCUGAGGGAAAGGAUUAGCACCCAUUUCCUUGCAAUGACUGCAAAUUCGGACCCUGCAUCCCCCAGUGAGAGUGAAAGGUCGUUUGAAAUCCACAAGCAGUUGGCUCUGCAGCAUCUAAAAAAGAAAGAACAUCAAAUAUGGAGACCCCAGAGAGGCUUGCCUGAAAGAUCAGUCUCAGUUUUACGUGCAUGGAUGUUUCAAAACUUCCUUCAUCCGUGAGCUUCUCACUUAAAUGUCUUGUGCUUGUGCUUGUGCUUGAUUGAGUAUUCGGCAUCGUGAUGAGCUCAAACGAUGCAAUAUAUAUUUUGCUGAAAUGAAGUGUUUGUAAGUAGAGAUAUCCUAGAAUGUCUUAUCCAUUUGAUUGAUUUCAGGUACCCUAAAGAUGCAGAGAAGCAUGUCCUUGCAGUGAAAAGUGGAUUGACAAGAAACCAGGUAUAUUUGAUCUCCGAUUUUAUUACAUCCCCAACUUUUGGUUUUAAUUUCCUUUUGUUUGGCAUUUGAAUCCUCAGCUUCUAAGAACUCAUUCUCUAUAAAAUUGUCCAUGCCAGGUAUCCAACUGGUUCAUCAACGCUCGUGUCCGGCUAUGGAAACCGAUGAUUGAGGAAAUGUACUCGGAGAUGAACAGACGAAAGACUCGUCAAAGUGACAACACUGAGAGAAACAAUAGAAGCCACCACCACAACAUAAGUAUUAACCAUCACAAAUUUGGUGUGAACUGAAGGUUUUUGAAAGGGUACAUAGCGAAUGGAAAAUGGGGCAUAUUCCACAACAUUAAUGCUACAAGUGUAUAUAGUUGUGGAAAUUAUUCAGGAGUAGGUUUCAGUGACCAUGCCCAUUGCCCUUGCCCACAAGAAUGUUUUGCAAGCAAUAGUAGAAUCGUUGUGGAAAAAAAUGGCUAGAAAAUUAUUUAUUUUGGAGCUUUUUCGUAAUGAAAACCGAAAGGUUUACACGCAUGAUUUAGUUUAAUCCUUAAAUUAAAUUACGGUUCAUGCAUGCUAAAUAGUGUUUGGGAUUUGGACGUGGGAGUUUAUAGUUCACGCAGGACACAACAUUGUCCACUAAGUAUAUGCAUACGUACCCUCCUCCCUUUAUGUCCCAAAGCCAGGGACUCAGUGCUUGCUAAGCUGUAAGCAAUUUGCUAAAGCAACCCCUAUAAAAACAGAUUAAGGCUUAAGCCUACUGUGUCACUUGAUUUACACGCGCUACUUCUACUCUCUCUUUGAUACUUUUGAACUACCAAGUGGUGGUGGUGCCGGAGCAAUGGCGGGGCUGGUCGUUGUUUUUGACUUUGACAAGACGAUCAUUGACUGGGAUAGCGACAACUGGGUUGUGGAGGAGUUGGGUGUCAAAGACUUGUUCACUCAGCUCCUCCCUACCAUGCCUUGGAACUCUCUUAUGGUUUGUUUCAAUUGGUUUUUUUUUUUUUCUUUUUUAUCAACAAUUGUCAGUGUGUACAAGAUUUUAACUCGGUACUUUAAAAUGAAGAUUGAGUGACACUAAACCAAAGGAUCAUUUAACAGUUGAAUUGGGUGUGUAACUUCAGGAUAGAAUGAUGAGGGAGCUUCAUUCUCGUGGAAUGACAAUUGAGGACAUUGCAGAAUGUUUAAAGAAGAUUCCACUGCAUCCCAACAUUGCCUCUGCAAUCAAAUCAGCCCAUGCUUUUGGGUAAUUUCCUUUCCUUAUAAACAUCCUAUGAAUUGACAAAACAGAACAAAUUAUGCUAUAAUUGUUAUGAAAAAUUCUAAUUGUAACACAUGCAGGUGUGAUCUGAGGGUGUUAAGUGCUGCAAAUGAAUUUUUCAUAGACACAAUAUUGAAGCAUCAUGGGCUAAUGGAUUGUUUCUCAGAAAUCAACACCAACCCAAGCAUUAUUGAUGAACAGGGCAGGCUUAGAAUCUUUCCCUACCAUGAUUUCCACUCAUCUUCUCAUGGCUGUACCAUUUGCCCUCCCAGCAUGUGCAAGGUGAUUAAACUAAACUAAUUGCAUAUAUUUAAGUAUCCCAAAUCAAAAUCACAAGUUUAAUUACAUUGGUUUAGUAUGUUUGUGGGGUUUCUUUUGUUACAGGGUCUAAUAAUGGAAAAGAUCCAAGCUUCUGUUGCAGCAGAUGGGAAGAAACAUAAACAGUUCAUCUAUGUUGGGGAUGGAGCUCCUGAUUUUUGCGCAGGUUUGAAGCUUGAAGAAGGAGAUUUUCUGAUGCCAAGGAGGGAUUUUCCUAUCUGGGACUUAAUUUCUGCCAAUCCAUUGUUUACCAAGGCAAAAAUUUACGAAUGGAAUGAGUGUGAUGAGCUUGGGGCUGUCUUGCUCAACACAGUUAAUGCAUUCUUCACUGAAAACAAGUCGAGGUCAACUGAUCAAUUGGUUCCAGUUGACUGUAAGUCUCAAAACAGUUCGACCUGUCUCACUGCCCAUGAAGCCUUUCAAAAUGCUCUCCCAGUUCCACUUCCUCGCCAGUAGUUAAGAUUUAAGAACGACUUCAUGUUGAGGUAGCUUAAUGUUGUAUUCUAAGUCCUUAUAGUUAAUCCAAGUGGCGACGAUGCGUGGACAAAAAUAAGUUAGGUUUAAGGUUUGAUUACCUUCUAUUGUACAGCAGAAAAUUGUUGUAUUAUGUUAUUUUGUCUUCAUGCAAAAGUUACGUUUAAUGGUGAUUUACUUAUCAGAUUGUCCAAAGGCAUAAAAUAUUAUAUUGUCGAAUUGUAAAUAUGGGCCGUUGAUCAUGUUCCGACAUCUAGGAAAGAUGAUGAGCAAAAAAUUGUUCAUAUUUGAUGACAAGCUUUGCAAUUAGCCAAUCUUAUCAUGCAGGCCAUGACAGACUCCACCAAGUCCACCUUGAGGGCAUGCAUAGUGAUUCAUGGAACCAUAUUUUGUUUGUGGCAUUAUCAUCAUCAACUAGCAAGUGAACAAGAAUGACAUUGCAUUUUCAUCUGGUUUCACCUUUAAGACGCAAUAAAGUGCCAACGAAGGAUGGGCUGGCUGACACAUGAGCCACCAUGAAACUUCCAUAGUGUGCCACGUCAUCCAUGAAACUAAAAAGAAGAAAUAAAUAAACAUACAGGAGAAAGCACAAGCUCAUCAUCCAUUUUAUAUCAUUAUUGUAAUGUCCCUUUUUUUUAAAAAAAAAUAAUUAUUUCGAACGUAUACAGAAGAAAACUAGCCCCCUCCCCUCCCCAACUAACAUUUGUGGACUACAAAUGAAAAAAUGAUGUCUGCUUUCCUUAUCAAUUUUCCCUUGUAUCUUUCUCUUUCUCUCUUUAUCUACAGAACCGCUAAUAACCCCUCUCUUUUCUUAAUCCCCAACCAAUCAAGUGAGAGCUCAGACUCAGAUGGCUCGAAUACAUUACCAAAAAAAACCCGAUUUUCCCUGCAAACCCUUUUUUUCAACUUCUCUCAUGAGGAUCCCGAACCCGAGUUUUUAUUGGUUUCAACUUCAAGCCCAUGCUUUCCGGUGAAAGAAGCUCCGGUGCGAUGCAGGACGGACUUAAAGGGCUUCUCGGGCUGACACUAGACUGAGAAGGCCUGUAUAAGCCAUAUCCCAUGAGGAAGUACUCUAUUGGUAUCAACAUUGCAUGGGGCUGCUCCUCUGUCACCAUUGACCCGCAUGCCUGAACCUGCAGGUCACACACACCUCCAGUGAUGAGUUUGCUUUACAUUUAUGGAAAGAUACAAAUAAUGCAUGAUAUGACCGUGGGAAUUUGAUAUGGGUUCCAUACCUCAACCAAGGCACUAUAUCGUCUGUCUAGUUUUGAAGUCAUGUACAGAGCUUCUGAGUGAAACGGAGAGCUAUCCCCAACAAAUAUUAGUGAACGGCAUUGUAGCUUUCGCAAUCCUUCGGAAAUGUCAGGUCUCCUGCUAGGCAUAAAAAACAGAGUUAAUUCCAUGCCACCUAAUGCGUCAAACUCUAAUUUAUUUAAGCGGAAAUAAUUGGACAUCUCGGAUGCACAAAGACAGUUCACGUGACAGAAAACUUGAAAUGUAAGAUAAUGGAGGUUAACAUAUAAAAACUAAAAAGAAAUCUUGGGGACGGGAUUUACCCAUUCAUUGCUUCAAGAAAUCGCCAAACAUUUGAACUUUGCCUUUCAUCAAGCGACUGUAAGAGCAUCCACACAUUAGACAUGUGCUCAGCACUUGACCAAUCUCAUUGUUUGAUUUACACAGACAAAGAACUUAAUAUAAAUCAGAGAAGGUAAUAAAGGCUAGAACACUAACCCUUCUGCAUGCCUGAACUAUAUCUGACUCUGGUAUGUGAACACCACCACGAACUUCCUGCCACCAGGAUUAAAAACUUAAAACAAUCAAACCAAUUUAAAUGUGGUGACACAAGUAUAUGUGAGUUAAACUAAAACAAUGGCAUACCUUGCUGAAGUACCGCUUAAGCAGUAUCUCCUUUACCACCCCGCACAUGCCAUAGAAGUACAGUAAAUUUGACAUCACCUGCAAAUGAUAUGGAAUGUUAUGUGAGAACUAGAUUCUCUAAACAGAACAAAAUUACAGGUCCAGGAAAGGGGAAAAAAACCUUAUUAUACAACCAUUCAGUCCAAGAGGCUGCUUUGCAUAUAGGAGACACAAGUAUCAAGCCCAUGACACGUGAUCUAUAUUUCAUCUGUUGCAAAGAGUUAUGGAUAAAUCAGAAGAUCCAUAAAGGAUUUAUUGGAAAAAUUAAUAACACAUAUGAGCACUAUAGUGCACUGUGCCAAUAGAGAUCUUACAGCAAACCGGGUGAGAAUGUAAGCUCCAGCUGUAACCCCCAUACACAUCACUGCACCAAGUCUACAGAGGGAGAAAGAAACAUCAGGGUAAUUCCCUUCCUUGUUCAACCUAUCUAAAUAUGUAAAGAAUAAUAAUGUAUUAAAGGAAACGAUAGCUUCAUGGAGCUUUUUUUUUGUGCGUGUGUAGCAAUAGCAAAUGUGUCUAAACAUCUUUUUCAACAACUAAACCAGAAGCAUUCUGACUAACAGACAACUAAUUCAGAUUACUCUAAGGCAAGCUCCUGAUUUACAUAAAGUUAAAGCAUAAACGGAAAAUUUGAUUACCCAAAAAAAUCAAGAACCUCGGCAAUCUGAUCUACUAAAUCAUCAACAGAAUACACAGAAUCAUCAAGGCUGAUUGCAGAAGCUCCCAACUGAAAUAGUUCUUGAAGAAAGCACGAGAUAAGAAACGAUGUGAAUAAUAGCACUCAAUAUAAGAGAUAAUUAGACCCAUGUAGACAUGAAAAUCAAGUGGGAGCCAUAUAUGUAGUCAAGUUAUUGAGUUACAAACCUCAUGGCCAGGAGGACUGAUAUGAUAUAUGCAAAAGUUGUGGAGCAGCAAGGAACAUGCUUCUGGACAAAAUAAUAGUCCUUGAAAGCAGGACAUAUCUGAUAAAUCACACAAUAAGACAAAAGUUAAGUUGGAGCUUCAAAGUAAUGUCACUGAAAAAAAUAUGAUGUUGAAGUGCAUGAUUUCUCUUGAUCUUUCAUUUACGUCCAAAUGCAACAAAUCAACUAGUUUGGUUGAACUAAUCCAUGAUCCUUCAGAUCGUAAGUAUUUAUAUUACAGUUCAUAAAUUUCUCCAAUUUAGGAAGAAAAGAGCAAAGCUAAACUAUUUUGGAACUGCACUUUAAAAUCCACAAUGCCCCUCUGCCACCCAAGAGUAAAUAAAAAAUAAUAAUACGAAUCAAAAUGAAUUUUAGAAAUAUAAAUGUCAAGCAUCUUUGCUUCUUACACCUAUACUAAAAAUAUGGCAUUCUCGAUAUGAUGGGUAAGAUCAACCAACUAAUAAGUAGAACAAGGUUGAAAUGCAAGACAAAAACAAACCACAAGUACAACCCAUAAAAAAAUAAUAAUUAUUGGUAGCUAAAUUUUGUUUACUUACGGUUUAGGGCUAAAUCUGGAUAAGUGACAAGAGCUGGCUUGUCCUGAUCUCCCAACACAGCGACAGACACAUAGCCAAGACAGGUUUUUACAAGAUGCUCCUGCAGAGAGAUUCCAUAAUAAGAAUACAAUUCCGGCAACAUUCCAGGAAAGUAAAUUGAGAAAACAUAAUAUAAGUUACAAACACAGAAUAGUGACAAAGCACUGUUAUGACUGAAAUGAGCAUUCAAGAGAAGAACUAGACAUUAAAAAGUUUAACCGCCUUUUGGGGUAAUUUUCUCCAAGGAAACAAAGUAUAUCAUCAAGAAGAAAAGUAGUGGUAGCCUUAAUUCAAAGUAGAAAGUUAACCACUUCUGCUCAUAAAGGCAAAUUGGCAUUCGUCAAAUACAGAAUGUUAGAAGUUUUUAUUCCUCGACUCCAAGAACAUCUACAUACAAUUACGAAACAAAAACCAUUAUAUUUCCCAAAGCAGAGAAAUCAAACUGCUAACUAAUUAACUUGAAAUUUGACUUAUAUGCACGCUUCCAAAUGAGAAACUUGCGCUGUUUCAAGCAAAACAAGAAUUCAAAAAACAAAAAAAAAGCAAAAAAAAUAGAUAAUCUGAAUUUGCCAGUCUUAGCUAAAUUAUUAAACCAGCAAUGUUACACAUAAUUUACAGACAAACCAUUCCUAUACAACCUGCAUUUAAGAAAAACUAAUGCUUGGCAUAUUCCUUGUAAUCAAACAGUGGGGCAUUUCACAAUAGCAGAAUCAACGCAAUAUUUGCAUUAAACAAAUUUCAAAUGAGACCCAUGUCAUUAACAAUAACCUGAGAGGUUCAAUGCUUACAUGGUUUAAUUUUUUUCAAACAUUAUUUUCUUGGUAACCAAACAGAGCAAAAGUGUUGUUAAAAGCAAAAUCAUAAACAAACACAAUACAAUACAAUUUCUAGAAAUGUGGGUACCUUUCCACCAAGAGAAACCCCCUCCAUAUCCACCGACACUGAAUCACUUGAAUCCCCCAUUUCCCUCUCUCUCUUUCUCUCUCUCUCUCAAGUCUCAAAUGGCUGAGGCAUUGGGCUUGGUUUCCAUGUAUUAUAUAUUUAUAUAUGUAUAUAUCAAUCUCUCUUUCUCUCUCUGCCUCUGUCUCUGUCUGUCUCUUUAAAAUGUUGACGCGCGGUGAACUCGCACGAGUUGCUAACCGAGUCACCGACGCUUAAUCCCAGAGAGGCUCACGAGCUGUCCGUAUGUAUGAACGGGGUAUGGUCCUACCACGGACGCGGGUUUUAAUUUAACCAGGGUUAGAGAUAGAAGCCGACAGUUUUUGCGAUUUUACCAAAUUAUCCCUGAUUUCCUAAUUUUUCUUUUUCCUUUUUUCCCCUUUUCAAACAAUAACCCUAUUUGAUAAUUUUUGUGCAAACAGGUGAUGCUGAUUGAUGGGUAUAUACUACUGGUGAAUUAGUUAUGUAGUUGAAGCUGUUUUUCCUUUUUUGAAGUUGUUUUCUUUUUCAGGUAAAAUUUUGACAAAUAAUUGUUAGUUGCAUUUUCAACCAAGGGCCAGAUGGUAAAAUAAGCCAUAUGAUGCUGGCAAUUCUGGGGACGUCAAAGUUGUCAAAGCGUGCCAUUAUUUACGUGUCCUUGUUAAAUGACGGGGAUAUUGUUUUCAAAUUAUUUGUAGAUCAAUUAGAAUGAUCCAUUAAUUCAAAUUACGCGUCGUAAUUAAUCCUAUUAAUUCUAAGGAUAAGUCGAUAUGUCCAAUAAAAAAAAAAUGGAUAAGUCGAUAUGUCCAACAAAAAAAAAAAGGAUAAGUCGAUAUGAUGAACAACAUCGAAAAUGUUUAUUUAUUUUUAAUAAAUCUAUGGCCGUACAAUACACAAAUGUACAAUGGUUUUUUUAUUCUAUGUUUUAUAACAAGCGAUAUUAAAAUAUUUACGAUCAAAUACUGGAUUUCGACUCUUCGAGUUAUGAGGAUUUAAGAUUACUCUCAAAACGCUUUUGAAUUUACAUAUACACAUGCACACACAUACCGCACAAUAAAUAAGACUAACUGAGUUGUAAAAAUAAUUUUGUGCGUGAUUUUAUUAAUCACAUAUUGAUUUAGUUUUCUUUCUUCUUUUCUGUUUUGGGGAAUAUUAAAAAUCUUUUUCUAACAAUCUCAAAUAUGAUACAUGUGUAAGUUGUGAAUGUAGCUGAAAUUCGAAUAUACUAACAGAUUUUGUAAUUAUUAUUUUUGGGAUGCAUGGUAGGCUUUCAUCAUCUCAACCCACAGGAAUCUGUGGUUGAGACAUCGUGUGGCUAGAUUUAGCUUACAACUUCAAAAUAUGAUAUAUUGAAUGAUUCAAGUUGGUAUCUGUCAUUAGCACUCACCAGACAGCAAUUCAAAUGUUCUUUUUUUAACACAACUUUUUUGUCAUUUUAGUAAAACGUUUUUCUAAUACCAGAUAACGAGUUUUCAACGGAAAUUGCCACACAAACAGAAACAGCCUAUAUAAUUCUCAUAAUUUGUUGCCUAUAAUUCUUAAAAAGCACGUUCUAUUAUUAUCAAAUGGGAUUUUAAAGGUGGGGAUUGAAUUGACUUCCAAUUUUAAUUUUAGAUUAAUGUGAUCUAGUAUUUUUAUUUUUAUUUUUACAUGUCAUUGUGCAUGCUUGUUUAAAGAAAAUUUCAACCAACGGGUCUAACCCAGUGAAAAAGAGCAUUGGCUUGUAUAAUAUAAGUCGUUUGAACCCCCAUGAUAUUUUAGUUGUGUGCAUGCGUGUGAGAAACCCCCUCACCUGUAAUUUAGACUAUCACUUUUACUAAAAAAAUAAAAUAAUUACAUUUAUAUACGAGUUCAUUUUGUGGCUAGUGGCUUUUUUGAAUGAAUUAUGAAUGUAAUCAUAUAAUUUCUCAACAAAAAAAAGAAGAAGAAGAUACGAGUCCAUUUAAUCAAUGGUGCUGAUUAUUCUCUAAUCUUGUAAUUUUUUUAAAAAAAUUAUUAACUUUAUAAGUUUAAGAUAUUUCUAAAAAAUAUAUUAACAUGAAAUUAUUUGAUGUUAUUUUAAAAGUUAACUCCAUUUUUUAAUUGCAUAUAGAACCACCUACUCAAUUCCAUGUUUUUAUUAUUAUUGAAAUUGCAAAAUGAAUCAAUCACUCAACUAGAGCCAAAAUGAACUCUCAGAAAUUUUAUUGUUACUAAAAUUCACACCAUUUUUCUAUUCACCAAUUAAAUUCUACCAACUCCCUCCCCAUAUAUGCGAUCUAGCAAAACAUACAAAAGUCCUUAUUCUUUAGCAGCUAGAAUACGAGACGUCUUGUCAAUCAAAACUCCCAUCGGCCGUCUAUAUGACACUUACCAACUUCAUAAUCUGUUUGUCUUAAAUCGCUUUUAAAAUAAUUAAUCCACGAGCCAAACAUGCCCAUAUAAUUUAUUUUGGAAUUACUCAUUCUUUUGAUACACUCUUCUAAGAUUAUAAACCAGAAUCUUUGACUAGUAAACUAACGUAAGUACACCAUAAGUUCCAAUACCCCAUCGCUAUUUUCCCCACCAACCACAUUCUAAAACCUCUUUAAUUUUAUCCCCCAAUUUUUUUUUAAUGGUAAUAAUCUCAUUUAUAUAAUUUGUAAUUGGCAAAAUAUUAUUUCCCAUAUGCGCUUAAAUCAUUUCCAUCAAAAGUAUAUUUUAAUUUUGGUAUGGCUUUUGAAACAUAUUUAAAUAAUGUUUGCUAAGGCAGAUAAUGAGAACAACAAAAGCGAUAGCUCAGCUCAGAGUGAUGAACAACUUUUCUUGAAAGCUAUGGCAGGUAGGGUAUUGACUACACUACAUUAAAUCUUUUAUAAACAAUAAAUGUUAUUAAUUGGCUACAUAGCUUAGCCAAAAGGAAAAGAAAUAUGACUCUGCCUUAUUUUUCAACCAAGGUACCUUGGCAUUUAUAAAUCGCAUUGUUGGUGUUCUCACAGUUUUGAACAACAACCAAAAGCUGUGUCGGUCAUCAUGUUUGGCAACAUAACACAUAUAAUUUGUGGAGGAGUGUUACCGAUAGUCGCGGAUGGACGUGUGAUGAAUUUUUUUAGUUACGUACUGAUGUAUGUGGGUUUUAUAAUUAAGUUUACAAUGAUUAAUGAGUAAAAAUACUUCACACAUCCACGCACGAUUGACAGUAACAUUAUUCUAACUCUCCUGAGAUUUAAAAGUAUAAAAUAUAUACUCCAAGCAAAUGUAAGGGAAAAAGAAAGGAAAAAGGUUGGUGUGGUUUCAUAAUCUGUGGGUUCUUCUCCUCCUCGCACAUCAAAGUUAUGACCGUCCCUCUCAAUCUCGAGUGCCACGUCGUAAUUGGCCCCUUUUUAAACCUUUCUUGUGCAAAUCAUUAGUAAAGUUUGCAUAAGCAUUGCGUGUGAUACAGGGCAAGAACAAUCCUUCUUUUUUUCUUUUUGGGCACCAUUUUUAAAAUUAAAUCCUCAAAUAAUAUUUAUAAUUAUUUUAUAUACAAAAUAAAAUUUGAAAUUACCUAUUUAUAGAGAUUAAGAUUCAACUCAGCAGCAUGCAGGCAAGGGAAUGUAAAAAAACCUUUGUUGAAAAGCCGGACGACAUGGUAGACUUGUGAAUGUCGUUUGCUCGCGUUGGAGCUUGGAACUCACACCACGUAUUACACGUGACCAGUUCAAGUGUGGACGCUUGGAGAGAAGUGGGCCCACUUAAACCACAUUGGCUUGCUCCUGUCGGUCAUAAGGACCAGUCAGGAGGAGGUAGAAUUGAAACAGGCCCGACCCAAUCCCUCUGCCUGCCAAUCAGAACAAAACGACAACAAGCUAUUUGAAUGGGCUGCUUUUAUGCCAUUUGAGUUCAUGGGUCAGCCCCAUGUCAAAAUUCUGGUCUCUUGAAGAUUAUGCCAACUUAGUUUGGGCCUUACGCUAUGUGCCAAAGUUUUAAUAAAAGAAUUAGGGUUUGUUUGCUUCAUGAUCUAAAAUUACGUUUCAAAAAUCUAGGAUAAGAUCCAAAAAUAUGGAUUGUACUCUAUUUAUAUAAAACCUUAAGAAUUAUGAAAGUGUUGGUGGUAGUUAUGAGUUCAAGUUUGAGUUUCAUAUUUAAAAUUUUCAAUUGAACUGCAUAAUUUGGAGUUUUAUGUCUCAAUUUCAUUAUUCAUAGUCUAGUUCCACGUUGAUGUCCCGCACUAACCCUCACAUAAUAAGGCCCUCUAUCCAACCAACCAUUAUAAUGGGCAUAUUUCACCAUUCGCUUGUUAGAUAUGUUUGGAAGUUUGAAUUGUGUUUUGAGACAAAUGUGUAUAGAAGAUGAACUUGAUGAGAUGACAAAAAUGACAAGAUUCGGACCGGAAUGAGCCGCUAGAUGGUAGAUAUUCAACCGAAACCCUGCCACCUAAAUAUGUUGUUAGAGAGAGGCCUUUUAAGAGAGGGAGAAAAGAGAGAGGCUAAGGUAAAUGGUUUUAAUUGAGUUAGCAGAAAAAUAACAAGAAAUUGGGAUACAAAACACACAUGCAUACACAUCAACUUUUUAGUUUGACAAACACGAACACCAUCUUAAACAGAUAAAGUAUUCCUUUUUGGAAUUGUGCGAUACAUUAAAUUUCAGUACCAAGAAAAACAAAAGUAAAAGAUAUUGGAGAAGUCAUGCUCCUAAAUAAAAACCCAUCACCGUUGAUUUCACUGUUGUACACUUGUAGCCCAACAAACAACGUUGGAUCAAAGCAAGACAGUAUCAUUGUAAUCUACGCCGAAAUUCACUCGACCGCAUCCAUAAAGUCGAAAAUAUAUAAAAGCAUAUAAUAUCAAAAUUAACGUCCCUUUCAAUAGUUAUCACAUCUUAAUAUAUCACUCCCACUUUUCUUUCAUUAUUAUUCUUUAUAGGAAUUUGGCUUCCAUAUUUAUUUCACGCUUUAUUAAAGUCCAAAUUUUCCCCAAAUAAAUAUUCCUCCAAAACACAAACACAAAAAAUUGAAAAAACUAUAUAAUAAAUUAUUCAUAAUAAGCGAGGACGAUGAAUUAUUUAGAUAUCCACGACAAAAUCAGCUAAAAAGCUACGUCCUGCUGCGUCAUUUUCUUCCCCUCUAUUUUUCAGCAACGAAAGGAAAAAAAAAAAAAGAAGAGAUCAGAGACAGAGACAGAGAGAGAGAGUGGAAAUUCCAUCGCUGUGAGGACCGUACGCGUAAGGCUGGGAAUGGAUGAAGAAGAAGGCAGAGACUGCAUUUAUUUUUCAAUGAAGAUUGGUCCGAAUCCGUGAGAUUCACGCAAAUCCGGUUUCCCAGAUCGACUUCCUCUGCAUUGAUUUGUUUUCUCUUUUUUCGACUCAUUUCUCUGUCAAUUUUUUGGAAUAUUUAUAAAUGAACGUCGGCGGGGAGGGGCUCUUGGCUCCGGCGAGGUCGGCGGCGGAUUUAUCGCCGCUGGAGUGGAAGUUUUCGCAGGUCUUCGGAGAAAGGACCGCCGGAGAAGAAGUUCAGGAAGGUACUCUUCUCGAUUGUUUCAAUUCGUUUAAUAUUAUUUAGGGAUUCAGUAUUGAUUUCAUUCUCAUUAUCAUUAAUACUUUUUAUUUAAUGUUGCGAUUUUUCCUUUUAUUGGAUGAUUAGCUUCAGAAAUUGGGCAUUGAAUAUCGAGAAUCGUAACACGCCAAUGGAAUUUAAUGGAUAAAGUGGGAUUUUAUAGUUUGAGGACAGAGUUUAGGUUUAUGAUGGCAGAAACACUUGAGCUGUAGUUGGUAGACAUGUGGCGUGUAUAUUUGAUAACUGAUGCCCGAUGCUGUUGUCAUGAGAUUGAUAUUAUGAAGGGUUUAUCGUUUGGAAUCUUAGAUAGUGAAGUUGAUGGCUGUGGGUUAUCUGGCUAUUAAUUAACGAAACAAAAACAUUGGAUGGCUGUCUGUUUUGUAUGUAUGUAUGUCUGUCUGUCUGUUUUAUUUAUGUUGUUUUUAUUUUUGAGCCCCUACAUUUAGAUGAUAAGUUUAGGAUGCAUUUUGAACAUGCUCUUACGAUUGCGACAUACACAUUUAUAUAUCUUAAGCUCAGAGGGCCUAGAUUUAGAGUGAAGUUAACUGGAAAUCAAUUAUGACGAAUGUAUCUCUUUGAAUGAAUGUCAUCACCCGAGUACUUAUUUUUAAUUUUUUUUUAUAAAGAUACUUCGUAAGUGUUUGAGGGCAUUGAAGUUUUCUUUGGUACACUUCACGUGCACGACUACUUAGCUUGUUUACAUGCUGACUGAUUUUUUGCAGUUGAUAUAAUAUCCGCUAUUGAAUUCGAUAGAACUGGGGACCACCUUGCCACUGGAGAUCGUGGAGGUCGGGUGGUAUUGUUUGAAAGAACUGAUACGAAAGAUGUAAGUUAGUUGAUACAUUUUUUUUGGGAGGCGGGUGGGAGUGUAUUUUCCUUAUAACCAUUCUGCCUUUGUAUUUUUGCUCGUUACACUGUUGUGAUUUAGUUCUUACUGUACGGUGUAAACUUAAAAUAUGUAGCAUGGUGGACAUCGGAGAGAUCUAGAGAGGAUGGAUUAUUCAAUCAGUAGGCAUCCCGAGUUUCGCUAUAAAACUGAGUUCCAGAGUCAUGAACCUGAGGUAUUACUUUCUUUGUGCUUCCCUGUGACUAGUAUAAAUUGACUUUUCCUCCUUGCUGGAAUCUGGAUUUGACUAACUUGCAUCUUUCUUGGUCUUUCCUAAACCCAGUUUGACUAUCUUAAGAGCUUGGAAAUUGAGGAAAAAAUCAACAAGAUCAGAUGGUGUCAGACAGCUAAUGGUGCGCUGUUUCUUCUCUCCACUAAUGACAAAACCAUCAAAUUCUGGAAGGUAGCACUAGCCACUUUUGAACUUUUAUGUGGUUAGAUUAUUAACUUAUAGAUGAUUUCCCCUCAAAAUCUUAUCUCCCUGUACUUAUUUUUAUUCAACCGCAUUGCCUUUUUAAUUUAUAUCUUGUUCCAAACAAAGAUGGCGAUUACUCCAACCAUUUCACUUUACACAUCAUUCUCGUAGUGAACACAAACAUAGACAUACACGCAGAUUGUAGUGAAUGACUUUUUAUAGCUGCUAUAGUACAAUGACUUCAGAUUUAAUUACUUUUAAGUUUCACAUUAUGGAAGGAAAUGUUCUAAUCCUAACCUAAUUCUGAGCAGAUCCAAGAAAAGAAGGUAAAGAAAGUAUGUGAGAUGAAUGUAGAUGCUUCUAAAUCUGUGGAAAAUGGGGCAGUUGGUUCUCUGUCAGCAAGCUCCAAACCGUCUCUUGCAAAUGGAGUAUGUAAAGAGAGACCCAUCAGUUCUCCAAGCAAUGACAAUUCGAUUCCAUCUGGGGGUUUGCCAUCUCUGCACUUGCCCGUGGUAGUUGUAUUCCAUCUGAUUUGUUUAUUUUCUGACAGCAUAUGGUUUUGGUAUUUAAAAUAGUUCCAGAGUCUAUUAUAUUUGACUUUCUUGUUAUAUUAUACUGUGAGAAUUGGCACCUGCAGUUAUUGACAUCUUGGUGAAUGAUAUCGUAUUUUCAGCUCUAACACUUGAACAAUUGUGGAAUCCAGGUGACCAGUCAUGAGACGAGCCUUAUGGCCAGAUGUCGAAGAGUCUACGCCCAUGCCCAUGACUAUCAUAUUAAUUCCAUUUCAAAUAACAGGUGCAUUUUGUCUAUGAACUAAUUUUGAGUCUUAAUUGUAUGUAAUAUACAUUUUGGUAUUGUUGCUUGGCUGUUACCUGGCAUGGUUUCCAUUUUCUAUACACUAAUGUAUCUUACUUUUUGGUUUUGUAGCGAUGGAGAAACUUUUAUAUCAGCUGAUGACUUGCGAAUUAAUCUUUGGAACUUAGAGAUUAGCAAUCAAAGUUUUAAUAUUGUUGACGUGAAGCCUACAAACAUGGAGGAUCUAACUGGUAGAACCCACGGCACUAUGAUGUCCAUUACUUACUUUUCUAAUUGUUAACUAUUGUUUGAAAUACACGACAAUAAAUGGGGCCUUGUCCCAACUAUUCAGGGUUGGCUACAAGACUCCUGGUCUUCCAUUCUUUGCUAUCCUGUACGAUUUUUCGUUAAGCAAUGUGCAAUAAUAUUUUUCUUAGUUACCUUCGACGUUUAAAGAUUUAGAUGUGUAAAUAUAGUUAUUAGUUUUGAUGUUCCUUCUUUACUUGCUGUUUGUAUUUCUCUCCGUGUGGAUUUUUGUACUCGUUUCCUUUCUUAUGUUUUUUUUUUCCUUUGUCCCCCUUUCAUUAUGUUUGGAUGGCUGUGUAGUAAACUAGAUAUGCCUUAUUUAUAUGCUUUGUUAGUCCAACGGCUCCACAUGUGUAAUUAUGUUUCUUUACAUACUUGACUUUUUAUGUGCAGAGGUGAUAACUUCAGCAGAAUUUCAUCCUACUCAUUGUAACAUGCUGGCGUACAGUAGCUCAAGGGGCUCAAUUCGUCUUAUUGAUUUGCGGCAGUCAGCUUUAUGUGACACUCACAGCAAAUUGUGAGUUGUUCAGUCAUUCUUUCUUCCUUCCGCCCUUUUUUGUUUUUACUCUGUUAAAUGUUUUUACCCAUAAAAUAUGAUUUGGUAUUGGAAAUGUAAAGUUCCUUUGACACUUCCUACUUCCUAACUUAUUUUUUCUCUUCACCAAAACAAAUUUUAAAUAUGAUUUAUGAUAUUGGUGCAGGUUUGAAGAACGAGAAGUGCCUGGUUCAAGAUCUUUUUUCACUGAGAUAAUAGCCUCAAUUUCAGAUAUUAAGUUUGCUAAGAAUGGAAGACAAGUACUUAGUCGUGAUUACAUGACUCUUAAGGUUCAUAUUUUCAUUCUCUUAUUUUUUUAAAAGGUUCAUUUUUCAUACUUUGAACCUUCAGAUAUUCUAAUCCUACAAACAAAGUUACAGAACUACCGAUGCUUGAAAACCUUGUUUUAACAUACAACUAUGGGUGCCACAUCUUAACAUCUCACUUAUAUUAUUAUUUUGUUUUUUGUUUUUCAGCUGUGGGACAUAAACAUGGAUUCUGGCCCAGUUGCAACUUUCCAGGUUCAUGAAUAUCUAAGACCUAAGGUGAUGUAUUCUUUCAGCAAGCCGGUUUAAUCACAGAUGAUCUAAAUGAAGAUGAUACAAUUAAAUACAAUAAAAUGCAACUUAUUUUAGUUCUUUACCUUGCUCAGCUGUGCGAUUUGUAUGAAAAUGAUUCUAUCUUCGAUAAAUUUGAGUGCUGUUUAAGUGGAGAUGGGCAUCGAGUGGCAACAGGUUCUUACAGGUUAGCUUUAUUCUCAUACACAUCCUUCGUUGCUAUAACUUAAACUCUGACCUAUGUUGUGUGCGGCUCAACAUAUGAAGAAACACAUUUCUGUGAUUCCAGCAAUCAGUUUCGAGUGUUUGGUUGUUCUGAAGGGAGCACAGAAGCGACGACAUUGGAGGCCAGCAAAAACCCCAUGAGGUAUCUUUUAUAAGUACAUAUAAUUCUCAUUAGGCGUGCGAUGCUGAAAACCAUUUCCUAUAGCAUAGCAUCUUUUAGUAAGAGAGAAACUCUUUUUCGUUAUUUUCUCUUAAACUGAUUUCCUUAAUUUGUUCUCAUGGGCUUCCAGGAGACAAGUGCAAACGCCAUCAAGGCCUUCUAGAUCUUUGGGCAACCUUCCUCGUGUUCUCAGGCGAGGCAUGUGUUUCAUUGUCAAACUCUGAAACUUUUGAGCAGUCAAGUUUAAUUUACCAUAAUUGAUUUCAACUCAAAGUCUCAGACAAACUUGCUUUUGUAGUAAGAGAAAAUUAAAUUUCAGAGAAUGAAUUAGGUUUGAUAAUUCUCUGAUUUAUUCCCUAUUUAAUUUGAUUUAAUGAGGUUUGGUUGCACUUGAUGGUGAGUAGUCAAGUGAGUCUAAACUCAGAAAGUUAUUUCCAUCAUUGUGUUAGUUUGUAUCUCCACUGUCUAUUUGACUAACCUGUCUAUAUUCUUUUUCUUCCAUUAUAAUAUAAAAGGUGCGGAUAACUCUGGAGCUGAUGCGAACGGAAAUUCUUUUGAUUUCACGACGAAGUUGCUACAUCUUGCAUGGCAUCCUACUGAGAAUUCACUCGCCUGUGCUGCUUCAAAUAGCCUUUACAUGUAUUAUGCGUAAAGAUGGUAUCAGAAGUUGUAUGUUUUGGCAGGCAAAGCUUCUCUCGUUACUAUUGACUAAAGGCUGCUCUGCCUUCUUCCCCGGCUAGUGAUGUGAAGCUGCACCCUUAAUCAGAAACUCUGCAAUCCAUUACCUAACUGCGCAACAUCAGGAAACAUUUUUUAGCUGAUGUCAAAGUUUUCAAGGAGAAAUUAGUCUCUCUCCCUCCCGUUGAUGCGGAAAAUUGAUGUUUAUGCUAUACCAUAAGGAGAAUGCCAUUGUCCUAAUUGUGUCUUGUUAAUUGAAGAGAUGUGAUAUUAGCUCAUCUGCCUACGGAAAGAAUACCCGGUCGAUAUUUGCUGCCACAGUAGACACCAAUCGGGCCCUACCCUGAAGCUGGGAGAAGCUCUAGUGGUGCAUCUACUCUGAUUGAUACCUCGGGGCCUUCAACCUUUGUAUUAUUUGAAUUAAAGUUAAAAGGGUUGGUGAAAUUUUAUCACUGUUUUUAUUCUAACCAUUCUUUCCCCUCUUUCAGAAUCUGCUGAUUUUCUUUGAUCUUUAGCAAAAAAGUAUUGGUUCCUUUGGAUUGAAGGCCCCAUGCAAGACAUAUUCUUUCAACAGUUUCACUGGGAACCAAGAUUUGUGGGUCUUAAUUCGUCUGGUUUUCUGGUGUUUUAUUCUUUAGGUAAUGUUUUUUAUGUAGGCAACUGAUCAUCUUCUAUAUAAAUCAGAGGGUCAUAAAAGUGGAAGCCUGAGACUUGUUUUGUUGAUCAUCUGCUCUGCCCUUCUGCUUAGACUCUGCUGACAUUAGUGUUGCCCUUGGGGCUAGAAACUGUAAAAACUCAACUUCUCUUAUUUAUAACCCACUGUUUUAUGAAAUAUAUGGUAAACCAAUACCGAUGAAACCCUUGUGAAGUGAUUUAUAGUUUUACUGCGUGUAUCGUGCACAUUGUGCAUCAUUUUUCCCAAAAUAAAAUUACCACGGUGAAUUAAUUAUUUCGCUUUAUUGGUAUUAACUUUACUACCACGGUGAAGUAAGAUAAACUUGCUUGAGUGGGCUCAAGGCCUGCACGUCAGGCAUGGGCCGUGGCGGUGGACUUUGAUUUGAUGGUCUCAAUUUUGCCACAUUGGUUACUUUAAAUAAAGAGCAGUAAAUAUCAAUUCUCAAUUAAUUGCCUAUUUUGACAGAGUUUACUAUUACUUUAAAUAAAGAGCAGUAAAUAAAUAGUAUGUGUCUGAUUUGUGAGGCUUUUAUUUUUUUUCAUUUUUUAUACAAGUUAUAUUGAGAGAGUGGAGAUUCGAACACAUUAUUUAGUGUUUAUGAGGUCUUAAUCAAUUGCAUUAUAACUUAUAAGCGAAAUUAGAGGAGGAGGAAUCAAACUUAUGACCUCAAUGUAAGGGUAAAUGCUAUUAAUCAUUUGAAUUUUAUUUCAUAAAAUAUUAAUAUGGAUUAAGUGGUUGAUAAGAAUAAAAAUAAUUUUUACCACAAAAACAAAUAAAUAAUAAAAAGAAGAGCCUCUAAAUCCAAUAAUUUAGGAAAAACAAAUUGUAAAAACGUCCAAAAUAGGUAAAUCCCAUAUGUUCUAAAUUCUAUUCCUAGAAAUUGUCAUUUGAUUCAGAUGCAAAACUAACACGGAGAAAAGAGCUUCAGGCCAUUUCAGCUUCCUCAAACUUCUCCUCCUUCUCUCUGUGUCUCUCAGCUCGAAGCUAAGGUCAUGGCUCUGCUGACCCGAGCCUCACGCAUCCCUCUCCAGCUCUCGGCCCAGCGGGCCCUCUCUCUCCACACGACCGUCCCCUCGCUGUCGUCUUCCUCCCCCUCCGGCUCAACUCCGACCACAUAUGCCCGCCCUCCUCCCCCCUCGGCCUCGCUGCCUCCGGCUGGCCUCUCCAAGGCCGCCGAGUUCGUGAUCUCGAAGGUCGACGAUCUCAUGAACUGGGCCCGCCGUGGGUCCAUCUGGCCCAUGACCUUCGGCCUCGCCUGCUGCGCCGUCGAGAUGAUGCACACCGGAGCCGCCCGAUAUGAUUUGGACCGAUUCGGCAUCAUUUUCCGGCCCAGCCCUCGCCAGUCUGAUUGCAUGAUCGUCGCCGGCACUCUCACCAACAAGAUGGCCCCCGCUCUCCGCAAGUAAGUGACUACCCCUUCCGCAUCUCUUAUUUUGCUGAAUUGCUGUUUAGGGUUUUUGAAUUUUUAGCUAAAAGUUGUUUCUUUUAAUGUUAAUUAGAUUUGUAUUUACCUGCUAGAGUCACAAAUUGGAAAAAUUGGAGCUGCGUUUCAGCAGUGUAACGAAACAUGGCUUAUUGCCCAUUGCUUUAUGAAUCUUUGAUUGAAUGGGAUUAACAUGUCUGCCAUUUACCCAUGUUUGUUAUUUUGGAGUUUCUUUGAGAAACCAACUUUUGUUUUGUUGCAUUUUCAUGCAUUCUGCUAAUAAAAAUGCACAUUUCUAGUUAUGCUGAUAGUUUAAUGUUUACUCUUGAUAACAAAAACUGGUUUGUGUUGCGUUGUGUUGUGUUUCUUUUGAUGGAUGGUCAGUAUUCGGAUAGUAUUAUUACAUUUGUUUUUAAGAAUUUUGAUUUCAUUUGGUUGUAUAAUUUCCUGGAUUUUGGGAAUUAGAAGGUAUUGACCUUUUCACUCUUUGUGUUAUGCUAAAGUAUGCACAAGUAAACAAGGGGGAUAAGUGAUUUUGAUAUCUAUGCUGAAACUUUGUUGCAGGGUUUAUGACCAAAUGCCUGAGCCUAGAUGGGUCAUCUCUAUGGGAAGCUGUGCAAAUGGGGGUGGUUACUACCAUUACUCGUAUUCCGUUGUUAGGGGUUGUGACAGGAUUGUCCCUGUUGAUAUCUACGUUCCUGGCUGUCCUCCCACUGCCGAGGCCCUACUUUACGGCCUUCUCCAGCUCCAGAAGAAGAUCAACAGGCGCAAGGAUUUCCUCCUUUGGUGGACCAAGUGAGGGCAUGGAUUCACCUUGUCUUUUGGGGCAGCUUUGGCUAUAUCUAAUCAAAUAAUAAGUCUAUCCGGGGUGGUUUGCCCUGGCUAAGCACCAUGUAAAGGGAUAAUUUUUUUAAAUUUAGAUCCCAGGGUGUCCUUUGUUGUGCUUUCCGCAUAUUUGUGUUGUUUUUUGGGAGCUAUAAUAGCAACCACAGAUUCUGUAAAACUGUUUUUCUGUUGUUAAACUGGGUGCUUGAACUAUCUGCCAUUGUUUAUCGACAUGUUUGAUUGAUUGCUAGAAGCUGCUAGUUUUCUCUUAAUCUGGGAUCAAAUAAUGUGCCUGUAUUUGUUUAAACUCGCGAAUUUUGUGGUUCUAAUUUUGAGUAGCCCUGUAUUGUUGUUGUUCCAGACUCUCAGAGAUUAUCUUUUAACCCUUCUCCUAAUGUUCCUUAGUAGAUCUCGGCUUUCAAUCUGUAAACUUUUGCUGCUUAAAAGCUGUGGUUCAAGUAUAUAUUCUAAUCAAGCUCAAGCUGUGGUCGGUUGCAUUAUACUAUUGUUCACCCUAUAACAGUCAAGAGCUGUGAUAAAGAACUGAUGAAUAUCGGGAAUUAAUGACACUUUCCUUUUGACGGAUGAACUAAAUAUGAAAGAGUGAUGAUCCUAUUGACGGCUUUUAUUUCUUAGAUCCACCUGCAUUGCUGAUCCUCAUUGCCCGAGCCAGACUCGACAUCUUCAUCUCCACAUGCUACCCUCAUUGCCCGAGCCAGACUCGACAUCUUUGUCUCGAUUGCGUUGUAAUGCAUUACACAAAAGCUUUUUGUGUUUUAAUAAUAUCUCUAACGAUCAAUAAUUUGUUAUUUACCACAUAUAUGGACGAGUUAUUCUCUUAUAAGGUUUUGAAGGGAAAUCUGUUUUCCAGUCCAUUAUGUUAAUAAGCUCCUGAUAAAGGAAAGAACAAUGAUAUAUAGAAAUAAUUCUCUCUUUACAUAUUUAAGUUUAUAAUUCUUUUCUACAAUUACUUCUAUUUUACUUCUUGUCACACAUUACAUAUGCUUCAAACUCUAUGUUAUGUUUUUAUAUGUUGAUCGUGAUUAUACAUUUAUUUUUUCUUUUUAUCAAAAUCCUUUGUAAAAAAAAAUUUAAAACACGCUUGUUACCCGAAAAUACUAUACACGCGCUUUCCGUCCGGUAAAGGCUAUAGACCUUUAUUCCCAAACGCAAACGCCAAAAAAUCUCCGUCCCAUAUAAAAAUCCUACUCGUGCGGACCUCACCCAAUUCCUCACUCCCUCCUUUUUAUCUCUAUCGUCUAGGGUUUCUUCCUCUACGCAACGACAAUGGCCGACGAAGCACAAUACUCCUCUGGUCCCGAUUCGGGGAACAACAAGCGCAAAUACGAAGAGCAAACGACGCCGCCUCCGCGUAGAGCCACUGGCUUCUCAGCCCCCAUCACGUCCUCAUCGCCCGAUUCUGCACCUCCGUCCUACAGCAACGUUCCUCCGCCAGUUGAUGACAUUCAGGUGGCCAAGCAGCGCGCGCAGGAGAUCGCAGCUCGAUUGUUCAACAACGCCAGUGGUGGUGUUGCUGCUGGUGGCCUUGAGGCUAAGCGCCCUAGGGUUGAGAAUGGCUUUGAUUCCAUUGACAAGGGCUUUAGCUCUGCUCCACCUGGUUCGCCUCCUCUCGUUAGAGUUUGCUUUAUUUAUUUAUUUAUUUUAUUAUAUGCUUAUUUGGGUUUAGUGUUCUCUUAGGGUUUUCAGUAGUUUUUUUUAUAGCAUACUCGACAUUAACGAGUUGAUGGUUUUAGUUUUUGCUGGGAUUUGUUUGCUAAUAAUUGAUUUGUUCCGAGGUGCUAUUUGUGUUUUGUUGCAUAUGUGUAUGCUUUGAUUAUGAAUAUGUAUGCAACAAUUGUGAUUGUGUCUUGUUGAAUGCGAUACAGAUUUGAAGCCUCACUUGUCAAACACAGCUCCUUCAUCGAUCCCUGUAUCGUAUGGUAGCUUCCAGGGCUCAAGCAAAAAGAUUGAUGUUCCAAAUGGAAGGGUUGGUGUUAUUAUUGGUAAAGGUGGUGAGACUAUCAAGUAUUUACAGACUCAGUCUGGAGCCAAGAUUCAAGUUACCCGAGAUGGUGAUGCGGACCUCAGUGCUCCAACUAGGAUGGUGGAGCUCAUGGGUACUCCAGAGCAGAUCGCAAAGGCUGAGCAUUUGAUAAAUGAAGUUCUGGCUGAGGUUCUACUUGUGCACUUAAUUUUUAUUUUUAUUUUUUAUAUUUGAGUUUUAUCAUGCAUCUGCUUGUGAUAUAUGUAAAAGUUAAUGCAUUUAAAUUCUGGAUUAUCAUCAUGGUCAUUUUUUGUGCUAAGUUUUAGUUAGAUGAGUUUUAUCAAAUUGGCUUAUAUUUCUGCAGGCUGAAUCAGGAGGUCCUGCCAUAGUUUCACGAAGGUUAACAGUACAAGCUGGUGCUGAACAAUAUGUUACAAAAAUUCCUAACAACAAGGUACAGAGGUUUUUCUGCUUUUAUCAACGUGUUCUAGGGGUUUGGUUCUUUCGGAUUGGUGACUCUGUAAUUCCAGGUUGGGCUUGUAAUUGGGAAAGGAGGUGAAACGAUUAAAAAUAUGCAAGCUAGGACUGGAGCUCGUAUUCAGGUUUGAUUUGAAUCUUGGAAAAGAUCUUGGUCUUUUCUCGUGCAAUUAUCUGUGCUUUUCUUUGUGGAACAUGAAAAACAUAAAGCAUUUUUCAAUCAGUUUUUUUGAUAUAUACCUUCUAUGUAAGGUUGUACCUGGUUUUACUAUAAUAUUGGUAUAUGUAAUGUGCCUUAGUAGUGGAAUCAAAUAUAGCAUGAUGGUUUUGAUUUGAAAGUCUGUAUUCUAUAUAGGUGAUUCCCUUGCAUCUGCCACCUGGUGACACAUCAACAGAAAGGACACUACAGAUUGAUGGGACUAGUGAACAAAUUGAAGCUGCAAAACAGUUGGUCAAUGAAGUUAUUAGCGAGGUAUGUGUGAUUAGUGUUUGCCUAAAAAUUUGGCCUUGUACACUUGUAGUUUGUUGUAGUCUGAAUUUGUUAAAUCUCAUGAGAAGUAAGCUAAAGUAGAUAUGAUUUUCUCAGAUUUUCUUAAGGCUACUUUAACUUCUGUCUAUGCCUUUAAUUUGUGCACCUCUACUUGCUCCAGUUAGUUUUUUCCCCCUCACAUUUGCUUCUUGAUUUGUAGGGCUGCAUUUAGUAUACAACGAAGUUGUUUCUUCUGUUUGGCACUGCUUCUUGAUUUGUAGGGCUGCAUUUAGUAUAGUACGAGAGUUGUUUCUUCUGUUUGGCACCCGUACUGCCCCAUAGUGCUUACUGAAAUAUGUCUACUGACCUGUUUGAAUGGUGAUUAGUCCAGUCUUUCCAAUAUAUCUUAUGUUCUAACUUAUUUUAAUAGCUUUGGUGGUCUCGCACUUUUGCAUUUUGUUCUGGUUUUAGUUUUCUUUCUUGCAGGGUACGUAAGUCUUAAAACGUAUAAUUUUUAUUUUUAAAAACUCUGGCAAAAUAUUUUGUUUAGGAGCUUCUAGAUUAUCUUUAUCUUUUGAAGUAGUAUCACCUCAUAUACAUCUUUAAUCUUAUCUAUACCUCUGUGAUUGAUUUUAUAUUGCGGAUGACUUUAUUCUACAUUCUUUCUUCCAUGAAGUUGAUUAUUGAUCUGAGUUCCAUGUCGGUUACUUGCCUUUAUACUAAACUAUUUUUUCUGAUAUGAGAUAACUUUACCAAACAUAUACCGUCCCUAUAUAUUGUAUUUGGUAGUCUAUAAGGUUGUACAUUUCACCGUGUCAUGAAAGGUGUAGAUGCUUUCCACUAUUGUAAACUCAAAUUUUUUGGCCAGUGUUUGGGCACAAUAUGUUUAAUGUUGCUCUAGUUUUGCACUUGGUAUUUUGAACAUGCUUAUGGACCCAAGUAUCAUGAGGUAUUGAGGAUUGGAUAAGUUUCUAUUGUCCUCAAUUUCCUUUCUUCAUUUUUAGUCUUAUUAAUCCAGAAGUUGUAUUUUCCGCUGAUCUUGUUACCAUGGACAGCAUAGCUGGCUGAGGUUUUAAGUUAACAUUCCAUGUGAACACUGGAAGGAGCCCGCUUCUGCAGUUAUAUAUGCGUUGAGUAUUGAAUCAUAUGCAGGGUUCUAGUUUCAACUUAGGAAACUGGAGAGCAUGGUAAUCAAUUUGGAUCUCCUAUAGAUGAAUCUCUAACUGUCUAUAUAGAACCUGCUGUGUCUUCUGAAUUGUUAUAUUAAAUAGAUAUGUUAUAUAUCUGCAAUAAGUUUCUUCUUCCCGUGUGAUUGAUGCAGAAAGUGGCUAAUUUGACCUUAAUGGACAGAGUGAAAUAGCAGGUUGAACUGCCAAAUUCUUUUAGGAGUGAUUAUUAUGACACGUUGAGCUGUUCUAGGUCAUAUGCUAGCUUAUUCAAAAUUUAGUCUGUGGAGGUCUUAUACAUACAGGUUUAGGUUAUCAAGUCACAUGGAAGCUUCCUUAACUCCAAUAAUGCUCAACGGUACAAUUAGUUGUUCAAUGAGUGAAAUUAUUGGGAUAACAGAUUGUUCUACCAUCAAUGUGCUUAUUUCUAUUGUAUCAUGUGACUGAUUUUCUUAUUGGGAACUGUUGUAGGGUUAGUUUGUAUUGGACCAUUGGUGACACCAACAUGUUAUCCUUUGUGUUGGUGUUCCCUCAGCAUCACUCUGGUAUGGUUCUAAAUCCGAUUUCUGGCAUUUAGUAAUGAUAUUGCGGAGAGAAGCUUUGUCUUGGAAAAAUCGAAGGUUAAUAGUAUAUUUCAGGAUAAUUUGAGUCCCUUUUUUUUAAUUUUUAUAAAUGUGUAAAAUAGUUGUCUUUUAACUCAAUUAAACUAAUGAGAUUUAAAUCCUAGUUUUUUUCUUGUCACUUUGAUUUUAGGCAUAAUUAUAUAGCGCUUCACCUGGGUUGAAGCUUCUAUUAAAUUCUAGAUUUUCUUAAUAUCAUAUUGCAAAUAAUUUAAUUGUUUGUUUUGUAGUGGUUUUUAAAUGUUCUGUGUUUUUAUUGUUGUGGGAAUUUCCUUAGAUUAUUUGUUUGGAAAUUGUCCUUUGCUUCCACUAACUUUUAAUUCCUUUGUCUUUUGCUGGAUUUAAUAUUUAAGUACCAUUUUAUUCAGUCCAGCUUAUUUUUGUUGAACUUGAAUAUAACAAAUCUGUCAGUUUUACCUGCUUUCUCUUCGUUCUCCUCUUUUUUUAAUCCUAUAUGAUGUCUUCUGUUAGAAAGAUAUUUUCUGAAUAUAUCACUAGACAUGAUUUAUGCUUCCUUUAUCCUGAAUUGUUCCAGUCUUCUUGUUCCUUCCCUCUUUUUUCUCGCAGUUCUUCUGUGUAUAACAAAAUGUGGAUGGAUGCUUGCUGCUUAUGUGUUAUGUGCUUAUUCUGUCAAUUUUAGAUCAGCUUCAUACUUGUGGGAAGUUGAAAGGGUCUAUUUGUGUUAGCUUUUAAGAUGAUCCCUGGAGUUUAUGUCCCUGGUUGAUGCAUACAGGUUUUUCUCUAUUGAUAAAGAUUUAUGUCUUUUACAUAAGUUUAGAUAUUUGACUUCGACUGAUUACACCUUUUUUCUAUGUUCCGUAAGUUUGGAUUUUACUGUUGAUCCCAUAAUGUGGUAAGCUAUUAGUGAUGUUUUAGUACAAGGACGAUGUCCAGAAGACUGGAAAUGUUUCUAGGAUGUCUAUUUAUUGAAGCUAAACUGAUUCCUAUGCAUUGCUUGGAUAUUUGCUAAUCUAGUCUAUUGUGUGCAUGUUGCACUUAUUGCCGUUACGUUGUUGCCUCUUGUGGCAAUUAGGGUUAAAUGUCAGUUUGCUUUUUAUGUAAAAGCUUCUAUAUAGUAUUGUGUUAUUCUCGUACCCAUUCACUUCAAAUAGGGAGAGGGUGGGCUUCUGCUGGAGUAACUGAAUUUUUACAACCACCAGUACGGUAUGUAGGCAUUUACACCUUUUUCCAAUAUAAUAUGAAAUCCAUUAAUCACUGUAAGAUGUUUUUUGGUUUUUCCUAUAUGUUAUGUGUUCUGUUGAAUCUUAGAAAUUUUCAUUUAUACAUGUUUCCAAUGUUUGUUUUUGUACAUGCUGUGUUUGUGUUUCUUUAUUCCUCCAUGUCCCAGUAUUAUGGGAAGUUCGCCAUGGUUAUUUUGUUAAAACAAUUUUCUUGCAGAAUCGUGUUAGAAAUCCAGCAAUGGCUGGAGGAUACUCUCAGCAAGGUUAUCAAGCGCGCCCUCCCACUGGCUGGGCUUCUGGUGGACCUCCAAUGCAACAACCUGGUUAUGGCUAUGGACAGUCUGGAGCAUAUUCUGGCCCAUCACCGCAGUAUAAUGCUGCCCAGCCUCCUUAUCCAGGUUAUCCCCCUCAACCAACAUCUGGUGGAUAUCCCUCCAAUUGGGACCAGUCAGCUGCUGCACCAACUCAGCAGACUUCCCAGGGAAGUGGUUAUGAUUACUAUGGCCAGCAACAACCAUCACACCAACAACAAAAUCCUGGUGGUCCCGCUGCACCCGCUGACAAUGCUGGUUACAAUUACGGCCAGCCGCCUGUUUCAGGCUAUAAUCAGCAAGGACAAGGUUAUCCUCAAGAAGGCUACGGUGGGUAUCAUGCACCACCUCAGUCUGGGUAUGGUCAGCCACCAUCGUAUGAUCAACAGCAGGGAUAUUCUGCAGCUGGCUAUGGUAAUGUGAGUAACCCAACUCAAGAUGGACAUACUUCCUCUUAUGGAUCUCAGGGGGAUUCAGCCCAAGCACCACCUCCUGUUCAGCAAGGAUACAGUGCAAGUCAACAGCCUAGCCCUAACCCUGCAGGUUACCCACCCCAAGGGUCUACUCAGCCAGGCUAUGGAGUACCCCCAACUUCUCAAACUGGUUAUGGUAGUCAACCACCAGCUCAGGCUGGAUAUGGAGCUGGAUAUGGAGCACCUCCAGCACAAAAACCUCCUGCAAAUCCCGCAGUUUAUGGGCAAACCACACAGUCGCCCAGCACUCCUGGAGCCUAUGGUCAGCCAGCACCUGUGCAGCCAGGCUACGCCCAUUCUCAGCCCCCACAAUCUGGUUAUGCUCAGCCAGAUUCUGCUACCCGUGCCCCAUCAUCCGGCUAUGGCGCAGCUCAGGCUGGGUAUGGGCCUCCAUCCUAUGGUGCACCACCCGUUGGUCAGCCGGGUUACGGGCAGGCGCCACCACCUUACAAUGCAUCUUAUGGUGCUGGAUAUGCACAACCUCCUGCCUACUCUGCUGAUGCCAAUGCAAAUGGGAACACUCGCGGGACAUAUGAUGCUGCACCUGCUUCACAGGCUGCUCAGCCAAGUGGAGUUGCCAAAACUUCCCCACAGAGUUGAUGUGUUACGGUGAGUGGGUUUUAACAGAUUGGUUAGUGCCCUUGAUGUUUUAUUGUAUUUUCUGUAGUAGCAAGGCUAGUUAGGUUAGUUUGAAUGGGACAUCGUAUUUGGUCUUAUGUGUUUGGUAUUUUGGGUUUGUAAGGAUAUGAUGAUUACAAGAAUUUGUUGGAUCUUGCUCUCUCUCGUUUUCUAUGUUCCCUCUGAAUACUUGUCCAAUCUUUUUCACUCUUGUUCAACUUCCUCUAAAUGGCGGGUGUAUUUGAUUUGUGAAGUGACAUUGAAAAUCCAAUGGAUCCCGUUUGUUUAUUAUAUUCUUGAUGUUUUAAAUGGGAUUUUAACUUGAAAACGAUACUAUUUGUUGCAAUUCUGAUGGUGGUUAUUAUUAUUAUCUUUUGGACGGAAAAAAAAACACCAUCAGAAUUGCAACAAACAGUAAAGAGUCUGAAGGAUUAUUAUGGGACCCAAAAACAAAGAAAGAUUUAACUCAUUAUUAACAAAUUAGAAGGUUUUUAUUAAGAAAUAGAAAGAUAUGCUGAGAAUGUAUUGAACAGAUUUCGAAUAAUAGUUGCUAUAAACUUAUUUCUAAUAAUAGGCGCAUAGGCACUUAAAAAAGAAUGUAUUUAUUUAUACCUGUUCACAUUUAUUUUUUCAAAUAACCUCUCUCGACGAGAUUCCGUCGGCAGAGAUCUAUCCCGGCGAAGUUUGCCAAAUAGAUCUCUCCUGACGACAUUUCGUCGGAACAGGUUCUCUUGGUUUUUUUAAAAUAAAUAUAUUUUAGAAAUAUAAAAAUAGAUAUUAAUUUGGCAUUAAAAAAAAUAUUGAAAAAGGACCCUCUUAGUUGCAUUAGUUUAUACUUUAUCGAUAUUAAUUUGGUAUAGCCGUGCGGUAUACAACUUAAAAGUUCGGCCAUUAUAUAAUAUGUGAUAAUUAUGAGAUAUAAUGUGUAUAAAACGUGAAUUAUUAAAAUUUUUGUAAAAGAUACAUGUAUUAAAAAUGAAAAUUACGCAUGUCCAUGCGUAUAAUAGCGCGGCUAUACUAUUUAUUUUUUUUUUUUAAAAAAGCGGAGUGAAGCCCUGGGGCUAUACUCUUUUUUUCUUUUUUUUUUAAAUUCGAAAAAACAGGGUAUAGCCGGGCGGUUAUACUAUUUCCUUUAAAUUUUUUUAAAAAAGAGUACCGCCACGCGGCUAUACUAUUUAUUUAAAAAAUAAAAAAAGCCGAGUAAAGCCCGCGCGGCUAUACUAGAAAAUUAAAAAAACGGAGUACAACUGUGCGGCUAUACGAUUUCUUUUUAAAAAAAUUGAAAAAACCGAGUCUAGCCGGGCGGCUAUACUAUUUCUUUGAAAACAAAUUUAAAAACCGAGUCUAGACGGGCGGCUAUACUAUUUCUUUGAAAACAAAUUUAAAAACCGAGUCUAGCCGCGCGGCUAAACUAUUUCUGUUUUAAAAAAUUGGAAAACCGAGUAUAGCCGGGCGGCUAAACUAUUUCUUUUAAAAGAAUUGAAAAACCUUGUAUAGCCGACCGGCUAUACUAUUUCUUUUUUACACAGCUAUACUAUUUCAUUUAAAAAAUUGGCAUAAACCGAGUAUAGCCCCGCUAUACUAUUUAAUUAGCAUAAUCUUGAUUUCUCAUUUUUAGUUACUUUGAUUUGUAGUUAUCUUGUGAUUAUUAUUUACUUAGUGAAUAAUUAAUAUCUAAAUAUUUUAUUAAAAUAAAAUAAUUAAUGACUAUUUAUUAAGUAAUAUAAUUUAUGAAGUUAAUUAAAAUAUUUAAUAUUAUUAUUCACUGAAAAAAUAAUAAUUAAAACAUAAUUACUAAUGGAAGUAAUUAAAUAAGGCUAAGAUAUUAUUUGAUUAGUAAAAAGAAAAUUUUGAAAAAAAAUUUAUUGACCUAAAGAUUAAGUUCUAUUGGCAAGAUAAUCAAAUUUUAUUUAAAACUACAUCAAAUAAAAUAUAUUGCUGAUUCUUAACAUUGAAAAUUGUUUACCAAAAUGAAAUUAGCCCAACAAAAAAACAUGAGUUUUAAAUAAAAUAAGGGGUUGCCCGAUUUCAUUUGUUUGGCAUUGCUGCCAUGUGAAAAUAAUCGCUGUCAGAUUUGCUGUGAGAGAAAUCAACUGUGAGAGAAAACAGUUCGGUGUUUGGUAAAUUUUUUGUUAAAAGUGUUGUUGGUAUUGACUUUACACAUAAUCAGAAAAUGAUUGCUGCAUAAUCAUUAAACCCAGCGCCUCUUCGAAACUGAUUCUUGCAUAAUCAAAAAAUGAAAGCACCUUAUUAGUUGCUUUCCUUUAUAAUUUUUCUCACAGCAAUUUUUAAUAAUAAGUGAUUUUCUCACAAUUUAUCAAACGGGUUGGGCUUCUCAAAAUUUUUAAAAAAUUACUUAUUAUCCCAAAUAAGCAAUGUCAAAUGAGCACUAAGGGGUGGCUUUGAUGACGUGGAAUGAAUUUAGUGGCGGGAAUGAACACCGGAUAGACUUCACCGGACAGUAAUAAAUUGCACGCCAAACUUUGCUUGGUCGCUACUCCACGACUGUAGCGUAAAAACCCCCAAACAAAGAAAAAAAAUACCAAAAGUUCUCUUGUAAACGAGAACAGAGCACCAGAGCAGCAAGGUAUGUUGUGCUGUUUAUGAAUCUGCAAUUUGAUUCUCUACGCAUUCGCUUGUUUCAGAUUCUUCUUGCAUAUGAUAUAUCCAUGGUUUUUAAUCUGUUAAAUUCAACUCCCACAAAAACCCAUAUCUGUCAAAAGCUUUUUUUGGCAUGGUCUGGUCUGUUUUGCCUGAAAAUUUUCACUUUCAAAUAUGGUGAUUUCAUUUUGAGACGAGACAUUAGUUUCAAGAUACCAUUUUGGUUGGUUAUCUAUCUUUAAUCCAGGGAAAGAAAAAGGAAAAAAGAAAACUGAUGAUGGCCUCGAAGCUGGUUCAAUUGCAAGGCAAGGCUACUCAAGCUUCAAAGGUUGCGGCUGAGUAUGGAUCUUCCUAUUACAAGCAGCUUUUGGAGAAGAACAGGCAUUACAUUCAGGAGCCACCCACUGUUGAAAGAUGCAACCUUUUGUCCAAACAGUUGUUUUAUACCCGUCUUGCAAGGUAAACCUUGCUUGGCUUGCCCUGUCUGAUUUCAAGAAGAUUUCUAUUAGAGACACAUUGCUUGGCUUGCCCCCUUGAUCUCUAUCAUUAUCUUUUACAGUAUACCGGGGCGCUAUGAAUUGUUGCGGAAGGAGGUUGAUUCUGUCAAACAACUGUGGAAGAACAGGCAGGAGCUGAGGGUGGAAGAUGCUGGGAUUGCUGUCCUGUUUGGCUUAGAAUGCUUUGCCUGGUUUUGUGCUGGUGAAAUUGUAGGUCGGGGAUUUAAAUUCACUGGUUACCAUGUCUAGGUUCCGGAUGGCCUUGAUCUAAUUAGUUGAUUUUGUUUUCUAUAUUUAGAUUCAUUGUUAUCAGAGAGAUGAAACUCAGAGGAACGAAUUUAUUAACCCAUCAACCAUUCUCCAUUUUAAUGUUAUAUCUAUCUACUGCGCACGCACCAUUAUGCUUUGUAUGCACCUUAUCUAGAAUUGCACUUGAAAGAUCCCAAUUUGUGGACUUUCUUAGACAUACUAGAUUCAAUGUUCAAUUAAUCUUGGCUCUCUCUCUCUGGGAAGCGACACUCUAGUUUUUCAAAUUAUUGGAAACCACCAUAAAACGAUGAUACUCAGUCUUCAGAAUCUAUGCUUUCAUAAAUCAAAGCAACGUUCACCAAAAUUAUUACAAAAAGAAUAUUAAAAAAAAAAUAAUACAUAUCCUGGAUGAAGGCCUAAAUACAAAACUUCUCUCCUAAAGAUGUUGAGAGUAGGGAUCUUUUGCCUUUUAUCUUUCCGUGUUGUACGAGAAAGCCAGUAUAAUAUUGGGUAGUAAAAUAUCGUAAUAUCCUUUAAAUAAGGUGGUUCCUAAAUGCCAUUAUCAUUUUUGGUGAAAAAAACAAAAUGAACGCCAAGAAGGAACCAAAGAACAGUUUGAUAGCAUAUCUAGCAGGGUCGUGAUCAACUUCUUCUGAGGUAGUUCUUGGGGUUGACAUGGGUUUUGCCAGUGGUGCGGCUUCAAUUACUGCAUCUGCUAGAUCCAUAAUAAAUGAAGGAGUACAGCCAAGGGCAGGCACUCGGCCCCAAUUCUCAAUGCCGGAUUCGAGGGCCAAUUCCUUGUACUCCAUAUCAAUCUCUUCAAGAGUCUCUAUGUGCUCACUCACGAAGCUGGACAAGAAAUAGAUGUCAGAUUUACUUAAUUCUCUUUUGAGUGAUAUGAAGAACCGAAAAUGUCAGAACCACAAACCAAAUGGUAUUCUCUAAUAGCCCUAGAUAUACAAGACAUCAGAGUGUCAUGAUGAAGUGAAAUACCUGACUGGAACAGCUAGCAGACUUUUCACACCUUUCUGGCCAAGCUCCACAAGAACUUCAUCAGUAUAGGGCUUCAGCCAUUGUACAGGACCAACUCGGCUCUGAUCACAACCCAAGCACAAAAUAAGGAGGAAAAAUAAUCAGAAAACAACAUUUACACAAGUUGGAGCCCUACAUGGUAGACAGCAACCAACAAAAGUUCUGAGAAUCAAGAAAGCCAGAAAAGUAAAAGCUAGAACUCAGAAAAUGGACUUUUAUAACCAACCUGAUAAGCAAGAGUAUGUUCAUUGUUGAUCCCUCUAGAUUUCAACUCUUUCAUUAUUAAGAAGAUGCACUCCUCCAUUUGAUCUUUGUAUGGAUCUCCAGCAUCCUUCACAUAACUCUCUGGUACCCCGUGGGCACUGAAGAAUAUCAUGACCUAAAUUUCAUACAAAAUUAGUAAUGCUUACCAGUGCUGUUAAGUUAGUGGAAUAACCAUACAAUAAAUUUGAAAAAUAUGCUUGAUAGCAUCAUUUGACCAAAGAGAAACAGAAAUUUAAUUCCAUUGAAAGAGCCAUUUCAGAUGAGUCCGUGAAUUAAUCAAGCGCACCUGUGCAGGCUCAGAAAAUGUUUCUAGCUCUUUGGAAAUCAAAUCAGCCAUUGACUUAAUAUAGCCUUCACGUUGAUACCAUGAGUUUAUAAUAGAAACAGGCAACCUUGAUAGGUAGGCGUCUUUCCUGCAAGUGGGCUAACAUUCAGGAAAAAUUGAACAAUGUAUAAAAAUGUAUGUAGUUACAUAAAUUGACAGUGAAAUGUCACCUGAAAAUAUCUUGGAGCACACGAAUGCUUGAUCCGGUUGUAGAGAUAGAAAAUUGAGGAUAUAGAGGUAACACAACAAGCCUGGUUAUUCUGUCUUUCUUAAUCUGCGAAAGGUAAUGGAAGAAAUUUCAGUUAUUUGAUUCACUCAAAUAGAAGAUAGAUGUAUAGAUUGAAGACUUUUAGGUGACAAUUCUAUCUUUUCACAUCAUUUACAUUAACCAAAUCAAGUAGCUUACUCCUUGGAAGUAUUAAUAUAUGAUAUGUGUGUUAUACAUGUAGAAAUUAAAGACUCACUUGCUGAACUGCUUCCUCAGUGAAUGGGUACCAGUAACGCAUUCCCACGUAGACAUUUACAGGCAAGUCUUUUGACUUCAAAGCCUUUUUGAGUUCAUUUGCCUGUAAAAAGUAGCAAAAACCAUGUAAGUGCGAAAAUAAAAGAACAAACCAACAAAUAGUCUAUUUAAUAAUAAUUCUUGCAGAGCAGUUAUUCUUUUCUUUGGUAAGGAAACAAGACAGAUUAUACAAACAAAACUAAAGGAAACAUUUCAACCGGACAAGUCAUGUAUCUGCUCUACCUGCUCAUCUGUUAUUUUUCGCAACGGUGAACCACCUCCAAUAGCAGCAUACCCUUCUUUGCUUUUGGGAGCUCGAAGCACAGAAAUUAAUUUUGCCAAUGGUUGCUGGAGAAACUGAAACAACCUUGGGAGCCGGAUGAUAUCCUGGUUCACACAACAUGGCAAUUUAUCAGUAAAAGUGUGUAAACAACUAAUGGGGACACAGACUAGGCAAGUAAGCUUGAGUAGAACAUACCGGAUCCGCAAAUAGAUUGAACAAAAAUGGUUGAACAUCUUGAAGCGUCUCUGGCCCUCCAAGAUUGAGGAGGAGGACUCCCACUUUCUCUUCCGCAGUAUGGGAAUGAGAUUCUACCGUCCCAGCGUAAGUGUAUACACCCGCAGGACAUAAUGUUUCCCCAACAGGGCUUUUCUUACAAGAAUGUGAUACCCCAAACAUGUCUCCUUUAUCGCUUGGCGUAGAGCACGAAACCGUGAGCUGUUUCGGAAGUCGCAAUCUCUUGGAUGAAUGGCAAGAGUCAAAUCCAAGGGAUCUCGAGGAAGAGCACGACCUGCCACUAAAUACAUAUACACAUUUACUCAAUAUCUCAGCUCAACAGAAACUCCGAAACUUUUAAACCAAAACCCAAUUGCCAUAACUCAAAGCUUCUAUUUGGUGGUUGUAAAAACGUAAACUUUUAAUACGAUUUUCCGGGAAACAAGAAAGCCAUAGAAGAGAAAGCUUACGCUCAAGAAAUUGAAGGACUUUCUUGCAUAAUUUAUAUAAAUAUAUGAAUCUAAUACCAUAAAAGAGCCAACUUUACUGAUCCAAACACAAAAACACAGACAAUUUUUUACGAUCGGAGGGCUUACAUCGAUAAUUUAUGAUCCGAAUGGGAAAGCUUCAUUUGGGGAAGAACCCCGGAGCAUGAGGUGGCGUUCAUGGCGUUUGGCGUCCAAAAAAUAAACACAAACUUUUCUCAGAACCUUGAAGCGUAACAGAAACGUCUCAGCACUUCUUUAACAAAGUCGCUACCCUCUCUGUCUCUUAACUACUCUACUACCUACCUUCUCACUCUGCUACUAAUUCUAAUUUUUGGUUGAAUACGUGUUUGAAUAAUUGGACCAAAAACUAACGAAUACGUGUUUGAAGACUUCAACCCCCACGUCAGCGAGUCUAACCAAAAGGCGGUUGCCAUUGUUUACCCUUUUUUUACCUGGAAGUUCGCCGUCACGUGACGUCACGUGUUGAAAUAGUUGGGCCUGGGAAAGCUCAAAAUGAUGUGUUUAGCCCAAUAUAAAAGUCAGGCCCAACUAUUUCAACACGUGGGCUUUGAAAGUGGGCUUUGACUUGAUGCUUCUUCCUCGUACACGUUUAGGGUUAGGCAUCAGCACCUAUAAAUUCGUAGUUAGCUCAGUCCCUCAUGCCUCUUCUCUUCCAUAUCUGCCUACUUUUCCAUCUGGAACUCAAAAGCUGCCUGCAAUUGUUCUCCGUUACUUGGAUUACAGUGUUGUAUGAACGCUUCUUGGUAAUUAAAUUUCAUUUGAAUUAUAUAUAUUUGUUUUGGGUUCUGGUUUCUGGGUUGUGGGUUGUGUUUGUUUUCAGAAAUUGAAACCGGGGCUCCAUAUUCGAGUCAACAGCAGGCGCCCAUAUUGGUGGCGACCCGACUGCCGCUUGGAGCCGAUAGUAAAAUUAUAGUAGUGGGUGAAGAUCCUUGAAACUCAAACCCAGUUUGUUUCAUGACACAAUAUCCACUAUACAUUUUUUCAUCUCUCUGCUGUUUUAUUUAUUAUUUUAUUUUAUUUUUCUUAAAAUAAUUUGUUAUGAUUGCAUUUUUUUUAACUGGUAAGGUAAAAGUGAAGUAGGAAGAAGUGAAUUUUGGCACUCCAGUCAGACACGGGUGUUUGUUACUGAAUUACAAUAACAAUCAACCUUUUGCAUGGUGCCUAUAAAGAGCUACUUAUCACGAUUGGAGGAAAGCCAUUCAUUUUCCACGCUUUCCUUCAAAUUCAAAGCAGCUAAAUCUUCUUAAGUAUUUUCUGGUCUAGCUUUCAGUACAUCAAGCAAAUUGGUUUUUUUUUUUUUAAAUUACAAUCUGUUGGGUUUUGAUUCUUUUGGGUCCCUGAAAACAAUGGGUUAAAGACCAUAAUAAUGUUGAAUCACCAGAAGCAGAGAUUAAAGAAGCCUCCCUGUAAAUGAAAAUAAUGAAAGAGUGUUUUGGGCUCUAAAUAUACGAGUCAACAGCAAGAACCAAUUAAAUUCCAUGGUGCCUUGACUGCCGCUUGGAGCCAAUAUGAUAUUUGCCAAUAGAAAUUGUUUAGCUUGAAAUGCUCUCUGGUUUCAUGCUACAAUCUUUGGCUACAUUCAUUCAUGAUUCAACGUCUCACUUCUCAUAAUGGGUUAAAAUUGUAGUUUCAGUGGUUGGAUUUGAUGCCUUGUUCAAUUGUUUUGUGAUGCCUUGUCUAAUUUGCUGUUUCGAUGUUUGUGUGGUUGCAGCCUUGCAGAUUGCAUGUUAGACCCGUGAUUAUCUACAAAAGGCUUGACAAACAAAAACAACCAUGAGGUGAAGACUUGUUCAAGAUUUCGAAUUAUUCUAACGGUCCGACAGUUGUGUUGAACGUGAUGUCACUCCAUGAUUCAUCGGCAUCGGAUUCACUUUUGGAUUUUCCGAAGAGUCAAGAGUCACCAAUCCAAAAGGAGCUGAGGCCUAUUGGCCGAAAGGUGGCUAAGGCGAAGAGAAGGAGUAAUUCUUGCAAUAAUACAUCAAAAAUUUUGGAGGAAAUUGUGAGGCAUGGCGCCAUGAGAAUUGAAAUAGACAUACGCGCCCAAGCAAACGAGAGGACAAUUCAAGAAGAAUAUGCAAAAGAAAGGGAGUAUAUACGCAAAAAAAAUAUUGACAAGCAAGACCGGGAAACUAUGGCUAUGAAUACAAGCCAUAUGUCCCCUGAAACAAAACAAUUUUGGAAGUUAGAACGAAGGGAUGUUAUGAGAAGAAGACUCUUCCGUGAGGAUGGACCUAGCAACACGGAUUGGUUAAAUGAUCAAAAUCAUUAAGUUAGUUUGCUUGCCUUUUAUUUCAUUGUAUUUUAAUGUUUUGUAUUAAAGUAGUUGUAAUUCAUGUAUUUUAUUUAAUUAGUAGUAAUUCUAAAUUACUUGUAUUGGUUUUCUUUGAGUGAAUAAAGAAAGCAUUCAAGAAAAUACAUUUUUAUUCAACACAUUUCAUACAUCAAACAAAAUAUAAUUUUAAAAAAACCACAAUCAAAGCAUAAUUAAAAAAAAAAAUCACAACCAAAGUUUAAUUAAAAAUAAAACAUAAACAAGGCAUAAAUAAAAAUAUUCUAAAAGUUAAUUAUUUAGGUUUAAAAAAAAAAAAACCAAAAGUAAAUAGUAUUUGUUCUUCGCUAUGACAAUAUGUGAAAACACACAUUGCUUUUUGCAAGGGCAGCCACUAUUCAUGUAAAUAGUGUCUUCCCUAGCCCCCCCCUUGCCCUUUGCCAUGGCAAAUAGGUGAAAAUGCUCUUAUGUACUUGCAAACAAAAUGGACGAAAUAAAAAGAAUUUGAGUUUCAGUCAAUCAUGCUCGUUUUAUCAUUGCCAUCAAGUCUGUAGAGUUCCCAGCGAAGAGGAAUUAUUCAAUAACAACUUACCAACAAAACCUAAAUAUCGGCACAUAUCGCCAAUGAUUCAGGCAAAGCAACAAUAAGUUCAUUAUCAGAAAGGUUGUUUACAUCAUUGUGUAGUUUGAAGUCCUAGGUUUCAAACGCAUCACUUUAAUCUAUAUUAUCAUAACAGACUAAGGUCUGGAGCAGACAAAGGGAUGAAGAAAGUACAGCUGCAACCAACAAAAUCCACCUCAAGACUUCUCUUUUCAGAUUUUUUGGAUUUAAAUACUAGUACAGUCAUGAUUUAAAAUUUAAGAAUUCAUAAUCACAGGACAUCGGUUUCUAAGAUGGCACUGAUUGAAGAAUGAUCAGGAGUCAUUAAUCAGGUUCUGGUGUACAUAAGAGCAAGUCCAGCAGUGGGAGCUGGACUCGGGCUGGGGGGGAUUUGGGCAAAAAACGGAGGUCCAGCAGAGAAGAAGCAGCCCGGGCGAGCGUGGGGUCCACCAAACAGGGCAGGCCCGAAGGCGAUUUCGGUCCGAGCUCGGGCCCGAGGUGGAUGACGUCAUUGCUGACGCCAGCGUGACGUCAACCCUUACGGAUUCAAAUUUUUUUUACCGUUGGCGCGUGCACGCGCCAACGUUAAAAAAAAUUUCGAAUUCACCGCUACAGUAGCCGCCAACGGCUACUUGACACGUGGCAGCCUCUGGUCGCUCCGAUUCGAAUUUUUUCUUCAAUCCAACGGCAUCCAAUUUUUCUGCAAUAAAAAAUUGAAAAAAAAUCGAAUUUUUUUUUAAAAAAUACACAAAAAUUACUGAAUUUUUUGUGUAUAAAUACCAACCAAUACUCUUCACUUUUAAUACCAAAUCCUCAUAUAUUUCUUCUCCUUCUACUAUUAUUCACUUUCUCCUCAAAAUUUAUUUACUUUCUAUUCAAUAUUUUUUCACUUUGAAGUUGUAUUUUUUUUCUAUCAUAUUAUGGGUUCUUCUAAUGAAAAUGGAGGGGCAUGGAGCAUGAUGGAAGAUGUUAGCUUGUGUGAGGCUUGGGUCCAAGUUAGUUUGUCCCGUAACGGGCAAUGAGAUGAAAUUUUCUCAUAUGUGGAAAAAAAUUCAUCAAGCAUUUUGUGAAAGGGCAAUUGGUUCUACACGUACAGAAAUGACAUUAUCCAGUAGGUGGAAAGUUCUUAAUAAAGAGUUGGUGAAAUGGAGAAAUGCCUUAGCAAAAGCGAUGGACAAGCAUCGAAGCGGAGAAAACCUUAGCAGUGAGGUAAAUUAUUUGUCAUUUUCCUUCUAUUAAUUUCUAUGUCAUAUUAAUUUUUAUUUAAAUGUUUCUUGCAAUUUAUAUAUUUUGUUAAUAUGUCUCUAGUUUUUUUUUUUUAUAUACAUGUUGCAUUUUUUUUUAAAUUUAUUGAAUUUGCAUUAGUUUUUUUUUACAUGUUGCAUUGCCAAUAUUUUUUAAAGUUUCUUGCAUUUCCAUUUAAUUUUUUUUUAUAGAUUAUGCAAGCUCAAAUGUGGUUUGGUGCUACGGGGCAAGGGAAAAAAAGUUUCAACCAUACCCAUUGUUGGGAGGUGGUGAAGACUUGUAAGAGAUUCCAAAUUAUUCCAACCGGUUCGACGGUAGUCUUGAACGAGACUCCACUUCAUGAGACGCCGGCAUCGGAUUCACCUAUGGAUUCCCCGAUGAAUCUAGACUCACCCAUUGAAAAUGAGCUAAGGCCUAUUGGGAGGAAGGCGGCGAAGGCGAAGAGAGGGGGUAAUUCUAGCAAGAAUGCAUCUCAAUUUUUGGAGGAACUUUCAAAGCACCAAGCCAUGAGAAUUGAAAUGGACUUGAAACAACAAGAGCACGAUAUGGCUAUUCAAGUAGAAUAUGCAAAAGAAAGGGAGUAUGUACGCAAAGAAAGGGAGUAUGUACGCGAACAAAAUAUUGAAAAAAAAGAUCGGGAAACCAUGGCCAUGGAUACAAGCUAUAUGUCCCCUGAAACAAAACAAUUUUGGAAGCUAGAAUGAAGGGAUGUUAUGAGACGAAGACUUUUUCAUGACGAUGGACCUAGCAACACGGAUUGGUUAAAUGAUGGAAACCAUUAAAAUAGUUUUUUGCCUUUCAUGUCUUAGUUUACUUGCCUUUGAUUUCAUUGUAUUUUUUUUUGUUUAAUUCAUGUAUUUUAUUUUAUUAUUAGUUGUAUUGCUUUUCUUUUAGUCAAUAAAGAAAAUAUUCAACAAAAAUCCUUUUUAUUCAAAACAUUCCAUACAUAAAAAACAAACUACAACCAAAGCAUAAAAAAAAUAAACAAACCACAACCAAAGCAUAAAAAAUAUUAUCCGAAAAUAUUAUUCAAAUUAAUUGUUUAAGUAAACAAAGUUGUGAAAAAAACAAAAAAAUGAAUAGUAUUUGCCAUGGCAAGCCCCCAACUGCUGGAAACACAUUUUGCUGGAGGGAGCUAGGGCAGCCACUAUUCACGUGAAUAGUGGCUGCCCUAGGGCUCAUCUUGCCAUGGCAAGAGGCAACCGGUGGAAAUGCUCUAAGAAGAGCCAAAAACUACACUCAGCUAUCCUCAAAUUGCAGAAACCGAAACCAGAACCAAAUUUUAAGACUGGGAAAUGUCACAAAUUCGCAAGUAUCCUUAGAAGCAACAAGAACAAUCAAAUGGACAAAGCGGUGUGCUUCCAGCAUCUGCCUUAUUAAUUCCCAACUCUUCUUCUGUAUAGAUAGCAAAGCCAUCCUGCGUUCUCUUUCGAGAACUCGACAACUUGUUCAGAGCGGCCAUCCUGGCCACGUUUUGAAACUUUGAAUACCUAAUGAACAUCUUUGGGCAAGGAAUCCCCAUUUAAAAUUUAAUUGGAAUGAUUAACAAUAAAUAUCAUUACUUAACUGUACUGAAACUUAGAUUUUUAUUAUUUACGGAGAAUCAGAGGGAUAGCAGAUGGUAAAAUAAAACUAAAAAAGAAUAAGGUUUCCUUCAUUGUGCUCAAUUUUUAUAGUUUUCAUGUUCUAGAAAAUUAAACAUGGUUUUUGAAGCAGUACAAAAGGCAGUGAAUAAAUACCUUGUCUGGUACUCCAACACUCCUUGAAAAUUUUCGACCAAAUCCAACUCCUUAAAACUACAAGAAGACGUGUUUCAAGGCUGAAACGUUGAAUAUUUUCAAGUAACUAUGGGACAAGCUAAUAUGAAAGCAAUACCUGAAUGGCUUGCAUUCCUUGAACACCUGAAAACUCAAUGCCAUCUUGGUUGAUGAACCUAUUUUAAGCAAUGCAGUCUUGUUUUUAGUAUUUUCAAAUACAAAAAAUGCAAUGAAGUGAACAUUGAACACCUAUCAAAGACUGUUUUGAUAUUUAUUUUAUUCGAACUACACCAAUAUAAGAAAUCCGGGCCUUAGGUAGAAAAUAUUAAAGUUCAAACUUAUGCACUCAUCUUGGAAGUACUUGUUCCAUCAACACCACCAAUAAUUGAAAUGCUCUUGAUCUUGACAUCUGAUGUAAAUCUAUCAGAAAUAAAUGAACAAAAUAUAACUCAAUCAGAAUGUAAAGUAACGACAUCAGAGAUAAAUUCGUCUUAGAAUGGUAGGUUUUAAUAAAAUUUCUCAAGAUGCAACGCAAAUGUUUCAAAAUUAAGUACAGCUAGUUUAACAUCAGAUAUAGCAGAUGAGCACAAGAACAAAAGAUAAUUAUAAAUGACACAAAAAUUAAUUUGUUUUAGGUGAACCUGGGGAUGCUACUAAGGUUGAAUCCCAUACUCAAACUCAUACAGAUUUGACCAUGGAGAUCUAACAAAACAUGUUACUAUUGAAAUUGAAUGAAAAUAUGGAAAAAUGGGUAUAACUACUCAACCAAUGGAUCUCCCUGUCCCCAUCCAUUUCAUGUUUAUGCAUUCUUUAACUCAUGUCCUGAAGAUAACACAUAAAACAACAAAAAUGGAUACUCACAGAAUGUAAACAAGUAACUCAGGAUCACCCUCAUUGCUCUCCAAGUGUUCCUGUUGCAGAAAGUAGGAUCAGAUGAGGCUUCACAUGCCUAAUAAUUGAAACAUAAAUUAAAACCAAUAUAUAUAUGGUAAAUCUGAACUGAACCUCAACCAAUGGUUCAUGAUCUAAGGUCUGCUGCUGUAGACAAAGGGUGAAGAAACCUCAAGCCUUCUCUUUCAAAUUUUGGACUUAAAUACUUGGUACAGUCAUGAUCUAAAAUUAAAGAAUUCAUUAUCAGAGUACAGAGAGUUAUAAGAUAACACUGGCUGAAGAAAGAUCAAAUUCAUUUAACCAGGUUCUGUUGUACAUAAGAAAAGCCGAAAACUACACUCAGCUAUCCUCAAAUUGCAAAAACCAAAACCAGAACCAGAACCAAAUUCUUUUAUGACUAGGAAAUGUCAUGAAUUCACAGGUAUUUAGAAGCAACAAGAACAAUCAAAUGGACAAAGCGGGGUGCUUCCAGCAUCUGCCUUAUUAAUUCCCAACUCUUCUUCUGUGUAGAUAGCAAAGCCAUCCUGCAUUCUCUUUUUCGGUUUAGAAAGCAGGUCCCCAAAUCCACCAUCUCUAAUCCUUUUGUCUUUCUUCUUUUUAUUCAGCUUGUUGGGGUUUUCUAUCCCAUCUCCAUUUGGAUUUUUAGGCUUUUCAGACUUUUCGGUUUCAGGUUUCUUCCUCUUCUUCCCUGCGAAUAUUUCAUCGAUCUCAGAAGUUCGCUUUUUGGCUGAAGAUGAGUGUUUUUCAAUCCCAUCUUCAACUGGUUUUUUAGCCUUUUCAGUUUCAGGUCCCUUCCUCUUUUUCCCUGCGAAUACUUCAUCAAUCUCAGAAGUAGGUUUUUUGGCCGAAGAUGAGGCUUUUUCCUCUUCUACAGUAGAUGUAUUAUCUUGCAUCUCUCUGGGAGUUUUUGAUUUACUCUUUUUGCCCAUCUUAUGGAUCCAAAAGCUGCAUGUCAUCCAGAUUACAUUACUGAGAAUUGACAGAACAGAGAUUUAAAAAGAAAAAAUGGAAUGGAAACUUUCCAUCCAAGAACAGAUUACUCAAAAACUGGAGCCCCUGGAGGCAACAACUCCUUUUGGGUCAACUUGCCAGACUAACUCAGUUUGUAAACAAUCAAAACAACAGAAGGAACAUGAAACUGGAAAUUUAGGUUACAGGAUAUCUGCUCCUCAUUAGCUUCCUAGCAACCAAACAUAACACAAACGAAAAACAGAAAAUGGAAAAUACUGAUUUCAAUUGCAAUUUCUCAGCUUGUAGGCUUUCAAUUUUCAUAGAGACGAAUUUCUGUGAAACAUGGACUUGAUCAAAAGAAAUAGCCCAAUAAUUAUUACAAAAGCUCCAAUUUUGAGAACUCGACAACAUGUUCAGUGCUAUCGAAAAUUUGAUAAAUUUCAAACAAAUGCACUGUAAGUCACAGAAACAAACACAGGAUAGUAAAGAAAGAACGCACAGAAAAAUAAAAAAGAGUUCGAGUUGUUGGGAAGCGCUAACCUUUAGGUUGUUGAUAAACAGCGAGAAAGAGUGAGUCGCUAAAACACUAUCUUGAUGAAUCUGCAGAGAUACCAGCGAGCUUUGUUGCAGAGUUGCGAGCAACGAAGUAUAAAACCAUUUAUUUGUUUUUUGUUUCUGGCGAGCUUUUUAGCUAAAACCCUAGCUUGAUGUGGGAUAUAAUUCGUUCCCACGAUUUAUGAUUUAAAAAUAAUUUGGGUUUUGCAAUUAAAUUAGCCCAAUAAUAAUAAUCCCAUAGCCAAUCGGGUUUUGAUGGAAAAUGACAUUGACUUACAGUGUGUUUGGAUGAGGAAAUUUAAAAAUACAAAGAAUUUCAUAAAUGACGGAAUUUAAUGUUCUAGAAUUUACAAAGUUUCUUGUUUUGGUAAUGGAUUUAAAAUACGGAAUUUAACCUUUAUUUGUAAAGUUGUCUUUUUUAAAAACUCAAUCUCUCUUGUAAUUUUAAAAAUGACGACUUUUAGAUAGAAUUUAAAGUUGGGAUUUAUGAUCUCCAAAUUCUUUUUUUUUUUUCCCACGCUGAAUUUCUAAAUUUAUAUAUAUUUUUAUCCAAACACGAGAAUUGGUUCAUGGCAAUUUAGAAAUUCUAAAUUUUGUCAAAAUCCUAAGUUUAUUUUCCUCAUCCAAACGCACCGUUACAGAUAAAUAGCAAAUCAAUGGUCUCAUGUUCGAACCUUCGUGGCACCUUGAUAGUGUGUGUGAAAAACCUCACCCCUCUUGUAGUCGAGACUAUCACUUGUAUUCAAUAAUAAUAAUCCCAUAUGAAAAGGAGUUAAUUAUUUAAUAAAUGAAUCAUUUGGAUUAAUUUGGACAAUAUCUUAUUUGAACGAUUCUAUCAAAUUCCAAUCCAUUUUGUACAAAAUAAUAAGCUAAUCCAGCUCAACAUUCCAAUGGAAAAGGAAGAGAAUGGCUGGCUUUUUUUUUUUUUUGGGGGUUUGAGAAUGGCUGGCUUUAAUUUUAAGAGUAGCAUUGUGCAACCCAUAAAAAAGAAAGUCAAAGAAACAUAGCACAGGAAGAGGAGCCACAGCAAAUAAAAGGAUUGUGAUGUGACAACAAUUCAAGUAAUUUCCUUGGUGUUUAUAUUAUCGAUAUACAAAGAGUGUUCCAUUCUUAAGAAGCACAGCAGGUCAUAGUUAGCAUAACUUGUUCAUUUCAGCCUUUGAACUGCUAGCAUGGCUUGAGUUUCCUCAUUCCACAUGUGAAAAACCCCCACCUUCAGCCUUUGUCCUGCAAACAAGCACACAAUUGACAAACAACAAAACCACAUACAUCAGUUCUUUUCUCCACUGGUAAAUAGUCUCAAAUUCUUUCGACAAGACAUGAAACUCUACAUUUUUUUUACUGAUAAACCCACAAAAAGUAACCCACAUUUCUUUGAAAAAGACCAAAUUUUCCGUUCCUCAAGGAUAACGAAAGCUUACUUGUGAUCGGAAGGAUUUGGCCUGAGUUCAUAAACAAUUGUUGCAACAACAUCCCUCUUCAACUGUUCAUCAAAGAAAAGAAAAUGAUGUAUUAGUUAUUUGCACAAUUAACGCAACAGAAUAUGCUCAUAUGGAAUGAAAUUACCUGAGUAGCCUCGCCUUUAAAGCCAAUGUACUCUAUCUUAGUUGUAUCACCACCAAAACUAUCAGGAAAAUGCAAUGUGAUGCUGGCCACGUUUUGAAACUUGGAAUACCUAAUUAUACGGAGAAAUGUUACAUUAGAGGGAUAACAGAUGGUAAAAUAAAAAUCAAACAAAACAAAAAACAACAAAAGAACUCAUUUCAGUGGCAAUUCAAAGUAAUUUACCGUCACUGUUCAAUUUGAAAAAGAAUAAGGUUUCUUUCAUUGUGCUCAAGUUUUAUAGUUUUCAUGUUCUAGAAAAUUAAACAACAUGGUUUUUGAAGUAGUAGUACUCCAAAAGGCAGUGAAUAAAUACCUUGUCUGGUACUCCAACACUCCUUGAAAAUUUUCGACCAAAUCCCACUCCUUAAAACAAUAAGAACACAUGUUUCAAGGCUGAAACGUUGAAUUUUUUCAAUUAACUCUUGAACAAGCUAAUAUGAAAGCAAUACCUGAAUGGCUUGCAUUCCUUGAACAUCUGAAAAGUCAAUGCCAUCUCGGUUGAUGAACCUAAUUAAGCAAUGCAGUCAUGUUUUUAGUUUUUUCAAAUAUAAAAAAUGUGAUCGAUAUUGAACAUCUGUCAAAGACUGAUUUGAUAUUUAUUUUGUCAGAAUCAUAUAGAACAAGACUCGUGAUCAGUACUAUUAAAGUUUGAACUUACACCCUCAUCUUGCUAGGACUUGUUCCGUCAGCACCGCCAAUAAUUGAUAUGCUCUUGAUCUUGACAUCUGAUGUAAAUCUAUCACAAAUAAAUGAAAAAAAUAUAGCUCAAUCAGAAUGUAAAGAAACAACAUCAAAGAUGACUUCAUCUAAUAAGUUGGUGUCAGAAUGGUAUGCUUUAAGAAAACUUAUCAAGAUGCCGACCAAAUGUUUGAACAAUAAAUACAACUAUAUUAAGCAUCAGAUAUAGGAGAUGAGCACAAGACAAAAGGAUAAUUAUAAAUGACACACAAAUUAACAGUUGUGUUUUGCUUUAGGUGUACCUGGAGAUGCUACUAAGGUUGAAUCCCUUACUCAAAACUCAUACAAACCCAACUAUGGAGAUCUAACAAAAUCAGACACAUAUUAUCAUUGUAAUUGAAUGAAAAGAUGGAAAAAUGUGUAAAAGUACUCAACCAAUGGAUCUACCUGAUCCCAUGCAUUUCGUAAUUAUGCAGUCUAUAACUCAUUUCAUGAAGAUAUCACAUAAAACAACAAGACGGGACACUCACGGAAUGUAAACAAGUAACUCGGGAUCACCCUCAUUGCUCUCCAAGUGUUCCUGUUGCAGAAAGUAGAAUCAAAAUGAGGCUUCAUAUGCCUAGUAAUUGAACAUAAAUUACAACCAAAAUAUAAGGUAAACCUGAACUAAAUCUCAAUCAAUGAUUCCUACAAAUUUUCGUAAAUGUCAUUCUGAGCUUUCAAGUAGAUUAACUUAUGAAGUUUGGAUCAUUACUUUUAACAAGGACGUAUAGAGAAGUAAAUAGAUAGCUCAUUACCCCAGUAGAAUUCAGCCGUUGCUCCCAAGCUUUAAAAACCGACUUGACACUUCCUGGAACCGCCUCAUUCAAAGCCGAAACCUAAAAACAGAAUAAGACAUUCUCUCAAGGAGAACACGUCAUCAUGUCAAUCAGCAAGAGGAAGCUCCAACGAAAUAUUAAUUUACAAAAUAACAAAGUGUGAAAAUAUUGCAAAGUAUAAAUCACCCCACAUCAACAAUCAUCAAUUACCAGUCAUAUAGCCACCCACAACCAAACUGCCCAAACCACAACACACAAGCACCCGUCUCCCAAAAAAAAAAAAAAAAAAGUUUCUAAACAUUUCUGGAAACUAGCAAUAACAGCAUCUGCAUGGAGUAUCAUUAACAAAGCUUCAUAUCCAACUAUUUUCAUUUACAACCAAGAAGCCUACACAUAAGAACCAUUAUGCUUACGGAUAAAUGCUUAUGAGAUUCAGCAUUUGAGCUUGAGGGUUUAUGUUGAUCACUGUUCUUUCAACUAAUUUUCAUUUGGGCACUUCCAGAUAAAACCAAAACAAUCACAAAAUGGGAGCAGACUGAAACGUACCAGUAUACGCAGAGCAGCAGUGUGAUAGCUAACAACGAAAACAUAGGAAUAGAAAAAUUAAGACUGAGCAAAGAAAAAGGCAGAGAAAUAGGACCUUGGGGAGGUCUAUAUGCUUGUAGAGAGACCAAUCAGAAGAACAAUCAUGCUCUUCGCAGCUGUGGUCAUGUAAGCAAGCCAUCUCUCUCUUUCCCUGGAUCACCAAAUUUCUAAGAAGCAGCACAAAAAGGCGAAGAAGAAAUAGAAGCAACCAGAAAUAGGGAGCGAACCGUGGCUUUUUCUGUGCAUAGUGCCGAAAAGGCCCUUGUAUCGGUACAAUAAAACGCACCGUUUACCUGUACAUAUAUGUCCUUUUAGGCUUUUACUGUGAAAUGCAAACGAGACUGUUUUCGCAAAACUUUCUUCUUUGCUUUCAUUUGGGAAGUUCAGCUCUGAGCUCUGUGAGAGAUGGAGGAAAUAGUAGAAGGGGACGGGUCGGGUGCGGGCAGAUACACGCUGAGACCAACGAGGCUAAGCAACGAGGACAUUCUGUUCUGUAUAGAUGUUGACCCAGAGUCUAUGGUGGAGAUGAAAGCCGCGAUGGGCCCAAAUGGGCGACCUUUAACCCGCUUGGACUCGAUCAAGCAAGCCAUACUUGUCUUCAUCAACGCCAAGCUCACCAUCAACCCAGAGCACCGAUUCGCCUUUGCCUGUCUCGGAAAGUCCGCGUCUUGGGUAGGUUCUCUCUGUUCAUCUCUCUCUUUAUUGCUUGGUUUCUGUUCGGUUUCCGAGAAAAUUUGCGAUCAAGGGCAGAGGAUUUUAUGGUUAUUAUGUGUUUUUUAGGAAUUGAACUCCUGGAAACCAUGAUUAUGGCUUUGGGUCAUAGUUUUGAGGUUUUUUGUGAUAUAUACGGUUAUGGGUAGAUUAAAAUUUUCAUUUGCAGGAAAUGUAAGCAAUUGCGUGCCAUGAAUUUGGUUUCUGGAUGAAUCAAUGAAGGAAAAUUAGUUUAAAUCACUAUUUUCAAGUAGCCCAUUGUACAGAGUCUCACCAAGUCAAAAACGUUUUGAUAGCAUGAAAGAGUUUAGACAGAAGUGUGAAACCCACGAUACAAUAUGGGGUUGCUGUGCAUGUAUAUUUAUAAGAAGUACUACGUCGGUAAACAAGAUUUGGAUAUGAACACUACUACUGAGGAGGCUUAUCAGAGAAUACUAAUGAUGAACCCUUGAAAUAAAAUACAUGAUAAAUAUAAACAGAUAAACACGUGAGGAAACUAAGCAGGUAGCACUUCUAUCAGUUUUCCUUUGAUUAAGCUUUGGUCACUUUUAUUGAAUGCGGGUGAGAAAUCAAUUCCUUUACUAUCUGUUAAGGAGAUUUCGGAUCUUGAUCAUAGUUUCAAAGUGUACUUUCCAAGAAUCAUCCGCAUACCUUGAUCAUUUUUGGUCCUAGACUUAUUUUAUGGGGUGCAGUACCAAGAAUCGUUCACAUACCUUGCUGUAGGGUUGAGUUUUGAUGCAUGAUAUGCAUAAUUAUCAUGCAAAUACCCCAUUAGUAGUAAAUAUUUAUGCAGUGUAAGCAAACCUUCUGCAGGUCUUUGUUCAAAACACUCAAUUUAUCCUUUGUGUCUGUUUGUUUGAUUUAUGUUUCUGUAAUUGAUUUGGAACCUUUUGUUUUUCGUUUUUAUGAAGCUUCGGAAAGAGUUUAGCAGUGAAGUCGAUUCUGCUAUUGCUGCAUUUCGAGUACUCUCAGCUACUUCAUCUUCUAGUAAUGCAGAUCUUACCAGUCUAUUUCGAGUAGCAGCUCAUGAAGCAAAGAAAUCUCGUGCUCAAAACAGACUUUUAAGGGUGGUAAGCAAUGGUUGGCUUAACUUUUCAUGCAAUUACAUUGGUUAAUUAUUACAUCCGUGCCAUUGUGAUAUUCCAUCUUAUCCCUUCCAUGAUGUUGAAAUUUUUGUGUGUUGAUUGCUAAAGGCUGACAUGCUUGCCCUUAGAUUCUUAUUUACUGUAGAUCAUCUGUAAGACCAAAUCAUCAAUGGCCUGUGAACCAGAAACUCUUCACUCUGGAUGUAGUUUACCUUCACGACAAGCCUGGACCUGAAAACUGCCCUCAAGAGGUCUAUGAUUCACUUGUGGAUGCCCUGGAACUUGUUAGCGAAUAUGAGGGCUACAUCUUGGAGAGCGGUCAGGGAUUAACUCGAGUUCUCUUCCGUUACAUGUGCAUGCUGCUAUCACACCCUCAGCAGCGUUGCCCACAAGACCAUCUGGACAUACCUAAGCCUCUUGCGAAAAAGUUGCCGGCAGCAGAUUCAACGACUACUGAUGAUAGUAUUAUAACUGUGUCCGGCAUAUCAGAAGUUCAGAACAUUAGAAAUUAAUUUUACUGAGGUCAUUUUGCUUCUAAAAGUCUCAUAUGUAUGUAGUUUGUCUGAUGUUGAUGUAAACCUCUUGUUGAGUGAGAAUGAGUAGCCGAUUUGAUCUUGGUCCUAUCUGUCUGUACAAAUUGUGAAUGUUAUGAAUCCCAAUGUUUAUUUUAACCUAUCUGUCGAAGAAUUUUUUAUGACAUUCAAGAUCACGUAAAAUAUAGCAAAAGCAAGAAGUUCUUAGUACUAGUUUGUAUGUGUAUCCCCAUUAAUAUGAAGAGGGAGGUGGGAGCUGGCUUGCUACGCCGCGUCACACGGCACGCGGCAGCUAGGCAUAUUAGACGUCGAAGGAUUCUGGCAUUAAAUGUUAAGCAUUUAUAAACUUUGCCAAGGCUCAAAUUCUCCCAUAAGCAGCCUAAAAUGAGGAUGUUGUAAGUUGAAUUUUGCUACAUAGAACUACAUUCUCGGAAAACAGCUUAGUUGCCACUUUGCCAGUCACAUCACGAGACAUGUGUCGAAAUCUCCCCCGCUCGAAAAAAUAAAAAAUAAAUAAAACAAAAAAAAAAGGUAAGCCUUCCUCAAAGUCUAACGCUACUAGAUUGAAAGGUGAAAAAACUUGAUUGCAUAAGUAUACUACCCAUUGGUAUUGAUGAAAGACUUAUGAGGUUUGAAAUUAAAUCUUUCAAGUUCCCCGCAGAACCCUGCCUUGCCCUUUGGAGUGAGGCUAAGGUUUUCUUCUCUUAUUAAAAAAACCAAUCGACUAUUAUUUGCAUUCCCACAAAACCGUAUGACUCAUUGCUUCCAAUGGUGAGGUCAACAUAUUGGUAAUCAGAAAGAAAAAAAAAAUGCAGAGCUCGAAAAGUUGAAAUGAUAACCAAAAUCCCUCAUCCAUAUAAUUUUUUUUAAGUAGAAGUCAACUUGGAGGGAUGAUCUUAAUCACACAAAUUGUCUGUGACAUCUCUAGAAUUAGUUUUAGUAAUGAAAUAAAUCGUUUAACUCUUUCGCUCAAGAAAUCUGCCGGCAUGACGUGUCGCUUGUGCGUUCCUUGUCCACUUGUGCAUGCUUAUAUAUUGCUUGCACGAGUACAAAGAAAAACUCCAGUUUGAAAAACUUUUUAUACUAAAAAUAAACCCUAAGCAUUAUUAAAUUUGUAUUGUUUUUAAAGUUUGACCAACUGUUUUGAUCUUUUUUUCAUGAACUUGUCCAAGCCGUUCUGGCGCUCUUUAACUAUUAUUAGUCUUAAUAAUCUAUUUCUAAUUGUCAUGAGUCAUGACCAAUCUCCCUUCUCUGUAAAGUGCAUCAAGUUGGUCAUGUCAACUCAUUCUUUUCUUUUUACAAGUGAUGGUGGGGAUAACUAGGUUAACACUUAAAAUUGCUUCCAUCUUCACCUACUUGAAUGACAGAAGAACAUGGGCUCGUGCCUUGUGGGUCACUUAUCUUAUCUUAUUUAACUUUUUUUUAUUGCUUUUAGGUGAAUCGACUGCACAAUCUUAAAUGCAUGAAUGAAUGCUUUAAACUAUUUAAAUUACGAGCUCUUUAUUGUGUUCCUUAGACAGAAGUUAAAACCAUCAUGAUUUGCUGGUUUUGAGUUGGUUAAUUAGUGUUUACAUGGUGUGAAUGUAAAAGUAAAUGGUAAAUGGCUUACAUAGCAAGUUAGUUAUAUAUAAGUUAAAGAAGACACCUCUCAAGUGGUAUGCGAAUCUUGGGGUGGCAUAAAAUAAUUGAGAAUUUAUUUAAAUAUAGUCAAAUUAUUGAAGCUCCUUCAGCUCUCUGUGGAGCCACUUUAAUUUGCUCCAAUAGAUGAUCAUUUUGCUAACAUGUGCCCUUUAUAUUCAUGAUUAAAGAGAAGAGGACUUCAAAUGAACUUUGGACUAUAGGAGAUAGAUAGGAGGAGGAGGAGGAGGAGGAGAUAAAGGAAAAAUCCAUUUCCAGUUUUAAUGGGACUCUGCAUAUCUUCUUCAGCUCACAAAAUUCAGGAUGGCCAUGAAGCUCCAAUGUCCUUUGAAAGGACUGACGAUUCUAAUGGAAUUCAGAUGCACGGUUCCCUUUAUUCUUUGGAAGGAAGCAAAGGAGUAAACCAAGAUAGUGCCAUUCUUUACCAGGUUUGUGAAUAUUUCUUUCCCCUUUAUUAUAUGGAAGGAAGCAAAGGAAUUGUUCUGUGUGUUUCUCUAGCUGCUCAUUUCAAAACCAUAUUGUUUGUUUUUCGCUUUGUCUAUACAUAAAUAUAUAGAAUGGCAAGGCUUGUUUUCUUAGAAAAUCAUCAGCAAUUUCGUUUCAAAAGCAUUCAUGCAAAGCAUGUUGCAUAAUCGGGUUUCAUAUUAUUUUACUAGGCUUCUGAAAGUCUGUUGAUUAUAGCUUUAACCUCUUCUUAUUUUUCUUGUCUUUUCAAUAGGGCUAUGGAUUGGAAGCUGAAGCUUUCUGUGGAGUUUUCGAUGGACAUGGAAGAUUCGGGCACCGAGUGAGUCAGCUGGUGAGAAGCAACCUGCCAUCACUCUUACAAGGCCAGAUGAAAGCUCUUGAUCAACAAGCCAUUGCAGUAGCAGAGGAUGAUGAUUCGAAAAAUCACAUUGACAGAAUAGAAACCGAGUCAGAAGAUUCAGAACCAAGCAAGAAAUUUCACAAAUGGAAAGAAGCCUUUGUUAGCUCCUUCAAAGUCAUGGACAAGGAGAUUAAGCUUCAAGAAAAUCUGGACAGCUCUUGUAGUGGAACCACUGCUGUUGUUGUCAUAAAACAGGUGAGAAAAACUACACAUGAUCAUUGAACAAAUUAUUUAUCUUUCUUUAUUUCUUUGUGUUCGGCUUUAAUUCAAGAAUCAAACAGGGUGAGGAUCUUUUUAUAGCUAAUCUGGGUGACUCAAGGGCAGUCCUAGGAACCACUAGAGAGAAUGGAAUUGAGGCCAUUCAAUUGACCACUGAUCUAAAGCCUGCUUUACCUAGUAAGAAGUUCAUCAUUUUUUUCCAUUUUUUUCCUCUUGUUUAAUUUGAAGUGAUUAUCUGACAGGUGAUCGUUUUUAAUGCAGGUGAAGCAGAACGAAUAAGGGCGUGUGAUGGUCGAGUGGUUGCACUAAAGCAAGAACCUAACAUCCAAAGAGUGUGGUUGCCUCAUAUUGACCUCCCAGGCCUAGCCAUGUCCUGAGCUUUCGGAGACUUCAUACUCAAGGACCAUGGCAUCAUUGCCACCCCUGACGUCUCCUAUCGCCGCCUGACUUCCAAAGAUCGAUUUGUCGUUCUUGCAACGGAUGGGGUAAGCCCUAUUGGAAAUGAAAUGUGUACUUGUUAAGAGUUUUAGCGUUGCCAAAGAAAAAAGGGCACAGUUGCUUUCCUAUGAAUGGCAUUUUAACCACAAUGAUGCGUUUUGUUCUUGGGCUUGGUAUUUAGGUUUGGGAUGUGCUCAGCAACCUUGAAGUUGCAUCCAUUGUGUGGGAAGCUGAUAGUGCACAAGCAGCGGCAAAGGCGGUGACGGAGACUGCGGUGGCCACAUGGAGAAGGAAGUUCCCUUCUGCUAAGAUAGAUGACUGCACUGUGGUUUGCUUGUUUUUGCAAGACAAACUACAUGAUCAUGUUGUGCCUGUAAAGAUAUGAGCUUUUGAGCAAUGCUUGUUGCUUUGUGAUCUUUUUUUAUCUUCAUACAUUUUAACACGACACUAUACUUUUUCAAUUUCUGAUAAGCUAUACUUUUUCAAUUUCUGAUAAGCUACCCGUCCAAUUAUGUACAUAAGCCCACAGGUUCCAUUUUUGGUUAAGACAACAGUUGCUUUCAAGAAUAAAUUUUUGGUCAAAUCAUCCGCCAGUAAAUGAAAUCUUUCAAAACCAAACAGAACCAUUGGCAACCUUCAAAAUGCUCAGUAAAUUUUCAAAAUGUCCACGAAUAAACAAUGAUGUUUUGAUUUGUUUUCUCCAGGCAAUUCUAGAAAGACAUCACAGGGCUAGAAAUUCAUGAACAUAAAUAUAAUAAGACUUGACAUAGUGGCAAAAGGCAUUCUUGAAAUUUCAUUGAAAUGCUUUUAAUCACAAUAGGAUAAGGCCGAUAAACUUCAGUUAAACUCUUUAAUAGGGGAAAAGAAUUAUGUUGCCUCCAGGCAAACGAAACAAAAGAGAACUUUCUGCAUAUAAAAACCCCAUUUGUGAGUAAACUCAAUGCCUACCAUCUGGAUGAAAAAAUAGAAACAGAAGAUCCCGGGCGAAUAUAAAUCCAUUUCCUCUAAUAUUCAAGUGCAUCAUCUUUGGGCGCCUCUCCAAGCAGGUCAUCAUCAUAUGAAACAGGUACCCUUAACCUAUCAUGAACAGAAAGUUGUUUCCCUUCAGUAUUUGACUGAAUGCCUUGAGUUUGCAUUUGACAAAUAACCGGUACGGCAUCUGAAAUAUUAGCUGGAGUAUCAUCCUUGAAUGAAUUCACAAUUGCUUUAGAUGAACCUUCUUUCCCUUGCUGUAUUGGUUGUCUAUUAUUUGUUGACCUGAAUUGCUUCUGCAUGGAGAUAGAAAACAUAAAAAGUAAUCAACGAUGCUGUAGUUUUACACUUUUUCUAAUAAAAGUGAUAUUUAAUUGACGUUUGGGAAAUAACAUCAGAAACAACACUAUGAAUCUAUGAUCCACUACUGCGCACCUCAAAUUCCCUUCCUUUUUUCAUUAUCUCUUUGUAGGCCUUUGGUUCUCGUGCUUUGAUGAUACUCCAUAGUACUCCACCACCAAAUCGGAAACGUUUGCCAUCAUGAGUCAUCUGACCUCCACAAGCCUGGAUCGCAUCCACCUGAAAUUUUUCAUCAUUUCACAAAUGAUAUCCUAGAUACACCAUGGUUUCUAGCAGGGAAAAAGUAUCCAUUCUCCUGAUACUGGAUUCCAUCCGGACUACAAAUAACUAAUAUACGAGAAACAUAGAAACACUUGUAACAACCACAUUUAAUAAAAUUCAGAAAUUACUUAACUAAGGAUAUCGUUCCCUACAAUCAAAGUAAGCUCAAAGAUGUUCAUAAUCACAAAAGUUUCUGUAAACCAUCUCCGGAUAGAGCUUAUGGUUCCUGGGGGAGGAGCAAACAUGAAUGAUGAGCUUUUUGGAGCAAAAAUAGAUGUGUAUUGCUUUGUUACGCGUAUCUAUUAGAGUACUCUUACAUGUGUUUUGCAUGCAUAUUGGCUAAUGCAACUCCAAGAAAAAAUGAUAUCAACCUACACAAAUAGCAUAUGAUGAAGUGGUUCAUCCAGGGGACAUCACAGCUCAGAGCACAAGAUUGAAAGGAGUAAAAUGGCUUCUGCAAGAGAAAUCUGCAAGGGUAGGGAAACAAUAUUGAGGAUCAGAAAUUAUGCAAGGCUGCGUGGCCAAAUAGUGUGCAUAAGCAUCGGCAGCUCUAAGCUGGUCCAAAAUUAAGCAACCCAGAAUCUCACCUUCCCUUGCAAAAGGCCAGUCGAAUCAUUCAAGUCCACUCUCAACAAAGGAUACCCUGCCUUCCCCUUGAAGCUAUAAUGUGAAGGGAACUUAAAAAGGGACAGAUGGCUCAGAAGGUAAAGACAACCUUAAAAGUACCCCAUAAAGCAUAACCAUCCUCCCAAUAACAGGACCCCCAAUUAGCAAAAAAACCAGCGUGUUCAAGAAUCUAUAGAACAGAAUUGGCACAGACAAUAUGAUAGGUGAUUUUUAAUUGACAUCACUGAAACCCAGCUCUGAGUGCAAAUCCCAUGUUCUGAACAUGAGCAGCAAGGUCGGAUCAUCUUAAAGCUAGAUGUGAAGCGGAGUCAAGGCAACCUUAAGAAGUACCCAUAAAGCACGCCCAGACACAACCCAUUCACCCAAUAACAGGAUUACCAUUAGCAGAAAGACCAAGAGUGCUCAAGCAGGUACAUAAUAGAAUUACUUUGAACAAUAUAAUAGAUGAUUUCAAUUGAGAAUAUCACUGAAAACUCCACUGAAAGGUAUUGGGCACAAAGCACAUGUUCUUAAACUGACAGCAAGGUCGGAUCAUCUAAAAAUGCACAUUAAUGCAGAUAAACAUGUACCAAAUUUACAACCAGUUGCUAAUGGCGUCUGUCAAGGAGAUUUUCAGAAGACAAUUACAAAACAUAAUGCAAUGCACACGUAGUUGCGUAUAAAAGAUAAAGAAAACAAUCCCCAAGUUAUAUAAUUUGCUUUGUCACAGCAUUUCCACAAAAGCACACAACGAAGGGCAGCAUACCUCUUUGACGAGAUCAUUCAAUGCAAGAACACCCAGACAACCAACAGCAGUAUAUACCAGAUAUGAUUUCUUCUCUUUCAGUCGCCUACAUGUAUCCAUCACAAACCUGAAAAAGACAUAACAUUAAAAGAAUGUAAAAACCCACAAGAGAGCUCCAAAUUCCUUUUGAAUAUAUGUAAUUUCUUUCGUUCUUAAUCGGGCAGGGCAUAACCUGUCUAUGUCAGUGACAUUAAUUCCAGGGCCACUGUUCCUUCUCCUAUUCCUCUUCUUCUUACCCCUGCGCUUCUGAUUCUUGCCCUGACGUUCUUGGUUUGCUACACUGACAUUGCCACCACUGAUCUGUCCCGAACCAUUUUGUGAGUUAAAAUCCACAAGCUCCCCUUCUUCCACAAGCUCUCCUUCUUCCACAUCAAGCAUCUCAACAUCUUCGCCAUCUUCAAAGUUAUCGUCUUCAAAUACUGCGUCUAGUAUGUUGUGUUCUCCUUCCAUAUAAGGUUUUCUUCAAUGGGGGGAAAAAACGCACCACAAAAUUUAUAAGCACCUACAGAGCAGAAAGCAGGAAGAAAACACGCAGAUUUCCACAGACGAGACAAAAACUGCAAACUCGUGCAAAUUUUCUCUAUGGCAAAUCACCAAACAGAUUAUGCGAGCCCUAACCAGAAAAAAUCACAAGUACAACGAAAACAAAAAAAAAAACGUAAAUAAAUAUUUUUUUUAAAAACCGAUGUACGAACCCUAACAAUGCAAAAACAAACACAGCAAUUCAAAGCUUAUGGAAUUUUCCAAUUAGAGUGCUCUGCUUAAGGACGAUGAAGCAUAACCGCGGCUUUUGGCGUUUGGUUGAUCAGAGGACUGCGUUUCGCUGGUAUGGUCUUUAUAGUGAAGCCUAGAUGAGCGCUGGCGGUAAUCAGUAAUGGCUUGUUUGGCUGCGUGGCAAACGAUGAUAUUAAUCCGGAUUGGGUUAUAGGUGGAAAGGCCCAACCCAAGGACGCUUUGCUUAUCUGUACUGAGCGAGCCCAAAAUGGCUGAAACUUAGUCCAUCCCCAAUCUAUUAGUGAUAUUUUAUGAUUUGUUUUUGUUGAAUACGUAAUUGUUAGUAGGUUAUCUGUCGACGUUUGAUUUCUUUUCAAUAGUGGGCCAUACGUCAUUGGCCAAUCCGUACGAGUCCACAACAAAACUGAGUUGAUGUGGAUUGUUGAGUGUGAAAUUUUGAGGAGUAAGUUUUGGGUGAAAAGCUCGGACCACGUAAUCUAUCUGUCCAACUGUUUUCAUAAGAGGGUAUAAAUUUUAUUGAGCGCCUGUCGGACGGAUGACAUGGUUUUAGAGCAAAGCCAAGCCCAACCUCAUAUUCAGACACCAUUGAUUGGAACGGGUAUGAAGUGGAAAUACAGGCCUUCCUUUAUCUUGUUCAGCAAGCAAUGGUGCAUUUUUGUCCUGUAAUUCAUAAAUCUAAUAGAUGCCCUUUGUCUGCAUCAUCACUUUUGUUGUAUUCUUUAAAUUAUACCUACCUUGUUUUCUACCUAUUCAAACGAGGGGAAGGUGGGCAUGAUUGGUACCAAAGUUUCAACCUAACGUUCUUCAACAUCUAGUAGCUUUUAUAUUAUAAAGUUAAAAGAAGAAAAAUACAAAAAGAAAACUCAUUAGAGCUUCCAGCUCUUGUUUUGAAUGAUGAUAGAUUAAGUCUGAUGUUGGGUUGAAAUAUUCUUUAUUAUGGCUAACUUAGCAUUGAUGUGCUAUGAAAAUAUACGCUGUUAGAUUUAUUGUGAGAAAAAUCAACAGUGAGAUAAAACAAUUUGGUGUUUGAUAAAAAAACAAAAGGGUCCCCACUUGCUCUAACAACAAAAAAACUAAAAAUCUUGCAAGUUAACUAAAGAAACUGUAUUCUUUAAUAAAUGAAAUUUCCCGUUAUUAUCUAUAUAUAUAAAGCAAAAGGCAGAGAAUGGUGAAACAUUCAAAAUACCAGAAAAUACCCUUGGUUAAUGCAAAUAUUAAGAAUUGAAAUUAUUAAUUAAAUGAGGAUAAUAUGGUAAAUUCACAAUUUUUCGUAUUAAAAAAAUUAAAAUUAAAAGAAAAUUCAGAUAAUGGAUCCUAUUUUUAUGGAACACAAAUAUCCAUUAUCUUUUUUAAUUCUAAAAUAAAUUUAAAUUUUUUUAAAAAAAAACCUCUCGCAUGCGCAGAAGCGCGUGCAGAGAGGCUAGUAUAUAUAAAGCAAAAGGCAGAGAAUGGUGAAACAUUUAAAAUACCAGAAAAUGCCAUUGGUUAAUGCAAACAUUAAGAAUUGAAAUUAUUAAUUAAAUGAGGAUAAUAUGGUAAAUUCAUAAUUUUUCGUAUUAAAAAAAUUAAAAUUAAAAGAAAAUUCAGAUAAUGGAUCCUAUUUUUAUGGAACACAAAUAUCCAUUAUCUUUUUUAAUUCUAAAAUAAAUUUAAAUUUUUUAUAAAAAAAACCUCUCGCAUGCGCGGAAGCGCGUGCAGAGAGGCUAGUACGAAUUACGGGUGAAAAAACCAGUGGAAUUAUACGGCGCCAACACUGUAAUUCCCGCAAUAAUACGGUGCCGACGUGUACGCUCCAGAUUGCACCCCUUUCCAAUUAAAGAGUGAGCUCACUGGGGCCCGCAAUCAAUCAUCCAAGUCGCAUUGAAAAAGAGAACCCACGUGGUCACCAAUAAAUAUCAACUCCUCCUCCGACCUUCGAUCUUUGUGUUAUAUGUCAGCUCCACCAAUCAGAUAUCCUCAUACCAAUUUGACCGGAAACCGCCAUGACUCGGUUGGCUAGCGCCGUCGUCCUGUUGUUCCUUGUCUCCCUCUCCAGUUUCGCUGCCGGUAGCCGGGACCUGAUCGGAGACGUUUUACGGUUACCUUCUGAAGCUUCUAGAUUCUUCGGCAGAGGCGAUGACGGCCCUGAUGAGCAAGACGACGGCACCGUGGGGACCAGAUGGGCUGUUUUGAUCGCUGGCUCAAAUGGAUACUGGAAUUACAGGCAUCAGGUCUUAAUUUUACACGAUAUCAUCUUUCUUAAUUCAGAAAUAUUCUUUUUUGUUAUCAAACUUCAGUUGUUAAUGGAAUUUGAGUUAUAAUUUUGGAUGUUAAUUUCAAUUUUUUUUCCCUUCAUGUUUUUUGAAUUGUUUGAUAUCUGAAUUUGGGUAACCUCAUAUUGGAAAGUUUAUGCUUGUAUAAUCUCGUUUAAAUUUGACUUUCAGCUUAUCCAAUUUCUGAUUCUUUUACCUUGUUGCUUUCGAAUUUGUCAAACUAAAUUUUGGAAGCUUAGAGUUUGUUUUGGAACUAAUAUGAAUUUAGCUCAAGCUUGUGUCUUUCUUAUCUUCCUUGAUCUCAUCUCAUUUUGACUAAGACAGAGUUUUAAAUUUACAUGUGGCUUGAGUUUGUUUUGGAACUCAUAUGCAUUUAGUUCAAGUUCGUUUUAUUAAUUAUUAUAUUCCUUGAUCUCAUCUCAGUUUGAAACUUUGACAUGGAGUACAUGAUCUCAACGUUAACCAUAUUUGUAUAGGAGCUGGAUUUCUGUGUCAGGGGUGAAAUUGAUACUUUUGUUGUGUCUAUAUCUUCAUAUGAAUGUCAAUAAAUAUCUUAUUGGUUUCACAUAUUUGAAAGCUAAGCCACCCUCAUUUCUUGAUUGAUGUUUAACACGGACCUUUUUAUCUUGUUUGUUUAGGCUGAUAUUUGCCAUGCUUAUCAACUACUGAAGAAAGGUGGGCUGAAAGAUGAAAACAUUGUUGUAUUCAUGUAUGAUGAUAUCGCUUAUAACGAAGAGAACCCUAGGCCCGGAGUCAUCAUUAACAGCCCACAUGGUGAUGACGUUUACAAAGGAGUCCCAAAGGUCUGUUAUCUUCCCCUCUAGGUGUUUACCUGCUUCUGAAUUGAUAGUUAUAAUUCCCCUCAUGCGGUCGAUUUUACGGUGGCAGGAUUACACCGGCGAUGAUGUUACUGUUAACAAUUUUUUUGCUGCUAUCCUUGGAAAUAAAACUGCUCUUACAGGGGGUACUGGGAAGGUUGUGGACAGCGGUCCAAACGAUCAUAUUUUCAUUUACUAUUCUGAUCAUGGUGGUCCUGGAGUUCUCGGUUAGUAUCAAUUCUGCACAUGACAAUACUGACAUUAUUUUGCCCACAUCCCCAUAUCUUAUCUACUUACUCUUUCCCUAGGGAUGCCUACCAGUCCAUAUAUUUAUGCUAACGAUCUAAUAGAAGUCCUGAAGAAGAAGCACGCAGCAGGAACCUAUAAAAGCUUGGUAAGUUUCUAGUUGAACUGUAAAUAGAUGCUGCAUAUACCAAUAGAGUUGGACUAAUUCGUAGAACUGCAGGUAUUUUAUCUUGAAGCUUGUGAAUCCGGAAGUAUCUUUGAGGGACUUCUUCCUGAAGGUUUGAAUAUCUUUGCAACUACGGCAUCAAAUGCAGAAGAGAGCAGUUGGGGGACUUACUGUCCAGGAGAGUAUCCUAGUCCUCCCCCGGAGUAUGAAACCUGCUUGGGUGACCUGUAUAGCGUUGCUUGGAUGGAAGACAGGUAUGCAGAAUUAUUUUAUUUUGUUAAAUUUUCAAUAAAGGGGUGGGAAGAAAAGCAGCUUAAUGUUAGCUUCAUUUUGCAUACCCUUGGUAAAUAAUAACAAUUUCAUCUUUCCCUAAAAGUGCAUUACUUCUUGAGUAUUGUCACUUUAAGAUUUGCCUCAAAAUAUGAAGAAUAUAUGAAUUAGGUAGAAGUUUGAAACUGUAUCAUUUCAUGCCAGUUGUUUUUUCUUCUUUAAUUCUUGCACUGGUGGUGUGGGUGUUUGGAUUGUCUUUGCAAGAGCAGUUUCUUUCUCAGGUUGGAGAAUGAAACUGUUCAAAUUAUAAUUUUCAUUUGAGAUUUAACAUUUUGACCUUGUGAACAGUGACAUACACAACUUGAGGUCGGAAACUUUGCACCAACAGUAUGAGCUGGUAAGAAUUCGUCUCUUAACACAUUGUUAUGGAACAGAUAGAGAUUUUUUUUUCUUCUUUUGUACAGGAAAGACCAGCUGUUUAUUAUUGUAUGUUUAAAUAAAAGAGAUUGUCUGUAUUUAGAGAAGUCUUGGGGGUCUAGCCAAGAAAUAUCUAGAUGUGAUCCUGCUAGUUGCUAAUGUCAGUUCUUUGAUUUCAUUAUGAUGGCCCAGGUUAAAACGAGGACAGCAAAUGACAAUUCUGGCUUUGGUUCUCAUGUCAUGCAAUAUGGCGAUGUAGGGCUCAGCAAGGAAAACCUCUUUGUGUAUAUGGGGACAAAUCCUGCAAAUGAUAACUACACUUUUCUGGGCGAGAACUCCUUGAGGCCAUCUACAAAAGCUGUCAACCAGCGGGAUGCUGAUCUUGUCCAUUUCUGGCAUAAGGUUAACUCUUACCUUUUUCAUCCGUGAAUAGUUAUUUUGCCUUUUCUUUUAAAUAUCUAGUCUUAAAAUUUAUGUACUAGUCAUCAUCGGUACUUAUAUUUGGAAGUAUUUCAUACUGUUAGAUAUUAUGAUUGAUUUGAUUAAAAGUCAGGAGAGAUCAGUAAUGAUGAUUGGGGAAUACUCCAUGUUUUCAUUGUUUAAACGGUAACAUAUCAUAAGUACCAUGGAGGUUUUGGAACCAUGCCAUUUGCCCUGCUCUCCUGUGAAGCUCCAAACAAAGCAGUAGAAUAUCUCUGCUUGGAACAAGAAUUUUGAAUACCAAAAAGGGAAUGAAACCAAGGUUUUGAUUAAAUAAAAGCCUUAAUUGUUAUGAAAAUCUAAGGUUCUACUUCUGAAUAUUCUGUGGUUUUGUAACUAUUUCUGUGUGUUAGCUGUCAGCCUGAAGAUCUAAGCCCCUUGUUUUCCCUUCUUUUCUUUUUCUGGAUGCAGUACCGCAAAGCUCCUGAAGGCUCACCAAGGAAAAUUCAAGCUCAAAAGGAUUUUGUUGAAGCAAUGUCUCAUAGAAUGCAUAUGGAUCAAACCAUGAAACUUAUCGGGAAACUCCUGUUUGGAAUCAAGAAAGGUCCAGAAGUGCUCAACACUGUUCGACCUGCUGGGCAGCCACUUGUUGAUGACUGGGACUGCCUUAAGACAAUGGUAGUACUUCUGCUGUUCAUUUUCUCCUUAAUGCUGUUAAAACUUUUCUGAUUCCAUCUUGUUCUGCAUAUAAAACAGAUUUUCACAAAUAAUAUAUGUGGCUGUGCCUGAUGGGUUUGUGUGUGCAGGUGAGGAGUUUUGAGACAUAUUGUGGAUCCCUAUCUCAAUACGGGAUGAAACACAUGCGGUCCCUGGCAAACAUCUGCAACGCCGGAAUGACAAAGGAGCAGAUGACCGAGGCUUCAGCACAAGCCUGCACGAGCGUUCCUUCUAGCCGUUGGAGCUCCCUGCACCGGGGGUUCAGCGCAUGAUUUCAAGAAGAAGAAAAAAUGUGGGAUUUGAAUAACCAAUCCGUGGUCAUCUCUAUAUGCAAAACAUAUCUUAGGAUGCAUUUCGAUUAUUGUUAAUGUUAUUCUGAUUGCUUCAGUGUAACCUUGUGUAAAUACAACUCAAGCCCCUGUACUGUAAUGCACGUACCUACUGAAUCUUGUAAGUAAAUAUUAGCAUGUUUGUUGCGUAUGAAUACGUACCUGUUUGCUGCAGCUGGUGUACGCAUCAGGCUCUGGUUAUAAAAAAGUUUGCAAUUACGAUAUGCCUUUGUUUUAUGUUCACUUUGGUUGCUUCAUUAAGGAAGUGAGUGGCUUGUCUCCAUCUCCUUCACCACCACCACUAACAGAACAUAAUUAUCGCGUAACACUUUCAACUUUAUGUCUAUUUGAGUUAUUAUUUACAAUUACAAUUUUUUUAUAUUAAAAUUUAUCAAAUAAUUUUGACAAUGCUUUUUGUACUAGCACUUCAAAAGAAUUAUUUAUUAAACAUGAAGUUGCUUUACUUUACAAUUAAUUAUUUUUAAAGCACAAUAAAAUUAAAUUUUUUAAAAAAGUCACAUCAAUCUCAAAUUCCCCUUCUUUCUUGUCCGUCUCCAAAUGGUAAACUGGUAAUCUAGCUUUUGACCCCCAAAAAAAUGGAAAUCUAGUGGGCCUUUCAUAAGAUAAUGUCAUUAUCAUUGUGUGAGUAUAUUCCGUGUAAUUGAGUAAUGAAAGAUAUCGAUCGCGUUGGGAAUUGGGGAAAGUUAGAAAUAUUUAAGAGACGGAUUUACUCCCUCAAUUAAUGUAAUUUAUGGGUUUUCAAGAAUUAAAUGACGGAUUUUAAUGUGGAACACACAUAAAUUUGUAUACCUGAUGUAAAUUUAAGAGUUGGAAUAAUUUUAAUAUCCAUUAUAGGCAAAUGAACAUGCCAUGCUAUAGGUGUGUGCCCAAUUUCAUUGUGGAGAACGUAGCCGUAGGAGAGCAUGCGUCCAACCCCAAAUUCCCUUUCUUCCUCACCUUGCUCCAACCUGUAGCUGCCAAAAUGUAGGUAAGCAACAGCCUACAUUACGGGUCCAAUAAUGUACAAUUUUGGCAAAGUCCAAUUACUUUAAUGAUGGAAUGAUUGUAUAGUUAAAUCUUACUUAAUAAGAUAAGAGUGAGAGUCAAAUUUAUACGGUGCAUAUUUAUUUCAUGUGUCAAUGCCAAUUAUAUUACAUAUUUUAAUUGAAUAAUACGGACCAUUUAACUUGACACAUGCAAAAUUAUAGAUGAGCUUGUAAUUGUAACAUUAAGAUUCACACAAAAAACGAAACUCACAAUAUUUAGCUGAAUGGAAAAUGUUUUCAAGAUGCAUCUAUCAUAAGUUCUAGCUGUGAACAUUAUUAUAUGGCAGUGUCCCAUCCCAUGGUCUCCCCAAGACUCACAACCCAACAUUUUCUUUUUCUUUUUCUUUUUCUUUUAUUUUUUUAUUUUUAUAAAACGCAACCCAACUUUAAAAAUAUGAUCCAUAAUUGCAUAUUGUCAAACCAACAGUGAAAAAAAAAAAAAAAAAAAGGGAAGCAGGAACCGACGCUCUAGAUUCAACAAUUUUAUUUGGUCAACACACAAAUAUUUAAGCUUGGCUUAUAUACGGUCUAUAAUCGGCCACAGGAACCGGACAUCAAGGACAAUUGUCUGAUAACGUGAAAUCCACGACUCUGGUUAAACUUACCAUGGUUAGUUCACUAUAACCAUACUACAACGAACCGGUUCACCAGAAAAAUAAAAUUAAAAAAUUAAAAAAUUAAAAAAAGGUAAAGGAUGAAUAAAAAAAUAAUUGGGUAAUGCAAAUUAUUGCCACUUAACGGAGUAGUAGAUUCUGUUAGAUUCAUUUGACGAGGCGAAGAGGGGGCGCAUAGUAAGAACGUUGUAACGAGGUUUAAAAGAGACGGAGCUGACGGUUUAAGAUAGGGAGACGCGGGAGCCGUUGGAUUGUUGAUCAAGGGCCGAUAAUGCAAGGCGUUGGACGGUUCAAGUGUGACGGAGAGUGGGAGGGGUCGUAUAAAGCCUGGGUUUUGAAAGGUGAGAGUGCAUUUCGUUCCAUCAAAACAAGAAGAAGAAAGAGGAAGAAGAAGGAGAAAGAGCCUCUCUGACGUUUUGGCCUUCGGUUUUUCUUCUGCUUUAGAAUUUAAAGAGGAAUUCGGGAGAGAAUUCGUAGAGCUGGACUGUGUGUAAUGUUAAGGAUCUAAUUACGAAGCUUUUCUGUGAGCCUGUUGUGUGUUCGCGGGAGAGAGAAGGAGAGAAGAGCUUGCAGAGGUUGGUGAUGGAGAAAACAGAGCUCGAUUUUGGUAGUUUUAAUGUAAUCUGAUUUCUUAGAAUGACCGGGUUAUUUUGUGCAAUUUCUGUUUUGCAGAUACAUUCAGAAGAGCUUUUGGAGGAAUUUGAAGUGAAAUCGAUUGCGAUUUGCUGGGAUAAUUUCCAAGGUGGACCUCAUUUCAUUGAAAUUUACAGAGAAAAGGUCGAGAAAUCUAGUUUAGAGGUGAGGGGAGUUGGAUUUGCUUAAUUUCCUAAACGAUUUCACUCCCUUAUUCUAACUCAUCGUUCGUUUGAUUUUGGUUUCACAGGUACAUUUCCCGGAGAUUUGACCCCUUUUUUUUGAAGAAAUCUCAACUGGGGUAUGAGAUAAAGAAGAACAAGCAUCUCUCAUUCAUGAGUGUCAGGGACAUAGGCUCUAAGUUUCAAUCAUUUCGUUGAUUUUCGGCUCUAGAUUUGCAUUUUGCAAAGUCAGAAGGCCUAGAAGAGCAAGAUUACCCAAAAGAAGCAAACUUUCUUUUGCAAAUUCAGGAUUGUAGCUGCUUGCGAAAUCUCAGUAUAACAGGUGAGGAUUCAUUUUCCGAAUCCUAGAUCAGUGAAACCAAGUCUCGGGCUUAGGAUUUCACUGGCUGAUUUGAUUUCCUUCCAUUUUCGGUUCUUCGAAUUUUGAUAUCUUUCUACUCAAUUUGGUUUCUUCAAGGAGGCUCUCACUUUUCUCUUCUUUUUCCUCAUCUGCAGCAGAGUCCAAGCAAUUGGUUUCUCUGUUUUUUGAUUUUCGAUGUUCAAAAGCAGAUAACUUUGCAACAGAAUUUUAAGCUUUUCAAAUGAAGCCAGCCGAGUUCCUUGACUCUCUCUCUCUCUCUCUCUCUCUCUCUCUCUCUCUCUCUCUCUCGCUCGCUGGGUCUUACAUUUGGAUCCAUCAUCUUUGUCCAUCAUCUUCUUUCAAUUUUCUGUCAUCUGCCUUCUGUGCAAGAAUUUUCAAUUUCAAAAAACUAAUUGACCUUUAUAUUUGGGAAGAUUAUCUCUUCUUCUUCGUCUUCUUCUUCUUCCUCUCCUCCUCCUCCCCAUUUUAAAGGCUUUUAAUAUAUUUUUCUGAAUGAUUUCCGUCUGUAUUAUCAGCAUUGAAAAGAAAAGACCUUCUCUAUGAAAUUUUACCCGCUGUUUUGUGAAAAAUCUAUCUAUCUUUGGUGUUCUUUGCUGGCAGUCCGAAGUUUGUGUCUUUUCCGAAAUUCAAACACCAGCAGAGUGCAAAAUCUUCUGUUUGGUUCUCGGGAAACUGAUACAAGAAAAAACUGAGCUAACAGACGUAAUUGCUCAACUUAUUUAAUCGCAAUUCGUUGGAAGCGUCUGAUAAAAAAAAUAUAUAUAUAUAUCAAAGAUACAAUUUUCAUUCUUUGUCCUUUCCCUGCCUUUUUUUUUUUUCGAUCUUCAUCUUCUCCGUCUGUUUGGGUAGGCCCUGCUUUUCAUUUGAAUUUUAUUUUUAGGCACUCGCAGUUGCAGAGAGCCAGCCACAAUCCAAUUCCAGAUUCUCAGUUUUUGCCAUUUCCGUCCCUAACUUUAAUUAUGAGCAUUAACCGCGGUUAAAGUGUAAAAAAUCAUGUUAACUAACUAACCGCUGUGAUUAAUUCUUGUUUUGGCAUGGGUGGACAGGUGUACAAAAGGAGAUGGAAAGGGACUGUCUUAGGCACACCCAUACUAAAGACACCCACAAUCCCAACACUCGAGACAAAACCGGAGGGGACGCCUCAGCCUCUCUGCUGUUGAGAGCGAGCCCCGAUGCCAUACGACACGCAACGACGUCGUCCGAUUUCGUUUUGCAGUGGGGGAACCGCAAGCGCCUCAGGUGUAUGAAGAUCCAGGUCAAAGACAAGGGCAAAGACGACUCCGACGCCCCGGUUACCCGAACCACAGUCCGGGUCGACCGCCGGGUCGUCCGACCUGAUAAGGACCCGGCCAAUCAGCCUUCCACGGCCGGUAACUCUAAUCAGACGAAUGGGUAUUUGAAUCUCCGUCAACGGCCGUUAUCUCCGCAGCAGCCGCCACUUCAGCGUGUUCUCAGGUUACCACUUGCACUUCACGCUUUUGCUUUAUCUAAUCUAUAUCUAUUGCUUCCACGGGACGUCGUUUCGGUCCUGCCUUUCGUUAACAUGUAGUUUCGUCGUUUUGUGGGGUAGUUGUGGUGGCGUUUUGUCGUUUAAAUUAGUGGCGGGUGGGCCAGGUGCGUGGGUUUUGUCGUUUUUAGUUAUUUUGGGACUUGUUGCCUACGGUUACAUCUGUACAGUUUUGGUGCGGUUUUUAUAUAUACCUUGAUCUCACCGUCAGAUGCAUGAGUCAUAAUCAUCAGAUCAGGAGAUUUUAUAUUCAGACUUGCUUGAUUUUAGAUUUUAGAUUUGUGAGGAAAAAUCUCAGAUGAUUGCGUGGCCAAUUUCUCUACGUCUGUGAAGGUCAAAGAGAAUAAUUUUGUUAGGUAAGUGUUUGUUGCUUUGAUUAGAUUAUUUCAUAUGCAACAAUAGAGUGAUUGCAAAUUCUGUUAUCUUCUUCCUUGUUUGGUUGAAGAGAAAAUCUUGUUUGCGUGAAGGGAAAAUCUCUGAUUUUCUUGUGCAAAUUUGUCGCUUUAGAUUGGAUUGAUUUAUAUGAGUGGGACUGGAUAAAUGGAUAAGGCUAGAAAGCAUGGAAUUUUGUCCCACACCACUGGUUUUUUAUAUUCCUGGCCUGCCAUUAACAUGGCUGUGUUUAAUCCUAUGUGCUUAAUGUGUAGUUGAAUGAAAUUUUGUCGGAGGGUUUUUGAGAUUAGGAGUUUUAAUGAUGAAAUUUGGGGCUGAAUUUGUUGUGAGGCUUAUCUUAAUGAUCAACUCUCCAAUUGGUCAGGUGGGUGAAGAGAUGUAAAAGCCCCAGAAGGAGAGCUCAUGGUAAGUGCAUGAGGGUAGGGUGCCUUCUUUGUUUGUCUUUGUAGGAAACUAGUAGCAUAUGAUUGAAUUAGGUUGCUCAUGUAGUCAUGUAAUCUUUUUGGCUUGAUUGUGCACAACAUAAAACACAUUAACAUAACAAACAACUUAAAUUAGAGAAAGAGAGAGUCUUAGUGCCAUAAGGUCAAGCAUUUACCCUCACAUUCACGGCAAGAGUUUGAUUCUUCCUCGUUCGUGUUUUUCAGGAUGCGGUAUUAAAUUAUGGUAUCAUACAGGAUGGUGUAUCAAUAAGUUGAUGUCAAGCAUGAUUGAUUUGAUACUAGUUCUAGUUUUCUUUUUUGGAAUAAAUGCCUUAUUUAUUGUGAUUGAUUUGUUAUUUAUUUUAGACACGAUGUUAGGGCUGAUUUGAUCAUAAAUCUAGAAUGAUUAGGCUUGAGUAAAUUGAUUUCCACUAGGACUUGUGUAGCAGGCUUAUGUUGCUCAUGGUCACACCGGAUCGGGGCUCCACUACAUCUUAGCAUGAUAGCGUCCGAUCCAUAACGACCGGCACCCUGAUUCCAUGGGCUCAGUGGAAAUAGGAAAUGGGCAACUCCUAUUCCACGUGUCCACGGAAAACCAAUUCUUCAACCCCGUUUCUAGCCCUGGGAUCACUGAUGGAUCAGGCAAUGGAUCCACGCCUUCCACGUUUCAACACGUGUUCCUUAACCCCACAAAAGGCACUCUCAAUCCAACGGCUAAAAUCCUGCCCAAAAACCAGCUGUGCACGUUAUACAGUACAUCACAUCCCUUUCCUCUCUCUCUCUCUCUCUCUCUCUCUCUCUCUCAAAUAUCUAACUUUUCAUUAAAGAAAAGAAAAUUAACAACUCCCUCGUUUAAAAGCAGAACACAAAGGUCCCCCAAAGAAGCCAAAAACCACGCUAAUUUUCUACGCAAAACCCAUUACAAAGCCUCUCUCUCUCUCUCUCUCUCUCUCUCUCUCUCACACCAAUCCACCGAUCUAGAUCGUCUCAAGGCCAUUCCCGUAAUUUCACAACUACCCACAUUAAUUUAAUUUAAUUUAAUUUUUUGCCCAAAAAGUAUCAUUUAUUAUGUUUUGUGCCAGCUUUUUUAUGGGUUUAUUGAAUUCAAUUGAUUUGAUUUGAUUUGAUUUUGAUAUGCGUAUCUGAAUUGUGUAGAAACUCAGAGACCACAACAAGUGCCAUGAGAGGCCAGAGCAACGGAGGCUUGAGGGGAAUUGUUUCACCCGACAACAGAGGGGGUGCGCACGAUAAGAAAGGCAACCACCACCAUCACAACCACCACCACCAUAAUAAUGAGAAUAACAACACCAAGUCUGCAGCUUCUUCGGACACGGCGCACGAUAGUAAAAAGGGGGGAGGUGGGUCUUCAUCGGGAAGCGGCGAAGCAGCGUUGGCGCCACCGAUGGUCUGGCCGCCGAAGUUCGUGAUUGCUUUGACCAACAAAGAGAAAGAAGAGGACUUCAUGGCAAUCAAAGGGUCAAAAUUGCCUCAGAGACCCAAGAAGAGAGCAAAGUUCAUUCAACGCACCCUCAAUGUAAGCUCCUCUAUUUUCCUUUUUUAGUUACUUUAUUAAUUAAUUAGUAUUAAUUAAAACUAACUAGUUUUUUUUAUUUUUUUUCUUUCUCUUUUUAAAAUAACACCAUUGCCUUGCAAAAACAAAUCAAAACCCAGUUUGAUUUUAUUAUAUUUAUAUGGUUGUUUUACCUGUAUUUAUGCAAAUUGUUGUUGCGACAAAAUGUGGACUAGCUUAGAAGGAAGGAAAAGCAAAAAAUAAUAAAAUAAUAGAAUAAUAAAUAGAACUUUCUGGUAUUUGUUUAGUUUGGGUUAAAAGAAGCCGAAGAAGAUUGCUAAAGUGACAGCAAGAACAAGGCAUACACGUGUCCGCCAAGCCAUGUAUGCAUAUACCUAAUAUGCCUAAAAGUUAGUUUGCUGUCCGACUGGAAUAGUAUUAAUAGGACGAUGGUUUGGGUUAAGAUUAAAUUCUAUAUUAUUCAUAAUAAUAUGAUAAUGAAAUAUUUUAUUUAGGGUCGCCUCGUUUAGUGGAAAAUUGAUGUCACACGUGGCAAUACAUGGUUGUUGCUUUUGGGUUGGUUAUCGUGGCGAUGGACGGUGCGUGGCGUCUCAUGUGGCCGCAUGUGAUUUAGUGGGCAUCAGUGGACGUUUAAAGCAAGUGGGCCUUAAUUCUGUACUAACCGACAAAAAAAGGGCAUAUGGGUCGAAACGGACCCUGGGCCUGUUACCGUUGGUUUUUUUUUGGGGGGUUCUUUUUGGGAAAUAAUAUGCUUCAUGUUGAGGGCAUAUAGGUAUUUUCACUAGCCCUUAAUUAUGCUAACUGUUUUCUGGCUUGGACCGCACUGCCAACUGCUGAGCACAAAAGCACGAAAGCUGACUACCCACAAUGCACCGUUUUCGUUUUUUAAGUUCCAAACAUAGCAAAACUCAUCAAAGUGCUUAUCAAAAAGCCUAUCCCGCUUUUUGCCCAUUACCUAAAGCAAAAGCUACGCUUUUGCCAGUCUGUUUUUGCUUGUUUUGGCCUCUUCCUUUUAAUUAGCUGGAAGAUUAUUGUUCUAAUUAGUUUUUUAUUUUCUGUAAUUUUGUUUUAUAGCUGGUAAGCCCAGGAGCAUGGCUCUGUGAUCUGACCCUAGAACGGUACGAGGUCAGAGAGAAGAAGAUUUCCAAGAAGGUAUUUUAUUGAGUAAUUUUCUUCGAUUCAGGGCCUAAAUCAAAUUUCCUUAAUUUGCCUUUAAUGUUGAUAUUUUUAUGCAGCAGAAUGAAUAGUUUUUUUGUGUUUUUGCAUGAUGCUGCAGAGACCAAGAGGGCUAAAGGCGAUGGGCAACGUGGAGUCUGACUCUGAAUAGAAAGGAGUUUUAGUGAAAAGACUAAUAUAGCAUUUUCGUUUUUUUUCUCCUCCUUUUUUUGAAGGUAUGAGAAAAAUGUUAGAACUUUGUAAAAAUCUUCACCUUUCAACCAUCAGAAUAAUGAAUGGAUUCAUUUCCGGUCCUGUAUACAGUCUUGUUCCUCAUCUUCCUACUAAGUUUGUUUAAUCAGAACAAGAAAAAAAAAACAAAUCAUCACGUCCAAGCACACGAACAAAUGAAAUUUCUCUCUUUCAAACCCUAAUUGUGAAAAAUAAUUAAAAUAAGCUUCAGGGAUGUAAUUCAAGUGGUUAGUCAUGACAUGUUACACAAUCCAACAAUUUUUUGUUUUCUUGUCAACCUACAACACAUUUUCUUAUGUCGUAUUAAGUUAGAAAAGGGAAUUAACGGUGUUGGAUAGUCGUCCAAACGCACGUGAGUGUCUUAUGAUUGUUCAUAUAUUAACAUAUGGGUCUCAGUCUAACAUACAUCGAUGACUUACGGUGGAAGUGCUCAUUAGGCAUGGGCAAAAUCAGUUUCAGACUUCACCAUCCGAGUGAAAAAGAAACUCGAGACUCGAUCGCUCUCAAGAUGUGAAGAAAAUCACGAAAUUGACUCUUGAGACGAGAUUUGAGACUCUUUAGAGGUUAGACUUCAAGAAGGAAGAAGAAAAACAACAAACCAUAACUCUCUUUAGCUGACACACGUAACGUAAAACCACAAUAUAUGAAUUUGCAAAGCUAUUAAAGACAAUGACAUCUAAAAAUUUACCCGAGACAGGAGAAAAACCAGAACCCCAACUCCCUAAAGUUACCUAGUCAUUAGCAAAUUGAAGGGCCACGUCUAAUUUAUAAUGAUAAGAGAUAAUAUCAUUGUUUGGUCGCAUGAUUUGUGGAUGCCACUUUACAUUAUGUGGCCUCCUUAAUUGGUAUUUUGAUGUGACACGGAACACUUAACGCGGUAAUUUAAUUUCUUAACGUAAUUGACAAUUUCAAUGAAAAUCCAUGACCUAUCAUAUCAGACCACCAAACCAAACCCAACUGAAUUAAACUAUUGGAAGAGGAGAAAACAUGGGUCCUAAUUCAAAUUAACAUUCAUAAUUCGCCAUCAUUGACGGGAAGACCCGAAUUAAUCCCCUUAAUUAUGCCACGAAGAAGCAUAAACACAUUUUAAGAAUAACAUCUGCUCUGUGAGAGUUUGUGGAGACAGACAGAUCCACCACCCACCAUCCAGCUGGUUCUCAAAAGGCAAUUCUAAUGCUACCUGCGGGUCGUGAAGAAAAGAGGAAGAUUUUUCAAUUUAAUUAGCCCCCAAAAAAUAGCAUGGAAAAUACCCCCAAAGGGCCCUAAAUAUACCCUUACCCACUGGGCAUAUUUGUCAAUAAACACUGAAAUUAGGGAUUUUUUCAGGACCCAAACACAAUUGCUAUAGUCGGUGACCCAGAGCCUAUCAAAUUAUAAACUCAUUACGUGUUGCAGUUGGAAUUACAGCUUUAUUCUGUUAGAAUAAAUGAUUAAUUUACACCGACUUGGCUACGCCGCUUUUUUGGUCCAAGCGAAAAUAAAAUAAUUGGAUCUGGAUUUGUAAUUUGCCGCUUUUUAUUUGCAGGUAAUGAAAAUGAAAUAACAAUUUGGAUAUUAGUUAAUUUUGAUAUCACAAGCUAGACAAACACCAUUCUCAAAGCAACUCAAGCAUCAAACACAGGAGGAGGAGGAGGAGGAAGACAAACGAAAUAAAAUCAAUGAAUUAUUUACUCAUAAUAAGGAUAAUAAUCGAAAUCCACAAAUACAAAACCCAUAGUAAUAAACCAAGUGCAUUAUAUAUGUAGUCUAUGCACCACAAAAACCCAUAUGACACUGAAAAUCCUAUAGAUCCAUAAUCACCAGCUACUAAAAUGACAAACGCUACUAAUAAAAAACCAAUCAGAAACCCAACCGCUCUCUACACAGCCCCAACCAUAGUUGCAGUAGUAAGCGAAGACUCAAACCCUGAGCGCAGAUCCGAAGACGAUAGCGGCGAAGGCGGCGGCGAAAGCAGAGAUGAACGACGGGGAGAUGGAGGCGGAUGCGGAGGUUGGGCUAGGAGCUGGAGAUUCGGCGGCCUGAGCGGCGCCGAUGACAGAAAGGACGGUGACGAAGACCGCCAUGAGAGCCACGAGUGAAGUUGCCUUUGAGACUGCCAUUGUUGAUUGGUGUGAGAGUUUCUUGUGCUUCGGAAUCUAGGGUUUUGGGAAUACGCCGAGAGACUGAAGCACAAAUAUCAGAGGUGGAAUGAAGUAGGCUCAAGGAACGUAUUUAUAGCGGGGAUUUUGGGCUGGGGUCGGGCAGCCUGGGCAGCUGCCCGGUUCUACAGGCUGGCUACUUGUGAUUGGUUCAGCGCGACAGCUCACACCGCUGGUCGGGGUAAAUUUUUCUCUGUGGGCCCCACUAGAAACCAGUGUCUACGCGGAGUCGUUUCACGCACGAUUUUACCUUCGUCUGAAACGACGCCGUGUGUUCACAUUCCUUAACGAAAGGGCUUUUCGCUUCGCGGCCGAGUCGACUCAGUGGAGAAUAUAUUCGCAAGAAUCUUCUAGCUUGCGACGCGCGGAUCAGAUUCUGUCCGUACGGUGUCAUUUGAGUCACAUCACAUGAUGAACGGUCCAGAUGAACCCGUGGGAACACGUGGGAAUGGAAGAGGUUAUAACGGUUUCGCGGUAAAAAAAUUUGGUUUUUUAUUUAUUUUUAAACUUAAAAAAUGGCCCACAAUGCGCAAUCAGGGAGAUUACAGCGCAGAAAACACAGAGAGGAUGCGUGACUUUCUGGUGAGCGACUCGAUGGCCAACGGGCGAUCGACACGUGGGGAUUUCGAAAAAGACAGGUUGUUAAAUUGCGAGGAAAAAGAUACGACAGGUGUAGGGUGGGAUUUGGUUCUGUUGCUUCUGAUAUUUUUAUUUCGCGGGAUUUCCAGAACAUUCGCUUGGCAUUUUGCGUUUUGGAGUUGAGGGGCGCACAUGCGUGCGGGUGAAGUUACCGUAAUGCCCUUGAGAGUGAUUGGGUGCGUGUCAAUUUUAUAUUCACGUUCAUUAUGAGGAGCUAUGAGUAUCUACUUAAGAAAACCAAAAGGAAUGUGGCGCUGAAUCUGAAUGGGUUUGAAGUCCAUUAAUGCGUUCCAGGGCUUUUCAACAUUUUGUUCCAUAUUCCAUGCCGUGCCCACUGGCUAAUGGGUUUGAUGUGGGCCCAACAUAUUCUUUUCUCGUCAAAUCCAAAUAAAGAGGCCGGGUGUUACGGGAGCUCCUAUAAUCCAGGUCGGUUUAUGUCGUCGAAGUUUCAAUUCAGCUGUCUAAUAAUAAUACUCUUAAAGUGUUGUUGAACGAACUCACAAAUUAACUGUGUUCACUUUACUAAUAAACUAUUUAUUGAAUUAUCAAUUUGCUCUAGUAUAAAAUGACCAAAAAUGAUAUAUUGAAUUGUGAAAUAAAUGUAAUGUUAAUAAAUACACCAUACACUAAAUAAAUAAAUAAAAAUUACACCUUUCUCACUAUAUUCAACCAAAUUGAACUUUUGUUUUCUUUUUCUUUUUCUUUUUCUUUUUCUUUUUUGGGUUUGUUUGUUAACCUCAAUAAUAAUAAAUGAAUAAUUAGGGAGGGACCAACCAUAAAGCCAAGCAGGAUUAACAAAUAUGUAUAGAGAUGGGUUAGUAUUAUGAGACAACCAUCACAAUGUCUGUCUGAUUCAUAUAGAACUGCAUAAUUAAUGACAAUGAUGAUAUUAGUGUGUAUCAGGGGUAUUUUUAAAGUUUUUAUAAUUGUGUAUUAGUGUGUAUCAGGGGUAUUUUUGGUAGUUAAAUAUGGUGUACUUAGUUAAUUUUACAUUUUGAUUUAAAUAUUAAAGUAUGUUUAGAUCAUAGGGUGUACUUAGUUAAUUUCAGAGUUCGUUUAGCAAUGCUCUACUUUUAUUGAUCAGACAACUAUGAAGACUCCCACACUAUAGCCUCAUACAAGUGGUACGCAGCAUAAAUGGGCAUGUAAACCAUAGAGGACCAAGAUAUAGAACCGUUGACGCACGUAAGUUCCACAAUACUGUUAAUAUAUGUGCGGGCGACUCCGAGUAACUGUUAACCUAGAGUCAGAGAAAUGAAAUUCAAAUAUAAAAUAUUUUAUUCUAAUGUCGAUUUCUGAAUACAAAAAUGUGAAUUUGAUGCAGUGCUAAAUAAGGUGUGCUACUUCUCUGUACAUCUGAUACUGAUACUGUUGUGGACGGGGGUUUUGGCCAAAGAGCUAUCAAGUGAACCUCAACUAAUAAUAAUAUUACAGCUGAGGUUGAAUUCUAUGAUGACAAAUAACACACACCACAAACAGGGAAUUUUGCAUGCUCUUCGGCUAGAGAAGUUUGAUUUGACUGAGGAUUUAUGUGUUAGAAGCCCAAAAACUUUGGUGCUAAAUGCAGAAGGGGUUCCAUAGCACUUGGAGCAAAUUUUCUUCCAAAAAGAAAGCAGAUUGAAGAGUUCCGGUCGUUGUAAGUGCAGCGAUGACCCUCGAGCAUUCUCUUGAAGAAUUCCUCAGUGAUAUCAGCUCUUCCAAAGGUAGCUGGGUGAGGUCCACCCCUUGACCAAUCCACCCAAGUGAUGCUUCUGUUUGCUAAGGAAUUCCCUGCUUGAAUGGUUAGCAUGGUGGGGAAAUAGUGCUCAUCAACAUAACAUGCGGGUCUACAGAACUUUUCAAAUUUUUGGUAAAAUGUCGUAUCUUCGACAAUGCUGAUGGCAAGCUUCCGGUUAACUUCAAACCAUUGGGAGCCCUUGCGCCACUGGGUUAUAUUCACUUCAGGUGCCAUGUUAUUAUUAUAGCGUCCUCUCCCGAAUGGCCCAGGGUCGUCAAAUGCACCGAUGAAGCUGUACUUGGAUUUCAUUAAGUAGUGGUAAAUGACACUGAAGUUAUAGAGCGGAAUGCAAGAUUCGGAAACAAGAAUGAACCAUUCAUUGGAUAUGUCAAGCAAUGCAUUAGCAAGGAGCCUUCUCUCAGCAUCACACAUACUCAUUCUUCCCCACUCAGAAACCUGCACAGCAGAAAACCAAAACUCUUAGCAGAUAUGUAAGAGAUAUUGCAUAAUAUCUAUCCAGAUUUGAACAGAAAAAAUUUCUACAGCAGCAACCAAGAUGACCUCAAAGAAAUUAGACAAAACAAGUUAUCCUCAAGCUACAAAGCAACAACAAUAUAAUUUUCCCUGGAUACUCUGUUUUUGAAGCUACUAACUGCGGAUCAUGAGUUUCUCUUUUGUUCAAAACACCCAGGUUAAAAAGUAAAACAAGCAGAGAUUUUAUGGAAUAUGUUCAUGAAUCUGAAAUAAAUACUUGGUAUGUUUCUAUACAAGCUUGAACUCUAUCACAAAGCAUCAUUCACAUAAAUAAUUAAUUUCUUCCUCAUAACCUGAAGGCAGAUAUCAUGACAGUAUGGAAAUGUCAUGAUUGUGGCACGAGAACAAGUCAGGAAUCAAGAACGUAGAUUAAAAAAAAAACAUCAGGACUAUGUGAAGAGGUCCAGGGUGCCACCCCAGUAGUCAAUGCCUUUACAUCAGCUGUUCAUCAUGUACGAAAACAUUUAUGCAUCUGCUUUUUUCAUGUUUAUAAACACAGGUGUUGUAAUAGUCUCAAGAUCCAAAAGUUAGCAGCAGAUGGAGUGGACCUAGUGGAGUUUCACAUGCAGGAUUGUCAAAUUCAUGGAAUAAAGAGUCAAAUCCAUUCACUUAGUUGAGUUUGCACUUGACACACGAGUCCAUGGAACAAAUAGGGCGUCCUGCCCUCCCCAAGAGAUGGUCUAUAUAUCCUACAUCACUGUAAUUCUCAAUACAUGAACAUGAUAAAACUGACCUGUUCCUUUCUACCAACACACAGAAAGGUAGUUUUAACCCUUUCUUUGAUGAUAAGCAAAAAUUACCAACUCUUGGAAAGAUGAAUUUCGGAUUUCAUCAUGUCUUAAGCUUCACAUACAUAACCUAACAUUUUUAAAUGCAAGAGACCAGGGUGUGUGCUCACCACAGAGCAAAUAUAGGAAAUCAAGAUGUGCAGAAAGUAAAAACCAGAUAAACCAGUGAUAGAGAACUAGAUAUCUACGAAUUUACCUCAAAAUAAAAAAUAAAAAAAUAAUUUUGUACUUGCUGAAGGAUGCUUAGUAGAACAUGCAAUCUCACAAAGGAUAGAAUAUGGACCUGGCUAGGAAUGUGUCUCCCAUAAAAAACGGACGAAGUGUGAAAAUGAGGUUGAAAUGACGGCAGUGAAUGAACGUAGAUUGAAUAACGUCCUUCAUGUCCCUUCAGAAACCUCUCCCAAAGGGGUGCCAGCGGCAACGGCCCCCUGGUCAAGAACAUAAAUGCAAUCUUUGGAACUCUCUCAAAAGGAUACUUCUUUAUUCUAGGCAUAAGAGAAGCCCUCCACAAUAAUUCCUUAUCAGUCAUAGUGUGUUGAAGAUUUGAUGGCGGCUUAAUCCACCGGUCCAAACCACUCGGUUCCUCAUAGCAUGGCUGGAAAGAGGACGUGACCGUUGUCAUCACCCCAUUAAUUCCAAAAUGACGAAUCGUCAAUAUGCUAAUGACUGAGAAAGUAAUACAGAAAAGCACAAACAGCACAAACAACUGAAGUAGCCUUAUCGGCAAUGCCUUGGUUUGGUUUGUCCUGCCAGUAACUCCGGGGUCCUUGCCUUCCUCUAAUGGCACAACCCUUGAUUGCAUGGUUUGCAUCUUGAUUAAAACACUGCACCAAAAUCAAUUUCUAGCUCUUCUGAUUACUACAGAGUACCUCCAAGUCUCAAAAUUUUGGACACCUAUUGACUUCUCUCAAACAAGAAAACCCACAGUCCAAAAUUGCAUCUUGCAUCACAAACGGUGAAGUGAACACGAAUUUAAUCACAUUGGAAUCUGAAUCACUCAGUUUUCUUCAAAACUGCAACCCCACCAAAUAAAAACACACUGCACAGAUCUGAAACUAAUACUACAGUACUGAACACAUACUGCGUAAAAAAUUUUAACUUCAGCACAUGGGUUCUUAAUAAACUGAGCUUAUAUCAACGAUCUAAGCUAAGAUCAUACAAAUAUGGAUCGAACUUCUCUUUCACCAGAGAAAAAAGUAUGACAUACCAUGUGACUUUUGAGGUUGAAAGCUAAAUUGAUGAAGACGAAUGAAGGAUUUAGAUCCUUGUAUUUGACUGCUUGAAUUGCGCCCAAGAAUACGGGAAGUGGUCAAUUGGAUGAAGAACAAGAGAACAGAAGGAGGAGGUCACGCAGAGGAGACUUUGGCGGCAGAAACAAAAAGGUGCAGUGACCAAUAAUAAUGAGAGAGUUUGAAAAACUUGGGGAGAAGUCUUGACCGAGUGUGCGCGUUGUGUGUGAGAUGAGAGAAUUGUGAGGAAGACGACGACUCUGUGAUGAUCUGUAGAAUCUCAAGUUUUAAGAAUGUCUCUCACACGGUGCGGUGCGAGUGAGGAGGGAGAGGGGAUCCAGCUUGUCGGCUAACUUGGGAGUGUGAUAUAUAAGCACCCAUCCAGUUUCAUAGCUUGGUGGAAAAACGAACUUGCCUCAUCUGUUGCGUGUGUGUAUUUUUGGGUAAAUUCAUUAGUGACUAAAAUGAUAAAAAUCGACCUUCGGAUGCGAUUACUAUGUUUUGAUUAUUUUUUUUCUUUUUUAGUAGAAGCGAUAGUUUCUAAACUGAAUGAAAGUGGAAUUUCUCACACACACACAUCUAUAAUGUCAUGGAGAUUCAAACUUGAGACCUCUAUUAUGCAAGUUAAAAUUUUUCCACGCAAUAGACCCUGUUGGCGAUACACUUUGAUUUUAAGAUGGGCAGAUAACAAUAGAAACUUUAUUUUAUUUAUUAUUAAUUGCAAGCACCCUAUUGGAACACGUUUCACCCUAUUGGAGCAUAAUUAGCAUCAAAGCAAGAAAAUCAACUAUUUUCCCCCCUCAUAGCCGCAUAAAAGAACAGAUAAAAGGAUAGAGUAUAGAAGCCUAAGUACAGAUGUAAAUGUAAUUAUUGGUUAGAGAUUGGGUUUAGUUUAAACAAGUUAAUGAGGCUUUGAUUGGUUGUUGAAGCUUAAUGUCUUAUGGUGGUGGAGAACCCAAUUGUAUCAAACAACGUAAUAAACACGACGUGGUGUAGUUGGGCAGACCGCAAGUCUUGGCCUCUAGUUAGGUGGGAUUUCAGUUCUUUCACCAAACCAAACAAGCCAUGAGGAAAGCUAAAGAAAGUCUAAAGGUAGGAGCCAUAUGUAGGAUCAAAUCUGCCUAGUAACCAGUUGUAUAUCCCCUUCUGUCUACAACACUUUACAUUACGUAAUCGGUUGCAUAUUUCUAUUCUAUCUGUUUAAAACAAUCAUCAUCUAUAUAUAUAAAGCAAAAGGUAGAGAAUGGUGAAACAUUCAAAAUACCAGAAAAUAUCCUUGGUUAAUGCAAACAUUAAGAACUAAACUUAUUAAUUAAAUGAGGAUAAUAUGGUAAAUUUACACUUUUUAUAAAAAAUUAAAAUUAAAUAAAAAAUAAUGGAUCUUAUUUUUAUGGAACACUUUUUAAUUCUAAAAAAAUUUUAAAUUUUUUUUAAAAAAAUGCCUCUCGCAAGCGCGUGCAGAGAAGCUAGUGUUACAUAAUGAGUGUUGUAGACACGAGAAUACAAAACCGGAGAUAGCUAAGAUUCUCUCCAUAUGUUGAGUCUACACCUACCUACAACCGCAUCUAAGAUUCCCCCAGCAAUAAGGACACAGGGACAGCUGAGGAUCCAAAAUGGUUCAUAUACAUGGGGUCCCGAUCUCGAUCUAAACUUCGUUAAAAAUAAAGUUGAUUGGUUGAUAGAAUCAACCACACUCAAAAAAACAAGCAGUUUUAACUCGAGAGAGGAGUAGAAUCAACCACACUAAAAAAAAUAAGCAGUUUUAACUCGAGAGAGGAGUAGAAUCAUAAAGCCUUCGCUGCUGUGAAUGGCGAUCCUGCAAAACAAUUCAUGAUGUAACUGUGAUUUGCAAAGAAAACCAUCCAUGCAUUCAUUUUGAACGUGUGAUAUAAUAACACGUCAUAUCGACAAUGAGAUCCUUGAAAACUGAGCAACGUCACAACAUUAGGUCUGUAAUUUGCCAGUAUAUCUACUGUCUAUGAAAACGCCAAAGUUGAAGACUAAAACUAAGAUACUACAGAGCGUUUUCUGCUCACAGUCACAGCACAUGAAACAGCUAAGAUGUAGAUGUUUCUAUCUUAUUCACAAAGGAACAGUUAGCUCCACAUCCCAAAUUCUAUAUACCAUGGCAUAUUUCUUGUAGCAUAUACCACUCUACUUCACCACAAAACUGGCACGGAGGUUGGAAACCAUAACUGGGCACUCUCCCUUCUCAUCAUAUUCAACAAAGUCCCCUCCCGACAAGUCAACAUGGUCAAAUUUUGUCCCUUCCACCUACAAGAAUGAACACUAGUUUAAGUUGAAAUAAAGAUGCAUCCAGCAGAGUCGAUUGCAGUACAUAAAAAUGAAAACUAGAACUUCAAAAAUCGAAACUAUUCUCCUAUUUUCAAAAAUUCAACAAUUCAAAUGCAAAAAUUCAAUUCACUGGGGCCUCUAGUAAUUCGUUUUUCACUCCUUGUUUCUUUUUCUAAAUUUCAUUAUCAAUCUAAUUUUCACUUUUAUUCUCCUUGGGGUAGGGAAUGGCGAUAGGCGGGCAUGACACUCCUGGCCAAGCAGAACAGUAAAAAUGAGUUGACAUUUGGUGACACCAUCUCUGGUCCAAUCCACAUGGUAGGCUUCCAUAGUAAAUCUAGUGUACAAGACAAUUAUACUGUUUGUGGGAUGCCCUUAACGUCAGAAAAAUAAAAUAUCACUAUUUUCUGCAGUUCCCACCUCUUGAAUAUGAUAUGCUCAUGAGAUGUACUAACCUUAAGAUCUUUAUGCUAAAGGACAGAGACCUGAGCUUUCUCACCCCAAAAAGAAAGGAUCAGAACUCAAAAGGACAAAAAUACCAAAAUAAGCUUUGAAAGGCGCUACCACAUUAUGGAAUAGGAUAUGCAAUCCUUAAUGCUUAAUGUACUAUGUACUAUAAGUACAAACAAGGAGAGUUAAGAAGAGAAGAAUAAAAGAAUUUAUACAUAUGCGCUGAAGUUCAUAGGAGUUAGUGAGAUUUAGUGCUUAGGAAUGUUCGCACGAUUACUAUUUAUAAGACCAUUCAGCUCAAAGGUCCCAGCAAAGUCAUUUUCCAUCCAUAAGUACAAUAAGAAAGUUUUAUACAAUAUGCUACAUAAUUGGAAGGUGGUGUGUGAAGAAGAGAAACUUACAGAUUCAACCUUCCACCCACUAGCAAAUACAUAGUCCACAGGCUCAUAACCCCUGCACUCAAACAUCAUCAAGGGGGAAAAUUUCCUUUCUUCACACAUUUGCUGGGUCAGUGGUUUACCAUGACCUGGCAUCAUUGUCAGAGUUCCAUCCCUUCCACAAAACUUGCACUACAAGGGGAGAUGCAAAUCACCACACAUAUAUAGCAAACUUAACCAGAAAAUAUUCGUUCAAAGAUAAAACAUAAAGGGAACAACCCCCAUAUCCAUGAAUUGAAGAUAUGCAAUAGUAAUAACUUAUGUCAACGUAGUUGACUCAUAUGUCAUCAAAUAGAAACUGCACAGAGAAAUGUGUUGGAACCCACACAUGUAAACUUUAACCAAGAGAAGAGAAAUGAAAUCCCGAUAAAAUCUCAAAGUUGUCGCUACAAUUAGGCACCCAAACAAACAAAGCAUUUGCUCAACCAAACAAGCAUACUACAGAAAACACAAACUACCAUAACUCUUCUGUUCCUUUCCUUCUAUUUCCUCAGAAACUAAAUAUACUUCAAUAAGCUCUUAAAUUCCAAAGCCCAUUGAGCAAUUAGUAGAGAGAGAGAGAGAGAGAGAGAGAGAGAGAGAGAGAGAUAAUGGUUACCUUCUGAACGAGAUUAACGGUUGCCUUGCCCGAUGGAAGAGGAACAGUCUCGUUCAAGCUCACACAAGUUUCCCUCUGGCUCAGCUCUCCACACCUCUCACAUUUCAACUGCAAGAUUACAAAAAGAAUAGAAUCAUGUUAAUAAUGACUAUAUCAAGCUCGGGAGACUAAGCGACGAACAUCGACGUCAAUUUUAAGCUACAACCCCUAGAAAUCUGAACACGAACACCAACUAUAAUGACAAAAUCGACUGCAUUUUUGGAGCAAAAAACUUGACGAAAGGAAAUGAAGGUGACCUUGAAGAGAUAGGAAAAGUUGGGGUCGUUGCAGCCUUCCUGGGGCUGAAGGUUCGUCAGGUUCUCGAGGUCCGCAGCGAUCUGAAGUAAAAAUUUCACCAUUUUCGAUUUGGCGUCAAUCUCGAGCUGCUCACCGCGUCUUUGUCUCACUGUGUGUAGCUAGUGGCAGGAUGAGUAAUAAAUAAGGGGGGCUUGGGCGACGAAUAGACGCUAUCAGUUAAACGGCGUCGUUGUGCGGAAUUUAAUUUUUUUCCGACACGGGGAUUUUUAGCUCAAGUUAACUACAAUUUACCCUAAAAUCGAUGGCCUAUGUUCGAAUCAUCUUUCUUAAUAUCGUUUGUAUUUUAAAAAAUAUUAAAUUAUAUGAAUCAUAUUGUGAUACCUGUUACAAAGAGAAGUUUAAUAUUAUGAAAGUCUUUCAAGUAGCAAAUGUGAAUUAGGUCAGUUAGUCAAAGUAGUGUGUCCAUCUUUUUUCACAUUAGUUUUUAGAUUUAUGAUAAUAGUACUUCAUUUGAAAUUUUGAAGGCCAUUGAAGUGAAGGAACCAAAGCAAUAUUGUAGGAAUUUAACAAUCAUUUUGCCAUUCUAAUUUGUGAGGACACGUCAUAAUGUUAGUCCUCAUACCAUUUUCCAUUUUACACACCGCAGUUCAAAUAUUGGACCAAAAAACAAAACGAAAUUGGCAUGAUUGGAAGGUGAACCAUGCAAAGUUUGCAGAUAUGUAAUCAGAAUCAUGUGCUACAUAUUAUGGAGGCACUGUCCUUGAAGAGAUUCAACUAGUGUUGGGAUCUUAGCCCAUCUCAUAUACUGAAAGAAAGAUAAUUUCCAUUUCAUGAUUUUGGGUGUUUGUGAUUAGUUAACAACAAAUUAAUGGGGGGAAGGGGGUUGUUUGGUGGUGAAGGGAUUGGAAUAAGGGGCAUAAUGGUAAUUAUGUUGGGAGCAACUGUGACUCUUAUUAGAUGUGGGGUGCUUGUGGAGGGUAAGUUGUUCUCUAAACAGAAGAUUUUGGAAGCCGAAAGACAAUUAAACCAACUUAGAAGGCCUGCAGUUAAAACCAUUCAGGUAAGAAUUGUCCAGAACUUGAGCCCUUCACAUAAGUUUUCUGCAUUGUAUUCAUUUACUCAGUUCAUAUUAAUCUCUAUGAUUGCUUGUAGAGUGAAGAUGGUGAUAUCAUUGAUUGCAUUGACAUCUACAAGCAGCCAGCUUUUGAUCAUCCUGCUCUCAGAAACCACACCAUCCAGGUCUGCCUUCUGUUGUGCAAGUUGAAAGUAGACAAAGAUUUACUCUGCAACUUUAAUCUUUUUGCUACCAUAUAACAACUGCUUUGAGUCUUUUUUUCAGAUGGCACCAACAUAUGAUACAACCAAGGAGACAAAGACAAUGAAAAAAAUGGACAGAUGGAAGAAGAGGAAUGAAGAACAAUCUCCCAUUACCGUGAAGCAAACAUGGCACAAAAGUGGAAGCUGUCCUCAGGGAACAAUCCCGGUCCGAAGAAUCCAGAAAAAGGAGCUUCUGAGAGCUAGCUUGGUUAAGGACUAUGGAAGAAAGAAGCACAGUUCUACCUUGUCUCGUCAUGUUUCACAGUUAAGUGACAACAAAACUGUGUACCUUCAACGAGCAAACCACUCGGUACAUCAAUUCCCCACACACACAUUUUUAAUUCAUUGGAAAAUUAACUACAACUAUACACCUAAUGAAGAGGGUUUUUUUUUCUCUGUGUGUAAUUUGUGAUGGCAUCAGAAGGCAAUAUUGUUUACAGAAGGGUACAGAUAUAAUGGAGCCAAAGGAGACAUCAAAGUUUAUAACCCAUCUGUCGAGCUUGAUGAUGAAUAUAGUACUUCUCAAGUUUGUCUCAUAAAUGGUGCUUAUUAUGACUUUGAGAGUGUUGAAUCUGGAUGGGCGGUAUAUAUAUAUUAACAUAAUAAACCCUUUCACUUUCAUCUUGAAGCUACUUACUUCUUCUGUCAUAUUAUGUUCAUGGCAUAACUUUUUAGUCUGAAAAAUUACUCUAAUCCCUCUUCAGGUAAAUCCCAGUGUAUACGGGGACAGACAGACUCGAUUUUUCGUGUAUUGGACUGUAAGCAGCCAUGAAUAAAGACUUAACAUUCAUGCGAGUAAUUCCACUAGAUUUGAUGUGAUUUCUGAUGUUUCUGCAGGUUGAUGGCUCACAGAAAACUGGUUGCUUUGAUCUCACUUGUCCUGGAUUUGUUCAGACUAGCCAUGAAAUUGCUCUUGGUGCAGCAAUCCAUCCAAUCUCUGUUCCUCAUGGGCUUCCAUAUCAAAUAAUAGUCUACAUCUACAAGGUCAGGUCAACAGUUUAACAACAUAACGCGCUUGAUGAACAGUUUAGCAACAUAACAUGUCUAACAUUAUUCGUAAUACUAAAUAAGUUUUCCUAUCGUAUCUUCAAUUGAAUUUCUUUUUUGUUUUGCCUCCAAAUUUAGGAUCCAGUAACAAGCAACUGGUGGGUGCAAUAUGGGGAGAGAAUUAACAUCGGUUACUGGCCGCCGGAGCUGUUUGUUUUAUUGAGCUACCAUGCAACAAGUGUUGAAUGGGGAGGUGAAGUUUAUAGCUCAAGAGUGGGAACUACGCCUCACACAAGAACAGAUAUGGGCAGUGGACACUUUGCUGAGUCAUCAGUUUGGGGGACUUCAGGCGUCAUAAAAAGAAUUCGAGUACAUGAGAAUUCACCUGGGCUGAAAUUCCCUGAUAUAGUUAAUACUUUGAUGGAUGAGUUCAACUGUUAUGAUGUCAAGUAUCUUUCGGAUUAUGUUGAAGAUCCUGAGUUCUAUUAUGGAGGGCCUGGUAGAAAUUAUAUGUGCCCUUAAGCUUAUGUUAACUUUGCUAGGACUUGUUUAAGACCCCAUUAGAAUGGGUAAUUAUGUUGUUUUAAACUUUCAUUAGUUAUUUUUUCAAUAUCAAACUCUGUAAACCCCAUCUUAUUUCUCAAAAUGACAUAGUUUUAGACAUAGACACGAUACAAGCACUAAAAACACAAGUGGAUAAUCCUAUUUCGUCCCCAAAAGGAAAAGCCUUAGAGAGUGGAAAUCUCCUAAUAAAUUGGUAAAAAUUAGGCAUAUUAAUUUUAAUUUCUAUCCAGAGGUUGCGCAAUAUUUGAAUUCAGAUUUAGAGGGAAGUGAAGUUUUUGGUGUAUAGGCAUCGAUUGUGUGUUACACUAACAUAACAUGUAUAACUUUGCACAAACGACUUGGAAUUUCAUUUUUUAUAUAUAUAAUAAUCGAGAAAAAUAUUUGUCUCAUUUCUUAAAAUGAGUCAUUCCUCCUUACAUGCAAAUUACAAUUUGACAUGAUCUACACGUGUUAGGUUGACUCGUUUAAUUCUACUAUUGACACGUAGCAUUAUCUCCUAAUAACAUAGAAAUUUAACAAUCAUACUGUAGAAAUUUAACAAUCAGUUCAUACUGUAGAAACCAAGCCAUACUGUAGAAAUUUAACGAUCAGUUCUUCUUUGGCUAAAGAUUUAUGUAGCUGGGUUUACCAAGGUUAAGGACACACUUGUCCAAAUAUUCAACAGCUACCAUUUUGAAUUUAACACUUGGCAAUUCAAAUAUAGAAUAAAAAUGUGAAAUUUGCAUGAUUUGGAAGGUGAAUCAUGCAAAUUUUGCAGUAUAUGUAGUUUGCAGAAGAUAUGUAUGCUGCACAUUGUGGGUGGCAUUGUCCUUAAAUAACCUAAGCUUAACUUAGAUUCUGAAAGCAAGAUAAUCAGUUUCCAUUUUAUGAUUUUGGGUAUUUAAAUUACCUGAGAUUUAGUAUAUAAUCAAACAAAUGGGGAAAGGGUUGUGUAGUGGUGAAGUGAUUAGAUUAAGGGGGAUGAAGAUGAUGGUAAUUAUGUUGGGAGUGACAGUGACUCUAAUUAGAUUUGGGGUGCUUGUAGAGGGUGAUUUGUUCUCUAAACAAAAGAUUUUGGAAGUUGAAAGAAAAUUAACCCAACUUAGAAGACCUGCAGUUAAAACCAUUCAGGUUUGAAUUGUCCAGAAUGAGCCCUCCACACAUAAGUUUUUUUAUUAUUGUAUUCAUUCUCAGCUCAAAUGAUUGUUUGCAGAGUGAGGAUGGUGAUAUCAUUGAUUGCAUUGACAUUUACAAGCAGCCAGCUUUUGGUCAUCCUGCUCUCAGAAACCACACCAUCCAGGUCUGCCUUUCUGUUGUUCUAGCUGAAAGUAAAAAAAAGAAAAGAUUUACUCUGCAACUUCAAUCUUUUUACUACCAUAUAACAAGUGGUUUGAGUCUUUUUUUAGAUGGCACCUACAUAUGAUGCAACAAAGGAGACAAAGACAAUGGGAAAAAUGGACAGAUGGAAGAAGAGGAAUGAAGAACAAUCUCCCACUACAGUGAAGCAGACAUGGCACAAAAGUGGAAGCUGUCCUCAGGGAACAAUCCCGGUCCGAAGAAUCCGGAAAAAGGAGCUUCUGAGAGCCAGCUCGGUUAAGGACCAUGGAAGAAAGAAGCACAGUUCUACCCUGUCUCGUCAUGUUUCAGAGUUCAGUGACAACAAAACUGUGAACCUUCAACGAGCAAACCACUCGGUACACCAAUUCUCCACACACACAUUUUUUAAUUAAUUGGUAAAUUAACUACAACUAUACAUCUAAUGGAGAGGGGUUUUUUUGUUUUUUGGUUUUUGUGUUUGUGUAAUUUGUGAUGGCCUCAGAAGGCAAUAUUGUUUACAGAUGGGUAUAGAUAUAAUGGAGCCAAAGGAGACAUCAAAGUUUAUAACCCUGCUGUUGAGCUUGAUGAUGAAUAUAGUACUUCUCAAGUUUGUCUCAUAAAUGGUGCUUAUUAUGACUUUGAGAGUGUUGAAUCUGGAUGGGCGGUAUAUAUAUUAAAAUUAAUAAACCUUUUCACUUUCAUCUUGAAGCUACUUACUUCUGUUACAUUUUAAGUUCACGGCAUUACUUUUUAGUCUGAAAAAAUGCUCUGAAUCCCUUCAGGUAAAUCCCAGCGUAUACGGGGACAGACAGACUCGAUUUUUCGUAUACUGGACUGUAAGCUGGCAUGAAUCAUAAAUUAGUUUUCAUAUGAGUAAUUCCACUAGAUUUGAUAUGAUUUCUGAUGUUCCUGCAGGUUGAUGGUUCAAAGAAAACUGGUUGCUUUGAUCUCACUUGUCCUGGAUUUGUUCAGACUAGCCAUGAAAUUGCUCUUGGUGCAGCCAUCUAUCCAAUCUCUGUUCCUAAUGGGCUUCCAUAUCAAAUAAUAGUCUACAUCUACAAGGUCAGGUCAAUAAUUUAACAACAUAACGUACCUAACCGAUAGUUUAGCAACAUAACAUGUCAACAUUACUACUUGUAACACGAUAAUAGGUUUUCUUCUCGUAUCUUCGAUUGAAUUUCUUUCUGUUUUUGUCUCCAAAUAUAGGAUCCGGUAACAAGCAAUUGGUGGGUGCAAUAUGGGGAGAAAAUUAACGUCGGUUAUUGGCCGCCGGAGCUGUUUGUUGCACUGAGCUACCAUGCAACGAGUGCUGAAUGGGGAGGUGAAGUUUAUAGCUCAAGAGUGGGAACAACUCCUCACACAAAAACAGAUAUGGGCAGUGGACACUUUGCUGAUUCUGUUUGGGGGACUUCAGGCGCCAUAAGAAGAAUCCGAAUACAUGAGAAUUCACCUGGGCUGAAAUUCCCUGAUAUAGUUACUACUUUGAUGGAUGAGUUCAACUGUUAUAAUGUUAGGUAUCUGUCAGAUUAUGUUGAAGAUCCUGAGUUCUAUUAUGGAGGGCCUGGCAGAAAUUAUAUGUGCCCUUAAGCUUAGCUUAGCUUUGCUAGGACUUGUUUAAGACCCAUUAGAAUGGGUAAUUAUGUCGUUUUAAACUUUCAUUUAUUUUUCCAAUAUAAACUAUAAAAACCCAAAACUCUUAUCCUCAAAAUAACGUAGUUUUGGACAUAAACACCAAAAACACAGAUGAUUCUAUUUGUGAGAAUGUGAAGGUAAAGAGUCCCACAUUGGAAAGUUGAGAAACCUAGCAAGGGCUUAUAAGGAGUUGGGUUACUCCCCCCAUUGCCAAUUGGUUUUGGGGUAGAACCUCAACUUCCUUCAUGGUAUCAGAGCAAGGCUUCACAUGUUGAGCCCAACAGCCACACGUGCUCCCACGUCACCCAAUAUGUGUUGUCCACGUGUUAGGCUUGAAAGUUCGCCACACGUGCGGGGGCGUGUUGAGAGUGUUUGUCCCACAUUGAAAUGUUAAGGGACCUAGCCUGGGUUUAUAAGGAGUUGGGCAACUCCCCCCAUUGCCAAUUGGUUUUGGGGUGGAACCUCAACUUCCUUCAUGGUAUCAGAGCAAGGCUUCACGUGUUGGGCCCAACGGCCACACGUGCUCCCACGUCACCCAAUAUGUGUUGUCCACGUGUUAGGCUUGAAAGUUCGCCACACGUGCGGGGGCGUGUUGAGAGUGUCACGUGCUCCACGUCACCCAAAAUGUGUUGUCCACGUGUUAGGCUUGAAAAUUCGCCACACGUGCGGGGACGUGUGAGAAUGUGAAGGUAAAGAGUCCCACAUUGGAAAGUUGAGAAACCUAGCAAGGGCUUAUAAGGAGUUGGGUUACUCCCCCCAUUGCCAAUUGGUUUUGGGGUGGAACCUCAACUUCCUUCACUAUUUCAUCCCAAAAAAGAAAAGCCUUAUGGAGUGGAAAUCUCCUCAUUAAUUGGUAAAAUUUUGCGUUAGUUACUUACCAUCUUCAAUUUGACCGAAGUUCUAUCCAAAGGUUGCACAAUAUUUGAAUUUAGAUUUAGAGAGAAGUGACGUUUUUGGUGUAUUGGCGUCGAUUAUGUAUACAUUAACAAGUUCAAUUUUGCACAAAGGACUUGGAAUUUUUUUAUUUUUUUUAUAAAUAAUAAAUCAAGAAAAAUAUUUGGUUCCUUGUUAAAAAUGAGUCAUUCAUUUUCAGAAUGCAAAUUAAUUUGACAUGAGUGUAAAUUUUUUAACAUGCUUUUAAUAAGUUAUUUAUGUAUAAGUGUUAAGUUGCGAUUUGAAUGUAAGGAGAAACGACUCAGUUAGUUCUAUAAAUCAAACUAGAAGAAACACAUACACAUCCGUGUGUAAUUUGCUAAUUUGUAAUACCGGUUGCAAAGAGAAAGUAGGUAUGGUGGAAGCCUUAAAAGUCCCCCAAUACAUUGUAUAGCCGUGCGGCUCUACUUUUAAAAUUUUCUAUUUAUAAAGUAUAGCCGGCUAUACCCUAAAAACGCCGUGAAAGCAAAUUCUUUCUUUAUAUAUACUAGCCUCUCUACACGCGCUUCCGCGCAUGCGAGAGGUUUUUUUAAAAAAAAUUUUAAAUUUAUUUUAGAAUUAAAAAAGAUAAUAGAUAUUUGUGUUCCAUAAAAAUAGGAUCCAUUAUCUGAAUUUUCUUUUUUUUUUAAUUUUUUUAAUGCGAAAAAUUGUGAAUUUACCAUAUUAUCCUCAUUUAAUUAAUAAUUUCAAUUCUUAAUGUUUGCAUUAACCAAGGGUAUUUUCUGGUAUUUUGAAUGUUUCACCAUUCUCUGCCUUUUGCUUUAUAUAUAUAGAUAGAUAUAUACAUUACCGCCCAAUAGAUUUGUAAUUCAAAGCCGUGCGGCUAUACUAUUUUUUAUAAUAACAACCAUAGUAUAGCCGACCGGCUAUACCCUUUUUAUUAUAUAAAAAAAAUCCGAGUAUAAGUACCAUUUUUAAAAGAGGACCCACUGGAGCCUAGCGCCCCCUUUUGCCAUGUGUCAAAAAUAGUACAGCCGAGCGGCUAUACGCAAUUAAUUAUAAAAAAAUAAGUGUAGCCGAGCGGCUAUACUAUUUAUAAUAAAAAAGGGCCACCGCUUAACGAGCAUGGCCAAAGUAUAGCCGCGCGGCUAUACUCUAUAAAUAUAAUAUUCUGAAGGUAUAGCCGGUUGGCUAGACUCAUACUCGUUUGCCCGUAAUUUGUUUUUAAAAAGUAUAGCCGACCGGCUGGACUCGGCAUUUUCUUAAUUGUUUUUUAAAAAUAGUAUAGCCGAGCGGCUAUACCCGGGUUUUUAAUUUUAUUUUAGGGUUCAGGGUUUAGGGCGGCUAUACUCGUUUUCCCCUAAUUUUUUUAAGAAAUAGUAAAGCCGAGGGAAGGAAUCAAGCCAUAUUGUAGAAAUUUAACAAUCAUUAAUUCAUUGGCUAAAGAUUUGUGUAGCUAGGUUUAACCAAUUCUAAGGAAUUGUUUAAAUAUUCAACAGGAUACCAUCUUGAAUUUAACAUGUGACAAUUCAAAUAUUGAAUAAAAAUGUGAAAGUUGCAUGAUUGGAAGGUGAAUCAUGCAAAUUUUGCAGAUAUAUAUAGUUAUCAGAAAAUAUAUAUAGGUUUAGGAAGAUAACCCAAGCUCAUCUUAGAUUCUGAAAGGAAGAUGAACAAUCUCCAUUUUAUAAUUUUGGGUAUUUGAAUUACCUGAGAUUUAGUACAUAUCAGACAGAGUUUAGUUAACAAAAAAUGGGGAAAGGGUUGUCUGGUGGUGAAGUGAUUAGAUUAAGGGGGAUGAUGGUAAUUAUGGUGGGAGUGACAGUGACUCUAAUUAGAUGUGGGGUGCUUGUGGAGGGCAAUGUGUUCUCUAAACAGAAGAUUCUGGAAGUUGAAAGAAAAUUAACCCAACUUAGAAGGCCUGCAGUUAAAACCAUUCAGGUUUGAAUUGUCCAGAACUUGACAUAAGUUUUCUUCUCAUUGUAUUCAUUUAAUCAGCUCAUAUGAUUGCUUGUAGAGUGAGGAUGGUGAUAUCAUUGAUUGCAUUGACAUUUACAAGCAGCCAGCUUUUGACCAUCCUGCUCUCAGAAACCACACCAUCCAGGUCUCCCUUGUAUAAGUUCUAGUUGAAAGUAAACACAUUUUUCUUCUCUGUGACAUUAUAUAUUUACUGAUAAUCUAACAAAUGCUUUGAGUCUUUUUUCAGAUGGCACCAACAUAUGAUCUGACGAAGGAGACAAAGACAAUGACAAAAAUGGAUAGAUUGAAGAAAAGGAGUGAACAAUCUUCCGUGACAGCAAAGCAAACAUGGAAGAAAAGUGGAAGCUGUCCUCAAGGAACGAUCCCAGUCCGAAGAACUCGAAAAAAGGACCUGCUUAGAGCUAGCUCAGUUAAGGACUAUGGAAGAAAGAAGCACAGUACCCUGUCUCGUCAUGUUGCAGAGCCUAGUGACAACAAAUCUGUCUACCUUCUACGAGCAAACCACUCGGUACAUUAACUUCCCAUUUUCACAUUUUUAAUUGAUAAAUUAAUCACAUCUCAUGAAGAGGGGUUUUUUUUUUGUUGGUAAUUUGUGAUGUCCUCAGAAGGCAAUAUUGCUUACAGAAGGGUACAGUUAUACUGGAGCCAAAGGAGACAUAAAAGUUUGUGCCCCUUCUGUUGAGCUUGAUGAUGAAUAUACUACUUCUCAAGUUUGUCUCAUAAACGGUCCAAGUUUUGCCUUUGAGAGUGUUGAAUCUGGAUGGGCGGUAUAUUAACAUAAACCCUUUCACUUUCAUCUUGAUGCUACUUACUUCUGUUACAUUCUAUGUUCAUGGCAUAACUUUUAGUCCGAAAAAUUACUUGGAAUCCCUCUUUAGGUAAAUCCAAGCGUCUAUGGGGACAGAAAUACUCGAUUUUUCUUAUACUGGACUGUAAGUUGACGUGUUUCAUGACUUAGUUUUCAUGUGAGUAAUUCCACUAGACUUGAUGUGAUUUCUGAUGUUCCUGCAGGCUGAUGGUUCAAAGAAAACUGGUUGCUUUGAUCUUACCUGUCCUGGAUUUGUUCAGACUAGCCAUGAAAUUGCUCUUGGUGCAGCAAUUUAUCCAAUCUCUGCUCCUGAUGGGCUUCCAUAUGAGAUAAUUGUCUACAUCUUCAAGGUCAGCUCAACAGUUUAGUAACAUAACAUGUACAGUUUAGCAACAUAUAUAUCUGAUAUCUGAAAAAGACAAUGUAAUAUUAAGUGUUCUUCUCAUAUCUUCGAUUGAGUUUCUUUUUUAUUUGCUUCCAAAUUUAGGAUCCAGUAACAAGCAAUUGGUGGGUGCAAUACGGGGAGAGAAUUAACAUCGGUUAUUGGCCUCCGGAGCUGUUUUUUGCAUUGAGCUAUCAUGCAACAGGUGUUGAAUGGGGAGGUGAAGUCUAUAGCUCAAGAGUUGGAACUACUCCCCACACAAAAACAGAUAUGGGGAAUGGACGCUUUGCUAGUACUGCGGGAUUUUCAGGUGUCAUAACAAGAAUGAGAAUACAUGACAAUUCACCUGCACUGAAAAUCCCUGAAUGGGCUGAGACUUACAUGGACGAGUUCAAUUGCUAUGAUGCUAUCUAUGUUGAAGACUACGUUGAAGAUCCUGAGUUCUAUUAUGGAGGGCCUGGUAGAAAUUAUAAGUGCCCUUAAACUUAGCUUAGCUAGGAAUUGUUUAAGACAACACAAGUCGAUAAUACAAUUUCGUCCCGAAAGGGAGAACAUUUCCAAUUAUCAAUGUUUACCAAAAUGGCAUAUCAGCUUAAUUUCCAGGUUUCCAAAUGAGGUUUUUUUCUUGGUAGGUAACAUGGAAUCUGUGUUUGUAUGUAGUCGGUAUAGCAUAUCUUAGAAGAAAGUGAGACAGAAAGGUAACAGAGAUGUUAAGCAAAUGUCCACGAUUCACAAUAUGUGACUCUCUAAAUUAAAUGAAGGGACAAAAUGCUGCUAAUGGGAACAUCUUAAUUCACUGGAUAAAGAUAAAACCCGUUUUCUGUACAUGCAAUUAUGUCCAAAUAUUGCACCAAGACAAGAGUACUUAUUAUGUUUCUAUAUUUAAGAGAGGCGUGCAUGAACUGCACAUUUGACAUGUGGAUGAAGCCGCGAGGACUUGCAUCAUAUAUAUAAUAACACAUUAUCUUCUUUCUUUUCAACCAGACAUGCCUUCAUUUGGUUUCUCAAAGGUUAAUUUUACCACCUAAUUAUCCUGUUAAUUUUAUCUAUAGCUUGAUUGUAUCUCUCUGUGUGUACAAGAGUGUAAGUGAGACACAAAAAGAGAUUGAAGAUGGGGAAGAAGAGGGCUUUAAUGUUCUCGUUAGCAUUGGGAUUGUUUGUUUUUUGUGUUAGUGCAGCAGAACAUCACCAUGUGAAGGCUAAAACUAAACGAAUUUCUUUGGAAGUUCAUAAGAAGUUGAAGCUUUUGAAUAAGCGUGGCGUGAAGACUAUCAAGGUCUGAUUUUCUGCCAUUUUUAUUAGCUUUCUGACUAAUCACACUUUCACAGAAUUUUAUCUAUAUCAGAUCUGUUAUACAAUUUUCUUUCAGCAGUCUUCUCCAUUUCAAAAUUUAGCUCAACCCUUUGUGCUAUUGCCUCUGCUGUCUUAAAUUUCACAAUUUCUUCUUUGUUGUGCUACUGCUAUGACUUGGUAAGCUCAGAGGACUGACUGUAUGUUUUACCACUUGAUUAUUUGAUUUCUUGCAGAGUGAGGAUGGAGAUAUCAUUGACUGUGUUGACAUCUACAAACAGCCUGCUUUUGAUCAUCCGGCAUUGCGCAACCACAAAAUUCAGGUCGACUUUUAAACCUUUGUACAUUUGGAGAAUGUAUGAAACAAAAAAUAAAACAUUCUCCAAGUUUUAAAAACGUUUUAAAAACAAUCUCCAAGUUUUAAAAACGUUUUAAAAACAAUCAUGUUUUCUUCCAAAUGUUGAUAUAGUUGGUGUAUAAUAUUGCAGAUGAGACCCAGUAAUCAUGUACAAAAUGAUCAUAAUUCUUCUCAGCUGGUAUCUCAAAUUUGGCAAAGGAGCGGAAGCUGUCCAGACGGAACCAUUCCCAUUCGGAGAAUUCGAAAGCAAGAUUUAUUGAGAGCUACUUCACUUGAAAACUUUGGGAAGAAAAUGCCAGUGCAUUCUUCCUACUCCCCCACAGAUGACAAGGGCACUGUGUACAUCAACAGCACCCGAGUCGAACUCGGGCCUCAAGUCAAUCGUUCAGUAAGCAAACAUCGUGAAGAUUUAAUUAACAAAGUUUACUUUGAUCCUUGUCUAACUUGUGCAAAACUGUGUUUGCUAGGCUGCUAUCCUGUUAACUACUGGAUACAAUUACAUAGGUGCUCAAGGAGAUAUAAAUAUUUGGACUCCAAGAGUUGAAUCACCAGAUGAGUUCACUACUGCUCAAAUCUGGCUUAAGAAUGGACCUGGAGAGGCUUUUGAAAGUGUAGAAUCAGGCUGGGUGGUAAGUAGUAUAUUAUGGUAACUUCAUUUGGAAAAUAUUACUUUUCAACUAUCAGUUCCUCAAAAUCACUCCAUAUAUGUGUAUAUAACUGCUACUCUUUUUUGCUCCUCUUCGUUUGGCUUUGGACAGGUAAACCCAAAGGUAUAUGGUAAUGGAGCAACUCGACUUUUUGUAUAUUGGACUGUAAGUACUUCAUUACAAAAUGAUCAAAAGAACAGGAAAAUGUAGCAUAUAUUAUGUUUGCUCCAUCUGAAAUGUGCCUGCACUUAAUUCUUCUUUUUUUUUUUGGGUUUUUUCAGAAGGACUCAUACAAAUCAUCAGGCUGCUUUGAUCUCACCUGCCCAGGAUUUGUGCAAACCAACAAAGACAUAGCCCUUGGUAUGGUCCUUGGACCUGUAUCAUCUAAAAUGGGACCCCAAUAUCAAACCACCUUCAGCAUCACCAAGGUUUGAAAAUCUUAAUCACUUUUCGUGCAUUCAAAUCAUUUCCAUUGUUAGUCAACGGGAUUUAGCCCAGUGAAAAGGGCUUUGACUUGCAAACCAGUGGUCUCAAGUUCGAAUCCCCAUGGCACAUUGACAGUUGCAUGUGCGAGAAAAACCCAUCCCCUUCCUAAAUUUGACGCACAAAAAAUACAUUUCCAUUGUUGAACAAAAAUGUGAUGGUUUAAAACAUACGUUGUAGGAACCAAGCACAGGAAAUUGGUGGGUGCGUAUUGGCCAAAACGUUCCUGUGGGAUAUUUUCCUGGAGAGCUCUUCUAUUAUUUGACACGCGGUGCUGCAACAUUAGUUGAAUGGGGAGGAGAAGUGUUUAGCUCCAAGGUGAAGCAAAAUCAUCCACACACUGCAACAGGGAUGGGAAGUGGAGAUUUUGCAUCGGGCAAAUUGGGCAAUGCAUGCUAUGUGAAGCAAGUUAGGAUUAUAGAUUAUUCAAAGCAAUUGAAGUACCCAGAAUGGGUAGGCACUUAUUCAGAUGAAGAGUAUUGCUACUCUGCAUUGAACUACGCUCUGUCACUUGCUCAAGAACCUGUGUUCUACUUCGGCGGACCGGGUCGAAAUCCUCCUUAUUGUCCCUAAGUUGUUCAUAAUCUCAAAUGAGGACGCUUAAUUUCCAUAGUUUUUUCUUGAAAUAAUGUCCAAAUAUAUGAUGGCUUGAGCCAAUGUAGCAAGACUAUUUUAUAUUUGAAGCCUAUUGUUAUUGAUUUAUAUGUGAUCAGAAAUGGACUUAUAAUUUUGGUCCCAUUGUCUGCGAUCCUCUUGCAUUGCUCACUGGUUGUGCUUUCACAGAGAUACAUCUACAUAUAUGAGCAUAUAAAAGCCAAAUUACAAGAGAUUUAUCAACAUAAUUGGUCUAAUAGCCCUAUUAACUUUAUUGGCCUCCUCACAUUCUGAGGUUUCGAAUGAUUAGGUUUUUUUUUUCUUUCUUAUUUUAAAUUUGGUGAAUAAUUAAAAUGGAUUUUGAGUUUGGUAAUUAAGGUGAUCACUUGUUCAGUAUUGACAAAGCUUGGAUCGAAAGUAACAUAAAAGGACGGUACAAUUUCUGGAACUUGAUUUUCACUUUUUAGCUUGAACUUCCAGACAACAAUAUCAGAUAUUCAAAAAUGGACAAUUACUCCUAUUACCCAAAUAGUUGCUACCUAUGCCCAAUAACACAAUACAUGAGGGGAAAUAUCGCAUAUUCAGAUUACACUGCUCAGGUUGUGGUAUUCCAGAGGUAUACAAGAUAUACAUAUACGAAGAAUAUACAAUCACAAGAUCAAGAAAUAAGGAAAACCCCAUUACAGAAUAUCAUACCAAAAUGGCCAGGCCACACCAACUUCGAUGAGACCAAUAUCAUUUGCAAGCCAAUGAGAGAAAAUCAGCUAGAUCGAAUCAUGCUGUUUUCUCUCUUCUUGUAUAGAUUGGAAAAUACGAGCAGCUGAUGCAGUUGCAGUUCUUGGAUUGUGUGGCACAACUCUAAUCGCUCGUGUUGGCUGGCCUGAAUCAUGAGGUUGGGCAACUCCUUCUGGAAUUACCGGAGCCAUUGGAAAAAGUUGAAGAGCAUCACUUCCUUCAGCAUUUUGAUCUGUCCCCAAUCGUGCUGUGUCACCUGGACUAUUUGCAGUACUUCCUUGUAGCUCACUGUCGUUAGAUGCCUGAAACAUCAUGGCAUGAGGAAUAGCUCCACUUUUCUGGGAUGGCAUAUUGCAUGAGCUUUGAUGCUGCACAUUAGAGUUUGUUCCCCCUCCUGAUAACUGAUCGAUUUGACCAUGUGAACCAGGUCCGGCAAACCAAUGCAUUUGUUCAAUGCCUGAGCUUGGCAUGGCUGGAUUCAUAACGGACAUGCCAUAUGGAGGAAAGUAAGUAUGGCCUAAUGGAGGAGGGGCAGGAAGAACCCCCGUCCCUUGAUGAUGAUGAGAAGCUGGAACCCCAUAGUUUGGCUUAACAAAGUUACCCGUCAUGGGAGUUGAGUUGAAAGGUCCACAUCCUCCACAAACUGGUCCCAUAAAUCCAGGUCCAUGAUAUGGCUUAUAUACAAGUCCUUCAGAGGGAGACAUUACAGGAAUUAACAACUGGUGUCCAGGUGAUUGAUGGAAACACCAAGGACUGGCUUUAUUAUCAGUACCGACAGGUGUUGGCUGUGGGUUCCCUACAUAUGGCCCAUAAUUUGAAGUCUGACUACCAUUUUUCACAGAAGAAAGAGAUGUUUUCCCAACUGCAUUUUCUGCGGAACAUUCAAUUUUGUUGUUUGGCUUCUCAGGUUCAUGUUUGCGCUUUACAACACGUAGUAGUGGCUUUACAACAUACUCUGAUGAAAGUUUCUUUGCAGGAGAACCCCUUAAAGAAGAUGUGCCUAGGAAAGCAGUAUCUUCAAGCAAAAGAUUAGGAGACCCAGCAAUCAGUCGUUGGACCUGUUGAAAACAACUAGAAAGUUAAAAAUCUACCCUCCUGUAGUCCUUUUGGGGUUCAAAUAGCAUCAUUUAUUCUGUGUUUAUAUAUACAUUUUUUUUUUUGGGACUAUAUACACAUAUAUGUUUAUUUGCAUCUCAUAAUUGCAUUCCAAGAGAAGCAGAAUUACAGGGUCAGAGACUAUGUUAUAGUCUUACCUUAAUGAGCCUAUGCAACUCAAAUACUUGCACUGCAAACAAUCUUUGCUGACUGUAGAAAGUAACAGGGGUUGGAUCAAAAACAUAAUUAUACAACAUAUACCAAAUCAUAUGAAACUUGGCAAAACACAAAACCGAAACCAAUACAAGGAAAAAAAAAGAACUGAACAGAAAUGAAGGAUCAGGCACUUGAAAGAAUCAUUUAUACCAAAACAAUCCUUACUGUGUAAUAUAUUCCAUAUAAAACUCACAUUAUGUAAGAGAUAACAGCCAAAGGACUAGGUGCUUUAAUCACAAAAUAUCUGCUUACCCCAUGAAAAGCACCAUAGCCUAUUAACUCCACAUGACCACACCCCCAAGCUAAUCCUUAGACUUGAUAUUGAUCAGGAGUGCAGGCAAAUAUGACAUUUACCAAACAUGGGAAGAAAACAUCUUAAGGAUGGAUUCAGAAAAUUGCACAUCAGAAAAUAGUUAUAAACAAUGAGGCACAGAUCAGUAAAAUAAUAACAAAAAAUAAUAAUAAUAAUAAUAAUAGUGAAUACAAUAAAAAGGAAAGCUAAAUGCUAAAAACACUAUCUUCAGAGCAAUAAAAACGAAAGCUAAAUGCUAAAACAGAUUCGAAAACAUAGCAACUAUCUGCAAUAUAAAUCAAGAUGUCUGCAAAUCUCCUUUAUUUCACAUAAUUAGAGCUCCAAAUAUGUAAUAUUCAAUCAAAACCAUAUAAGAACUAUACAUUCAGUUGUAUGGAUGUCAUAAAUGAUCCUCGUUACAACAAAGUCGGACAGCAAGCGCAUAAUAGAGCUUUCUAAUUCACAUGUAAAUACUUACAGCUCUUUUCUUAUAGUACAGAAAGAAAGAAAAUACAAAACCUUCAAUAACGAAAAAAGAAUAUGUAAUGAUGAGAAGAAGCCAUAUAUAGGGGAAAUCUCAUAUUCUAUAAAGCAUAUAAAAAGAGUACGCAACCCCAACCCAACAAAAUCUUCCAACACAGGACAUCAAAGCACUACAUAAGAGAUGUAAUCCUCCUCACCACCAUGUCCACCACCAAUUCCACAAUGUCAAAUAUAGUCCAAGAUCCACAAAAUGUAGUCCCAAGGAUAAUCCUUCAUCACUUGUUCCCCUCCUUGCUCCCAGCCCUCAAGUGCCAUGAAGGGAAAAUUUUCCCAGUGGCCAAAAAACCAAAGCAUUACGAAACCGAGACAGGAAUACACCCAAAAGGCAGAUACAAAAGGGCAAUGAAUAAUGAGAUGAUCCGCUGUCUCGGAGGUCGCGUUGCACAAGAUAACUCUAUUAAGAUGUAUGUUUCCCUGCUUUAAGAUGAUCCAUAUCCACUGUUAAAAUGUUAUCGAGGGCCUUUUAACAAAAAGAAAUUCCACUUUAGAAGGGAUCCAGGGACUCUGCACUAUGAAAUAUCACCUCCCUCAAAGUCGCAUUUAAACAAAAUUCAGUCUAUAGUCCUAGUUGUUAUAUUUGAUGGUGUAAACGCUUAUGAAACAAAAAAUCCAAAGUACAAGUGUGGAAAUAUUAAAUAAAACAGAGGUAUUAUGAGACCAAAAUGCUUCACAAGGACAGCAAAACAUGUACUAUAUUUGGAAAAGGGUAAACUUCAAAUUAAGCACAAAGUAACAACUGAAUUGGAGCAGCUAUUGGAGAAAAUAGAGACUUACUUGACGAUUGCUUUUCUUGCCUUCCAGAAAUGUUUCUGACCUAUUAUUCCUACAACGUCAUCGGGAGAGAUAUCCAAGCCAGAUAUAGAAUCCACCAUGGAGGUCUCUGAGACAUCAUCACUUUUGUCUACAUGUCCCAUUUGAGGUGAAAUACACGUUCUAUCUCCACGGUAUUCACUGUCAUUAUCAAGCUCAUUGGGACCACCAGGAUCCUCCCCAGAAUAAGACAGACUUCUUUCCUGGAAAACAGCUCCCUUCUCUACAUCUCUUGUACACUCAACAAGACCAUCACCUUGCCCAGUGAUGUUUGGCUGUGAUCCAGAUCUAGACUCUUGUUGUAAGCAAGCAUCACUCUCAGAUAACCUGCUGAAUCUAGGAACAGGAUAGUCUGCAUACUCUUGAUUUGGAGAUGCACUUACUUCUUCUGCAGGCCCAUCAAUCUUUUGUCUAGUUGAUAUUUUUGUGGCAGAUUUUGCUGAAUGGUCCCUAACCGGGCCACUUACUUUUAUUAGAUCCUCUUCUCUUUCACUUCUCAAUUCUCGUCUCAAAUUGAGAGUAGUUGGGGAGCUUAAUUGUUUUGGAUCCUUCUUGCCCGUAUUUUUUAGUUUCACUGUAUGGCCAGAAUGAGAUGGGCCGAUUGGAGCAAGUUUUUCCUUAUCAAUACCAAUUUGAGUUUUACUAUGACAAAGACCCAUCCUUGAUUGAACAAAUACAGGCACCCUAAAAUCAUCCUCCUCUCCGACUUUCUUUCUUUGGUCGGGUUGUGUCAAGGGCGUGUUCUCAUUUGCUCCAUCAGAUUGACGAGCAUGAAACAUCUCAGCCUGACGACUAGGUGUAGAUGGAUGAACAUGAAGCGGAACAGGCAAAUUUCCUUCAGAACGACUUCCCUGAAAACAUAAAUUGCUCCAGAAAAAUCAGAUAUGAAAUAACCAAUUUUCCCUAUAGAAGCUUCCAAUACUAUUUCUGAAAACACUAUUGAUUUUCCCUUCUUAAAGUGCAGAUAUAGCAAUAUUGGUUAUAUUGGCAUUUUCUUUUCUGGACUGAACUAUAUUGGCAAUAAAACACAACACAUGUACAUAGUAGCAUGCAAAACUACUGGAUAUAGCAUAAAACAGAAUUUGUAGUUAGCUACUACAAAAACAGAAAACAAACCUAGUGAAAUCCAUAACCUAACUAAAGCUUAAAAGGAUAACACUUCAAAACUAAUCCUCAGUAAACCUUAAACGAGAAAGCUAGGCACAAAUUAUGAGUUUACCUGGCUCGAGAAAGCUGAGGGAACCACACUGCUAGUGUUAUUUGGAUUAAGAGGCAUCACCACAGGGUUGAACCUCUGAGAAGGGAUACUGAGCUGUUCAUAGAGCGCCAUCUUAUUCCUUGGAGGUGCUCUUGGCCCUCCUUUAUCUGCAUCAUUCACAUGGAGUCUUGGGAACAUAGGUCCCAUAACCUUUUCUUCGUUCCCUCUCUUCAUUUUCAACACCAACACCAAGUCCAAAAAUCUAUUCUUAUAUUAAAUUCCCAAAACCACCCUCAAAAACUCAAACUUGUUCAAACCCAUGCACCAAAAACAUCUCUUUUGUUGAAAUUGUGCUCGCUAAAACGAGAAUACCAAAAGGGAUCUAACAAAAUCCCAGCUAGCUAAAAGCCUUCUCCUUUCUCAUAAUAGAUCAAAUUCCAGAAAACCCAGAAGCAGACCAGGCUUCUAAAACCUGAACCGACAUAAACAGACUCAGCUUAUCACACCCGAAAAAACCAAGCUCCAAAUUAGGCAAGACCCAGAUGUCAAACACCAAAAGUAAACAGAUUCCCUUUGAAAAAACGAGAGAUUUCUUCACAACCCAGCUGGGAAAAAAGGGUACUUGAGAACUGAAACUGAUGGAGGAACGAACUAAAAGCGUGAAUUGUGGAAAAGAAGGGAUAGGAAUAAAAGAAGAGCCAAGAAAGAGAUUGGGAGUUGAGGGCUGAGAAAGGCUAAGGCUUAUUUUAGGGAUUCCGCAAAGGGAUCGUCUUCUUAGAAAAAGGAAAAGUGAAAAGUGCGGGGGUUGGUUGGGCCCUUGUUUGGGAUAGACCCAGAAGAAGACUAGAACCUCCUCUUAAGAAUAGAAAAAGACCAUAUGUUGCCAUUGCCAACUUGGAAUUAUCUUUUUCUCAAGACUACUCCUUCUGGUAUAAUAUAUUUUUGUCUGAACCAUGAUUAACUCUUUUUUUAACUACUUUAUCUGAACAUAAUUCAACUCAACGAGACGGAUGAGGCCAUUUUAGUUGAGAUCAUAGGAAAAUUGAAUAUACAUGGUACAAACCCAAUUACCUAUGGUAUUUUAUUCUCAAUUCUGAUAAGUGUCUAAUAUUCAUAUUUUUUAUCUCGGUCGCAUAUGAGUUACAUUCGAGUAAGUGAUGUAUGUGCAUGAUUAUAAGUCUUUUUAUUUAUGCAGACGUAUGAUUAUAAGUAAUUGAUGAAAUGAGUCUCACAAUUCACUAAUGUCUAACGAGACACAUGCACAAUGCACAAACGACUGACGAUAACAUUCUCUUAUAUCCUCUCAUUCCUUUUUUCUUUUCUAUUUUGUUAUAAUCUCUAUCUUGCCCUCAAGAUUGGCCAUUUGGGUCAAUUUUGCACUUUUUGAUCCUAGGUGUAGCUGGAACAUAAGGGACACGUGUUAGUAACUUUUUUGGAGAGUGGGAUCUAAAUGGUGAACAGCUUGACAAGCAACACAAAAAGUUUGAUUCGGUAAAAUCUGCAGUCGUCACACACAACCAAAACUAUUUUUAUCUGAUUCCAUAAGCAUUAAACCCAAUACUUUUGCCUUUUAUAAACAUUAAACCCCACAUGAUUUUCUCAGAUAACAUGGACAAUAUCACAAAAUGGUAGUAUAGAAUAUAGAAAAUAUAGCACUUUAGACUAGUUUUGGGUUAGGGGGAAUGUGGUCCACUCCUACUACAAGUAUAGAAGUAUUCAUUUUUCUUUGUCAAACCAAAAAAAGUUUCAAUUUUUCUCAAUUGGUUUGUCGAAAAUGAAAUCGGGUCGGGUUAUCCCCACGGGCUGUCGGCUUUCUCAAACUAAAAAUAAAAAUAUAAUAAAAGAAAUGGACAUAAUAUUUGGUGAAGUGGAGAGAGAACCAGGGUUAGUUGGUUUCAGAGGCAAAAUUAGAUUGGCGUGGAUGGUCCGAUCACAUGGCCUCUUUACCUCCUCCAUAUCAGACACACCUUCCUCUAUCGCCUGACCCAGGUGGGUCCUUUCAAUCAGAUCCAAUUCACGAAAGUUUUCAUUUUUAUUACAAGUUUCGUGUGCCUUUGAUUUUAUGUUCCCUUCGGGGUUUGCUCAUUUGCUUGCUGGGAAAAAUGUGGGAAAGAAAAAAGUAUAUGCAAAAUGUUGAAUCUUUGAUGAUCGAUUUACAUAUAUGCGUGACCCCAAAUGAUUUUGAAGUGGGUUUAUGAAUUUGAACUAAAAAAUAUUUCCUUCUUUUUUUUUCUUUAAUUUUCUGGAGCACCCAUUAACCUGUAAAUUUGAGCUAUUUUGUGUGUAUUGCAGGUGAGAAACCCCUAAAUUCUGAACCCCAGUUGCCGCUGGUUCCUAUUCAUGUAGUCACUCGUGCAUCUCAGCUUCCUGCCGAGUUCCUGGAGCCAUCAGCUGAAAGGCAAUUGGUAAUUGGCUUUGAUUGUGAGGGAGUUGACUUGUGCCGUCAUGGAACACUCUGUAUCAUGCAGGUAUGUAGAGUUUUACUUACUCUGUACUCUUAUGAAUAUUUGUUCCACUUCAAAUUUCGUUCCAAUCAACCUCAUUUAGUAGAUGCGUGCCUAAUCCAAACAAGGACAUAUGGGUUGCUACUAAACUACCACAAACAAAAGAAUUAAUAAAAAAAGAAAAGCAGUUAUUUGCAUCCCAAAUUGGUUGUUGAUUGGUUUCUGAUUGAAUUUCAGCCAUUUGCUUGUAUUCCCUUGCAGCUAAAGAAAAUAACGAGAGUAUCUUACUUAUAGGUCUUCUUUAUUGUGAAUUUUCUGCUACUCAUAUCCCUGGUUCUCGUUCUUGUUUUCUUUCUGUCAGCUUGCAUUUCCAGAUGCUAUAUAUCUGGUUGAUGCCAUUCAGGGAGGGGCUAUGCUUAUCCAAGCCUGUAAGCCUGCACUUGAGUCUAGCUACAUCACCAAAGUUAUUCACGACUGCAAACGAGAUAGCGAGGUCUCUGAUUGGUUUUAUUUGCAUCCCAUCAUGUACCUUCUUGUAAUAUGACAUUUCAUUCCCAUGAUUGAAUUUUUUCCUAUUUUAUAGGCCUUGUAUUUUCAGUUUGGCAUCAAGUUGAACAAUGUUGUAGAUACUCAGGUGAGCAUCCUUUAGCACUGGCUUUAACUUUUCAAUGGAUUGUUUUUUUAAGAGAAACGUUGAUUUAUAAGAUAAUUUUGAAUUCUUUCAAUGGAUUGUUGUUUUAAGAGAAACGUAUAAUGGUAGUUAAAGAAGUAAUAUAAUUGAGAUGGAGAAAAUACUCAUAUGCUAAGUGAUUUGAAAUUUCCCUUUUGGUAUUCAGAUUGCCUAUUCGCUGAUAGAGGAACAAGAAGGGAGGAAAAGAUUGCUGGAUGAUUAUAUAUCAUUUGUGGGCCUCCUUGCUGAUCCACGCUAUUGUGGUAUUAUAUAUUUCGUGGUAUCCAUUUGAAGUUUCUGUUUCUGAUCAUAUUUGAUUAUGCUUUUGGAUUACAUUGAUUUUAUGAAAUUAAAUGAUGCUUUUAUUUUUCUAAGAGUUUCGAAUUAAUAUUAACGGGGAAUUUAUUUGAAAGAUCAUUCUUGAAGUACUGCCUCCAAGUAUUUUACGUUAGCUUAUUCCAUACCAGAAGUUUUCUGGAUGACAAAAUAAAAAUAGACAUGAGGGCAUGGUGCGUUGGAUUAUUAAGUUUUGAUCUUCACAUAUGGCUUCAGUUUUCACCGUAAGAGUUUGAAUGCAGGAAUAUCUUAUCUUGAGAAGGAAGAAGUUCGAUUCCUCCUUAGGCAGGUUAGUGCCAACAUCCUAAGAAUUUUUCUGGAUUUUUUUCGUUUUCUUAUUCUCUAUGUUUAGAUUUUCCAUAUAACUCAGUUUGUUACUAGUCUUCUUAUUGUUAUCUGAUACUAUACUAGAUUUCUAAUAAAAUAUAUUGAAGGUUUAAGUCAGUAUGGUGACUGGGAUGUGAUAAUGAGAUUACAGUCCAAUGAACAAUAGGUUUAGAAUCACUCUACAGUGGUUUUAAACUUGAGGUUAUCAACAGAGCAUUAGCCUUAUAACUUAAAUUUGUCUAUUUUGUUGAUUCAUAUUUGCUUUACACUUAGCAAAGGACUUUAGAUAAAUUUGCUUCUAGACCUGUAGUUUUACCAGUGCAGCCACAGUAUUGUUUGGGACUAGGAUCUUCUGUCAAAUGACAUUUAUUUUAUAUGUAAUGUACAGGACCCCAACUUUUGGACAUACAGACCUUUAUCUGAACAGAUGGUCCGUGCAGCUGCAGAUGAUGUCCGCUUUCUUCUGUAUAUCUAUUACAAGAUGAUGGAGAAAUUGAAUCAACAGUCAUUAUGGUAUCUUGCAGUUCGAGGUGCUCUCUAUUGCAGAUGUUUUUGCAUCAACGACAACAAUUUUGCAGACUGGCCACCUCUCCCCCCUAUUCCAGGUAUCGAAUCCUCCCUCACAACUAUACCAAGACUUCAAAAUGAGAUGAAAUAUUUUGCCUUCAUAUAAAUACGUUCUCAUAUGAAUACAAGCUUAAAGCUAUUAUGUCUGAGGCUGAUGUUCGUAAUUCGGCUCCAAUUGAUUCUGCCACUAAGCAUUAUGUGCAUGUCAUCCAUUAAUGUCCUCAUUGCUAAUUUUUGAUAGAAUUAUGUGCAUGUCAUCCAUUAGUAGAAUCUCUAGCCUCGUAAACUUACUACGGAUACCGUUUUAUGUAUGACAUUAGACCAUAGUGUUUCCCUAAUGUACUUGAGAGCAUACGGUUUUGUUGGAAUGUGCAGCAAAGCACUUUAGAGUGUACAUUUAAUUGAAUACUAAUUGCAUUUCAAAAAAACUUGAAUACUAAUUCAGAUGUUAUUUCUUCUAGCAGAUAACCUAAUAGUGGAUGGCAAUGCUCCGGAGGAAGAAAUCCUUUCAGUGCUUGAUGUUCCUCCAGGAAAGAUGGGACGUGUUAUCGGGAGAAGAGGAGCUUCCAUUUUGUCAAUAAAGGAAUCUUGCAAGUACCAUUCUAUCUCUAUCUCUGCAUGUUUCGGUAGUUUGUGCUCCAUUUUUCUCUCCAUCUCCCCCCACUUAUUAUUACUUCAAUGGUACAAUUUUACAGUGCGGAAAUUCUCAUUGGAGGUGAUAAGGGCCCACCCGAUAAGGUCAGUCCAUUGCAUUUAUAUAACAGUUUCAAAGUAGGCGUAAAAUUAAUCCAAUUUUUUUUUUUUAAAUGAUUUAAUCAUCAAAGCAAAAAACAACUGGAAUUUGGAAAAGUUUCAAAUUCUUUUGUAAAUUUUAUUUGGUUUUGAUGUAGGUGUUCAUCAUAGGACCAGUGAAGCAAGUGAGGAAAGCAGAAGCCAUGUUAAGGGGGAAGAUGAUGGACGUGUACUACUAGAAACAUAUCAUGUUGUCGUCUUCGCCCCUUUCUUUAAAAAUAAAUAAAUAAAAGAAUUCUAAGAAAUUGGGCAUCUUUUCUUUUUCUUCUUUCCGUGCUCUUUUUCUUUUCUUUCGGUACAGAACAGAACCCGUCAUCUAUUCAAAUUGUUCUGUUUAUGAAACGACAUCCUGUUGUGCAAAUAAAUUAUAUAAUUGUCAAACAAAAGGACAAAGUAAAAAAAAAAAAAAAAAAAUCUGUCGUGGCUGAGACAUUGGCAAAAUUAAACGUUUAAUAUACAAAUAAAAUCAUAGUCAUCUAUUGAUAUCUAGAAUAAUUUUUUUGGACCGACUAUGUUAAUUGCCACCACAUUGUUCAAAAGACUGGAGGAUUAAUUUAAUCACGAAGCUGUUUGCAAUCCACUGGAAUUUAUAAAUAAAAAGUGUCGCAAUCAUCUUCACUCACGAUCAAUACAAUCCUCAAUACCACAAUAUCCAUUGACGGAUGUAUGAACAAACUAAGCACACCAAAAGAAAGGACUUUCUCUUCAAUAUUUUGGCCGAGUAGGCAAAAGAAUAUGUAGACGGAAAAAAUGGCAGAAAUAACAAAAUUACUUUUGGAAACCACCGUAUUGGUAUUGUUGGCCGCCGCCACCACUGAGACUUGAGAAGAUGUCAUCGCCUCCCAUUCCCGGCGAUGAUGGGAACCCAGAUUUUCCAAGACCAGUCCCGGAACCCAUUGCUCUACCCAUGUAAUACGAAGUUGGGGGCCCUUUCUCCCUUUCAUCUGAUCCGUCAGUCAAUCCACCCACAAUCCCUACAUCCGCCAGAUUUACCUUCUUGGCUGCAAGUACAUGAAGUGAAGAGGGGAUUACAACAGCAGCCUAAACAUGUGAUUCGAAAUGUCAACAUACAUAGUCUCUGCUCAAACAAUUAUAUAGGCAUACAUUACCCGGACAAUUUUUCUAAAUCUCAACUCACACCUUGAACAUUAAGCAAAAUUUACUUUCAUGUACACACAUAUAAAUUGUGCUCAUGAAAGGCAAAAUGCUAGUUGAAAUGGUUGAACUUACGAGCAGAUAUAUUAAGAUCAAUCAGUCCACGGCUAAGUGAGUCGGCCCAAAUGCCAGAUUUCACCUGGAAAUCCUUCUUGGGUGGACCAUUCAGGUCUGCUGAAGAUUUUUUACCCAAAUUAGUGUCGCUGCCAUCAUUGACAGAACUUUGGGAAGGUUCUGAAGAUGUUGAAUCAGACUGAGAGGUGAAGGCCCCAAAAAUAUCAGAUUCACCAAAAUUGUGAAGUGGAACAGUGGCAAAGGGAUCAACAAUGUUGGUGUUUGUUGGGGCAGCAUUUGUAGACUUGGUUUCUGGCUGCGUAACUGGAUCAGGGGCGGAAAAAAGAUCUACUGUUGAAGAAGCCAAUGGAGAAAGGGUUGGUUGAGAAGCAAAUAGAUCAACACCAUUCUGUAUAAUUAGUUAGAAAAGAAGAUUGUUAGCACUGAACUUUAAACCCUGUAUGAGGAACAAAAGUAAUAUUAAAAUAAAACUUAAAAAUGGAAACUCCUAAAUUCAGUUGCUUGUUAGAAUUCCAAAAUCACAACUAAAAUAUUUCUACAUGUUCGAAGGUUGCAUAAAUUAAACUCUGCCCCCUGUAAUCAGGGGUACGCUUUACUCAUACCCCUCUUUGUUAUUGUUUGGCAUUUAAUGACAAACGUCACAACCAAAAUCGAUGACUGGCUAAGCAACAAGCACACUGAAAAAGCUACCUCAAUUGUGAAUGGGUGUACAUGAGCUAUGUGCCAAAAUUGAGUCGUAACUGCGUCUGACCUGAGUUUGAGAACUUGCUCCAUUUGCUGUCUGGGGUGGUGCUGAUACAAAAGUUGAGUCUGCAAAUGCUCCAGUUUCUGCCUGGGGUGGUGCUGACACAAAAGUUGCAUCAGCAAAUAGAUCAACCUCUGAUGAACUGCUGUUAAUCCCAGGCUUUUCUGCAGGAACAGAUGUUGGAGCAUCUAUGAAGUCAUCCAUCAAACUUUGUCCAAACAGAUCCACUUGGUUUGAGCUUGCAACAGCAGCCUCUGUUGAAAUAAUAUAGGGCAAAAUGAAAUGUUCAACUAUAUCCCAGGAAUCAUACAUAUUAUUUAAAAAACCAAGAACAGUAAUUCAAUAAUCAAUGCACUAAAAGAUUACCCCAUUAAACGUCAUUGCAUAGGAUAGAAGAAAAAGCAGGAAAAAAUUACAUCAAAAAAUAAUGUGUUGAAUGUAACUAGUGAUAUUCAUAUAAACGCAUAUGUUUGAACAACUACCAAAGAAAUGAACUAAAUAUAUAGUACAUCCUAUAGCUCAUGCAAAUAUUCAAAAGAUCAUUAUGUUUAACAAAUCAAACAAUCUCGAAAAGCAUCCUCAAUGCCUUCACGACAUCACUUGUGAUAAAAAAUCAAAGAGCCAAAUGGCAUCAAAUUGAUUGUAGCUACGAGACACAUAGUAGAUGGUAAACAUGUAGCAACAUUUGCCAAUGUCUGCCUUGCAAAACUUCCUUUUAACUAACACUAAAUUAACAACUGCACCAGAGUUCGUAUACUUACUAGCAGCAGAAGUCCCUCGGGGAUCAAAAUCAUCAUCAUCGUCAUCAGGAACAUUUGCGCUUUGAGUAUGAACUGAACUGUACUUCUCAGAGUCAUUUGAUUUAUUAGAUGACUUUGACACACUGGAUGAUAUAUUAUCCUGAUCCUUCCUGCAAGAAAAACAUUCGGAAGUUAAUAAAAACAAAAUCACAAAGCAACAUAUAUGUGCUACAGUCUCUCUGUAUACAUCUGUGCAAGGUGUGUGUGCGUGAGAGAGAGAGAGAGAGAGAGAGAGAGAGAGCUGCAGUCAAAAUUGGUCAUUUGUAAUAAAAAUCAUAAUUAUUCCCAAAUCUUUCCCUCUAGUUCUGAAUCUCAGAAGAGCCUUAUCCAGUGUUGGUCAACAUUUCUCAGCAUAUAGGCACAAUUGUUUGACCUAUCAUGAACAGUAAUGAUUAAGUACCUGCUGCCAUAGCGUGCUGAGGCCUUCUUUGAAGAGCUCUCUCGACGUGACCUGCUAGAGCUGUCCUUCUCAAUCUUGUCUUCUUCAUGUCGAUCCCUGUCUCUAUAGCUAUCUUUGAACCUAUCACCAGCUCCAGUACCACUUAGACCUCCAUAGCGUUCGCUACUCUGAUAGCUGCUACUACUAAAUGAGGCUGAAGUUGCAGAACCUGACUUAUAUGUUAUCCCAGUAGAUGAAAGUCCAAAGUACCUAAAGUUGGCAAUGUGCUAAAAGUUUAUAAGAUGAAAACUAAUCAAAAGAUUUAGAGAAGUUCAAGUAAACUUGAAAAUUUAGUCCCCAAAAAAUAAACUUACUUGUCACGAUUCGCAGCAGCUUUAUUUCUAACUUCUUGUAUUUUAUCUUUGUUAUUUAAAAGAGCCACAAUGGUUUCCGCCUUCUUCCUCACAUUUAUUCCCAAAUCCUUCCCAUUUGGCUCAACAUAUUCAAAACUUGUGAGAGCCUUCACCACCAAAAAAACCAAAGGAUAAAGAAGUUUGAGUACACUCAACCGUAUUCUUAACUUCAUAUCUGCCAAAAAAAUUCAGGAUAAUAGAAAUAGUCCUUACUGAGAUUUGGAAAGUAUGUUCUAUAAUGUCAUCCACAGCUCGUUCAGAUCCAUGUGACACCAAAUAUUCUAUAACAGCCAAUGCCUGAUACAGAAAUGAUAAUGUUGAGGGCAUAAAUACGCACAUGAUUCUAUGAAGUUAUAAUACACUAGAAUCCUCUUUAAGCACAAUAUUUGAACAAUAUUAACUGAAUUCUUACCUUAUAGACAUAACGCCAAUCUUUUCCUGUCUCAGUCAAUCUUGUCCACAAAACAUUCAUAACCAUCUGACAUUCCGAACUGAAAGAUAACAAAAGUCAGCAAAUGCGGGUAAGUACAGCAAGCCAAGUUCUUUCUGAUUCUGAACUUUACUGCAGGGAGGAUUAAACAAGGAAAAAAACAGAUAAAUGGAGUUGAAAAUUACAAUUUUUUUGUGGCCUGUGCGAUCUCUGCCAAUGCAGAUCCAUGAGGACCCCAAGGUUCAUUAUCCGUUGCAUCCAAUACCUGUAACAUAUCAGUAAUGAAACAAAUUUGCGUGAGCUAAAAUUAAAAAUCACAAAUUGAGAAAUAGCUGAUAUUCAUAUCAUCCACAGUUUACCACUAGAAGACGAGAAAAAACAAAACGUAUCAGCUACUUAAGCUAAAAUACAAAUUUGAUGCAUGGAUUUCUUAAUUGGAGAAGACUUUUUCCACCAACCUCUCAAAGCUAAAAGAUCAAAACUAAGUCCAGAAUAUCAUUAUUUCUGUCUAAAUGUAUCUUAAAAGAUAGAAUUUAAGCUUGCAAAACGCACAAUGGUACAACAAUCAUUGAACACAAACAGAAAGGGCACUAUUCGCACCAUGAAUACAAUAAUUCGAGUUCAGAUCUAUAAUUUUAAUCACAAAAUAAAAAUUCUAAUGAAAAAUGAAAAAUUCGAAGAAAUUAAACGUAACCGAAGUUAAUUAAACUCUAUUUGUUGCUUUACCUUCUGUUCCAUCUCCGGAACCUUCAAGACCUUCAGAUUCACCUCCCUCUUUCUGCACAUUAAGACAAGGAAAUGGAAUUAACAGCUGAUAAAAAUGAAUAAAUUGCGUAAAUCGAAAAUGCCAAGGUCGGAAGCUGACAUUUCUCGGACCGUUUGAUCGAAGACCUUCAUGAAAUCCAUGACAAAUCUGCAGAAUCUGAAAUAUUCAAAAAAAUAUUCGGAAAUUCGUGAUCAGUUUGGAACAGACAAAUAUUGCGAUGCAUCCGAUGGAACCGCAAAAUUUGAAGUCAAUGUAUGAAAUUUUACAAGAUUAUAAUGGAAGAAGAAGCACCUUUGAGUAGAAACCAGAAAGGAAAGGAUUGCAGAUCUUGGCGUGCGUCGCAGUGGAUAGAGAGAGAGAGAGAGAGAGAGAGAGAGAGAGAGAGAGAGAGACGUAAUCAGGUGGUCUCGUCUGUGGUUUUAAAUCUCAUAUACUGUCCGUCAUAUUUUGCAGUUACAAAGAAAUUGAAGGUUAAACCGGUAAAGCCAGCGCGGCUCGCAAUCAUAUGCUGCCAAAUAAAAAUUAUGGGCUUUUUUUUGUUCACCCAAAAAUAAUAAUAAUUUGUUACUUGCCAAAUAAAAAUUAGUCGUUUUUGUUACUUAAAUUUGAUUUGAUUUGAUUUGAUUUUUUUUUUGAGUAAUGCUAUUUAGACACACAAUAUUGACCACCUUAUGUGGCAACUGAUGUGUCAUGCUAGGGUAAUUAAUGAAAAAAAUCAGGUACAAUCUAAAACAUCAUUAGUGGCAAAAGCCUUUCUUUUGAUUGGGGACGUGACAGCUUUUAUUUAUUUAUGGGGGUUAAAAUUCAGCGCCCACUAAAGUUGUGGAUAUCAUUUGUUAGAGUGACGUUCCCGCUUAAAACUACCCCGCCCACAAACAAUCUACGCACAAUAAGCUGACUCAGAAGCUCACAUUCCUGUUAUUCCUCUAAAAGAUUUUAUUGUCAAUAACUAAAUGAUUACUUUUGCCAGAUCAUUACGAGAAAAAGGCAUUAUCCUACACACCACAACCUAAAGGAUAGAAAAAAAAAAGGAGCUUCAUGUACAUCAAUAUAAUAAAUUUGGGUACAAGUUUGUAUACACUUUUCAAGUUAAAGGGGAACAAAACUCAGUCAAUGCGUGGUCANNNNNNNNNNNNNNNNNNNNNNNNNNNNNNNNNNNNNNNNNNNNNNNNNNNNNNNNNNNNNNNNNNNNNNNNNNNNNNNNNNNNNNNNNNNNNNNNNNNNUUGAUUUGUAUGUCAUAUCAGUGUCGCUCUAGACUUCAAUCUUGACAGGUACUAAUAAAAAUAUCGUCUAUUCAGGCUACCCAACGGAAUAAUGUCGUGUAGUUACACAAGAAACUUCGUGGUAUUUGUCCUAACUCUCAUUGAUCUGAAUUGACUGUUCUGAUGCUAACGCUACUUAGACACGCAAUACUUACCACUCUUAUGUGGCCACUGAUACACACGCCAUGUCAAUGAAUAAAUGUUGUCAUGACAAUUAGAAACUAAUUGGAAACACUCAAGCAUUCCUAGUGAGUGGCCUCAUGACAGCAUUCACUUAAUUGACCUGGCAUGACACAUCAGUUGCCACAUAAAGUGGUCAGUUAAGGUGGUCAAUGUUAUGUGUCCAAAUAGCAUUUUUGGUUUCAUUAACAAAUUUUAUUGACACUCAGAAAUUAUGAAUGUACACUAGAAGCUUCUUAACUUUGGACCCGAAGUUUUUGAUUUUAAACUACCUUGUUACAAUUGGUUUCUCAAUCUAGCAAGUUUUCCUUAUUUCAAAUAGGACUUAGGUGAGGUUAUAAAAUCCAGCUCAAUUGUGGGCAUUUAAAAUCACACAAGGAAGUUGAUAGUGAGAACCAAACGAGGUAUAAUAAGUUUGAGAAAGGGUGUAUAAAGGUUUUAUUCAAUUGUAUACAUGCUCGAUUUUGAGGUUAAAAGCGAAGAUUCUUUGACAAUAUAAAUAAAAUUUUGCUGAAUCACGUAAAUUUUUAGUUCAAAAACUCUGUAAGGAUGUAAAUAAAAUUUUGUCGAACCACGUUAAUUCUUGGUGUGUUGUUUUUUUGGUUUUUUUCGUAUUUCGUAUUGGGCUUUAAGGGUGGCUCACGGUGUUUUUUGCCCUUUUCCGAAAUUAGGGUUACGGACAAACUCAUGAAAUUUGUUAAUUGGAUCUGCUAAUGGGCCCAAUAAGCCCAACCCUAGAAAUAUAUGGGGCCUGGGUUUUCUUAAGGCCGCUCGGCCUUCGCGUGCUGGUUCAUCAACUCCAUUUCCUAAUUAACUGUCUGGCUCAUUUCUUCAUACAACGAACAAAUCCCAUCAUCGUAGUCCCGCUGAUUAUUCGUCUGUCAUAGUAAAUUACCUCACAGCCUGUGAUAUAAGUCUCCCUCUUUUGUCUGGUUAAGUUAUUUCUGGUACCUAAAAAAAACUACCAUUCCUGGUCUGCUUUUACUCUUUAACCAGUCCAACCUCCGUGACCGAUCACCCUGCAAAACUCUGAACGCGGUUUUCAAUAUUGUCAGUCCGUUUUUUUUUUUCUUUUUUCAAAAUUAUUUAAAUUAUAUAGCUUCAUUUAUGUUGACCGUAGCUUUGUUCAAUCAGAUGGGUCAAAGUCACUGAUCAACUUGUUUGAUUUGGUUGCAGGAUCUUAAAAGAUAUUGUUUUGCUUGUCUGGAAAACAAAUCAGAGCAAAAAUGUUUAAGCGAGUAUUUGGGAAAGCAAAGCAGGAAGCCAAUGCCCUGCCAACUAUACACAAAUUAAACGAUGUAUGAUUUUGGGUUUGUAGGUGUUGUCAGGGUUGUGCUGGAAUUUUUCGCAAAUUUUACGAGUCUGAAUCUUGUGUUGAGAUUAUAGUUAUAUGGGUUUUUGUUUUUCUGCUAAAAGUAUUGUUUUUUGGGAUUGUGCAGACACUUGAGAUGUUAGAGAAAAAGGAGAAAGUUCUUGUAAAGAAGGCAGCUGCGGAGGUUGAGAAGGCUAAGCAAUUUACUCAAGCACGAAACCGAACUGGUAAGACCCCCUACAGGCUACAUGUCGUUUAUUUAGUUUUUUUUCUGUUCCUUUUCUCUUUUUGGUGAAAUUAUAUCAUAUGAAUAUAUGUUUUGUAUAGGAUCCGGAAAGAACUAUUUUUUUUCUUUCUUUUUGAUUUUGUUGGGUUUUUAAGAAUGAUGCUAGGCUGUUGCAUGGUUUGCCAUUUGUGGUGGAAGGACAUGUAAAACACUAGAGAAAACAAUGGAGUUAUUAAUUAACUGUUUAAAUCUGAACCCGUAAGCAAGUAAAUUAUGUAGGUUUUGAAAGCAAACCGUAUUUUUUUCGCAAUUAGUAUCAAAUUGUAUAUCUUAUUCUUGUUUUUUAUCCAGCGGCAAUAAAAUGUUUAAAGAGGAAAAGGCUUUACGAACAACAAAUUGAGCAGCUUGGAAAUUUCCAAUUGCGCAUUCAUGAUCAGGUAGGUACUGUUGUAAAUUUUAGUGAAGUUUCAUUUGUUGAGAGUUUAUCAUGAAGACAUAUUUUGAAUUGGGGUUUCAGAUGAUAAUGCUGGAAGGUGCAAACGCUACAACGGAAACUGUUGAUGCAUUGAGAAGUGGAACAUCUGUGAUGAAGGCCAUGAACAAGGCCACGUAAGUUGCAUUUAAACUGCAUUCCGUAGAAUUUAUAGAUUCCAUGGCCAUAAUUGCCAUAACAAUGAAAGAAAUUUAAAUUCAAAUGAACUAUAGCAUCCUCUGCAAAGUCAGUCUUAAGUUACUCUCAAAGCACUUUGGAUGAUCUUUCAAAGGAAGCAUUCCAUAUCCUUCUGUUCUGAAUUGUACAUCUCAACUUUGGCCUUUUUUUAACAGGAAAAUUGAUGAUUUGGAGAAAACAAUGGAUGAGAUCAAUGACCAAACUGAAAGCAUGAAGCAGAUUCAGGAGGCAUUAUCAGCACCUAUUGGUGCAGCAGCUGAUUUUGAUGAAGUAUGAUCUUUGCAAGUUCUUAGUUCAUGCAUGCAAUGGUUUAUUUUCAAUAUAUUAGGUUCAAAUUAUGCAACUUUGUUUCUGCAGGAUGAAUUGGAAGCAGAGCUUGAAGAACUGGAAGGAGCUGAAUUGGAGGAGGAGCUUUUCCAGCCAGCCACAACUGCUCCCGCAGCUACAGUACACGUAAAUGCCCCGGUAGGCAGGCAACCAACCCAACCAGCUCCUCAGAGGAACAACCGUGAUGAGGAUGAGCUUGCUGCAUUACAGGCAGAGAUGGCACUUUAAGAGGUUACUUAUAUGUAUCAGGUUGGUAAUUUAUCUUGACAAUGGACUCCUCACUCAAGCGGGGUGAUGCACAUAAUAAGAUUUAAAUUGUCGUAGAACUUAAAUAAGAAUUCAGCUUCUGUUGGAUUAAGAUUUAAAUUGUCAUUUGAAUCAAAGUUAUGUUUCUCAAAGCAUUUAUGUUACUUCAUAUGAUCUGAUGGGUUUUGUUGCUGUGUUUGCAGUUGUUAACAUAUAGAAGGAGAAGAUUAAUAAAACUUGAAUUAUGGAGGAUGAUGCGAAUCUCUCGGACUCUCCAGACUGACUUGUGACUUUUAAUACUGCAUUUGAUGGUCUGUAUGUAUACAAAAUAAUAAGUUGGUAAAACUGUUUUUACUACUUUGUAAUAUAAUGGGUCAAAUAUUAGGCUUCUUUGUACAACUAAUACUGGGAACUUAUAGUCAUUUUUUUUUAUUUUAUCACUAUCGAAAUCUUAUUAUGAUUUUACAAAGUUAAACAUAAACUCUAUGCUUGAUCACAAUUUUAGAAUCGUUAAGCUAUGAUUUCGAGCUAAUCGAUGACUUGCAAAAACGGCUAUAGCUCACAGAAUGAUUCUAAGAAAAUCUUAACACACGCAUCGCAUCAAUUACAUGAGGGCAAUGGAAAUAUAUCAUUACUCUCCAUACAUAACAUCGAUCCAUUGACCGAGCAACGUGCAUGAAAAAUAUUCAAAACGACGCACCAUAAUUUGAAGGAUUCAAUGUCAAAGAGAAGAAUGAACAAAACAUAAAAGCAUGUAUAAGAUGGGUGUGAACCAUGCUUGCAAUUUGACAAAGAUUCUCUACUUAAAUAUAAACAGAACAAACCGUGAAAGUGGGGGGGGGGGACCAUAAGUGCAUCAUCAUAUGAACACAAGAAAAACAAGAACCUGUAUGUUUUUGCUCUGGUGUUUCAAUGAGUUUCAUAAUUUUAAUUUUAACUUUUAGACAGGCAACAAAGUUGAGGUUAUCUUUUUCUCUGACUUGGAAUAACUCUGUCUUCCAUAAAGAAAAGUCUGAAAGGGAUGCCCCAUCUUAAGUUCUUCACUUGCUGAUGAUUGUAAGGCAUAAAAUAGGAUUAUGGGGUGUGACUUCUUAAUCACAUCAGACUAAUUGCAAGAUUCUUCACUUGGUUUGUUUUUUUUUUUUCCUUUCUUUUUCCUUAUUGAUUUCUCUUAACAGCUAAAUUCCAUGAAUUUGGACUUUCUGAAAUAGCCAAUGGAGAAGAGGGACCUCUAUUGUGAAAACAAGGGGCUCUUACACAUUGUCUUUUCUGAUUUCUGAUAUGGGAUUUAUGCUUUCUUCUUAAGUUCAUUUGAAGAAGCAAAUGACCCACUAGUAUAGUGGUUUAGAGCAAUUGUUCCUUAAGAAAAAUUCUAGGUUCGAGUCCUAGCAUCCAUGUAGUGUGUGUGAGUUUAGUAUGUUAUCGCCCCUCUCAAUAAAAAAUGUCCUCAAAAAAGUUCAUUUGGAGAAGGAAUAUUCAACCACACAUAAAAUGCCACCAAGAAGGAGAUAAAGAACAUUCAUUAUGAUGCAACCUUUGAAGUUCAAUGUGAAAGCAUAAGAUAAGAGACAGAGAGAGAUCAAAACGUGAACCCCAUCUGUUUUAAACCUUUCUGUAAAUGCAAUAUAUCCCAUAAUUAAGAAAACUUCAAAACCAGAUUCCCAGCCCUGGAUAGCUUCGAUGAUUUUCAAACAAUCCCUAAUUGGGGCAAUUCUCGUAGACGGAGCAUAUGCAAUGUUUGGUAGCUUAUGGCAAGUGAUCUAAUCUCAUAUUUUAAGAUGAUGACUAAGACUAACAAUGUUUUAUUUAAAUUGGGUUUCCAAAAUAAACAAUAAUGAUUAAGUAAUGCUUAAGAACUUAAUAAUGGCAGUGAUUAGUGAGGCUUAAUUAUAAUCUUAAAGUCUUCCCUUCACCAAUAAAUUGUACGGGAAAUUAAAAAAUAAUUAUGUCCUCUCGAUUCGUGAAUGGACAGGGUACUUGACCGUACAAUGAACAAUGAAAACGAUCCAUGGAUAAGUUUAAUGUUCUAGUUAUGAAUCACAGCUCUCAAACAGUGACACUUGACCUUAGGCACACACUGCAUGAAUAAUUUAAACCAUAUGGAGUCGAAACAUUCAGAACGCGUUUUUCCAAAAAAUAAUGGCUUCUCAAUACACAUAAAAAGGGAGAAAAUUUUUGUAAGUUUCUAUAGGGUAAUGUAUGCAAAUGUGUAUUCACAUUGCUGCAUGAGAUGAAAAUAUCCAAGCGAUAAUGGAGAGGGGGAUUGAAACACAAGACCUCAACUGCUUCUUCAAACAUAACCUUUGAUUUUACCACUUCCAAGUCUUGAAGUUGCAGAGAUGAUGUAGGUUAUGACUGAGUAAAAUAUCAAAAGCAGGGCAGAGUAUCUUUUAUGGUUAUUUUUUGAGAGGGACAUUUCGGAUCAUGAUCAACUUUGAACUGGCCACACCCCCACACAACUUUCAUGACCCCUGGCAUAUAAAGAAACAGGCAAACAUGCUGAGGCCAUCCAAACCCCCCAACACUGAUUCUUUGUGCCAUUGUACCUUAAAGACAGAGUAAAUUAAUUAACCAAAUUUCUGAGAACCCACAAUGGGAAUGCCUGUGAAAGUUGAAAGCUUUAUACACAGACAAACAAAACAAACAGAGACAAAGAGGAAGGGUUCCAUACAUGUUCAUCUACUAGUCAUUACUUAAAAUUUUGAUUUACAUCACAUUUUCUCCUCCUCUAUGAACAGAAGCAGAGGUCCAACUGAGACUGAAUAUGACUAGAAUAAAUGAAAAAGAAAUUAAAACAAAGGGGAACCAAAAAAGAACAUCCUUUUUUCUAGCUAAUAUUUACUUCCCCCAUUUCCUUCGCCAGUUCUAAGCAUUUGCUUUUGUUUCUUUUCCCCAUGCUUUUUGGUUUUCACAGAUGGUUGAGAACCCUUUGACUCAGUCCUUGUUUUGUGCCUCAAUAUGAGCUUGAAAAUAAAUCACCAAAAUUUGUACAGCUAGCUGGGCCAAAUUCACUGGUUUUUUCUCCAAAGCACAUGCCAUAAUUCACAUCAUAAGGCAGACCGAAAUCUGUAAACAACCCAGAAUCAUCAAGGGAACCAUUUCCAGGUAGUGAGGCACACUUGUCAACAGCAGCUAUUGAAGAAGAGUCUGAAAUGUUUGAGCCAUCCUGAGAUAAUGAAACAGUAGUGUAACUUUUCUUUGAACUUGCACCAAAAUCUGAAAAAGCCAUGACCUUGGAGCUGUAUAAUUGAUCUGGUGAGUUUAAAGUCCAGGUUUGGUUAUAGGCAUUCAGUCCAGAAUUAACAUCAGUUAACAUGUGCAAUGUGGGUGGAAUUUGGGUUUGGAAUGUUGAAAAGGCAGAGUCUUGGGGUUCAGCUUUUGGGACACAAGGCAGGGCCAGUGAGGCUGCAGAGCCAGGAAGAGUGGCAUUGUUAGUGGGCUCUUUGCUGUUCUUUGUUGUGAGGUUUUGUUUUCCCCCAAAUAGCUUCUUCUUUAAUUUGGUGUUCCAAUAGUUCUUCACAUCAUUAUCUGUUCUUCCAGACAUCUGAGAAGCUAUCACUGACCAUCUGAAAAAAAGUGGGGAAAAAUGUUAGAAAUUAUUAAUAGUGUUGCAGAUAUAAAAACCAUGAAAAAAUUUAGUAUAAAGAAUGAUAAAUGGACUUGCCGGCUCCCCAUUUGGUUGUAGAGGCUACAUAUAAUGCUGUCUUCCUCUUCAGUGAAGCAUCCAUGUUUGAUGUCUGGCCUCAGAUAAUUGAGCCAACGUAAACGGCAACUCUUCCCACAUCUCCUAAGACCUGAAAAAAAAAAGGAAAAAUACAAUUGUAAGAAGAAGAAAAAAAGUUCAACCUUUUCUCAUCCAGAAAAAUUCUGAGAGUCAAACUGAUGAAUGGGUUUAGUAUGGACGAUUCAUUGAACAAAUUGGCAAAAUAAAAAAAGAAGAACCCUUUUGUUCUUUUUUUCAUAAUUUUCAUUCUGUGAGGUCAAAAGAUAGAACUAAGCAUCACACAGAGACAGAGUGUGUGUGUGUGUGUGUGUGUUUGUGUGUGUGUGUGUGUGAGAGAGAGAGAGAGAGAGAGAGAGAGAAAGAGAGAUACCAGCUUUUUUGGGCAAAAGGAUCCAAUUUCCACCAGUUCCAUGAGUCUCAAGGUAGCUCUUGAGAGUUGCGUCUUCAUCAGGUGACCAUGGACCUCUCUUCACAUUAUCUUUGUCACAACACGGAGUGCGUCCCAUGGCUAAUUACUCACUUCCACACACACACCACCAAAAAACUAAUUUCAGAGAGGGAGAGAGAAAGACUUAGAACCAGAGACAGAGACAGAGACAGAAAGAAAGUUCAGACACGCUGAUGCUCCAAAAUAAGCAAAUGCAGGAGCUUUUGGUGGAGAGCUUAUAAAGAUGGUGGCACCUUAAAAUAAAAAACAAAUAGAGUAAAUGAAAAAAGGCUUGACCUUGUACUUGUACGACCUCCCCAUUUCUCAACUUUAAUUAUAAUUUCUUUUUAUCUGGUACUUGUUCCUUGCAUUCCAAGACAAAGACCCAGUCAACAUUCACACAAAAACUGUAUUGACUUUAUUUUUAUUUUUAUUUUAACUUUUAAUAUCGGGUAGGGUAAUAUCAUGAUUCAUGAAGAUGAAUGAACCGUUCAAAACUGACGGUCCAAAAUGUCCCUUAGUCGAAUUUUACUGCUUUAAUUAGUUGUGUUCUUCUAGCUCUGGUCAGAAGAUAUGGACUUAGCCACCACACAGGCACAGGGGAACAAAACCCUACUCUUGCCUUGAUCCACAUCCACUGACAAGUGAUUAGCGGUAAAUAAAUAUUUGAUUAAAUAGUAUCAUAUGAGAAAAUUGUGUCCAAUUAGCAAUAGUAAAUCGAAAAUUGGAACUCAUACACAGACAGUUCUAAUGGUGAAUGCUUCAAAUGAACUUUUCAAUGUGAGCUUGUACUAUUUUUGACAUUUUACUAUUCAAAGUAACCCAUCAAGGCGAUGAGCAUUGAUGUCUUGGUCACAGCCAAAAGGGUUUUAAAAUAUCAUAAAAAUUAAUUAUUUAAUUUCAAGUUGGUGUGGCUGCUUCUCCAUUGUUUUCCUAUUGACUUCUUGGUAUUUUGUUGUUUUCUCUGCUUCCAGUCUAAAGAUUCCAUGUCACGGGCUCAAGUCGUUUUUAAUGUUUAUAUAUAUAUAUAUAUAUAUAUAUUGGUAAAUACCAUGAGAUGUUCGGGCCAGUUUGUGUCUACCUCAAUUAAUUUCCACUCGCGAAACUGAGCCUGUCACUGACCACCGAGUGUUGCAACCUUCGGGACUCAAUCUGAAAUACAAAUCCAAUAAAACCCCAGAACCUUAUCCAAAUGACGGACAAACCACUGGGCACUUGCUAAACCAGUAACUCGACAUCACCGUGUUUUUUUUCCUUUUAACCCCACCACGACAUCAUUUUGGUGCACAUGGGUUAAUUUAAUUGGUUUACUUAAAGCAAUAUUUCAUACAUUCACAGCCCAAGUCUCCUUAGGGCCUUAUCAAUGGACAGAACAAGGUGAAACUGACCAAUUUCUUUCAUUCAUUGGGUUCACUUGGGCUGGGCUCAUGUGUGAGGGUACCACAAAGGAAAAACGUACAGAAUUUGAGGAGAAGGCAGCUCUACAUAUCUUUGAUUUUUCCUGCGGCUUCAUAUAUAACCGAUGAGAUCCCUUGCUACUCCCGUCCAGACACUCCCGUCAAAACAUUAUUAAUACAGCGUAAGUAUUUAGCAAACAAAUGAUAUUUCUUAACUGACGUCCUAGAUUUGAUUUCCUCUUUUUCAAUAUUGUAUGUAUAAAAAAUAAAAUAAAAAUUAUCCGUCUUAAUAUGUGAAUAAACUAAUUAGAUGUAUAUAUAUUGAAAAUUUGCAAUGAAGGGCCUUUGCAUAAUCAUUUGAGGACAUUAAAAGAUUGGAACAAUAUGAUUGAGAAUUUGAGCCUACGUUACUCCUACUCCUAUACUAGUGAUAAAUCGUAUAUCGACUAAAUAAAAUAUUUUAUAUGCCCAACUUCCAUUAAUUUACCCUUAUCAUUUUGCUGGAUGCACAUACAAAAUCCAAUAUGCUAAAUUAUUUUUCUAAUAACUUAGAAAACAAACAAAAUAGCUAAUCAUGACAUAUUUAUUUUACACUACCUAACUCUUUCUAUAAGAUAAAAACAAGAUUUGGAUAAGAGCCCAACUUGUCACAUCAUUUUUGUGCAACCACCACAUUUUCAAUCCAAAAUAUAUAAAUAUUAUAUGGUCCUCCCCAUAGCAAACAACAACGUAACACCCAACGAAUAGAUGGCACAAAGGAGGGAGGAAAUAGUGCCAAAUAUUGGCAUAUAAUUGUCAAUCAACUUAGCACGAUAGCGACAAUGUUUUGUCCAUCGGAAAAAAAUUACUUGGGUCCCUUCAAAACGUUCGUUUGUCCCUUCAUUACCAAGUCAAUGUCUCGCAAUCUAUUUAAGCUUGCAUUGCAUGGCUAUACACAUUUUGGAGUAUAAUAAAUAUUUUCUUGUCGGGAGAUAAAUAAAGAUUUAUCUGAUUGACUUUUAUUAUAAUAUAUGGUUCAAAUUCAGUCUGAUAAAUUAAUAACGCAAGUCUGAUAAGAAAACAUUACCCUCUAAAAUAAUAAGUUCUUGCAAGUAGGUAUAAAUCUUUAGACAACCGAUGGAAAGUUAGGUAUGUACUAAUAUUAUGGCACUCAUGAAGAACUUCUACUCCAUAAGAUAUUUUGGAAUUGGUUCAAGUCCUUGUCCUGGGUUUUGGAGAUGAAAUUACAUGUAACCAAACAGAGCCCAAUAACACACUCUCCAAGGGAUUUUGUGAUGGAAGCUUUUGUUUUUGAUUUGAUGGUAAUGUAUAUAAUAUAUAUAAGAGUAAGACCCACCAGCUCAAACAGUUUUGAUGAGCACGCCACUACAGGAUCCCUCCCACUCAAUAAGUAAAGUUGCCAUGCCACUGCAAAAAUCAACGAAACCCUUGGAACCACCGUCCACUUUGUCUGCCUUUUUCAUUCUUUUGAAUCAUUCAGUUCCCUUUUUCUUUUGUUUUAUUUAAUCCUUCUAUUAAACCCAAUCUCAAAGGAGUGGUCUUUUUUAUUUAUACACAUAAUUAUACAACCAAGAUGUUAUAAGAAUUUAAAUUAGAAAAAGAAAAACUUCAUUGUAACGAAAUAAUACUGUUUUAUUAUUCUGACCAAUAAUACGACACGUGAAAAAGUUAUGUCAAGUGAACAAAAAAUGAUAUUCUCGUUACAUGAGAGUUUAUCUCCUAAAUCUGAGACCUCUAAUCUACAUGCCAAUGUACUUUUCUUACUUUCAAUGAGAUAUAUUAAUCAUAAACAGAACUAAUGAUUUUGAUUGCUACAUAAAACAAUUAUUUACACGGAUGUGCUUCUCUAAACCAUCACUUUCAAACUUAAUGGAUUAUAUAGACAUUAGUUCUUGUAUCUUUGUAUGAUUAAGAUUAGAUUAAGUAGGAACAAGUGUGGCCGUUGAAUAAGAUACGUGAAUUAAGAGGUAAAUUUAUUCAAAUCUGCAAUCUAAAAUAAAUUGACAACGUGCGUAAAUCUUUGUAUGGUUUAUACUCUAGUACAUUUUGUGAGAGAAAUGCAAAUAAAUAACACUACAAAUGAUCAUCAUCACAAGAGAUCAUGACGAGAGAUUAAUUUGAUGUGGAAGUUGUAACAUAAGCAAAUGGUGCCUCCUUGACCAUAUCCUCUCUUUGAAAACCUUCACAUCAAAGACAUUAUUUUUACAGAUAAAAUCCACGAAAGAAUAGUCAAAGCACAAGUGGUGGCACAUAGUGGAUAAAUUAAAAGAUUUCCAAUGGAUAAGGACGGGCUUAUCAGCUCCACAAGCCACGUCAUGAAUCCAAUCGCUGUGUACAUGAAAACCAGAUAUAAUUGUUUAUAGAGGGUGGUGGGUUUAAAUUACAAUGAUUCUUUUCCACAGGUUUAAUCAUUUUCUUAAUCCAUAUAGCUCUAAAUGAAUAAUUUGUUUACAGGACACUUUAUUAAAUAAAUUAUAAUUUUCUAUUGCUUCAUUCUUUAUAAUAAGCUUGGAAAGCAAGCUUGAUCAAAGCGAAAGCAUCAAUGAAUUCUAUCUGCUUAGAAACCCACAGAGUCAGUUAAUUCAAUAAAACAAAUGAUAGUCUAAAUCAAUCUAAUGUUCAGUAAUCUAAAUUAAUCUAAUGUUAGGAGAGUUUAAUUAAUCUAAUGUUCAAUAAAACAAAUGAUAUUCUAAAUUAAUCUAAUAUUUGGAAAGAGAAACUCGAAUUACUAAAUUUCAUAAUUCAUUCAUAUGACAUGUCUGAGAAUCCAAAGCUUAAGACUGAAGCUUGAAGACAAAACACAACUUUUUUCAUCAUAAUGUUAAACUAUCCAGAUUAAAUUACAACAUUUUCUUAUAUGUGCAAGACAUUAAUUAUGGAGAAUAAAACACAAUUCAAUCGCAGAAAUGGGGAAAAACAAAAUUGAGGAAAUGAAAUUUACAUUAAUUGAGCCAUGAAAAUGAACUUACAAUAUGAUUAUCCGAGAAAAUUUGACAGAAGAUGCAAAAAGAAAAUUAAAAUUCAUAGACAUUGAUCAAAGAAAGUAAACAACAGCUACCCAAAUUCCCAGCAGCCUCAACAAAUUCUUCUUUUUUAUCUGUACAAAUUUGCAGAACGGGACUUUGGAAAAUCUCCUUCCUUCCUUCACAGUUCAUCACAUCAACUAUUUACAACAGUUUCAAAAUUAACCUCUAUUCACAAAAGGUCAGAAGAAUCAGAAGGCCACUGAUAUUUAACGCAUCAGCCAAAAAAUUGAAUCAAAACGGAACACGAUCGACAAACGAGUUCACACUGCACUCGGGUUUCAUUCACUCACUAGCUCCGAAACCCAGCCCACAUCAGGAGCUGACAUGCCCGAGUCGACUCGGCCGACUCUGCCCAUCGAGUUUUCCUUACUCAGCCUCGCAUACAUUCUCGCUCGGAGAUCCCUCCCGGACUCCACCCUCUCCAUUGCCGGCUCUUCCUCGCAAGGGUGGUCCCAAAUAUCAACCGCCCCGGGUCCAGCCCGACCCGAGGUCCGAGUCGGAGUCGAAGGAAGGCUACAAAACGCGGGUCGGAGCGCAGACCCGCGUGGAGAAGAACCAAACCCAGAUCCCAUUUGUGGGCCCCAUGCAGGCGGAGCACUCAUUUUCAUCUUAGCAAGCUUAAAGUUCCGCAUCGAAGCGACGAGUUCACUCACCGAGUUACAGCCGAGUUGAGGGCUGUUGGGCGACAUUGGUGGCGAGUCAGACGGCGGAGAUAUCGGCGGCGAUAUCAGGAUCGAGGUGGGUGACGAACCGUACGAAUACGAGUCGAAAGCGCCCGACCCGUGAGUUCUCGGGCUCUGCCCGGGCAGGACCCGAAGCUGUUCGGGCGUGUGAGCAAAGAAGCAGACACGGCGGUGGCAGCCCAGCCCAUCCUUGCAUGGCUGCGUCCGGUAACGGGCCGGGUGGAGCCAACACUCGAAAACGCCGUGCGCGAACUCGCACGAGUCGCCUUUGGCGCAAUGGCCCUUGCGGAAUUCGGGGCAGGCGGCGCCCGAGUAGUGGUACUUUCUCGGGUCGCGGCGCCGGGCCUUCUCGCCUGGGUGGGCGUACGGACACUCGGUCCAGUCAUGUGACCUGCCACGCGCGCACCGCCGGACCUUGAACUCGAACAUGCGGAACUGGUCGCAGGAGAUCGGGUUCAUGGGCAUGUCCGGGUCAUCGCCGAGCGAGUCAGACUCGUUUGACGGAAGGUAACGGUGGAGUGCGGCGAGCGAGUCGAGAAACAUCGGAGACAGUGGAGAGUAGUCUCCGUUGCCGGCAUUGCUGUUUACGUUGACGGAGGGAUUUGGGGCGGAGAACGGCGACGUUGGGGUGAGAUCGUCGAAUGGGUCCCACGGAGGGACUUGGAGGGUCGGGUGCAGUCGGGUCGGUUCUCCUAACAUCAUUUUCGGGUGGGGGCUUGGACUCGGGAGUUUCUGCAAAUGCGAGAGAAGAUGGUCGCUGAGUGUCUCAUAUAUAUAAACGGUUUUGAAGUAGCAGGAAGAAGGAGAGAGAGAGAGAGGGUAAAUGCCAAGUAGGCCACAUAGUCACAGAGUGGGGUUGGGUUUUAAGUUAACCGUGGUGGAGUUAAAUACGUAACUGCGGUCAAUUAACUCUAGUAAAAUAUCUACCGCCUCCAGAAUAGCCCCUCUAUUUCCAUGGAAAGCCAACGAUUUUUCAAAUUUUAAUAUAUUUUACAUUUUUUAAAACAAUAAAGCUGUACUUGCACCUUUUUUAAAUAUUUAUUAUAAUUCUAACGUUACAUCUAAAUUGCUUCGCACCCUUCAAAAAUUAAAAAAGCAAAAAAAAAAAGAAAAAAAAAAAGAAAAAGGUAUUGCUUGGAAGAAAGCCAACCAACACUUAGUUGAUCUCAAACAAAGAUUUAUAGGAUCGAAUCCAAUAAAUCGGUGCAUGAACUUGUAUAGAUCUGGUUUGAUGUUUAAAAUGUUUUAUUUUCCCCAAUCAAAUUUGCUUUAUAACGUUUAUCACCUAAAAAUGCAUGCAGAAAUGAAGGAUAAGGUUCAUGAUCAAACAAAAAAGGAAGAUAAGAUCAAGCAAUGAAAGUCAUGCAACAUUUCAACCACUUCGAUUAUGAUUGAUUAUAGACUUAUAGCUCGUUGCUAUACCUUAAUCUUCAAGACAAAAAUAGUACUUGCGUAUUUUCUAUGGAAGAGCUAUUUUCACACAAAUUUGUGUAAAGUUUAGAUUUCUAAAAUAAUAUUGCCCAAGAUUUUUAUGUUCAGUAUUUGUUAAAAUGGUAAUUGGAUAAAUGUUUGUCCGAAGUAAGACAUUUGUUUAUAAGGGGUUUAUAACUUAAGUAGUUUGUGCUAAAAAAAGUGAAACUUUUAAUUGUUAGUGGUGCUUGAAUUUAUAACCGAGUUUUAUUAUUCUUGAACUCGUUUGUGUGUUAUUUUUAUCUUUCACUUUUCAUACGUGUUAUAAUUUAGUCAUUUCCUCACAUUAUAUCAAUUCUAUCUCAAGGGGUAAAACGUCAAUUUUGAUACUAUUUUAUCCUCUAAAACCAACAAAAAAAUGUAACGGAAUAAUUAAAUUGGAACUUUAAUGAGAGUUGAAAGAUUAAAAGGUCGUAAUACAUGGAGAUUGUGCAUUCAUUCCAACGAGCUACUUGGAUUUAUGAACUCACGGACCACGGGCCCUGGUUUGGUACGAAGUAGUACCACCGGAUUAAAAUUGCACGUAGAUUUGGGUCCAGGUUAACCUAACCGGGUCAAGGUGGUGAUAAGAAGCUUGAGACAGAGAGGUUGUAGGCCCAACCCCUUCAAUAAAGAAAAGUUGACAGGUCGGCAAAAUGUAAUCGCUGUGGGAUCCUCCGUCAAUGGAUGGUUCAUAAAUACUCUGGGAUGGAGGGAGGGUUACGUGUAAUUUGUAAACAACAAAUUCUGUACGGAAAACACGUGUGAGCUCGUUAAGCGAUGCUGUACAUACACGUGGUUGGUGGUUUCUCGAGGUGGCGGUGACUUAACUUCGUCCUUGGCUGAUAGUCGCAGGGCUCUAGCUGAACGGAUGGUGUACGUGUGGCACCUGAUUAGCUCCUCCGCGUUUGCCCUCCUCGAGAUCCUCAUGAUCUUGUCGACUCAGUCCACUGGAGAUUUUAUUUUUUAUAUUUAUCUUGUUUUUCCUAUAUGUAAAUUUCAUCAUGGAUAUUAGAACAAACAGAAUCUUAAACAAAUGGUUAAAAAAUGGCAAGGGAAGAUAGUCACAAAUUAACAAUGUCACUUUUGUUUGAUUUAUGUUUAAUCUUCACUCUUUUGUUAUUGAGAGUUAUGUUACGGUUAGUCGCUCAUGUAUAUUAGGAAGUCUAUAAAUUAAUCAUGAUUUGUUUUGAAUGAAGAUAUAAGCUUAGUUAAAUUGAUUAGAAUAGUUAUACUCCUUUUUAUGCAUCUGAGUUCGAAUUUUUUAUCUCGCAGUUUUAAUGAAUUUAAAAUAAAAUAAAACCAUGCUCUUAGCUUUGGUUAUGAUGUUACCUAAUUUAAGUGGUUGGAUGACGGUGAAUAAGUGGAUAAUCAUUUAAUCCCAUGCAUUUGGAUGGUCUACUUGUAAAUUAGAAUAAAGAUGCUAGGCUUAGCAAAAAGAGAAUGAAGAUAUUAAUAAUUGUGAUUUGGUGGGGGUUUAUGCAAGACAAAUCUCAUCGGCCCGUGGUUUAGGGCCUCGUGCUUAGUAAAUGUCGCCAGGAUAUGCUGCACAUCACAAGAUUAAAUCACUAAAUAAACCCAAAUUGAGCACCAGGUUCUAUCUUAAUCGCAGUCAUAAAACCCUUUUAAAAGCACUCGGAAGAGUUAAAGUCUUCAACCAUUAAAUAAUUAUAAAACUAAUGAAAGGAUUUAUUCUCAAAAGGGUAAUGAUUCGUUGGGUCGUUUUGCAUCAAAAUCGGCUUAGGCCCAAAAUGAAAAACGGGCUUUUGAAAUUGGGCUAAUUUAAUUUUAAAAAUCAAAUUAUUUUAAUUCAUAAAUCGUGGGAAUUAUAAUCCACAUCAAGCUAGGGUUUUAGAGAAAAAAUUCGCCAAAUCGGUUCUGACAAAGCUCGAAAAAUUGGCCUAGGCGGAUCCGGUCCUUUUUUUCCUUGAGGCCGAGAUACCGAGCUCUCUCUCUUCCCCGACUUUGAGGGGCGGCGCUGAUUCGAUCACCUCGCCGACCUCCUCAUUUUGAAUGUCUGACACGUCUGUGGCUUUCUCAACCUCCAUGGUGCAAUCAGAACUCCAAGCGACGGUAGCAUGGAAGUUGUGAUUUUUGUACGGGUGAGAUUAAAUUAAUAUAUUUAAUAGGUGUAGUAUAGCCGAACGGCUAUACCCGUUAAAAAAUAUAUUUAGUGGGGCGGCUAUACUCUUUAAAUAAUGUAUUUCAUGGGUAUAGUAAAGCCGGGCGGCUAUACGCUUUAAAUAAUAUAUUUGAUGGGUAUCAUAUAGCCGAACGGCUAUACUCGUCAAAUAAUAUAUUUAAUGGGUAUAGUAACGCCGUCUGGCUAUACUCGUUAAAUAAUAUAUUUAAUGGUUAUAGUAUAGCAGUAUAGCCGAACGGCUAUACGCGUUAAAUAAUAUAUUUAAUGGGUCUAGUAUAGCCGCGCGGCUAUACUAUUUAAAUAAUAUCUUUAAGGAGCAUGCGGGUAUACGUUUUAAAAAGGUAUAGCCGCGCGGCUAUACUAUUUAUUAAAAUGAAAAAAAAAGGGGAAAAAAGGACCCGGCUAGCACCCACAAUUUUUUUUUUUUUUUUAAAAUUUUCCUGGGCGGGGGGCGAGUCUGGCAUCUCUACAAAUACAUCAAGCUAGGAUUUUAGCACUCACUCUUUCUCACCAUUUAUCAACAACGUAAAGGUUGGCUCUUCCAACAAUUCACUGUUUUUUUCUGUGCAUUAUUUUUGCUGCGACUUAGAGUGCGUUCAUUUGAAAUUUGUGAAAUUGUCGAUAGCUCUGAAGAAGUUGUCAAGUUUUGUGAUAAAUAUUGGGCUCUUUGUAUUGAAUAAGUCCAAGUUUCACCUGAAUUGCGUCUCUUUGAAAAUUCAAACCCUACAAGCUGAGAAAUUGCAAUUGAAAAUCAGUUCCAUUUUCUGUUUUGGUUUAUGUUAUGUUUGGUUUGUAGGAAGCUGAUGAUGAACAAAUAUUCUCUUACCUAAAUAUUCAGUUUCAUGUUUCUUUUGUUGUAUUGAUUGAUUAGUUACAAAGUGAGUUGGUCUGGUUAACUGACCCAAAAGGAGUAGGCUGCUUUAUCAGGAACACUUGGAGAGCAAUGAGGGUGAUCCUGAGUUACUUGUUGUUUUAUGUGUUAUCUUCAGGACAUGAGUUAAAGAAUGCAUAAACAUGCAAUGGAUGGGGACAGGGAGAUCCAUUGGUUGAGUAGUUGUACCCAUUUUUCCAUAUUUUCAUUCAAUUUCAAUGGUAACAUGUUUUGUUACAUCUCCAUAGUCAGAUCUGUAUGAGUUUUGAGUAUGGGAUUUAACCACUUAAUUUGUGUUGCAUCUUUAGAAAUUUUAUUAAAACCUACCAUUCGAAGACCAACUUAUUAGAUGAAGUUAUCUCUGGAAUAUUUUGUUCAUUUAUUUCUGAUAGAUUUACAUCAGAUCUCAAGAUCAAGAGCAUUUCAAUUAUUGGUGGUGCUAAAGAUGCCUGCAAAUUCGUGACAUUUCCCAGUCUUAAAAUUUGGUUCCGGUUUUGGUUUUUGCAAUUUGACCUGCGAUGCGAGGCUGCAACCACAAACACACACACACGUUAUCUUCGUAAGGCUUUAUAGCUCCGUAAUGAACUUCAAUCCGAAAAGGCAUCAAAUCAAAUCAUAUCACUGAAACUACAAUUUGAACGUUAUGAGGGAAGUGCGACAUGUUGAAUCUGAAUGAUUGUAGCCAAAAAUUGUAGUACGAAACCAGAGAGCAUUUCGAGCUAUCUUCUUCCAUUGGCAACAUAAUUGGUUCUUCUCCAAGCGGCAGUCAAGGCAAAGGCACCACGGAAUAUAAUUGGUUCUUGCUGUUCACUCGUACAUUUAGAGCCCAAAACACUCUUUCAUUCCUCUCACAUCACAGUCUUAGUUGUUUUUCAUUUACAGGCUUAUUUAAUCUGCUUCUGGUGAUUCAACAUUUGUUCUGGUGAAAUCACAUUUGUUCUGGCUCCAGUCAUAGAAUCUAACAAUUAAUUUACAGGUCUUUUCAUAUGCAUAAAAGGAUUUUUGUGGACACGUCACCUGAACUUAAUACCUAAACCCAACAAAUUGUUAUGCUCCAACCGACUCAAAAAAUUGUUAUAAAAAUGAAAACCAAUUUGCUUGAUGUACUCAAAGUCAAAGAUAGAACAAAAAAAUUCAUGACUUUUGAGUAGAAUACCAAACCGGCCUUAAAGUUUUCGACGAAUAAAAAUGGAGGAUUAUUUAUAAAACUAAUUAAAGGAUUAUUCUCAAACGGGUAAUGGUUCGUUGGGUCGUUUUGCAUCAAAAUUGACUUAAGACCAAAAAACAAAACGGGCUUUUGAAAUUGGUUCAUGGGUUCUCAGUUUGCCAAGAAAUUUACCUUCCAGUUCUUGGGUCAAGACUCUUGAACUGUUAGAUACGUUUUGAGAGAGGCAUGGAUACCCAGUCCCAUAUAUAUAGAAAACGAUAGUUCAAACUAUAGGAGAGAGGGGGUUUCUCACACACACAAUCAAGAAUCAAGGGAUUCGAAUCUAAGAUCUCUUAGAACAUCGGCAAUGGUUGUUCAAUAGUUCAAGAAAUUGAUCUUUUUUGGCAUCUAUUGAAUUGAAUUGCAGUUUUACUUGCAAUAGUAUAGUUCAAUAGUUUCAGAUCAAUAGUUAUAUCUAUUUAUAUAUUUUUUUUACAUACUCAAAUAAAAUAAAAGGGACAAAUUCAAUAACACUAAAAAUUGUAACAUUGCAAUAUUCUCAAAGAGAUCUUUAAAAAGAGACCAAUUUUGAAUAUAUUUGAAGAAAAAAAUUUAAUUAAUGUAUUUUUUUCUAUUGCAUUGAAUUAUUGAACAACCAUUAUGGAUGCUCUUAAAAACAUAAUACAUUAAUUGCUGUAUUUUUUUUCAAUUUUUAUUAACAUGUGGGUCCCAUAUUUAGCUUAUUACAAUUGCGUCUAUUGCAAUGAACUAAAUCACACCAUUGCAAGCGAGAUUUUACUGUUUUAAUUCAAUUUCAUGCAAUAAAAUUGCAUUGAUCCUAACUAUUGCAGAUACUCUUUAAUACAUUUUUCCACUGGGCUAGACCAUUGACGUAUUAACAUUAUCUUUAAUUCUUCAUUUAUUUGUCAUAUAGAAAAUUAUUACCCUUAAUAUAUUUUGCAAAAACAAAAACCCAUUAAUUUUUGGUCCUGCCUAAAAUGAUUAUUUCAUAUUGAUGGAACAUUUGUACCCAAUCUUAUAUCUUUCUGGGCCUGCAGCCUUGCACACAAAUUUGAAAUUUGCAAAUGAAAGGAAUACCGGAAUGGCUUGCAUUCCUUGACUCAAUGAGCACGGAUAGUUAUGAAGGCCCAGUCUCACCUAAUUUUGCAAAGGAUCCAACAGCCAAAAGAUUAAUAUCAUUCAUGUAUCUUGCAGUCAAAGGCUAGAAAGGCAAAUGAAUAUUCAAAUCAUAAAUUAAACCCUCUGGAGAGCUUCCAUUCCAAUACAAGCAUACCACCAAUCUGCAAGACAAAGCAAAGCACAAUCCUUGGAACAACAAAGAAAGAACCAAGAUUUUUUGUCUUGUUUUCUAAUUUAUUUGUUCAGAUUGGUAGAGUCGUUCGUUGCUUUUAAGGUUUGUUGAUCCAAAUGUUUUGUUUGUUUGGGUUAAAUUAAACCCAGGUAGACAAAUAAAAAAAUGGUCCCGCGCUUUUCGUAGUCUUCACUUUACUCGAAAAUUUGCAGUUGGGAUUGUGUUUAUAUAUGAGGAGGCUCAGAGCUUGGUGCUUCAGAAGCCAAGUCUCCAAAAGCAAUCAGCAGAAUCAUCCAAAGGUAGUGUUUUUAGUUCUCUAAUUAUCUUUUAUGAGUAAAAUGCAGCUACUCAUUUUGUAUUUAUUUAAUUAUUUUUGGUUUUUUGGUGUUGGGUUAGAGAUCCAAAGAAGAAGCCAUGGAGAACCAAAAACAGACCGACAAUGGCGCCGACCACAAGGAGGUUUGGCCUUUUUUUCUUCUGUUCUGUUCUGUUUUGUUCCUCAAGUUUUGUAGACGCUUUUCUUGACAUUGGGUUAUUCGUUAGGUUGCUUUUGGAGAAUAUUUAAUUCAGGAGAAUUGCAAUUGUCUUUUACUUUAUAAACAUGUAUUUUACUUUAUUCUUUUUUAUUUUACAGAACUCACUGAACUUUGAAAUCGAAGCAAAUUAACUUUUGAACACGAAAUAUAUAUAUAUAUAUAUAUUCAAAAUAAUGAACACAAAAAAUAGAAUUAUUUAUUUAUUUAUAAAUAAAUCUAAGCAGACAAUCUGACGUUACAUGGUAUUUGAUUUUGAGUCCUUAAAAGAGGAAAAUGAUGAUAAAGGGUUUUAAGAAGUAGCUACCUGAACUUAAAUGCUCCAAAUGCUCCAACAUUUUUAUGACUUCUGCUUUCUCCGGCUAGAAAUUGGUCAAUUCAAGUAGCAGCCAUGCUACAAAUAUCAUUCUGAACCAUGAUUUCUCUGGAGGGCUGCAUUCUUGGCACCCCAACUGCUGCGACGGCUUUGUAGUUUCAGCUGAUUCUGGUCACCCAGAAGCAAAGUCAGCAGGCAAUAAUUAUGCUGUUGUUAACAAUCGAAAAGAAUGUUGGCAAGGCUUGGAGCAAGAUAUCACUGGGAGAAUUUCCCCAGGUUCCACUUAUGUGGUUUCGGCUUGUGUUGGAGUCUCUGGACCUCUUCAGGGAUCUGCUGAUGUCCUGGCAACUUUGAAACUUGAAUACCAAGGUUCAGCAACUAACUUCUUGUUGAUUGGAAGGUAACCGAUGUUUUUACCGUAUUACUGCAUUUGUUUCUUUAUAGAUAAGGAACUUGUUUUAACAGUAGUAACCACCUGCAGAAUUUCUGUAUCGAAUGGGAGGUGGGAAACGUUGGAUGGAAAGUUUUCACUGUCAACAAUGCCUGAUCGGGUUGUAUUCUAUUUGGAAGGGCCUUCUCCUGGAGUUGACAUUCUUAUAAAGUCUGUUGUGAUCUCAUCUUCUAGUCCAAAGGAAUGCCAGGUACUUAUAGUCCCUUUUCUUGCUUCCUCAGAAGUAUAUAUGGAAGCAUUAGAAAGAGGUAGCAAUGAAGUGUUGUUUAUGGAAGAAGUUUGCAGCGACUGCUAUCAAGUUUUUUUCAAGUAGGAAAAGGUCUUUUUCUUCUUUGCUAUCAUCUAUUGCUGAUUGAUUUUGGAAUGUGUAUCUUCCUUUUGUGUUUUGAAAGAAUGGAAGCUCAGGAAAUGUCAAUCUUGGGGAUGAGAAUAUAAUCCUAAAUCCAAAAUUCGAUGAUGGAUUGAAUAACUGGUCUGGAAGAGGCUGCAAAAUUGUUCUGCAUGACUCAAUGGGAGACGGGAAAAUCGUCCCUCAAACUGGAAAGGUAUUUGCAUCUGCAACAGAACGCACGCAGAGCUGGAAUGGCAUCCAGCAGGACGUCACUGGAAGACUGCAAAGGAAGCUAGCGUAUGAGGCCACUGCUGUUGUUCGGAUAUUUGGUAACAAUGUCACUAGUUCUGAUGUACGGGCUACCUUAUGGGUCCAGUCACCAAAUCAACGUGAACAGUAUAUCGGCAUUGCUAAGUUAUUAUCUUUCUCCAUGUCUCUUUCUAAUGAAAUUGUCAUAUAAUUUGUUUCUUCAAUUAAAAAUCUUGAUUAUUUUGUUCAUUUGCACCUUAUCAGAUUAGCCUUAAUCUUAAUCGAAGUUGGUUUGCUAUAAAGUGUGCAGGCAACAGACAAGGAUUGGGCACAGUUGCAGGGGAAGUUCCUUUUAAAUGGCUCCCCAUCAAAAGUAGUCGUUUAUCUAGAAGGUCCACCAGCAGGAACGGAUAUUCUUCUCAACAGUUUUGUUGUCAAGCAUGCUGAGCGAGUCCCUCCCUCCCCUCCACCAGUUAUUGAGGUUUGUUGAUUAAGUGAUUCUUUUUCUAUAAUAUUUCUGAGCAUGUUUUCUUGGAGCUGACUACAAAGAUAUAAGCACUCAAGUUUUGGCUUUUGUUUUCAUAGAAUCCAGCCUUUGGAGUAAAUAUAAUUGAGAACAGCAAUCUAAGUAAGGGCACCAAUGGCUGGUUUCCGCUUGGUAACUGCACUUUGAGUGUCGGAACUGGUUCACCUCAUAUACUUCCUCCAAUGGCAAGAGAUGGCCUUGGACCUCAUGAACCUUUAAGCGGUCGCUACAUCCUUGUAACGAAGCGCACACAGACUUGGAUGGGUCCUGCCCAGAUGAUUGGUGACAAACUGAAACUCUUUUUGACAUAUCAAGUAUCUGCUUGGGUUCGGAUCGGUGCUGGAGCAACUGGUCCACAAAAUGUGAACAUUGCACUUGGUGUGGACAACCAGUGGGUGAAUGGAGGGCAAGUUGAGGCGAGUGACAACAGAUGGCACGAAAUCGGUGGUUCCUUUAGAAUUGAGAAGCAACCAUCCAAAGUAAUGGUUUAUGUCCAAGGCCCUGCUCCAGGUGUAGACUUAAUGGUUGCUGGAGUUCAGAUAUUCCCUGUUGACAGACAAGCAAGAUUUAAAUACUUGAAGAGGCAGACUGAUAAGGUAAAGGGGUUGUUCUUUCAUUUGUUUUGCAAGUAUCAUUAUAAGUAUUUCCAGCAUGACAUUAUUACAAGCAUCAUCAAACUUGUCUCACUGAGCAUUGCUUCAUAAGAUAAGAGCCUAAAGUAUAUAGUGAUCUGAAUUCGCAUUCCCCUAAUUUGUUCCAAAUUUGAGUAUUUCUCCUUUGUUGGAAUGCAGAUCCGAAAGCGUGAUGUUGUCCUAAAAUUUUCAGGAUUGGACUCAAGCAGCCUGCUUGGCUGCUUUGUGAAAGUUAAACAAACGAAAAACAGUUUUCCAUUUGGGACAUGCAUAAGCAGAACAAACAUUGACAAUGAAGACUUUGUUGAUUUUUUCGUUAAGAACUUCAACUGGGCUGUAUUUGGAAAUGAGUUGAAGUGGUAUUGGACUGAACCCCAAAAAGGAAAUUUCAAUUACAAGGAUGCUGAUGAGUUGGUGGACUUAUGCAAGAGUCACAACAUAGACAUCCGAGGUCAUUGUAUCUUCUGGGAAGUGGUGGACACAGUCCAGCAAUGGAUCCGUUCAUUGAGCCAAAAUGACUUGGCAACGGCUGUCCAAAGUCGGCUCACAGAUCUUCUUACCCGCUACAAAGGGAAGUUCAUGCACUAUGAUGUCAACAACGAGAUGCUGCAUGGCUCAUUCUAUCAAGACAAGCUGGGUAAAGAUAUCAGAGCAAAGAUGUUCAAGAGUGCAAACCAACUGGAUCCAUCUGCAACUCUGUUUGUGAAUGAUUAUCACGUUGAGGAUGGAUGCGAUACUCGAUCAUCACCAGAGAGGUACAUUGAACAUAUUCUUGAUUUGCAACAGCAAGGUGCACCUGUGGGUGGCAUUGGAAUUCAAGGACAUAUAGAUAGUCCAGUGGGGCCGAUUGUUUGUUCUGCUCUUGAUAAAUUGGGCAUUCUUGGCCUGCCAAUCUGGUUCACAGAGCUUGAUGUGUCAUCAGUCAAUGAACAUGUUCGAGCGGAUGAUUUGGAAGUGAUGCUGAGGGAAGGUUUUGCCAAUCCUGCAGUAGAAGGUAUAAUGAUGUGGGGUUUCUGGGAGUUGUUUAUGAGUCGACAAAACUCGCAUUUAGUGAAUGCAGAAGGUGAUGUGAACGAAGCUGGAAAACGCUACUUAGAGCUCAAGAAAGAGUGGCUAUCUCAGGCUCAUGGCCACAUUGAUGAGCAGGGAGAGUUUAUAUUUAGAGGCUUCCAAGGAACAUACAAUAUAGAAAUUGCCACUGCCCCAAAGAAACUUGUGAAGACAUUUGUUGUCGGCCAGGGUGAGUCGCCGGUAGAGGUGCCCAUUGCCCUAUAAAUUUGCUGCUUCACUCAGUGAAGGGAUCAUUAUUUUCAUACCUUACAUUUCAAAUUUGUGUUGCAUUGUUGUCACAGUUGUGCACAGAAAAAAGGUUCCACAUGUAUAAAACACAGAAUAAGAAAUAAGAAAUAAGAUGAAGUUUGUUGGUUGUGAUCAGUCCGACGCAGAAUAUGAAACAAGCCCAUUUGGCCUAUUGAGCUAAUGGGCCAAUCUUUCUUUUAAGAAUCGGGCCGUUAUCGAUAUCGUCUCUUUAACUGACUCACACACAAAAAUGUUACGAAUUGAUGUACAUAAAUCGUGUGGAGUUACAUUAAACUUUACCAAAUAUGUAGAAGAAAAAAAAUUGAGGGAGGAGCAUGUACAAAUCGUGUGUCUGCCUAUCUCCUCCUAACAAUCAUUUGGGUCCCAAAUUAUAUAAAUCAUGGAAAUUGGGCCCAAACCCAAAAUGCCUUUAUCAAAGGGAAUGGGCCCACCCAACACCAUCACAUCAAUCUGAUAGACUCCCACCAUCUACUACUACUAGCUAUAUAUCACUAUCACUAUGACAACUAGUUCUCUACUUCUCUCUCUCUCUCUCUCUCUCUCUCUCUCUCUCUCUCUCUCCCUUACCAUGAUUAUGAUGAUAAAUGGGACCCAAACACAGUCCCAUCCCUGUCUCUAAAUACCUGGUUCCAGUGGACCCCACACCCCACAUGGGUGCAUAGUCAGGCUUGCCCGUGGCUCAUAUUAGCCGACCCCCUUCUAUAUCUCUCUUAUUAAUGCCCAUUUUACCAUCCAUAUAUAUUUGUUACUGAGCUUGUCUAUUUCAAUUAUUAUAGACAUGAAUUUUCGCCGUUUGUUUGUUUAAUGUGUCCAGAUUGAACUUAUUAAAUUUAACAAUAAUUCAAUAUAUUGUGUUUUAUAAAUUAUACUUAUAAAAAUUAAUUUCAAUUUAAUUUCAAUUCAAUCCAAACAGACCGUUAAACGAUUAUGGAUGUCAGCAUCACGAGAGUUUUACGAUUGAUUUGAUGGGGGGGUGUUCGGUGGGUCGCAGACGUAUCAGAAGGUUUGAAAGAAAAGUCUAUUUUCUUCUUAAAAAUGGUAAAAUAAAUUUUUAUGAAGAGAAAGAAAAAAAAAGUUUGAAGGGAAUGAAUGAAUGAAUGGUGGAGCGAGAGACUGAGGAGAGAGAGAGAGAGAGAAGUGGGGACUGGUAGGAGGAGCAGAGUGAGUGAGAGAGUGAGAGAGAGUUAUGAUGUCUAGUGCAUUGGGAAACAGCUCCCGCGCUGUUUUCGCGCGCCUUCCCCCAAAACGACAUCGUUCGUGGGACCCACCCACCCGCUCCUGAAAUAAGCUCCUGUCUGUCAUUAACCAACACCUCCGCUGCCACUCACACACAGUCUCUCUUCUCACAUUUGAAUAAUCUUUUUCUUCUUUUUUUUCUUUUUUAAUACCUUAAAAAAUAAUAAACUCCAGAAUUUCUUCACUGUGUGCUAAUCAAAAUGACUGAUGGGUCAUCCACUGGUAGUUCUCUGAAACCCUAACCCUAUAGAUUAAUAUAAAUCCUGAAAUGAAAACAUCAACUUCUGGCACGUGCUACAUUUUUAAACAUUUUAUUCAACUUGUCAUAAUUCAGAUUUUAUUUUUAAUAAGUAGAAUAGAUAAAUAAAGGUUUUCUUGCUUUUGGUUUCUUUCUUCCUUCUUUUUAUUUUAGGGUUCUGAAUCUGAAUCUGAAUCUCUACCCAAGGAUUCAGAGUCAAGUACUGAUAAGUGACAAUUAACACAAAUAAUUCUUUUUAGUCAAAGUGCGUUGACCCUUUUCCCACGGGACAAACUCAUCUGGUUAAGUGGCUUAAUCAGAGAAUUUAUCAGUAGACAUAAUACAGUUGUUCUCGUACACUGCUGUAUGUGUUUGCAUAAUCCUCAAAUGGUUGUUUCUGUCUUCUGAAAAAUAAAUGUUAUGGGCUGUUUUUUCGUUUUUGCAUUGAAAAGUUUAACCAACCGCAUUAUAUGAAUAGAUUAUAUCGCGUGAUCGUAUUACAAUAUUACAAUAACAUGUUGAUACCAUUAUAUUAAACAAAUUUUUUACGCGGCCACGUGGAAGACAUGCAAGAAGAUUUACUGAUAAUCAGAGACAUAUGGGUCACCAUGAGUGUCUAUGACAAUAGUAAAUUAUCAUUAAUCAUAGCUACGCUGCUACGCAUAUAUGAAUUUAAGUAAUGAAUUAAAGUAAAGGCUUUUGACUGAGAUUCUCUCCUGGUUGUUGGAGUGGGCAUCAGCAUACUUACCUACAAUUAUUAUGAUCUGGGACAUUCAAAGUGCAAAGAGAAAGCAGAUUCUGUCCUGUUAGCUUUUGCUAACUCGGGUAAUUUUUAAUGAUAGACAUGUGGAAAACCAAUUUGAAAGACUAUAGAUGAAAGUCCAUGCACUAAAUUUGUUUUGUGAGGGCUAGCUUUAAUUACUUUAGAAAAAAAGCUUGACAUUGAGAAAGAAACGUUCUGAUUAAGAAUCAUUAAAAAGUCGCUUAAGUUAAUUCGUAAUAUCAUAUGCUUUCAAUUCAAUCAUCCAGAUGUCAUGAUUUACAUGCAGCUUAUAACCAUUAAUUAAAUCUACUUUGAAACUAAUUAUGAUACGCUGCUGAAAAUUUUAAACUUUUGCUGGAGGGAAGCCUUUUAAUAAUAAUUACUAGAUUUAUAUUCCUCUAAUAUUCAAAAUUAGUUUUUUUGGGAUUUUUAUAUCCAACAUAGAGCAUAAAGAAAUGCCAAAUGUUUUUUGGUAUGCUGACAUUCUUAUUGAUAUUGUUUAUUCUUGUAAGAGGAAUGAGGAAUAAAAUACUAAUUUUCGUUUUUCAUUCUCAAAUUAUUCUCAUGGAAUGAAUUGUGAAAUCAUUUGGAAUAUAAGCGAAAUUCUACGCUAAAUUACAGGAAAUGAGAUUCAAACUCGAGUAAAUACGACAAAUUCAAAGUUAAAACAACAUUGCCAAUUUACAAACUCCCUCAUCAAUAAUUCAACCCCUUACAAAUUACAUGUCCAAUGAAAAUGAGACUCAUAAGAGCCAAAAAGAAAAGAAAAAUUGUACAGAUUCAAUAGGUUAUUGAUGCAUGAUAUUGCAAAAAGUCCAUGGGUAAAGACAGACAAGAUACCUUUUCUUUUUUCAACAACUUGAGUCUUUAUGUUUACGCUAAUUAUAUUAUUUUCUGUUCCCAUCAAAUCCGACUCUUAAAGAAGAAAUUAGACAUAUAAUACCUUAUUCUUAAUCUUUUAGUCAAUACUCAAUACUUAGUGCUCAUCACUGUACGAUUGAAACAGCCAGCUUUGAUCUUUACCCUUACAAAUUAAAGACAAACCUUUUAUUGUUUCACAUUGGUUGCGACCCUCCAACCUCUUCGCUUUCAUAAUUAGACACAAAAGUCGAAUACUUACCGAGCUAAUAAAGCCAAGACAAUUGUUUUAACUUAUGCUUUUGUAUGCUAAGCAGCUGGGUGGGGACGAAUGAUUAUCUUAAUCUAGGUCUUCAAAACUUGAGUACGUGGACAAUAUCCUUCCACGUAUAGCUUCUUAAUCUGGAAUCGCAGCCGAACAUUAUCUCCUUGGAUGCUUUUCAUUAACUUUGAUUGGUUGCUUAACCAAGUAUUUUAAAUACAUUAUCUCCUACUACGGUACGUAAUGUAUGUCUUGUCUUGUGAUGUAUUCAAAAACCUUUGUCUCACUCUCACUCAUGAGACCAACAGUUCUCCCAUAAUCAAACAUACCAAUCUUUCUUUUUUACUAUUACUAAUUAAUAAUGAACUGCCCAUCAAAUUUCUGGUAGGUCAAGGGUAUUUAAUUUAUAGCAUCGUAUUUAUUUAUGCUAAUUUAAAUUUACAAAAAAAUAAAAAAUGUAAGUUAAGUCAAUCGGUUUAAAAAAAUGAUAAAUUUAUAGCAUCAUAUUAGUUUAUGCUAAAUUUAAAUUAAAAAAAUAAUAAUAAAUCCGAGUUAGCUCAGUCAGUCAAAAGAGCAGUGCGUCCAUCACUUAGAAUUGUUUGAAAUGUUGCAUUCAAAGAAAACAAAACCAACUACGGAUAAAAAUGUGAAGUAUUAACCUGUUGCAGUGAAAGUUUUUCCUCCAAGUUAUCUUAGUUAGCUCUGGUAAGAAAAUAUUACCAGCAUAUAUUGAAGGAAGUUUUGGGUUGAUGUUAUUUAUUUAUGCGCUCUGUUGUAAGUUGUGAGUGAGUUGACAGGAACAGCUCAUUCAUAUGAUGAUGAGAAGAUGGUGAUGUGAUUGGGAAAAGGGAGGCACCAAUAAUAGACAGGUGAACUGUGCAUCCAAUCUAAUCCCCGCCAACUCAAACCCGAUGGUGCAUGUAUAUAUUCGUGUUAGGAUCACAACUUGCCACGACGUUUCUGAUUGGACAACAUUAAAAAUUAAAAUAAACCAAUACUACGUAUGUUACUUAUGUCCUCCGAUGUAUAAAUUAUUAAAUUUCCUCCCAAGUUUGGUCAUCUCUUUUUAUCUUUUUAGAAUUUAACUUUUAAACUUAGUCGGUAGUUUUUGUGAUAUUCUGUGGAACUAUUUCUGCUCAAAUGGAAGCCAAACUGAUGCGCACCAUUUUUUCUAAGAAAGAGGCCAAACCCAAACUGGUAGCUGCCCCAAAUAAGAAGGGUGCCAAGUGUAUUUAGCUUCUAUUUUAAUUUAUUUCUGUUUUUGUAAUUGACUUAUAUUUUAAUGUCAGUUGGGAACGAAUGUAUCUAUUUAAGUUUGUUUUCACCAACCGGUCUUUAUUCCGUAGAAAAAUAAACUUGACUCGCAAAUCUGUGAUUUCAAGUUUAAACUCCCACGUGUCUAUAAGAAACUCCUCAUUCUUUUGUAGUUUAAACUAUCAAUUGUAUUUAAAAAAUAAACAUUACAUUCCACUUAUCCUUACAUGAUACCCAUUAUUAAACCCUUCAUAGGGUGUCUCUUUAGCAAAUUAAAUCUACUCUUUUGAACAUGAAACCCAGUAUUUUUCACUUUAUAGGGUGUUUGUUUAGCAAAUUAAAUCUACUAUUUUUCACUGCAUAAUGUCUAUCUUCUCCUUCUUCUUUUUUUUUAGGGGUCAAAGAAGUAUUGUUCUUGGGGAGUGAGUGAGUGAUAGAAAGAAAGAAAUAGUAGAAGGUGCAUGGGGAAGAGGCGAAGAGCAGUGUGAGUGAGUGACAAGUGAAGAUGGGGGGCACCUGCUGCCAGUACUAGCUACUAGCUACCACCCUGGUCGUGUCUUCCUCUUGGACACGUCCAAUCUUUCUCUCAUCUCAACUCUGAAAAAAAGCAGAAAGAAAAUGCAGUUAAAAACUUAAAAGCAUAUAAGCUUACUGGCUAAGGACAUGUUUGGCAAUUGGUGCAUGGCCAUGGCCCCGCCCAACGGCUUUAGGUGUACAUGUAGCGCGAGUCUCCCGGGGGGAUUCUUUACACGCUUUAUAUAUAUAUAUAUAAGGCCCUCUGAUCAUCUGAUCAGUUUUCAGUGGGGUCUUUCUCUCUCUUCUCCUCUCUCGCUCUCUUUAAAUUCUCUGGGUGCGUGCGUCGUGCGGGCGAGAGAAGGUGGUCGUCGCCGCCAGCUAUACCUCGUGUUGCAGUGCUGCACAACCAGCAAAACGACGUCACACCACACACCCCACCCCUCCCAUUCCCUUCUCUACAUAAUAUUUUAAUAUUAUUAUGUCACUGUUAAGGUUAAUUUGUCUUGCUCUGUUUUGCUGUUUUGCUCUUUUUCACCUAUGUAUGCGUCAUUUGACUGACUCAUUUGUACACACAGCCCUCCUCUGGGUCCCAUUCCACUGUUUACCGUUGAAAUUUCGUACUCCUACGGCCCUACCUUUUAUAUAUGUGUACAUAUAUUACUAAUAAUACAGAUUGCACUACGGAUCAUCUUCUCUAGUGACCUAGUCCUCUGUAUGCAUGUAUGAAAGUGAAUAAUACGAUAGUAUGAUUACGUGCUAUAUAUUGUAUAGGUGUUAUAAAUUGAUAUGUAUUGAUAUUAUUUCUUAAAAGAAAGGAAAAUAAACUAUAUUGUCUAUUCAUGUUGUAACAUACGUACAUAAAAUAUAUCACGUGACCAUACUACUAUAGUAUUCUAUAAUUUAUUCUUCUUUAAUGACCUAGGCCUUUGUAUGCAUGUGUGAACAGUGAAAGUGAGGCCCCCCCCCCAACUAUGCACAAUUGUACGUUAUAUUUUGUUCCAUUAUUAUUUCAUCUAUUAUUUUUCAAUUCCUUUAUUGCACCCCCUUUGUUAUAACAAGAAACCCUCACAUGA
rnacentral:lncRNA from 1 species